ACAAAUUAAUAUUGUGAUGGCUUCAUCGAGCAUACAAAAUGUGUCUCAUUGGCCAUAUGAUGCCUUCUUAAGCUUUAGAGGAGCAGACACCCGUAAAAGCUUCAUAAGUCAUCUCUAUGCUGCUUUGAAUGGAAAAGGAAUUUAUGUAUUCAAGGAUGACAAAGAACUUGAGAGAGGAGCAUCCAUUUCACCUGGACUUCUUAAGGCAAUUGAAGAUUCUAGAAUUUCAAUUAUUGUUUUCUCUCAAAACUAUGCUUCCUCCACUUGGUGCUUGGAUGAACUUGUUAAGAUUGUUCAAUGCAAGAACAAAAACGAUCAUCAACAAAUGGUUUUUCCAGUUUUCUAUGAUGUUGAACCCACUGUGGUAAGGAAACAAACGGGAAGUUUUCGAGAAGCUUUUUCUAAACAUGAAGAAGCUUUUAGGGAGAAUCUAGAAAAAGUGAAAAAUUGGAGAGACGCUUUGAAAGAGGUGGCUAAUAUUUCUGGCUGGGAAUUGAAAGAGUACAGGUACCCAUUCUUAUUAUUAUGUAUAUCAUUUUAAAUAGCUUUAAUCAGCAUCCUGUUGUCAGUUAAACAACUUUCAUUCAAUAUGUGUAUGAUAUGAUGUGCACUAAUUGAAACAAUAUCUCCACAUACGAAUAUUUGCAAACAAAAGUGGUACAAAUGGAUGCAGAUAUUUACAUGAACGCACCUAAAGAUUACCCAUAUGUAACAACAUCUUACAUUACUUCAAUUUUUUCCAACGAAUAUUGCAUAUUUUGGGUUUUUUCUAUUACUAAAUUUAUUAAAUACCGCAUUCAGGCUAACUGUAAUUUAACCAUACUGAUCUUUGUUUGUUCUUUAACUGCAGGAGUGAGUCGGAAUUUAUUUGGGAUAUUGUCAAGGCGAUAUCAAGUAAAAUUCCUGUAAAAUCAGAGACUCUUAAGAAUCUAGUGGGAAUAGAUUCACGCUUGGAAGAACUGAGGUCUCUUAUGAACAAAGGGCCUAAUGAUGAUGUUCGUAUGAUAGGGAUUUGUGGUAUGGGAGGUUUAGGUAAGACGACUCUUGCAAGAGUUGUUUAUGACUUGAUCUCUCAUGAAUUUGAAGGGAGUAGUUUUCUUGCCGAUGUUAGAGAAAAAUUUGAAAACAAAGGCAGUGUAAUCUCUUUUCAAAGGCAACUCCUUUUCGAAAUAUUGAAGCUCGAAAAAGAUAGCAUAUGGAAUGUCGGUGAUGGCAUCAACAUUUUAGGAAGCAGGCUGCAACACAAAAAGGUUCUUCUUGUUAUUGAUGAUGUGGUUGACAUAAAGCAAUUAGAGUAUUUAGCUGGAAAGCGUGAGUGGUUUGGUUCAGGCAGUAGGAUCAUUGUAACAUCGCGAGAUGAACAUCUAUUAAAGACACAUGGAAUGGAUGAAAUAUAUAAGCCUAAUGAAAUAAAUUACCAUGAUGCUCUUCAACUUUUCAACAUGAAAGCUUUUAAAAUCCAAAAGCCUCUUGAAGAAUGUGUGCAGCUGUCAGAAGGUGUUCUACGGUAUGUCGGUGGUCUUCCAUUAGCUCUCGAAGUUUUGGGUUCCUUUUUGAAUGGUAGAUCCGUGGAUCAAUGGAGAAGCACCUUGGAAAGGCUACAAAUAGAGCCUCCCAAUAAGAUUAUGAGUAUACUUCAAAUAAGUUUUGACGGACUACAAGAAUUAGAGAAGAAAAUAUUUCUCGAUAUUGCAUGUUUCUUUAAAUGGAAGACUAGAGAUUAUGUAUUGAAAAUUCUAGAGGGAUGUGGUUUUUCCCCAGUCGUUGGAAUAGAAGUUCUUAUAGAAAAAUCUUUAUUAACAGUACAUGAGAAUAACAGAUUGUGGAUGCAUGAUUUGAUACAAGAAAUGGGUCACCAAAUUGUUAGGAGACAAUCCCCGACGAGCCUGGAAAACGCAGUAGAUUGUGGAAGGAAGCAGAUGUACACCAUUUAUUGUCACAAAAUACAGUAAGUGAAUAAUAAAGGGGAUCUAAAAGUAUUUAUUUCUAGCUCAGCUCACUUCUUUUAGCUAGUUAAAUUUCUAAUGAACGACUUUCUUUAUAAUUUUCAGGGAAGUGAAGUAGUUGAAGGAAUAAUGGUUGAUGAUGAUUUCUUUCGUGGAAAUGAUGUGCAUUUAAGUGCUAAAGCAUUUUCACUGAUGACCAACCUAAGAUUGCUCAAAAUCAAUAAUGUGCAACUUCCUAAAGGCCUAGAAUACCUCUCGAACAGGUUGCGAUUACUUGAUUGGCAUCGGUAUCCUUUGAAAUCUUUGCCAUCAAAUUUGCAAUUGGAUAAAACUGUUAAAUUUAAAAUGUGCUACAGCCGCAUUGAAGAAUUAUGGAAGGGAAUCAAAGUAAGAUCAAUUUUUUUUUUGGUCACUAAUUUAUAUUUUUCAGUGAAUAAUUGUUGAUAACAAUUUAUUAUUAUAGUAGUAUAUGAAUUAAGAAAUAUCAUUUUAGCUCCUUUUUUUGUUUUCAACAGCCUUUAAACAUGUUGAGAGUCUUGAAACUCAGCCAUUCGGAGAAUCUGAUUAAGACACCAGACUUCACAAAGGUCCCAAACUUAGAGGUGUUGGAUCUUGAAGGAUGUACAAGGUUGCGUGAAAUUCACCAGUCUUUGCUACGUCACAAUAAGCUGAUCUUGUUGAAUUUGAAAGGUUGUACAAGUCUUACAACUCUUCCGGGUGAGAUAUUUAUGAAAUCGCUUAAAACACUUGUUCUUUCUGGUUGCUUGAAAUUGAGGAAACUUCCACGCGUUGUGGGGAGUAUGGAGUGUCUACGGGAACUUCUUUUGGAUGAAACUGAUAUCAAAGAACUGCCAGUUUCAAUUGAGCUUAUGUCUGGCCUUGUUUCGUUGAAUUUGAAAGAUUGCAGAAAUCUUGCGACUCUUCCAAUUACAAUAGGCAAUUUAGAAUGUCUACAAACGCUCGUGCUAUCUGGUUGCUCGAAAAUAGUGAAAUUUCCAGAGACUGUGAUGAGUGUGGAAGAUCUGUCAAAGCUCUUUUUAGAUGGAACUUCUAUCACAGAAGUGCCAUCAUCUAUAGAGCUUUUGACCAAACUUCAAUGGUUGAAUUUGAAUGACUGCAGAAGUCUCGUGAGACUUCCUAGCAGUAUAAAUGGUUUGAAAUCCCUCAAAACUUUGAAUCUCUCAGGCUGCUUCAAACUUGAAAAUGUGCCUGAGACGCUUGGGCAAGUAGAAAGUUUGGAAAAACUUGAUAUAAGUGGUACAGCUAUAAGGCAACCUCCAUCGUCGAUUUUUCUUAUGAAGAAUCUUAAAGAACUAUCUUGUCGUGGGUGCAAAGGAUCACCAUCAUCUACAUCAUGGUUUCUGCGCUUUCCUAUCAAUUUGAUGCCAUGGAGUUCAGAUCCGGUGGCUUUGAGUUUGCCGUCUUCUCUGUCAGGUUUGUGUAGUUUAACAAAAUUGGAUAUCAGUUACUGUGAUCUAGGGGAAGGAGCAAUCCCAAGUAGUAUUGGCGACUUAUGCUCAUUAGAAGAGUUACAUCUGAGUGGAAACAAUUUUGUUACGCUGCCGGCAAGCAUCUACCGUCUUUCUAGUCUUCGGGGGAUUAAAUUAGAGGAAUGCAAAAUGCUUCAAAAUCUGCCUCGACUUCCAGCCAGUAUACAAGGCAUUUCGUUAGACGGUUGUGUUUCGUUGGAGACAUUAUCAGAUGUGUUAAAUUUAAACGAGCAUCAAAUCCCGAACAUACACGUUCAUUGUGUGGAUUGCUUGAAAUUGGCUGGCAACUAUGAUUUGGCGCUUUCACUGCUGAAAGAGUACAUUAAAAAUUCUGAGGUCAGUCUCUCACUCUCACCUGUGCUACAUUAUGCCUAAAACUGAUGCAAUACAUGUUACUGUCGGACAAGUACAUUGAACAGACUAAUGUCAGUUUCUUACACUGUCUCUCACCUGUUGCUAAAAUUAUGCCUAAAAAUUAUGCAUUGGUAUGGCUUUCUAAUAUAUAUAUAUAUAUAUAUAUAUAUAUAUAUAUAUAUAUAUAUAUAUAUAUAUAUGUAUGUAUAUAUUUUUUGGUGGGUUUCAGUGCAGUUGGAGAGAUUUUUGCAUUGUUGUUCCUGGAAGUGAAAUCCCAGAGUGGUUCGAGUAUCAGAAUAAUGAGGGUUCUUCAAUAACAAUAAGCACGCCUCCAAAGACGUAUAAGAAUAGUAAGCUUGUGGGAUAUGCUGCGUGCUGUGUUUUUCGUAUCCCUAAAUAUUCACUUCCAUAUCCCGAACAUGAUCUGUGUGUCUGGUCUACCGACGGGUAUGGACCGUAUGGUUAUCGAAUUUCGUUUGGAAAGCAAUUCGGUCAGGCUGUGUCAGACCAUCUUUUCCUAUGCUACAAGAAUAGGGAAGAUAUUAGUGAAGUGGAAUUUUCUUCGCGGUCGGGAUUGGAGUUGAAGAGGUGCGGUUUGCAUCCAAUAUAUGUGCAUCAAGGGGAUAAGUUCAACCAAACAAGUGAUCCGGUUUGGAAUUUGAACGAAUUCGGUCACGAUUGUUUAGGUUCAACAUCCUUUAUGCGUAGCCUUAAUGAUGACUUAGACAGGGCAGAAGGCAGUGGAAGUUGCUGCGGGGAUGAUGCAGGAGGAACGACGUCGUCUGAGCGAAGCUUUCUAAAGCGAAGUCUUGAAGGAUAUGUUGGGGCGGCUGAAGCUAGUGGAAGUGGCUGCUGUAAUGAUGAGGAGGAACCACAACCUAAAAGAUUUAGACAACUCGAAUGAAGGGCACAUAAUUUAUUUUUCUCUGCAGAUCGCAUUUCAUUUACUUUCUUUGUAUUUAUUUAUUGUAUCUGUUCUUGUUACUUAUUUCCCUGUUAAAUUACCAGAAAAUGCCUGGCUUGGGUCAAACAGUUGGACAGAUGUUUUAUUACUCUGUUUUUUCUGCUUUGCUUUAUUACUCUGUUUUUCCUGCAAAAGAUGUCGUACAUAGAUGCGGUGAGCGCGAGUUGUUUGGUAUACUUGAAGGGGCUCGCUCGGGACCACAAUGACUAAUUAUUUAAUGUUGUGUGUUAAAUAUUAAAAUAUGCGGAUAGCUUAUUGCUUUUGAGACCUAAGAGUCAUUGAUACUCUGUUUUUUCAACCUAAAAGUAUUUAUUUAAUCUUAGGGUGAUUGAAAACAAAUUGACGAAUUACCAUUAAACAAGCAACAAAAUAACAAAUUCUUUGAAAAGAAAGUAUAUAAUAGAAAGAAGAAAUUAUCACAUAAAAAAAAAAUGUUCCAGUUUUUGCCUUUAGCCUCUCCUCCCCAAGUUGUCGGGCAUGGACUUGCUUUCGCUUCCGAAAGGAAAAAAUAAAAUAAACAUAUGUAUAUUAACAUAAUUUUAAUCUUCAAAAAAUAUUUUAAUACUUUACAGUAUUAUAUUAUAUUAAACUAAAUUUUAUAAUGGAUAUAAACAUAAUAUUAAAAUAAAUAUAUAAAGAUUCAAUUAUUUUAAAUUUAUAUAAAAUAAUUUUAAUAUUAUCAAUACAUGAGAUAUUUUUUAUUAGUUGUAAAAUCUAUUUAACCCAAAUAUUUAUUUAAAAAUUUAAUAUUAACCAUUAGAUUGUGAAAGAUUAAUGGCUCAUUUUUUGUGUCAAAAUUUAAGUUAAAAUAUCCAAAACCAUGCUUUCAUAACGAGAAUAUAAAAUAAAUAGAUAAUAUUUCAUGAAUAUUAUUGGAGGUAAUAUUUACUUAUUAUAUUAAUUACCAUCAUAAAUGCAAUCAGCCUCUUGGUGACAUAAAAUUUUGUAACCACAAUCAAUUAAUAUCAACAAAACAAUCUUUCAUGAUUCAUAAACUAUAUAGCUAAUUAAGAAUUUAUGUUAAUUUCAACUUUACGAAAUCAACAAAGUGAUAUUGGAAAAUUAAAUGAAAAUAGGCUUGUAAAACUUAAACUUAUAUUCCUACCAUAUAAAAGUAUUCACUGUAACAUAAUCCAUAAUUUCAUGGUAUAGGUUGUGCUAAAUUGAUGUGAAAAAUAAUAUACACUUCAUGAUUAAUCAUCCAAUGAUCCUUAAUAAUAUACAAAAUAGUGAGCAUUAUGUUAAAUUUUAUUAAAGCAUGACAAAUGUGAAGAAUGACAGGGGCAGCAGCUGCAGACGGUGGACGUGAGGUGGCUUCGGGUUUUGCUAUUUUUCUAACUUUUUCUUCUUUUUUUUUUUUAUGAAAGUAAUGGAUGGUGGAGGGAGGAUUUGUGUAUGGGGAAUGGUUGAUGGUCAGGAAAGCUCUGCCUAAUACAAAGAAAGACUCUGAUACCACUUGACGCAUCGCAGAAGCGAUACUAAAUUUCAUUAUAACAUACGUUCUUGAAAAUUCAAGAAAAAAGGCUCUUACGAAGAAGAAAGUAUCUCAAUUAAGAAAUAUUAAAUAUUAUUGAUGAGAAGCUUAUGUAUGUUAUAAAGAACUAUCAGUAAGAAGCCUAUAUAUACUAAGUAGCCAACUUAAUCUUAAUCCUUCUUAAAUAAAAUAAAUAAUUUAAAAUCCUAAUUAGAUUAGAAUUCCAAACAUGAUCGAAUAAGUUUAAAAAAUAAGAUAAAUUCUAAUAAAAUACUAAAUACCCAAAUAUUAUAAUUCCUAAUAAAUUCUAAUUUAUUUUAUCUAAUAUGCUUCCUACAUUACUUUAUCGCUAUAUUGUCUGAAUCGAUGUCUCUUUUUACACUAGUAAAAAAAUGACCUUCUUUGAUACUAUUUUAGUAUCAAGAACUUGUUUUACUGACACCGAAUUCAGUGACACACCGAAUUUAGUGUCACUGAAUACGGUGCAAGAAACUUACUGACACAAGUUUUUUGUAUCAGCGAAUCUAUGUCACCGUAGUAUCAAAAAAAUAUUGAUGCUUGAACAUCACAUAUAUAACGAGACUAUGUUAUCAAACAAAUAAUGAUACAAAAGCAUAAUAAAUAUAACGAUACUUUGGUAUCAAUGUUUAUUUGAGAAAAAUUAAAAAAAAAAUUAGAAAUCCAUAUAAUAGAAAUUGAACAUUUGCAAUUGGCAUUUGAAUUGAAAUUUACAUUCAUCAAUAUGAAAGCUAUUACAUUGCAAUGAACAAUUUAAAAAUUAUUACAUUGUUUGAAACUUAUUACAUUGUUUACCAACUACAAAUAAUUUAUAAUCUGAUAUAUAGUAACAGCACAAUCUUCCAACACAUGUUUAUUGCUUCGCGGAUUCUUUCUUUCGGUAAUCGAAAUGAAGUCUUCUAUUAUUGUUUCCAUGUUCCAAUUUGACAUUUGCUCUGAUUAUUUAGUUUUGACCCACAUACAUGCUUUGGUUUAUUGUAAGUCAUCCGGCACCAUUCAAGACAUGCACAAUAAAAAAACUGAUAAAAUUUACAUGCUGCAAUCUACAUAGUUUCCUAAUGGCAUAUAAAUGCAUGCAAGACAAGCAUAUUAUAUUAACAAUAAAAAUUAUUUAACCGUUGUCCAAGAAAAAGAGGAGAAAUUAUUAACAACAUCAUGAGAGGAAGUCUAACAAUACAGUCAAACAAACAAAAGAAAACCCAUGCUUGGUUGUAUAACGAGCAUGGAAAGUUCAACACAAACACAAACACAAACACAGAGACCAAUGGAGUUAACCAAAGUAAUGAAGGAAUUUCUGUGCAACUGUCAGUGGACACACAGAGCAAUGGAGUUAACCAAAGUAGAGCAAUGGAGUUAACCAAAGUAAUGAAGGAAUUUCUGUGCAACUGUCAGUGGACACACAGAGCAAUGUGUGCAUAUGAGCAGGCACAAACAUGACAUCCAAGUGAAUAAAUUUAAAAUAUUAUAUCUGGCAAUUAAAUCAACACAAACAUGAGAAAGAAUAGAUCCAAUAAGGUAAAUCUAGACAACAAUGAUCAAAAAGCAACAAGACAAAAUUUGAGAAACAAAAGGUGAAAAUAAAAAUACCAGGCAUUUACUCCAGUAGCACCAUGGAUCAUAAAAAUUGACAGCUAAAAUAGGAUACCUGGAAAGGAAAUAUAAUACAAAUCAAAGAAGGCAUCAUUGCAAUUGCCACAUAGCAGAGAAAUAUUGUGAUCACAGAAUUGAAAAUAAAAAUUAUAAGUUGUGGUUCAGAGAAGGCUCACUUACUCGUGUGAAUAACUAUCAAAAUUAUUGGCAGUUAGCGUAUGAGAACCUUCAACAGAAUCAUCAUCAGCUUCCUCUCCAUGCUUAAGCGAAUGUAUAACAAGCAUUGAGUGGAAUUCAGAACCAGUGGGUCUUAAAUCAGGUCCUAUAGAAAAAUUGCGAAUAGUUUUUGUUAAAUUUAAUCUGUUCUAGAAACAAUGAAAAGCCAAAUAGAACUCCAUGAAAGCAUCAUGUUACACAAACAAUCCAGGUGGACGAUAAUAUACACUGAAUAUGCAAAAUGCACCCAUGAUAUCCAACAAAAGAGGCACAACUAUGUAAGCGGCAACCUACCAUUCCAAAUAAAAACAACAUAGAAAGGGCUGCUAUUAUGGAUAAUCCUGCACCAGAUAGUGAUGCCUCUGUCAAAUCCCUUGGAAUUUUCCUGCAAACAGAAAAGAAAUAAGUAACAAUAUAAACCCUGUGAUUUUAUCUAUGUGAUUUACUAAUACAAAGAUACGGGUUGGAUUUAUAAAUUACAUAGAAUCACCAACUUUCAAGUAUAAUGAGAUGGACGAAUUAUAAACAUUAUCAAACAAGUAAAAGCGAGUCGCUAACAAAGAGCAAUCAAAAUCCACUGUCACAAAUAGCAACAUGAAAGUGCAUAGUUUCAAAGCUUCGGAGUUUGUUCAAAAUUAUAAUAUUUUUAAUUCACAUACUAUUAUACUAAUAAAAGCUCGAACAUAUUUGUUGUCCCUACAGUCAAAUAUUUAAUUUCAUAUUCUUCUUAAAAUGCAUCAAAAUCCAUACAUUGUAAGUAUAAUGAAGAACAUAACUAUUAGUAUUAGAAUUUCUUAAGCAUUCAGCUGAUUCACUAAUAAUAAUAAUAAUAAAGCCUAUACAUAUAGAAGAAUACAAUCAUCAUACAGCCAAAAUCAGUGCAUUACAAGUAAUAAGUUAUAAAAGGCACAAUUACCUCUUUAGUUGCAGAUGAGUAGUUUCUCAAAGUGGAUACCACAGGGCGAAGUCUCUGGAUUAGAAACGCGUUCACAAGGAACAAUAGUCAGCAGUAAAAAAAAAAAAGGGCCAAAAUGAAUACUAUUUAGGCAUACUGAAAUAGAACCUCCUCCUGCAGCCACUUUCUACCUAAUAAACAUUAGCAAACAGAUAAAAGCGAGUCGCUAACAAAGAGCAAUCAAAAUCCACUGUCACGAAUAGCAACAUGAAAGUGCAUAGUUUCAAAGCUUCGGAGUUUGUUCAAAUUAUAAUAUUUUUAAUUCACAUACUAUUAUACUAAUAAAAGCUCGAACAUAUUUGUUGUCCCUACAGUCAAAUAUUUAAUUUCAUAUUCUUCUUAAACUGCAUCAAAAUCCAUACAUUGUAAGUAUAAUGAAGAACAUAACUAUUAGUAUUAGAAUUUCUUAAGCAUUCAGCUGAUUCACUAAUAAUAAUAAUAAAAGCCUAUACAUAUAGAAGAAUACAAUCAUCAUACAGCCAAAAUCAGUGCAUUACAAGUAAUAAGUUAUAAAAGGCACAAUUACCUUCUUAGUUGCAGAUUAGUUUCUCAAAGUGGAUACAACAGGGCGAAGUCUCUGGAUUAGAAACGCAUUCACAAGGAACAAUAGUCAGCAGUAAAAAAAAAAGGGGCAAAAUGAACACUAUUUAGGCAUACUGAAAUAGAAGAACCUCCUCCUGCAGCCACUUUCUACCUAAUAAUUCCCCAUAUCUUUAAUUGUUUCAAUUAAAAUACUGCCCUACUCACCAUAUAAACCGCCAAUAACAACACUAUAAAUAACACAAUCAGCAAACAGCCAAAAAAAAAAGGAUACAUAAUCAUAUCCUAUUUAAGUGAAUGUAAAUCGAAGUCUAUAAUUAGUUAGUAGACAAUAACAUCGUGUUUACGAUAUGCGAAUCAAAACAAAUAUUACAUAUAAUUAUUUUAAAAAAAAUUACUAACCGGCUUAUCUCAAGCAGACAUGUAAUAAAUCAUGCUUUCCAUCAAAUCAAGCAAAAUUUAUCAAAAUUAAUCAAACUACAGCUAUAGAAACAAUAAAAUCACAUUCGAAAUUAAGAGAAAAUUAGAAAAUUUUCAAAAAGAGAAAGAAAAUCGAUGAAAGAAAUAGAGCAAACACUAACAUUUGUUUCUCUGGUGUCCGCGUGUUUCAACACCUCGAACAGGGAGUUCUCAUAUAGAUUUGUGAAGCUAGUUUCUUUGACUUGCUCUUCCUCUUUCUUAUUCCUCCUCAUCUUGUUUGACUUUUUUCAUCCUUUGGUUGUCUUCGGUGGUGACCGAAGAAUCAAGACCCAUACGCUUCAUAAAGUAAAACUAGGAUGAUUUUAUUUUGUUGGGAGACUGAGAGUAAUUGUUUUGUUAAGACUGAAAAGGCUGGGUGAUUAGUUUUGUUUCAAUUUAGGGUUUCUUCAAAUGAGUGGGAAGGAUUUGGGAGAGAGGGAAGAUGAAGAGGGAAUAGUACUUUCGUCAAGGCCAAAAAAUUUCACGAGUGCUGAAUUUUAGACACCCUAAUUUUAAAAGUAAAACUACGUCGUUUGGAAUAAAAAAAAUUAAAAUUAAAAUUAAAAAUAUAUAUCUUAGUAUGAAUAAGAGUUUAUGAUACUAUAUUAUUAAUAACCACUGGCACUAAUACGUAAAACACACUAAAAGUUGCUUAGGUCAUCAAAUACUGAUAUUUUUUUAUUUAAAAUCAGCAACUUAAUAUCAGUGAAAGUCAUUUUUUUAGUAGUGUUAUUAAAAAAAAAACAUUUUCUCAUCAUCCAUUACUAAGGCCCCACUCAAUUGCUUGUCAAUUACUUCUUGAUCAACAAGUAAAUUUUUAAAAUUCUCAAUGGUUGGUUGAGUUGGACAACCUUAGAUAGUUGUAAAAAAGCUCUUAAGCUCAAGCCUCAAACCAUUGACAAUAAUUCUCUUUAUUCUAAAUUUAGAAAUUACAGUAGUAGAAUCUAACCCAGAAAUUUCAUGGCAUAGGGAUUUUAACUUGUUUAAGUACUCGUCAAUCGUCAUGUUUCAUUAUGAAAUUGAUAGUAGCUCAUUUUUCAAAAGUUGUAGCCAUAUGUUAUUCUUCUUUGAAAACUCAUUGUAGAAGUAUCCCAAUUUUUCUUAGGUAUUUUAACCUUUUUUAUGUGUUGUAGCAUUUCUUUUUCAAUUGUAGUCUUGAUGGCGAACAUGGCCUUCCAGCUAUAAUGCUUCACUUCUUUAAAGCGGCAUCCUCAGUUAGUGGUCUCAUAUUGUUACCACAAACAAUCUCCUAGAGAUCUUGACCCUGUAAGCAAGACUCCAUCAAUGUUGUCCACAUAUUGUAAUUUUCCUUGUCGAGCUUUUUAACUCUUCCAACUACUUGAAGGUCACCCGUCAUAUUUUCAAGACUUUAACAAUGCCAAGCAAGCUUGAUGUUCACUAACGAACUUGCAAAGUUCCAAACAAAGUACUCUAAUAAAGUACUCCACUUCAAAUUUGAACCCAACAGCCUUUUACUCAAUAGAUUUUGACAAGUUCAUUCAUUUAGAUUAAGAGAAAAGAAUUGAUGGUAUUGUGCCACAGGGAGGAAUCGGUUCCAAAGUCUUUUUUCCACGAUCCAAUCCCUAAGAUCAGGCAACAUAUCCUUCACCGAAAAAACAUAAUGAUCAUAUAUAAUGCCUAUUGGAAUAUGCCUCCACAUUAGCUUCGUUUUCGUUUUCAAUCUAUCAUGCAUUAGUAGCCAAAGAAAAGUACAAAUGCAUUGUGGACUGUGUCAUUGCCAAAUAUGGUAGUUUUCAGGUCUAAAAUUUUAAAGUGCGGGAAAGUCUGGGAACACUUUAAAACCAUGCGGUGGACUGUAAUAAAUAGAUAAUAUUUUUUCCAUUCAUUCCCAUGAAAAGUACAAAUGCUUUGUGGACUGUAAUCAUAAAUUAUGUAACUUCUCAGGGGUGUCUUCUGGCCAAGAUCAGAGGUGAGAGGUGUGAUAUCCACCCAGUUUAUAUGGAGGAGUUUGACAAAACUACAAUCCAAUGGAAUCACUUUACCACUUAUAAUAUGAAUGGAUCCCCUCAAAUUUUUUUUGCAUCAAAGAUGGUUGUAGCAACAAUGUCAAGGCGAAACCUUACUGCAUAUGUUGAGGUGAUGAGGAACCACAACCUCAAGGAUCCAUUUAGUGAACUCAAAUAAAGGGAGAAGCCUGCUUAGUAUUCUUUGAAUAUUUCAGUAAGCAUGCAUCUUCAAUUUCAGUUGGCAAUUUUUAUUUUAUAUAUGUUAAAUUACCACAAAACCAAAAUAUCAUCUCUAAAGUUGUUACCUUCCAUGAAUCGAAAAUGCUUUCAUGCUUGAUCAGAUUGUUUAAGUAUGCGUUCCUAAAAUAUACAAAAGUGCUCAGGAAAAUGGCACGGAAUAAUUAGUGUAUAAUAAAUUUUAUUUUUGGUAAUUUUUUAGAUGCAUAUGGUUUUAAAGUUCUCUUCAAAUAGCUGGACUUGCCAUAUACUAUAAUAUUGUUUAGUAAGGCAUUACUAUCAUAUCAUAUAUUUUGUUUAUCUAUCAUUAAUAUUUACAUUUUUAUUAUUUCAUUAAUCUUAUUUUAAUUUACUUUGUAUUCAUAGACAUAAUUUAAGAAUAUAAUAUUAUUGUUCUUAUGUUUCCGUUUUCGUAUAUAAAUUCCUGGAAGAUGCUCCAACAUCAAUUUUGUCGUUAUUGAAUAAACAAAAAAAAAAAAAAAGAUACAACAACUGAUGCUCUCAUUCACAAAGAACUAGAUAAUGUUCAGGCAUUAGAUGACUCCAGACAGCUGCAAGCUAUGAAAGAAGAAUAUGAUGUUUUGAUUAAGAAUAAUACAUGGACAUUAGUUCCAAGACAAGCUGUCAUCACGUUGCUGACAAUAAAUGGGUGUGAAGGAUCAAGUAUAACAAAGAUGGAAGUGUAGCUAAGUAUAAAUCCAAGCUUAUUGCAAAAGGAUUUUAGCAAGUGGCAGGGGUGAAUUACUUUAAAACAUUCAGUCAAGUGGUUAAAUUAGCUAUUAUUAGAGUGGUGUUGAGCCUAGGAGUGAUGAACUAAUGGAAAAUAAGACAAGUUAAUGUUAACAAUGCCUUUUUUAAUGGAGAGUUAAAUGAGGAGGUAUUCAUGUGUCAGCCGGAAAGGCUUUAUUAAUGUUGAGAAACUUGAAUUUGUGUGCAAAUUGUACAAAUGUCUAUAUAGACUCAAACAAGUUCCUAGAGCUUAAUUUGAUAAGCUAAAAAGUUGUUAAUUGCAUUAGGGUUUUAUUAAUACUAAUUUGGAUACCUCUCUUUUCAUAAGAAGAAACACUCAUUACAAGUCCAAGUACUAUAAAGUUAAAAAGUUUUAUAACUCAGUUUAGGAAAGCAUUUGCCUUAAAAGACUUAGGAAUAUUAUCUUAUUUCCUUGGAAUUAAAGUGUUGCAAGACGCACAUUGUGUAUAUUUAUCACAAAGAAAAUACAUAAGAGAUCUGUUGUCUAUAGUUGAAAUGGUUGAAUGCAAAGGCAUUGACACACUUAUGGUGUCAAUGCCUAUGUUGGCAUUGACACCCCAACAUAGGCAUUAAACCAACAUCAUAUAAAUUAGCAUUAAGUUCGAUCAAAUUCAUAUUGUCUUCAAUAAGAUUUGAAAGUAAGUGAAGUUUAACACACCAAUAGUUUUGGUGAUCUGUCUGAAACGUAAUAGACAACACCACUUAUUGGAUUUUAUUUCCUAAAAUACUUAUUGUUUAAUUUAUAAAAUAUAAACUCAUUUAUUAAAAUUAAAUAUCUUCUCAUAAAUAUAGAUAUAAAUUAUGAAAUGAUGUGGGUGUAAAUUAUUUAUUAAAACCUUAAUUUAUUUAAGUGUUUAAUUGAAAUCCCAUUUAAAAUUUUUUAAAAAUUAUUUAUUUAUAGUUAUUCAAGUAGUUUUAAUAGAAAAUGAAUUUUAUAAGAAAUUUUAAGGGAUGUCGAAAGGCUACUCUUGAAAUAAAUGACCCAAGUCCAUUUGGGCCCAUGUAUAAGGAACGAGGUCUCAGUUUAAAGGCCGGAUCGGGGUCGAGCCUCAACUCACGCUUACAUAAAAAGGAAUGAGAAAAAAUUAAAAAUAUAAAUGGAUUUCUCUAUGAUGCUGUAAUUUUUUUAUAGCAUCAAUAAUGUUUUAAUUGUGUACCAUUGGAUUAAAUCUAAUGGUAUACAAUAUUUGUACUAAAGAAAAAAAAUUAAAAAUAAUAGUAAACAGAUUGUUAACCGUUCAAGGGGUGGAUAAAUUUUGUAAAAUAAUUGUGAUCACCCUUAGAGUUUGAAGCAAUUUAACUUAAAUAGCAUAUUUUAUUUAAAAUUACUUUUCUACUCUCCUUUAAAUUUGUAUUGUGAUAAUCUUUUUUAAAAUAAAUCUUCCAAAAUCUAUUAUCAUUAAGUAUAAAAUAUAAUAUGAAGUAGGUUAUUUAACACAAAUCAAAUAAAUAAGUUGCAAUUGUAAAAUUAAUUAUAUAUAAUAUAACACUAGUAAAUAAUACAACUAAAUAAAUAUAUUUAAGUAAAUGUCAUAGGUACAUCAAUAAACUCACUGGUGAGAUUGCUUGUAAUCUAAAAAAGACUUAAUCACACAUAUUUUAAUAAAAUUUAAUAUCUUAUAUCAAAAUAUUCAUUAUUUUAUAUAAUUUUAAGGACCGUUGUAUAAUUGAUUAUGAAGUAUAUAUUAUUUUUAACACUUGUUUAACAUACCUAUUCUCUCAUCUUUUUGUUUAGGAUUUCUCUAUAAUAUUGUAUGAGUUUUUACAGCAUUGAUAAUAGGAUUGUUGUGGACUCUUAGAUGUUAGGGUUUUCAUGUUUAGUAUUCAUUUGAUAUAGUGAAUAAAAAAUUAGCUAUUUAAAUCAUAACAAGUAAUCUUCAUGCUGCAAGUAAAUAUAGAUUUUUUUAUUUUUAAUUAAUUGAUAAAAGAAAAUUUAUAUUAUGAUGGAUAAAAAUCCCAGAAUCAAUAAUGGGAUCAUUGGAUUUAAUAUUAGAAUCUUCACCCUUAAUUUAAUUUUAAUGGAUAAGUAAUUAUGUAACAAGUAAUAUGCAAGUUGUGAUAUUUCUUCAUAUUUUAAAUUAUUUUUUAUCUAAUCAAUCAAUAAAUAUUUUAAAUCAUUAAAAAAAGGAAAGAAAUACAAAUAAUUUUGGAAUUAAAAUUAUUAUAUAUUAAUCCUCUUACUUUACAAUUUUACAUUUUUAUUUUACUUUUACAUUUAGUAUUAGAAAUAUAUUUAAUAGCAUUAAAAUAAAUGUAAUUAACAAGUAAUGGUAUUUCAAUAAUACUUUAUAUAAAGUUAUUACAUAAAGUCUUAUAAUAAUUUGUAUUGUGUGAAUUUAAUUACAAACCAUUAAUACCUAAACAAUAAUGAUAAUAGAAGGCAUUGUAAUAAAAUAUUUUAUAUAUGUUUUAUUAGUAAUACUAUGAGUCACAACAAAUGAGAAAUAUUUUAUUCACCAAUGAAAAAAAAAUAUAUGGCUAUAUAAAUAUAUAGUGAGAAAUAUUUUGAUUUAAUUUUUUAACAAAAAAUUAAACUAUUAAUUUCAUGCAAUUCAAUGGUGGAGGAUAUGCCAAUAUGAAAUGCUGCUUUGAUAUGACAAUAUGAAAUGUUGCUUUGGCUUUUAAUAUUAACCAUUACACUAUAAGAAUAAGAUAUUAAUGGCUAAAAUAUUAUGUAAAAAUUUUAAGUUCAAGUAUCCCAAACCAUGUCUUUAUAAUGGAAAUAUAAAAACAUGCAAUGAAUUUUUUUCUCAUUUUGUCAUUAAAUAUUAUUGGAUGCAAUAUUUUAUUUAUUGUACUAUUACUUAUCAUAAUAAAAGUAAUGACUCUUAGUAACAUAAAAAUUUUAUAAUUACAAUCAAAGGAUGUCAAUAAAAUAAUCUUUCAUGAUUCAUAAACUAAAACUCAUUAGGAAUAUGUGUUAGAUUAAACUUUUAUGAAAUUAACAAAGUGACAUUUGAAAAUAAAAUGAAAAUAAGCUUGUGAAAGUUAAAUUUUAUAAAGCUUGAAUAAUUUUCUACCAUGUAAAUAAAAAUAUAAAAAUAAUCUUUCAUGAUUUUUUCCCUUUUUUCCACAUAAAUAUUAUUGGAGACAAUAUUUUAUUCAUUGUCACUAGUAAUUACCAUAAUAAAAGUAAUGGCUCUCAGUAACAUAAAAUUUUAUAAUUACAAUCAAAGGAUGUCAAUAAAAUAAUCUUUCAUGAUUCAUAAAAUAAAGUUAAUUAGGAAUAUAUAUUAGAUUUAACUUUUAUGAAAUUAACAAAGUGAUAUUUGAAAAUAAAAUGAAAAUAUAUAGGCUUGUAAAACUUAAAAUUUCUAUCAUGUAAGAAUAUUAAUUAUAAGAUAAACAAAAAUAAUAUAUAUUUUAUAAUCAAUUAUACAAUAGUCUUAGUAUUAUAUAAAAUAAUGAACAUUUUAAUUUGCGAUUUUAAAUUUUAUUAAAACAUGAGUGAUUAAGUAGUUUUUAAGUUACAAUCAAUCUCACCAAUUAGUUUAUUAAUGUAACUAUGACGUUUACUUAAGUAUAUGUACUUAGUUGUGUUAUUUAUUAGUAUUAUAUCAUAUAUAAAUUUUGUAAUUGCAAUUUAUUUAUUUGAUUUGUGUUAAAUAACAUACUUCAUAUUUAUUUUAUACUUAAUGGUAAUAGAUUUUGGAAGAUUUAUUUAGAAAAGAUUAUCACAAUACAAAUUUAAAGGAGAGUUGAAAAGUAAUUUUAAAUAAAAUAUGUUAUUUAAGUGAAAUUGCUUCAAACUCUAAGGGUGGUCAAUGUGAUUUUACAAAAAUUUCUCCACUCUUAAACCGUUAACAAACUGUUUACCAUUGUUUUUAUUAUUUUUUUUCUUUAGCAAAAAUAUUAUAUACCAUUAGAUUUAAUCCAAUGGUACACAAUUAAAACAUUAUUGAUGUUGUAAAAAAAAUUACAGCAUCAUAGAGGGACCUAAUAUAAAUACAUACAUAAAAUUAGUUAAAUCAUUAAUGCAUAUAUUAAAAUUAAAAAUCUGCUUACGUUUAUAGUCAAAAAUCGCUGAAGGUUCUUUGCAUGUUUUCGCUUGUGGGGCUGUGGUCAGAAACUGUGAGGGAGAAUUUCUGGGGGAUUUCUCAUGUCCAUUACAUGUUGAAACUGCUUUUGUUGCUGAACUGUUGGCUGUUAUCUUGGCGAUUGAGCAUACUUCUUUUGGAUGUUGGACUAUGCCGUGGAUCAAAUGUGAAUAUGCUUUAACUGUGCUUCAUCUUCGUAAAAAGCGGCUUCCGCCCAUGGUUUCUCAUUCAUCGAUGGAAUAAUUGUAUUGCUCUUAUGGAUUCCAUGACGUUGCACUUUUCUCGUGUCUUCAGGGAGGCUGAUGGGGUAGCUGGUUGUUUGAGCAAUUUAGGUGCCAUGGUGGAUUCCUUUACUUGGUGGGACUCUGCACCCCUCAUGUUGCUUCUCUUUUGCAUGAGGAUGCUUUUAGGCUGCCUAGCUAUCUGUUCAGCUAGCUUUUGUAAUUUUAGUUUGGCUGGUUUUCUUGCUAUAUUUUUAUUUUAUUUUAAUAAAACCUCCUCACUUUGGUGAGGAUUCAUCAAAAAACAAAAGGAAAAAAAGUUAGAACAACCUAGAUCAAGUAAAUUAUAUCGCAGGGAUUUUCGAAGAAAUUCAAGCAUUGGAAGGAUGAAAAACAAAUAUGUAGAUGAUCGAUCUCACCUUAUAUGGAAUUGCAGGCCAAGUUCAAGGAAGGAAUUUUUGAGAAAUUAUGUUCGAUAAAAUGCCCAAGAAGGAAUGCAUCCCACCUGAUGCGUUGAACAAUGAGACGAUACAUCUGUUGCUACAAUUUAUUCACAUAAGAAAUUCAAUUAAAGCAUUUGAAUGGGAAAAUUUUUUUUUCUCUUGUUGCCAGGAACCAAAACUGUUGCCACUUUACUGGUAUACUCCGGGUGUUUUCCGCUGUUUCAAUUUACUUGCUGGUAUUUUAUUUUCGUUUGCUGAAGUAUGAUUAUUUAACAGCCAGUUACUUAUUACAAUAAGAGGCUGUGGAGUCAAUUGCUUGCAUCAUGAGCAUCCCGGGAACUACGAUGUCUGCUUGAGCUUUAGAGGUGAAGACAAGACACCCGCACUGCAAGAACUUUUCAGAUCACCUCUAGUCCACUUUGAAUAAAAUUGGAAUUAAUGUAUUUAGUGAUGAAAAAGAACGUGAAAGGGGAAUAUCCAUUUCACCAGCACCGUCUAAAGUAAUUGAAGAAUCAAGAAUUUCAGUUAUUGUCUUCUUAAGAAACUGCGCUUCUUCAACUUGGUGCUUGGAUGAACUUGUUAAGACUAUUGAAUGGAAGAACACGUCAUGUUCGCCAACAAUUGGUUUUUCCAAUUUUCUAUGAUGUUGAACCAACAGUGGUAAGGAAACAUAUAGGAAGUUUUCAAGAAGCGAUUGCUAAUCAUGAAGAAGUUCUUAAAGGAGAAUAUAGAAAGGGUGCAAAAAUGGAGAGGCGCUCUGCAAGAGGUGGCUAAUAUCUUUGGCUAGGAAUUGAAAGAUAGGUAAUCAUUCUUAUUCUCAAUGAUUAAUUUUCUAAGAUGUGGAACAACUAAUUUUUGUUUGUUCUGCAUGAAUCAUAAUAAGUGAGAAGAUGUCUGGAUUUCUCCACUAUUAAAAAACUGCCAAUAUUUAUUCAGUAUAUUUAUUUACUAGUUUCAUGUUCAGUGUGUGCAUGCGCAUGUGUAUAUUUGUAUCAACAAUAAGAUUGCAACGACCAACUUGCCUACAAUUUUCCAAUAAACUUUACAUGACAAGAUUUUAUACUAUGUUGUUGGGUGAAUGAUGUGGUAGAGCAGAGGGAUUCUAGAACUUAUCAAGUUUUUAGGCAUUCGAACAGGGAGAGACAGUAGAAUAAAUGUAUAAGAAUUUGUUAAAAUCAUAGGAUUUAAUUGAAAUAAUAACUUGAUCAAUGAAUAUCUACAUACGAAGAGUUAUAGACGAAAUUAGAGAAGAGUUACAUGAAGAAUAACCUAGAGAUUAAUCAAACACAAGUUAUGACUUUAUCACUUCCGUUUUGUAUAUAUAUAUUAUGUAAUUUUUUGACACUACGUUACGCUCACACUAGCUUUAGCUCACCAACACAAAUAUUUUCUUGUUCUAUUCAACCCGCAUGAAUGAAUCAGACUUUAUUAUGGAGAUUUUCAAUGAGAUACCAAGCAAAAUUCCUUUAAAAUCAUAGACUCUUAAGGAGCUAGUAGGAAUGGAUUCACACUUGGAGAAGCUAACGAUUCUAAUGGAUAAAGGGCCUAAUGAUGUUCGUAUGAUAGGGAUCUGUGAUAUGGGAGGUAUAGGUAAGGCAGCUCUUGCAAAGGUUGUUUAUAACUUGAUCUAUCAUGAAUUUGAAGUAAGUAGUUUUCUUGCCAACGUUAGAUAAACCUCAGAAAAAGGAGGUCAGAUUUCCUAACAAAAUGGAAUUUAUAUAAUGUUAUCAACAUAAUUGGAAGUGGGUGCGACACAAAAAUGUUAGCUAGAAAGUUCAGGCAGCAGGAUCAUCAUAACAUCCAGAGAUAAACAUCGUUGACAACACAUAGAGUGGACGAAUUGUUGGUCCUUAAGCAACUAUACUAUGAUGAAGCUCUUGGACUCCUUUGUAUAAAAGCCAAUAAGCUAGGGAAAGGAUAUAAGUAACUGUCGAAAAGUGUUGUAAACCAAUAAGCUAAGUUGUAAGAACAUUAGCUGAACAACAGCAGCAAAUUGUGGAACGUAACAAAUGUACAUCACGUGUUGACAAAAAACACGGUAAGUGACAAAGUGCAAUGCAUGUGUUUUGAGUUCAUGAUUCUAAAACUCAAGAAAUGAAGUAUAAAAUUGCUAUCAUUAUAUAAUGCAAAGUAAAACAUAUUCUGUAAUGCAGCCUACAUUUUAUUCAUUUUUUUAUGAUACACGUACAAAAUGUUUUCCUUUGCCCAAGCUAUCAAUUGCACAAUGUAGGCUUUCAAGGAGAUCCUUUGGUCCACAUUUGGUUAAUUCAAUCUUUGAUCCGAAGGAAACGACUUUGUGCCCUGAGAAAGGUAAGUGACAAAAUGUUUUGCUCGACAUUCUAUGCUUUAAAUCUAUGCAUAAAUAAUUUUAUGGACAUCUUCACAUCUUAGUCUGCACUUAUCAUCUGCUUUUAUGAUUUUUAAGGAACUGAGUAGUCGAAUGCAUGGUAUGUGACUUUUCAGAACUUAAGGUUCAUUCUAUGGACAUCUUCACAUCCUUUUCAGAACUUAAGGUUAUUUUUUAUUAAAUCUCCAAAAACACUGGUACUUUCUGGUUGCUCAAAGUUGAAGAAAUUUCCAGAGAUUGUGGGAAAUAUGAAGUUUUUGCGGGAGCUUCUUUUGGAUGGAACUGAUAUUAAGGGACUACUAUUAUCAAUUGUACGUUUAUUUGGAAUUGUUCAGUUGAAUUUGAAAGGUUGUAAAAAUAUUUAGUGUCUUCCAAAUUUUAUAAGUGCUCUAAAAUUUCCUUCCACUUUGAAUUUCUCUGGCCUUUUGAAAUUCAGAUUGUUUCUAGAGAUCAUGGGACGUAUGGAACAUAUGUUGGCACUUCGAUUGUUGGGAACUGCUAUAAGAGGAUUGCCAAUGUCAAUUGAAUAUCUCUCUGGCAUUUUUUGCAAAAUUUAAAAGGUUGUAAAUAUCUCUUGAGUCUUCCAAUUACUAUAAGUAGAUUAAAAUGUUUAAGAACUCUAAUGCUCUCUGGUUGCUCGAAGCUGGAAAAUUUUUGGGGAAGUAUGAAAUCUCUAACUAUGCUAAUUUUAGAUGGAACUGCUAUUCGAGAAUUUCCAUUGUCAGUUGAAUAUCUAACUGGCCUUGUUGUGUUGAAUUUUAAAGAUUGGCAAAAUCUCGAAUGUCUUUCAAGUCCCAUCAGUGGUUUGAAAUAUCUUAAAAUUCUGAAUCUCUCUGGCUGCUCCAAACUUGAAAAUGUGCCAGAGAACUUGGGGAAAGUAGAUAGCUUGAAAGAGCUUGAUAAUAGUGGAACAACAAUUAGGCAACUUCCGACGUCUGUUUCUAUCUUGAAGAAUCUUAAAGCAGUGGACCACAAUCAUCUACAUCAUGGGAUUUGUGCUUCCCAACCAAUAUGAUGUGAAGGAGAUCAGAUCCUAUGACUAAUUUGAUGUUACCUUCUCUAUCAGGCUUAUGUUCUUUAACAAAAUGGGAUCUCAGAGACUGUAAUCUACCAGUGGAAGGAGGAGAAAUCCCAAGUGAUAUUUGCCACAUAUGCCUAUUGCUCAAAAUGAACCAAAAUCUAAUUCCCAUACCAGAUGCAAUGUUGGCUGAAUAAUAAAUGAUAGUAUGAACUGUUGUUUCUUUGCAUACGAUCUCUCGGUUACUCCUAGAGGACUCGUGUACGACGUCCGGCUCAAGUCGUCUAAACUUAGUAAGUGAGUGCACGCGUUGGUCACGUGCACUCACUUAUACACAAUGAUCAAACGACCCGAAAAUACUGUCGUUUUUAAGAGCAUUAGUGUCAGUAUGUAGCUGUUAAAUCGGUUAGAAAGGGCGGGAAAUUAUUACAAACCCAUAACAAGCUGAUGACCGAUGACGUAUAUUGUAUGAUGUCCAUUCCGUAGCUUGCAAUUUUCUCUCUAAGUUUGUAAGUUGUUCUGAGAAAACAAAUAAAGCUUGCCAAAGAAGGCAUAGGCCACUGUAGCUAAACAUCUCUAGAUAUUGUGUUUAUGUUUUGAUUUUUUUUUUUCUGUUUGAGCGAAGCCGUACUGAUGAUGAAGAACCUCAAGCUACAAGGAUUUAGGAAAUCUAAUAAAGAGUAAAGCCUUUUUAUACUCAUGCUUUGUAUUAUGUUCAUGUUUCACUAUUACCUAAUUGAAAUUGCAUUCCAACUUGGAUUUUCAAUUUCUUGACAAACUAUAUAUUCAUUUGAAUUAUGUAAUAUAAAGAUUUUCGUAUCACUAGUUUGUGCUUAUUGGUUAAAAUUCUUUCAUUCUAAUAUAUCAAUUAUAAUAGGCAAAAUGACGUCUACACCCCCUAAAUUUUAGGAAAUGAUCACCAAUACCCUCAAAUUUUUUGAAAAAGACACCAAAACCCUUUAAAAAAUUAAAUUUGAAAUUUUUAAUAAAUAAAAAUAUUAUAUAAAUAAUGUAAUCUAUGCAAUAGACUAAGAAUAUUAAAAUUAUUUAAUAUUUUAAUAAAUUUAAAUAUGUAAAUUGUUAUAUUUAUUUAAUAAUAUAUUUUUAUUUAUUUUAGAUAUUUUAAAUAAAUAUUUGCAUUAAAUAUAUUUUACAAUAAAAAAAAAUAUCACAUGCUAAUGUUAUUAUUAUUUUACAUAAUAUUGAAAAUAAUUUAAAUUUUAAUACACUUUUUUUAACAUUAUGAUUCUAUUUAUUAUAAAAUUUAAAUAUAUAUACUAAAAUAUAUCUAAUAGAUUGUAAAAUAUUAAAAUAUUUUUGAAGUAUUGAAAUUAUUUUACAAUGUAUACAUUAUUACACUUAUUUUAAUGUUAUAUUUCUAUUUAUUAUAAAACGUUAGUGUUGAUUCUUUUUGGGAUAAUAGAGGUUAAAGGGUACUAUCGCUAAAAGAAGGUCUUGGUGUUCCAUUUUGAAAAUUUGAGGGUGUUGGUGAUUAUUUUCUUAAACUUUGGGGGUGUAGAUGUCAUUUUCCCAUUAUAAUAUCUUUUUUUGGCUAUUAUACCUUUUAAUUUUAGUAAUAUUAAAAUUGAUUUUAAAUUUUAAAAUAAAUACAAAUAUAAUAUAAGAAUAAAUAAACAAAAAAAAGUAAUUUUUAUUUUGGAAUUCCAAAUAUCUUGUUUUCAACAUAAGAAGUAUAGUAUCUCAACUAGAUCCUAAAAUAAAAAUUACAGAGAGGAAAUCAGAUUGCUAUUAUUAGACUAUAUAGGGUGCGUUUGAGAUUGAGGUUGAGCAGCUGUAGCUUUUAAGCUAUGUUGAUAUGAUUUUUCACUUGUAUAAUAUAAAAUUUAUUAUAUCUUUAAUAAUUUUAUCAAAAUUAUUAUUUAAAAUUUAUAUUUACUAUAUAUUAUUAACUUUUGUUUCAUAAUUACAUCUUUUUUUUCACAGCAGCUAUAGCUUAAAAGCUACAGCACCUCAAUCCCAAACGCACCCAUAAUAAUAAAAAUUAAUUUUUAUUUUGGAUUUAUUUAAAAGUAAUUGAUCACAAAAUAAAAAAAAAUUAAAACAAUUGACCCAGGGCCAGCUUCGUUCGUCCUUUUAUAGAGAAUUGCAGGUAAAAAUCAUGCCCAGAACACGUUUGAUAAAAUACCCAAUUGGAGGAAUGCAUCCACCGGGUAUGUUGAAGAGCAACGACAUGAUGUAUCUGUUGCUGUAACUUUGUGAUUUCCUAAGCAAUCAGAAUCAAACAGUCAACAACUUUAUGAUUUCCCAGUUAAUCAACAAAGUCAAUUAUGCUGCCACUUUAUGAUUUCCCAGUUAAUCAACAAAGUCAAUUAUGCUGCAACUUUAUGAUACAUCUAUUGCCACAAUUUUUUUUCACGUAGAAAAUUCAAUAAAAUUAAUUUAAUAAUGUACAGGCUCAAACUUGUUGCCGCUUUGCUUGUAGUGCGGGUUUUGGGCUCCUUCAAAUUGCUGGUUGAUUAUGAUUAUUUGGGAGCCAAGCUUUUAAGUCCAAAUAAAUUUUUUAGGAACUUAAACAAGAGGCUUUGGAAUCAAUUUCUUGCAACAUGAGCAUCCUGCAGGGAGUUCCUCCAUAAAACAUUUGUAUGUUGGUUUGGAUCAAAAGGGAGUCGCUGUAUUUAGGGACGACGAAGAACUCGAGAGAGGAAAAGUAAUUUCACCAGGACUACUUACAGUAAUUGAAGAAUCAAGAAUUUUAAUAACUGUUUUCUCAAGAAACUAUGCGUCUUCCACUUUGUGCUUGAAGAACCAAGAAUUUCAAUAAUAUCUUUUAUAAAUAUCAAAGUGAGGAAACAACUAAAUCAUCUUAAAAAGAAAGAAAUCAUAAUUUAUACUUAUUAAAAACAAUUAGAUCAAAUCUCUUCAUUGGCAGCUAACAACAUCAAUUCCAUAUUCAAGUCAGCAAGUUUGGAAAGGUCCAUCCGUUGCUUGGAUUGCUGAAUCGCUCUUUUGGAUAAAUUUUCCGUGCUUUUAAUGAAAGAAAAUUAGAAAAGAAAAUUAUAGAGAUUGAACAAUUAGCAACAUACAAAAAGUUAAAAUUACUAACAAAUGAGCAAUUAUACUUUUCCAGCAAGUGAUUUGUGGUUAGCACUUUAAGCAGCAGCUACAAUCACAAAUAAAAACACAGUUUUUCUAAUCACUCAAUCCGUCAAUAUUAGAGGAGAUUCUGUUCUCUUCUUUGCUGAUUUUGAUUAUAUAUGUACAGUUUUUUUGGUACUUGUUGAGUUGUAACUCAAUGUAAGUACGUCGGUCAUUUUAAUCGGUUUUGUUGGCUUUCUCUCUUCCACAGUACUUUUUCUCUGAAAAAGUAUAGGAAUGAAAGAUGACUUAAGCCCCCGUGGCUUUCUCAAUCACCCACUAGUUGGGUGUUCUCUACAAUAUUAUUUAUGCAACAAAUUUAAUUUCGGUGGUUAGAAAUUUGGUGAGAAGUCUUAUUCAUAGAAUCACAGCAUCUAAUGGAUGCUGAGGAAUUAUUACGCAAGUGUCAGGUGAGUGUUUCAAAAGAAGAGGAGGCAGACAUGGUAACAUUCAUGGGGCGGAUGAAGAUAAAGGGAGAGGAGGUAGCUGCAAAUUGUGUAGUAGGCAAAGUGCUAACAUCAAGAAGUAUAAACAAGGAGGGCUUGAAAGCUGCAAUGCAAAUGGCUUGGAGAACUGUCAAAGAGGUUAAAAUAGAAAGUAUGGGGGAUAAUAUUUUCCUGUUCAAGUUCGCCUCUGAAGAAGAAAAGAAAAGGGUGCUCAUGGGAGGGUCGUGGCAUUUCGACAGAGCAUUGAUAGUUUUGACCGAACCAACAGGGAUUGGAGAUAUCAAAAAUCAAUCUUUUACACAUGCCACAUUUUGGGUUCAGCUUCAUAACAUACCAAUAAUGUGUAGAAACAAGGAGGCCAUCCAACAGCUGGGAGAAAAAAUUGGUACAGUCAAGGAAGUGGAGACAGACGAAGUUGGGGAAUGUAUUGGGCAGUUUGCUAGAGCCAGGAUAUCCAUUGAUAUUUCACAGCCUCUAAAAAAGAUUGUAUUCCUACAACAAGCGGAUGGCAAAACUCCAAUGCCAAUUUUGUAUGAAAACUUCCGGAUUUUUGCUUUUGUUGUGCGCAUAUCGGUCACCAGUACAGGGAAUGCUUGAGAUACAAAGGACAACAAAAGGAGGACUUGCCUUAUGGUGGUUGGAUGCGAGCUGUUACACAAGCUGACAGGAUAAAGCAAAAACGUAGUAGGUAGAAAGGCAAUCGAGAGCAAUCCAAUCCCAAAGAAAAUGUGCAAGCAACAACCAAUCCAAGCUCAAACAACCCGAUUGAUCAAGACAGGUCAAAAUUGAACAAUUCGGAUCGGGAAAUCAGAGAUGGAGCAGAACCAGAGGAUACAAGAAACCUGCUGAUAUCUGACAAAGCACAUUUAAUGUUGACCUCUUCAGAGACGAAAAAUCAGCAAGUGGGGAGUCAGAGUAUGGGCUGUGACAUCGACGAGGUGCAGAAUAGGGUGGCAAGUAAUGAUAGCCACUAUAGCUAUGAAAGUACAAAGGCAGGAGAAAAGAUUUUGAAGGAGAACGAAAAUCCUGUGGAUAAAACAGGAUUGGAAAUAAUAAAAGAUAAAAGGAAGCAGAUUGAAGAGAGUGCCAGAUCUGAUGUGGAAGAAAUGGAUAGUGGGCCAAGCAAGACCAACGCGAAGCCCAAAGCGAGAAAAUGGAAACUUAAGGCAAGAAUUCCAAUAGCAAAAGGAGCGAAGAAUUAUGGGUUAAUAGGAGCAAAAAGACCUAGCAGUGAUGACCAUCAGCUCAGCCCACAACACAAAAAAAUAAGAGUGCUCAGUCCACCAAAACAAUCACACGUGGGAAACCACACAAGCUUAGCAAUAAACUCAGACUACAGCAACCACAUUAGCUCAAACAGAACAGCCCGGCAGCUACAAAUAACAGAAGAGAUAUCAGAUGAAGGGGAAUAUGUGGCAGCUAUGGAAGAAGAAGUAUCGGCGGGUGUUGAAUUUCAAGCCCGCCGACAACCAUGAAACUCUUAAGUUGGAACGUUCGAGGUCUGGGGAAGCCUCGAACGCGCUUAGCUUUCAAAAAAAUUCUCCACCUGCACCGGCCUCAAAUUUUCUUCUGUUGUGAAACCAAGAUGUUGGCUAGGCAGGUUGAAUCGAUUUGUAGAGAUUUUAACUUCGAGAAUUGUUUUGCAGUAGAUAGAACGGGCAUGGGGGGAGGUCUAGCUUUGUUUUGGAGUGCAAAUGUUAAUGUUCGCAUUACCUCAUACAGCCCACAUCAUAUAGAUGCAAUAGUGAGUAGUGAAAGUGGUUUGAGGUGGAGAUGCACCGGGAUCUACGGCCAUCCUGAGUUCAGCCAGAAGCAUAAUACUUGGACUCUCAUGAAAAGGUUAGCCAGCCUAUUUUCCUAUCCUUGGUGCUGUUUUGGUGAUUUCAAUGAGAUAAUGCAUAUGCAUGAGAAAACCAGGGGCAAUGAGAGAAACCUGAAUAGGGUUGCCGAGUUUAGGGAAGCUGUGCAAAGCUGCAAUUUGCAGGAUAUGGGGUGUAAGGGAUAUCCCUAUACGUGGUCAAACAAAAGAUACGGAGAUCAUUUCAUUGAGGAGAGAUUGGACCGAUUUCUGUGUAGUAAAGAUUGGGGGAUUAAUUUCCAAGAAUCUGUAGGCACAGAUCUAGUGAACUGGUCUUCGGACCACUGCCCAAUUAUUCUAGAAUUCUAUGAGCGAAGCAUAAAAUUGAGAAAUGCGGGCAAAUCAUUCCCCCGAGAUUAUUAUGAGGAUAUGUGGAGCUCCCACGAAGGCUGUAAGAGUAUAGUCCAGGAAGAGUGGAGUCGGUAUGGGGCUAGAGCUUGGGAAUCCCCUGUUCAGCAAUUUCAGCGAAUAGCCAAAUCUUCCUUGGCCCAGCUAAAACUUUGGAGCAAAACCGAAUUUAAUGGUAGGCAAAGAAAGCAAGAAAAGCUGAUACAGAGCCUCCAGGAUGCUAUGAGAGGGAAUUCAAAGCUGGAUGAUGGCCAGGAAAUUAGGAGAUUGGAAAGUCAGAUUAACUCUAUGCUAGUUGAUGAGGAGAUUUACUGGAAACAGAGUUCGAGGGCUGACUGGCUUAGAGAAGGGGAUAAGAACACGAAGUAUUUUCACGCCAAAGCAUCUGCCCGCAAAAGGAAGAACAAGGUGUGGGGGAUUGAAAACGACCAAGGCAUUUGGUUGAAGGAAAGGGAUGAAAUAGAGGAGGAGAUUUGCAGCCAUUUCCAAGAGCUAUUCACUACUUCCGGCCCGACUCCAAGCCAAAUCCAAGCAACCCUUUAAGGCAUGCCUGCUAAAGUAACUCCGGAGAUGAAUGUUCAGCUGGAGACGCUGUUCACCGCUGAAGACGUUGAGGAAGCCCUUGCCAACAUGUGUUCCACAAAGGCCCCAGGGCCUGAUGGUCUUCCAGCUGCCUUCUUCCAGAAGCAUUGGAAAUCUGUCCGUAUCGGAGUGAUCUCAACGUGCCUUAAUGUCCUUAAUGAGCAAGGUAACCCAUCUACCCUCAAUCACACUUUCAUUGCUUUGAUUCCAAAAAUUGCAAAUCCUAGGAAAGUGAGUGAUUAUAGACCUAUCAGCCUCUGUAAUGUUAUUUAUAGAGUUGUAGCUAAGGCCAUUGCAAAUAGAAUGAAGCCGAUCCUUUCCCAAAUCAUCUCCCCUAUGCAAAGUGCAUUCAUCCCCAAUAGGCUCAUUACCGACAAUGUUAUUAUUGGUUAUGAAUGCCUUCAUAAAAUAAGGCAUAGCAAAGGGAAGAAGAACGGACUUGUGGCUUUAAAAUUGGACAUAAGUAAGGCUUAUGAUAGAGUUGAGUAGCCUUUUUUGGAACAAACUAUGCUAAAGAUGGGGUUUCCUAGUAAUUGGGUAGCUUUGAUAAUGAGAUGUGUUACUUCCACUUCAUUCUCGGUGCUUAUUAAUGGUGUGCCAAAAGGAAUGAUCCAGCCGGAAAGAGGCUUGCGACAGGGCUGCCCGCUAUCCCCGUACCUUUUUAUCCUUUGUGCAGAGGCUCUCUCCAAUUUGUUGGUUUUGACAGAACAGAACCAGCUAAUCCGAGGUCUCAAAUUUGCGCGGGAAGUUUCAAUUACUCACUUGCUGUUUGCGGACAACAGCUUGGUUUUCUCUCGUGCAUCAGUGGCUGAAUGCAGGCAUUUAAAAGAAAUUUUUGAUAAAUAUGCUGCAGCAUCAGGGCAGAUUUUUAAUUUCUAGAAAUCCUCAUUAUUUUUCAGUGGGAAAAUUCCAGAGCAUCAAAGGGCUGCUAUAAGGGGUAUAUUUAAUCUAAAUGUGGUCUCAAAGGACGAGAAAUAUCUCGGUCUUCCAUCAAUGCUUGGGAGAAAGAAGAUGGGGUUCUUUAAUGACAUCAAACUAAAAGUGUUGAACAAGAUUGCAGGAUGGCAGCAUAAAAUAUUGUCUAGUGGGGGGAAGGAAGUUCUGAUCAAAGCGGCUGCCCAAGCAAUUCCAGCAUAUGCAAUGAGUGUUUUCAAGCUCCCAAGAGGCUUUUGUGAUGAUAUUCAGCGAGCUAUAGCGAAGUUCUGGUGGGGCUCGAAAGGGGAUAAGCGUGGAAUCCAUUGGCGGAAAUGGGAGAAGCUCAGCCAGGCAAAGAUUAGAGGGGGGUUGGGAUUUCGAGAGUUUACUUGCUUCAAUCAAGCAUUGGUAGCUAAGCAAGCAUGGAGGUUACUGCAGUACCCAAAUUCGCUAGUCUCAAGAGUCCUUCAAGCAAGAUAUUUAAGGAAUUCCAGCUUUUUAUGUGCGAAGGCAGGAGCCAAUGCCUCGUAUAUUUGGAGAAGCAUCAUGUGGGGUAGGCAGGUGAUUAAGAAGGGUAUGAGAUGGCAGAUAGGUAAUAGCAAGAAGAUAGCAAUCUUCUUGGAUAACUGGCUGCCAAGACCAGAGACCUUUAGACCUAUCUUCCCUCCAUCAUUGCCUGUAAGCUCAGUUGUUGCAGACUUAAUUAAGGCUGAUAAUCAAUGGGAUGAAAUAAAGCUUCGACAACACUUCAUGGAUGCAGACACAGCAAAGAUCCUCAAGAUUUCCCUCCCAGCUGAGAAAGCAGAAGAUGAAGUGCUUUGGCAUUACGACAAAAGAGGGAACUACUCUGUCAAGAGUGGGUACCAGCUAGCCUUGAGAUCAAAAUUUCCAGAUUCCACCAGCUGCACAUAGGCUUCCAUCAAGUAUUGGAGUGCCCUUUGGACAUUGGAGCUGCCUGAGAAGCUUAAAAUUUUCAUGUGGAGGGCUUCAAAUAAUCUGCUUCCAUCAGCGGAAAAUCUGUGGAAAAGGAAGGUAGUGGAGGAGCCAACUUGUAAGCGAUGCAAAAUAAGUGUUGAGACUAUCAGCCAUGCUCUCUUGGAGUGCAAGGCAGCGAGAAAGAUUUGGCUCCAAUCCCCCUUUUCAGCCCCUAGCUUAGAAGCUAAUUCUCAGGAGAUUUUCAGCACUCUGCAAAAUAUGGCUAAGGAGCUGAGGAAAUCAGAUCUGGAAUUAAUGGUAGCUCUAUGUUGGUCUGCCUGGUAUGCUAGGAACAAAUGUAUCUUCGAUGGCAGGGAGAUUAAUCCUCUUAUCUCAGCUGCUAAAGCGGAGUCAGUAUUGACAGCAUUUCAGAGAGCUAGGAAGCCCCAGCAAGCUCACAUCUCUAUCUUCAGAAAAGCGAAGCAGCAGGAGUGGCUCCCCCCCCCCUCCCCCGGAGAAUUUUUUAAAGUUAACGUGGAUGCUGCUAUUACUUCAAAGAAUCUGAGUGCAGGAGUGGGAGCUGUGAUUAGAGACUCUAAUGGAAAAAUAGUUGCGGCUGGGGUAAAUCAGAACCUCCUAAAGGGGUUAGUUAGCUUGGCUGAAGCAGAGGCGGUGCUUUGGGGCCUUCAGCUGGCAAGAAGUGCGGAUGUAUCCUCUUUGAUUAUUGAGUCUGAUUGUUUAGAGGUGGUCCAGCUAGUGAACAACACCAAGGGCAGCAGAUCAGAUAUUUUUUGGACAAUUCUGGCAAUCUAAAACCAGAUGAAGAACUUCCAGAAUGUUGUUGUCAAUCACAUUCCAAGACAUUGUAAUGCUUGUGCCCAUUACCUAGCUAAGAUAGCUUUGGGGAAAAUCUCUCCCUGUAUGUGGCUGGGAAAUAUUCAGCUGAAUUGUAUGGUAUUCUCAAGGUGUUGUGAUUAAUGAAAGGCUUACUUUCUUUUCAAAAAAAAAAAACUCAAUGUAAGUACACAUUUUUUUCCCCAACAACACAAAAAAACAAUUGCUUCUUCAACUUCUUCUGUUAUCCAUAUGCUAAAAAAAAAAAAAUAAGAACAUUGAAGAAAGAAGGCAUUUAUAUUGUCAUUAAAAGGAGGUUUUCCACUUGUGAUUUCCUUCCAGCCAUUAACGUAAUCCGACAUUCGAUCAUUCCAUUGCAUGACUCGUGAAGAACGGUAGGCUCUUGAAUGCUUUUAUUUUCUUUCAAUUUAAGAGGCAUUUACUUAUAAAAAUCCUAUGCUUUUCCUUAAAACAAAUAUAUUUUCCUAAUUAACUAAAGUUCUCUUAAAGCAAAGUACUUCAUUGGAAUUCAUCUACUUACAAAAAUCCUCUCUAUUUAAGAUUUGCUCAGGUACACUCUCCCAUCAGAUUUAGAAAGUCAAAUUUUCUGAUAUAUUUUAAAAUUUGCAGUAUGAUAUUUUAUUUUCUUUAAAGAAAGGAUAACAUAAAAUUGUGUAAGAUCAAUUAAAGUAGAAAUUUGAUUCAUGCGUAACUAUAACUUAAGUGAUCACAUAAUAGUUGACUUCUUUUUACAAUUUCGACAUGCUUAUUUCAUUUUUUGUGUAGUUUUUAUUUUGUUUUAUUUUAUUUUUACUAUUAUACUCUUGACUAUAGUAAGCCGAAAGUUGAUAUUAUAUUUUAAAAUAAAUAUAAAUAUAUUAUAUUAUUAAAUAAAUAAACUAAAUAUAUUAUAUUUUAAAAAUAAAAAUAAAUUUAUUAUUAAUAUAAAUAAUAUAAAAUUAUUAUUCUUGAUUAUUUUAUUUUUACUAUUCCCUGACUUUAUCACCGAGCGCGCAUCUCAAAUUCAAAUGUUAUUUUGCACAUGAUAAUUCAUUUACAUUCCAUUUAUUCAAAAAUCUGUUAUAAAUCAGUUAAGGGUUAGUGACGUGGCAUUGGUGUCCAUGUUUGUUAACCGUGGUUAGCACUUCAGCAGCAGCUACAAAAUAAACACAGGGUCUGAUUUAUUGUCAAUCUUUAAUGUGUCCGUUUGUCGGGUAGAGCGACGAGUUAAGAGAGUGUUUAUUGAGCUCACGCUCUUCCUUGUCAUUUCCUCUGUGAAUUUUUAUGGGUUUAAAUACUUGAACCUCGGAAUUGAGGCUACAAUGUUUAGUGCACAUAUGUUGAAUAUGAAUAUGAUCGAUCUCAGCUUGAUUUGGGCCCAGAACAAACGAUAAAUAGACAAAGGAAUGAUUAUAUGGAAUUCGCAGGCCAGGUUCAAGAGAGGAGUUGUUGAGGAAUUAUGGUAUAAUUCUCGUGCCUAGGACGUGUUCGAUAAUAUGCCUACGAAGGAAUGUGCAUCCCACCUGAUGUGUUGCAUCAACUCUAUGGUUUCCCACGCAAAAGCAAUCAAUCAACAAGGUCAAUUCGUGAAGGUUUGUCCUGCGUGAGUCAUAGCUAGUGAGCAGAUUCUGAGAGUCUUUAGUCUUUAACAGAAUUUUACCACAAACACAGUGCAAACCCAGUGUUUAUCUAAUCAAUUAUUUUCUUUUUCUAGCGGCUAACCUUUUUGCAAAUUUCUAAAUAGAAAUAUACAUGACAGAAUUUUCAUUAUUUGUUGUUUCAUGAAUGAUGUGGUAGAAUGAAGGAAUUGUAGAAUUUCUUGAGUUUUAGACAUAAAACAGAGUCAGGCCAUGGAAUGAAUGAAAAAAAUAUCAUCACAUUUGUUGGAAUGAUGCUGUGCUUUAUUCAAAAUUAUUUCUUCCACUAGAGAAGCAAUCAAUAAUAGUGUUAAUUCUUGAACCUGUGAAAAGCAAUUAAUUUUCUCCAUUUGUUUACUAGCAAUCUUCCAUAACCAUUGUGCUUGGCUGUGAAAUAGCCUAUUUGUGGCUGAACAUAGAAUCUGUUUUUUGUUUCUUUGUUGCUUUUUGUGAUCUUUGGCUUAAUUUACAAUUCAUGGCAUGUCUGAAAAUGGGUCGAUGAAUAUGUUAAAUAUGGACUCAGAUCUAGAUCAGAUUUAUCCAUGAAACAAUCAAGAGGAUUCAACAUUUGAUUUUUGUUUUUCUUUUCUCCACCCCCAUGUUUAAUUUUGGUCGGAGGACUUGGUUGAUAGGAAUUGACAACAAUUGAUUUUCCUUUUUUUCGUUAAACAAGAGACCACAAUGUCAAUUUGAAGACUUUGUUGAUAAGAAUUGACAACUGUUGGUUCUUAUUAUUUGUUUUUGUUUAAUAGAAGAUGCCUUGGAAUUCCGCAUCGUUGACAUGUAGUUGAUAUUUAAAACAUUUUGAUGUUAGAGCUUAGAAUGUUUGCUGUUGGAAUUCUUAUUAAGAAAAUUACUAUGCUGCUUGCAACAUAAUCAAAGUUGUAAGUUUUAUGCCCUGCAGUUCUCUUUAUUUUCAAUUAUGUUUUUGAAUUUUCAGAAUAAAUAUGAAGAAAAAGAUCAUUAAUUUCCAAAGCAGAGAAGAAAAUAUUUUCAGAAUUAUACUACAAUGACUAUAGGGAGAUCCUGAAAAUGAGAUUCUUGAUGUUCAUCAAAUAAGUUUUGAUGGGUCAAAAGAAACAGAGAAGAAAAUAUUUCUCGAUCUUGCAUGUUUCUAUGAAGGGAAGCACAGAGAUUAUGUGAAAACAAUUCUCAAAUAUUGUGAUUUUGACCCAAUUAUCGAAAUUGUUGGUCCUAUUGACAAAUCUCUAUUAACUGUAGAUGAUUUCGGCGGACUGUGGAUGCAUGAGUAGUUACAAGAAAUAGGGUAGACAAAUUGUUAGGAGGCAAUCCCAUCAGGAGCCUGGAAACUGCAAUAGAUUGUGGGAAAAAGCCGAUAUAUGCCAUGUAUUAUCACAAAGCACAAGUAGAGAUGGCAAAACCCCGGGCCGGGUCCGGGUAUUGCCAUGACCGGACCCUGCCCGGAUGCAACCGGUCCGGGUCCGGGUCUGGGCCGGGUUUUAUCCGGGUACCCGAAUUUUAUGUUUUUUAAUAUUUUAUGUGUAUAUAUUUUUAAUUUUUUGGUAAUUUUAUAAGUUUUAAAUUUAUUUUAAUAAAAUUUGACAUGAAAAUAUAAACUUUAAGUGUUUAAAACUUUAUAUAUGUAUAAUAAAUGAUUCAAAUAAAUAUAAAAUAUUUAAAAUAAUAUAUAUUUUAUAAUUUUUUUUAAUAAAAUCCGGGUUCCGGGUUUAUCAAGUGAUGCCCAAGACCGACCCGGCUUCAUACCCGGGCCGGGUAUUACCCGGCCCGCAACGCCCGGGUACGGUCCGGGUCCGGACCGGGCGGGUAUUUUUGCCAUCUCUAAGCACAAGUAAAUGUUCAGUUAGGUUGAAAACUUGCAAUUUUGGGAUCAUGAUCACUUAUUUAACUAGUUAAACCUUUGCAUAGUUUUAUCAAUAUUUUCUUUCUUUCAUUUUUUUUUUUUUGGUUCCCACUUAUUUUUUGUUAUAAUGUUUAGGAAACUGAUGUAGUUGAAGCAUCAUAUUUGAUUAACAACAAUGAGAUGCAUGUCAGUGCUAAAGCCUUUUCUAAUAUGACCAAUCAGACUUCACAAGAGUACCAAAUUUAGGGGAGCUGAUUUCUGAAAGAUUUACAAGGUUGCAGGAGAUUCACUCAUUUUUUCUGCUUCAAAGAAGCUGAUUCUGUUGAAUUUGAAAGGUUGUACAAGUCUUUCAACUCUUCCAGGCAAGAUCUUUAUGAAAUCUGAUUAAGACACUUGUUCUUUCUGGUUGCUUGAAGUUGAAGAAAUUUCCAGACAUUGUGCAAGUUCUUCCGGAUGGAACUGAUAUUAGAGAACUGUCAUUAGCAAUUGAACUUCUAUUUGGACUUGUUUAGUUGACUCUGAAUGGCUGCAAAAAUCUUGAGCAUCUUCCAAGGACCGUAAGAGCUCUGAAAUAUCUAUCAACUUUGAAUCUUUCCGGCCUUUUGAAAUUCAGAUAGUUUCCACAGAUAACUUCAAGCAGGGAUCAGCUCUUGGAGAUUCAUUUGGAAGGAACUGCUAUAAGAGGAUUGCCAGCAUCUAUUGAACUUCUUUCUGGCAAUGUUUUGUCGAAUUUGAAAGAUUGCAAGAAUCUCAAGAGUCUUCCAUGUAUGAUAAAUGGUUUGAGAUCUCUUAAAUUGUUGUAUCCCUCUGGUUGCUCCAAACUUAAAAAUGUGACAGAGACCUUGGGGAAAGUUGAAAUCUUGGAAGUAAGAUUGUCUUGUUAGAAUCAGGCGAAAAUGCAGAAUGACUUCAACUGUGUGGAACAGAGUGCAGUGGAGACAGUAACAAAGUUAGCAAAAGCAGAAUCGCUAAGGUACUUUACAAAAUUAAUAAUUUCCUUUAUAACAUGCAGUACCGUAUUACUUCUAUGUGCAUUGCUAUCAAUAUCUUCGACCGAAAGAUUCAGAUUCAUGGAAGAAGAAUGUUGAUAAGGGCAUCAAGCUAUCUACAACAGCAAUAUCAGCUUGCUCACUUGCCUGCCAUAGGCUGAUUCAAACCUCAAGAGCCAUGCCGAAGAGUUGAAUCAAAUAACAGCAAAUUCACAUCUUAGGUGGCCUUUUCUUCCAGCUUAGUCACUGCAUCAUUUUUUUUAUAGCAGGUUCGUUCUAUAAUAAUCUCAUAGGCACAUAUCAUGAACUUUGUUUUAUCAUGCUUGCAUACUUUGUUUACUUCUGCACAGUGAUAUACACAUUCACUAUCUCUAUUUUGCAUGACUACUAUAAAUUUAAGUAGAAAUUGAUUUUGGAAUAUGCUCUUAUCCUUUAUUAAUCAUAUAAAAAGUUCAUACGUGAGGGUAUACUAUUUACAGCUGUCUUGCGGAUGGAUUUAUAACCUUACUAAGUAAUAUUAUCAACAAUUUUUGGAUUUGCUGAUUUUAGAGCCUGGUCUUAGAAUCCAUAAUGCAUUGACAAAUACAGAAAUGAUCAAAUUGCUAGCCUCAGUAGUUGCUAUUUAUGUUAUUAUUGAAAGAUGAUUCAAAUUCUUUAUGUAUGUUAGUUUUUGUUUGGGCGGGAAAUUUAAGUUUUAUCUUAGUUGACUCUAUUGACCACCGCUUGUAUCAAAAAAAUCUGAAUACUGGUCGUACGAGUACUAUAUAGCAGACCCGAGGGCAUGCGAGGAGAGACCAAAAUCGAGUCAGAUCGAAGGCUUGAUCAAAGGCCAACACGUAGUUUGUCUCCAAGAAACUCGGGCACAAAGCCCAUUCAGCGGCAGUUACAUUGUCCAUUGACCCAUGAUUUCAAAGACGCAGCACGCACCUUUUCACUUCCAAGCCAACAGUAAUCGUGGGGAAGAUGGAGUCGAUGGUUCAGGUUGGGUAUAAAAGCUACGGAGAAUGGAGGUAAAAAGGGCUGGACAAAUUUUUUUUUUUAAUUUCCAUAUUUUCUCUCUCUUUGACUUUUUCUCUCUCGAUAAUUCUCUCUAUUUAUUUUUCUUCGUUUUGAGAAUUAAGAUUUCUAACUUUCAAUUGAUAUAAUUAAGUAAUGAGUUUGUGAUACAAGUUUUUCUAAAAGAGACCCAAUUACUGACAUGAGCGUUGGAGGAUUUUCGCCAAAAAAUUUUUGGUGCCGCUCUAAUUGGAUAUUGUGAGUAUAGGUGAUUCAACUUAGCGAGUUUUGGUUGAAGCUAUCUACUCGAGUGCGAUAGCCGUCGCACUGAAUCAGCUCCCUAGCAAAUAAAAUUUAAACGUUGGCGCAGAUGGCCUGGUCGCAGUUCCAUCGAUCAGAUUCCUGCAUCAACACCGUCAGGACUCUACCAAGUUUACCUCAAGUUUCCAUCAAGACACAACAUGAUGAUCCAUGUCACAAAUUAUUUCUAAUGUUACGAUUAUAUUUAAUGGAAAUGACUCAGAAAUCUACUUCUAAUAGACGUUUUUAGAUUUAGUCCCGUGUAUUUUAUACAAUUGAAGCUUCCAGGAAAUUUUGCGGUAAUGUCAUAUGAUGUAUUGUCGGUAGACACGAUGAAAAUAAUUAAAAUGUCACUUUUUGACCAAGACUUGCUUUUCGUUUUGUCAUACAAACAAACAACAACAGAGAUGGGAAGAUAGAAUUUGUGUGACGCACAACUAUGCUUUCUCAAUAAAACAGAACUUUAAUUCUCCAAAUAGAAGUCCUCUGCUUUCCCCUGAAUUCCAUUAAGUAGCUGCCUGCUACAGUAAUGAGUUGACUCUAUUGACCACUGCUCGUAUAAAAAAAAUCUGAAUAAUAAACUUACAACUUGUGAGGCUUGUAACCAAAAGAUGCCUAAAACCAAUUAUUUCUAAGAGAAGUGGACAGCUUGAAUAAUAAAUGUACAAUAAAAAAUUUACUUUUGUUGUGAUUUUCACAAAUGGAUUAAAAAAAAAAUGAUUGGCGGAUUGAAUAAUGAAUGUACAAUAAACAAAAAAAUUUACUUUUGUUGUGAUUUUCACGGACGAACAAAAAAGACAAAAGGGAUUAUAAGUGUAUUUAAACGGUCCAUUAGCCUUUAACAUUUACUUUCAAAUCUUUACUUAUCUCAACAAGAAAUUUCUAUAACUUUAAAAAAAAAAAUUAAAGAUUAUAGUGGAAUUCUUCGGAAAGAAUAAAUUCUUGAAAGAUUUUGGUGGAAAUUUUCCAAAAUAAUAAAAUUUUUAAAAAGAUUAUCGUGGAAUUUUUCUAAAAGAAUAUUUUAUUCACUUUGCCCUAUAAAAUGCAAUUACAUUGAGGCCGCCCUUGAUAAAAUACUAAAAGAAAUCAUUGCUUUCCUCAACAUCAUGUCGACCAUAACUUUGAUUCUAUGCACCACUAAAGACCAUGAUCAUGGUUCGUAAUUGCUUUCAGCAGACACUUUUGAUUACACUUUUUGUUUUUGAGAAAUUAAUUAGAGCACAAAACAUUCCUUUCAUUGAUUUCUUUGAAAGAAACUUAGGUCCUCUUAUACUGUAAUUUUUUAGUUUUAAAUUAUUAAAAAAAUUAUAAUUAUAAGAUAAAAAUUAAUAGUAUAUAAUGAAUAUAAUUUUUAAAUAAUAAUUUUUAUAAAAUUAAUAAAAAUAUAAUAAAUUUUUCAUCAUACAACAUAAUUUUUAAGAUAUAAUAGUUAAUACUCAUUAAACACUUUAGUAUUAUAGUUUAAAAAUUACAAUUUCCCAAGCUCAAUUCCAAAUAAAGCCUUAAGUAGAAGAUUAAGUAAAAAUUUACGAUCUUUAUUGCUUCCGAUAAGCUCAAAAAUGCCAGUUAAUUUUCUUACAUUUUUUCAUUUCAAAUAAAAGUAAAAUGCCGAAUGUAUUAAAAUUUGUCAAAAUUUUAUGCUAAAAAUCAUUAGGAGAAAAAUGAUUAUUUUAGCCAUUUUGAGUCCCCCGACAGAUUUUGAGGGAGAUUGGAAUCUUGUGUAAUUUUGCUGUUUGGAGUUAUGAUGCAUCUUUAUCGUCUUUUCUGUUGACUGAACUUGAUUGACCUCUGCAUGCGACCUCAUGUAGGUCCGUCCGCUGAAAUACGGGUUACGUGUUCUUUAAUGGAUCAACUCGACCCGUAUUUGACCCGAUAUUGACCCGCGUUUGGUUGGACCGUAGGAUGUAUGUGACGUGUCUUGUUGGCCGUUGAUCCGCCUUGUGUGAGGGUACUGGAUGGUUGACGUUGUAUCUGGACCACUAUUUUGAUCAUAUUGAACGCGGUCCAAGGGUUCUGAAGCUGUCACGUACUCUGCUACUUCAAACCCUUGUUUAAUUCAAUUUGGUGGAUCCAACGGCCAUUUUCCGCAUCUCUUUAAAAUGUUAAAGCAUCAUUUUAAGCUCUACAGGCCGUCGAGUUCGAGCGAGCUUAUGAUGGGUGUCGAAGCCAACAAAAAUAAAUUCCUACUCUAAAUAAAUUGUGUAUAGUGAUUGAGCAGGGUCGUGUCCACAGAGAUCGGUAAUUAUUUAAAUCCUUUUGAAACGUAAAACGUAAAAUGGGGGAAUUGUUGACAAUAAUAAAAAUAAAAUUAAAAAUAACAAGAAUGCAAAUUAAAGUUGUAAUUCAAAUUGGAGAAAGCUCUGGUUGAAGGAAUUACCUCAGCUUGAUUCGACUACUGAUCAUUGAUUCAAAUAUAGAUUAUUAUUACUCAUGAAUAGACCGGUUAUAGCUACUAAGACCCUCUAAUAGACAAUCUCUCCUUAACUAGUCGAUAACCAAGGUACGACCGUUGGUUAUUUCCCUAAUCAAUAGACAACCCUAGAUACGAUCAUAGAAUUUAAUCAAUUGACAGCCUGAAAAACCAGAGAGACCCAAAUCCUAAUCAACACAUAUGAUGAUUCAUUUAAAUUAGAUUGUUUAUUCUCACAACACAACUCUCUGCUAUGUUAUUUGUCACAAACAUUAAAUUCUUCAUACAAUGAAUCCUUUAAUUGACAAUAGAUUAAGUUGAUAAUUAAAUAGUGGUCAAUUACCUAAUUAACAAACAUAAUCAUGAAAAUAAUUUAGAGAAUAAACAAAUACCCAAAAAGUAAUAAAACAAUUAAAGCACAAGAAAGAUCUCACAGUAGUGAUGAAUCAAAGCUUCAUUAACCUUCAACCAGAAAAAUGAGUUUAGUUCCUCAUAGAGAGAAGAGAAAAAUUAGAUCUAGGGUUUCUUUUUCUCCAAUCCAAAAAUCUCCCCUUUUUCACAAUAGAUUACUCCCUUAAAUACUCUCUCUCUCUUCUCUUUUAGAAUUCUAUUUAAAAUAAAAUACUAAUAUCUGAAAUAUUAAGUUCGUAAUUACAAAAAUAACCAAAAAUACAAAACACGUUAAACUAAAAACUGCAGGUCCGCAGUUGACAGCACGCGCCCACGCCUUAUCAACAAAGUUCUUCUGACGCUCAUAAUUUCUUCAAGAGAACAAUCCUCCUUAAACAUCAUCUUUUAGCUCAAUUUUAUCACCAAUCAAUAGAAUUGCACCUACAAAAGUAAAACACAAGUAAAACAUUAUUAUUAAGUGCAAAACAUCGAUAUUAAGGGAAGUAAACAAUGCAAAACUAGUGCAUAAAUUGCACUCUAACAAAUUCCCCCACACCAAGAUGAUGCUUGUCCUCAAGCAUAUAACUCAAGAUUAAUCCCAAAUCUCCACUCAAUUCUCAUCUCAACUCAUCCAAAAUAAUUUUAAGCAAGCAUACCUCAAGAAAUUAAGUCGAUCAACAUUCGAGAGACAAGGAUUUUAAAGCAUAGAAUCUCAUAAGAUAGAAUAAGAACAUUCAACCACCAAGAAGAUCCAUUCAAAAUUCAAGUGCAACAAGAUGUAAUAGCCCUCUCAAUAACUUCACUCCAUGCACUCAAAGUGUUUAGGGUGUCAUUUAUCCACUCAAAUCAAAUCAAAGAAUGCUAUUACCAUAAGCUUGCUCAUAUAUCACAUCUCAAUCCACAAAACAUGAAUAAAAUGCAAAAAUCUAAGGGUCUUAAAAGGGUUGUAAUGGGGUUAAAUGGGUUAAAUGAAAAAGAAAGGUUUACAAAAGAAAAAGAGAUCAAAAUGAGAAGAAUGAACUCAUUGAAUGAACUUAUGAUAUCAAAAUGCUUAUUUCUACUCAAGUCACCAAGAAUGUAAACAUUUUUUUUUUUUGAUUUUUUUUUUCGAUUUUUCUUUUUCAUUUUUUUUCAUUUUUUUUUUCAUUUUUUCAUUUUUUUUUUGUUUUUUUUGUUUUUUUCGAAUCAAACAAAAGAAACGAACCUUGCACAAUUUAAUUCAAGCAUAAUGCUUGUUGAUCUAAUUGAGAAACUUCAAUACAAGGUAGAAAAAGCAACAAAAUGUACCCACACAAUGAGUCCAAAAAUCUCCUUAAAUUGAGGCUAAAAAAGAAGAAAAAUGGUUAAGUAGACGGAGAGAAUUAGAUGGGUAAUGGUUAAGGCUCAAACAAAGGUAGCAAAUAAAGGUCUUCGGGUAGAGAAAAAGGAAAAUGCGAGAAUAGAAAAAUGGUAAAUGGUUUGCCCUUAUCAUUUUAAUGCCUAAAAUCCCGUAAUGCGGCUUCAACAUGCAUAACAAAGCAAGUUCUAGAAUAAACAAACUAAGAUUGAUAUUCACAUAACAAAAAUAUUAGAGCAAAGUGGUUGCUCAUAGGCUCAAAUCCUCACAAAGUUGGUAAAUUUGCCAUCAAAUCAUGUACACUCUUCAAAUGAAUCAACCAUCAAUAGUGGUGUAGAAUGGGAAGAAGGUAUGAGUGAAGGAAAGGUAAAAAUGAUAAGAAGUGAGAAAGAUGUAUGUAGUAAUAUGAAAAGUGAAAGAUAAAAUGUGAGUGAUGAAAGAGUAUGAUAGAAUAAAAAUAGAUGUAAAUAAUUUGAGAUAGAUGGGAAAAAAGUAGUGAGAAAGAAAAGAAAAGAAAAAUAAUAAUAUAUGAAGCAUACUAACUCCAAAAUCAUUUAAGGAUGAGUAGAGUGAAAAUAGAUGAGUAGAGUGAAAACAAUAAUUCCAGACAUCAAUAAUGCAAAAAUCCCUCCCCCACACCAAGAACUGACAUUGUCCCCAAUGUAAGAUAAUCAAAGCUCACAUAAAAAUUAAAGCGUAAGGAUAAAAGAUUAAGGGCAAAAACUUCCCUGAAUUGUGAUCUUUGAUCCUCAUAACGUCUAUAGGCUUGGCGGGAAUGGUGGGAUAAAUCCCACACUCUUGAAGUAUGCGGCCAAAUUCUGCUCCAUCUUGUCACGGAUUUCGAUUCACGCGCCUGGAAUGCAGGUCGUAGGCUGGUUGCGUUGCGAUUGCUGCUCGGCUGGAGCUUGCUUGAUGGACGCGGGAUGGCACUGAUUGUGUUGCGCGCGCGCGCUGGGGCUGCUGGAUCUGCACGCUGCGUGGGCUGUGUUGCGAGGCGUUGCUGCUGCUGCUUCACGAGGGUGAUUGCUGGAUUGAUUUGUGCUGUGCGCGCGGGCUGGAGCUGAGGAUCUGUGUUGCGGGGCGUUACUGCUACUGCUUCGCGGGAUGUGUUGCGCGCACGGUUGCUGCUGAUUUCGCACGAUGGUGAUGGCUGGGGCUUGCUGCGUUGCGCGCGGCAGCUUUCGCUGGUGGGACUUCGUUGCGCGCUGCUGGGCUGCGAGACACGGGAUGCUGGUGCUGCGCUCACGGGAUGGUGCGUUUUCCGGCGGGCUGGUUUGUUGCAGGUGUGUUGCAAGCGGCUGGAGAAGAAAACAAGUUCUGGAAAAUUAGGGAUUUUGUGAACAGUGAAUAGUGAACAGUGAUUUUCGAUUUUUGGUUUUUUUUUAAAUAAAUAAAUAAAUAAAAAGAAAGAAAGGAAUGAAAAAAAAAAGAAAAAAAAUAAAAAUAAAAAUAAAAUAAAUAAUUUUUUUUUUUUUUUUUUUUAGUGAUGAAUCACUUUGAGACACUAAAAAUUUCAGAAGUACUUUUCUAAUAAGUACGUGGGCACGCCUUAUAAAAAAUUUUCUUCUGACCAAAAUAAGCAAACACAUUAAAUUUCAGAAGUACUUUUCUAUUAAGUACGUGGGCACGCCUUAAAACUAUGUUACUUUAAAAAUUACAGAAGUACUUAUUAGCUAAGACGUGGGCACGCCUUAUCAAAAAUUUUCUUCUGACCAAAAUAAGCACAAUUUUUUUUUUUUGAAUCAAAAUUAAAAGAAGAUAUAACAAAAACCAAAAUAAAUAAAUCAUUUGGGUUGCGUCCCAAAAAGCGCCUUUGUUUUAUGUCUUUGGCUAGACACAUUUAUGCAUCAAUCUCCAUAAUUGGGACUCUCGAGAGCCACAUCCUCCACAAUAUUCACCGAAAAACCUUCAUAAAAAGGUUUUAAGCGAUGACCAUUAACCUUAAAAAUUUUGUCAGAGGUCGGACUCUGAAUCUCAACUGCACCAUGAGGAAAAAUAUUAGUAACAAUAAAAGGUCCAACCCAACAAGAACGUAAUUUACCCGGAAAAAGUUUAAGCUUAGAAUGAAAAAGAAGAACUUUUUGACCAACAGAGAACUCCUUUCUCAAAAUCAUUGUAUCAUGAAAUGUCUUCGUCUUUUCCUUGUAAAAAACUUCCUGCACUAUAAGGUUAAUAACAUCCACAGAAAAUACCGAAUGUUCCUCACUAGGAUAUUUCAUGGCAUCAUUCAUAUUGAAUUCUAUAACCUCUCCAUCAAACUCCAUAGUGAGAGUCCCUUUAUGUACAUCCAUUUUAGUCCUAGCAGUCUUAAGAAAAGGUCUUCCUAGCAAAAUUGGGACAGAAUUAGAGGAGUUAUCAUCUUCCAUAUCAAGUACAUAAAAAUCAGCAGGAAAAACCAACUCAUUAACUUGUACUAAGACAUCUUCUAAUACCCCAUCAGGAUAUGCAUUAGACCUAUCAGCUAGUUGAAUUAUCACGCCAGUUUCUUUUAAUGCACCAAUAUUCAAAGACGAAUAAAUGGAACGAGGCAUGACAUUAAUAGAAGCUCCUAGAUCUAACAUAGCCUUUUCAACUUUGACAUUACCAAUUUUGCAAGGGAUAGUAAACAUACCUGGAUCCUUGCACUUAGGAGGUAGUUUCUUUUGGAGAACUGCUGAAACAUUCUCCCCCAUAUGAACUUUUUCAUCUCCUCUUAAUUUUCUCUUAGAGGUGCAUAGUUCCUUAAGGACUUUAGCAUAUCGAGGUAUUUGUUUUAUAGCAUCUAAUAAAGGAAUAUUUACCUCAACCUUGCGAAAUGUCUCAAGGAUGUCUUUCUCUUGUUCCUCCUUCUUGGAUUUUGCAAACCGGCUUGGAAAAGGAGGAGGUAUCACAAUAGGUAGGGGUUUCGCUCUGGUGGGUUGUGCAUCUUGAGAUUGAGGCAUCAAUUCAUUCUUCUCAAGCUCAUCUUCUACAUGCUCUGUCACUUUCUUACUAGGCUCUUGCAACUCCUUCCCACUUCUAAGGAUGACAGCACUAACGUUUUGCUUUGGAUUCACCUCAGAUUGUGAAGGCAAUCUCUCUAAUACUUGAGACUCCAGGCGGCUCAUUGUAGUCGCCAAUUGACUCAUUUGGUUCUCCAAGUUCUGAAUGCUUGUUGUAGUUGCCUGCUGAAAUUGUUGAGUGUUAGUCGCAAGCGAUUUAACAAUUUCUUCAAGAGAUAUACCUGACUUGGAGGUUGACUGUGGAGGUGCUGGUUGUCUUGGUGGAUACUGUUGUGGGAAUCCUGACGGCCUAACUCCAUAGCUGAAGUUGGGAUGAUCCUUCCAUCCCGGAUUGUAUGUUUGUGCAUAAGGAUCAUACCUCCUCUGAGGCAUGCCUGGAAAUCCUCCAACUGCAUUGGCUUGUUCAACGGGUUCUUCUUGAAGUGUAGGACACAUAUCAGUUGAAUGACCCAUAUUGUAACAAAUACCACAAGUCUUCACCUGUUGCACAUUACCUACAACAAACUUUUCCACAAGAGAAGUGAGUUUAUCUAAACGUUGUUCAACAGAAGAAAUAUUUACCUCAUUCACCUUCCUUGAAGUGGGAUCUUGCCUGCUGCCAAAUUGUUGUGUGUUGGUAGCCAUAUUUGAUAUCAACUCCCUUGCUUGAGUAGGAGUCUUGUUCACCAACACGCCUCCACUAGCAGCAUCUAUCAUACUUCUAUCCAUCAAUGAUAGUCCUUCGUAAAAAUAUUGAAUAAGAAGUUGAUCAGAAAUCUGAUGCUGAGGACAGCUGGCACACAAUUGUUUGAAUCGCUCCCAAUACUCAUACAAAGUCUCCCCAGGAAGUUGUCUAAUCCCACAAAUGUCUUUUCUGAUGUUGGCAGCUCUUGAAGCAGGAAAGUACUUCUCGAGGAACUGCUUCUUCAAAUCAUUCCACGUUGUAAUCGAUCCAGGAGGCAAGUAAUACAACCAGUCUUUAGCUAGCCCAUCUACAGAGAACGGAAAAGCACGCAGCUUAAUCUGCUCUUCAGUCACGCCUUGUGGUCUCAUACUUGAACACACAACAUGAAACUCCUUGAGAUGUUUAUGAGGAUCUUCACCUGAAAAACCAUGAAACUUGGGUAAUAAAUGAAUAAGACCAGACUUUAAUUCAAAAUUUACCUCCAAGUCUACAUAUUGAAUGCAGAGUGGUUGCUGAUUCAAGUCUGGUUCAGCUAACUCUCUAAGAGUUCUUUCUAUAGGUGCAGGUCUAUCCAUCACUUGUUCUUCCGAAUCGCUAGAUGAUUCAACUAAAUCAGGCACCGUAUCUGUUUCAGAAAGCAAAGGCGACGAGGAUCGUUGCUUAGCUCGCUUCGUCUGUUGUCUCAGCUGGCGAGCUGUCUUCUCAAUUUCAGGAUCAAACGAAAGUGUACCUGUACGAGAAGAACGAACCAUACACCAAGUAAAACGUAAAAAAGAUUAAAUAAAUGACACCAAUCCCCGGCAACGGCGCCAAAAUUUGAUGGGUGUCGAAGCCAACAAAAAUAAAUUCCUACUCUAAAUAAAUUGUGUAUAGUGAUUGAGCAGGGUCGUGUCCACAGAGAUCGGUAAUUAUUUAAAUCCUUUUGAAACGUAAAACGUAAAAUGGGGGAAUUGUUGACAAUAAUAAAAAUAAAAUUAAAAAUAACAAGAAUGCAAAUUAAAGUUGUAAUUCAAAUUGGAGAAAGCUCUGGUUGAAGGAAUUAGCUUAGCUUGAUUCGACUACUGAUCAUUGAUUCAAAUAUAGAUUAUUAUUACUCAUGAAUAGACCGGUUAUAGCUACUAAGACCCUCUAAUAGCCAAUCUCUCCUUAACUAGUCGAUAACCAAGGUACGACCGUUGGUUAUUUCCCUAAUCAAUAGACAACCCUAGAUACGAUCAUAGAAUUUAAUCAAUUGACAGCCUGAAAAACCAGAGAGACCCAAAUCCUAAUCAACACAUAUGAUGAUUCAUUUAAAUUAGAUUGUUUAUUCUCACAACACAACUCUCUGCUAUGUUAUUUGUCACAAACAUUAAAUUCUUCAUACGAUGAAUCCUUUAAUUGACAAUAGAUUAAGUUGAUAAUUAAAUAGUGGCCAAUUACCUAAUUAACAAACAUAAUCAUGAAAAUAAUUCAGAGAAUAAACAAAUACCCAAAAAGUAAUAAAACAAUUAAAGCACAAGAAAGAUCUCACAGUAGUGAUGAAUCAAAGCUUCAUUAACCUUCAACCAGAAAAAUGAGUUUAGUUCCUCAUAGAGAGAAGAGAAAAAUUAGAUCUAGGGUUUCUUUUCCUCCAAUCCAAAAAUCCCCCCUUUUUCACAAUAGAUUCCUCCCUUAAAUACUCUCUCUCUCUUCUUUUUUAGAAUUCUAUUUAAAAUAAAAUACUAAUAUCUGAAAUAUUAAGUUCGUAAUUACAAAAAUAACCAAAAAUACAAAACACGUUAAACUAAAAACUGCAGGUCCACAGUUGACAGCACGCGCCCACGCCUUAUCAACAAAGUUCUUCUGACGCUCAUAAUUUCUCCAAGAGAACAAUCCUCCUUAAACAUCAUCUUUUAGCUCAAUUUUAUCACCAAUCAAUAGAAUUGCACCUACAAAAGUAAAACACAAGUAAAACAUUAUUAUUAAGUGCAAAACAUCGAUAUUAAGGGAAGUAAACAAUGCAAAACUAGUGCAUAAAUUGCACUCUAACAGCUUACAAGUGCUAAGGCCAAAAAAUUAAUCUUGGGGAAGAAUUUAAUGAGUGACUUCUUAUUUUUAUAUCCUUAAAAUUUAUUUUUAAACCCUAGAUUUUGGAGAAAUACUUUUCUUAAGGGCUGGAAGCAAAUGUUUUAGAUUGGAAUUUGAAUGAGUGCAAACUAUGUUAUUGUCAGACAUCAAAAAUCAAAUUAGCAUUUAUUUUCUUGUCUUGUCUUUAGCUCCAUCAAGUUCGUUGAUGCAUGGUCUUUGAAUUUGAAGGUAUUAAAUCCAAAAUGGAUUCUCUCACAUCCAAUAUCAUUUUACUCUUAAAUUUAUCUAGUGAGCAGAUUUUGAUGCUUGAUUCAAGUAGAAAAACAAUUGUGAGGACUGUGAGGAUUUUUUUUUAAAUUAAAAACCGCCUUAAGAUGGGGUGUGGGUUUAGGCGGGACCCCUUCAUUAGUAAAUUAAUAAAAGAAAAGAAAAUUCAUAUGGAGAGAGAUAUAUGCCAAAACCUCGAAGCAUGGAAACAAAUACAUCCAAUAACUAGAAAAAUAACAAAAGCAAUAGAAGAUAGGACUAAUUAAUGCAACCAUCUAGAGAAUCGCUUCCAAUUCCUGCGGCUAGUAACCAAUGUGAAACCUUUCUUAGAAUUGGAGGCACGCGGUCCGGUCCGGCAAUACGAAAGUCAUCAAGAUCAUGCCCUCUAGUACCCUUAGGCUCAAAUGCAAAAUAUUCAUUAGUCACAGGAUUCCCAUCAGAGCUAAACUUCUCAUCAAAUUGAAAAAGGAUAUCUGUAGAAUGGGGAUUGAAGCCCACGAUCAUGGAGCGAAUAUCCUCUUCAGUAGCUCAAAAAAAAGUAGCAUCGAUGGAAGCCCUCUAAACACCUGGAUCAUCUAAAAAAGGAGGGUUAGAGACCUCAGUGCAUCCAGUAGCAUCUCUUAAAGCAGUAGGAUUCUUCAAACCAUCAUCAGUUUGAACUCUUUUCAUAGAAACCAGAUCAAACCCAUCUUCUGUAGUAUCCUGAUAAAUAGGUGACUGAGCAUCUAGAAGAGCACCCUCACUACCAUUCGACCUCAAUGGCUCAACCUCUUUGCCAUCCCCUUUGGAUGCACAAUAGCAUUAGACAUCAGCAUCUUGCCUUUAUCAUGAAGAACAAUAUCCCGCACCUGAUUAACUGGCUGCCAGGGCUCUCAGAGCCCAGGAUUGGCAACAAAAAAAGUAUCAGUAGAGUACCCAAGAUGCUUACACGAAGCAUAGUAUAAAGGAACACGCUCAAAAAUGACAUUCUGCCAGAAAAUGCCAUCACCUUCACUAGUCCAAAGUUUGGGCAACAACGGCCGCAAAACAUCCAACUCAAUCGGAACUCUAGUGAUCGAGGGUUGAUUAACAACAACAGUAGCAUGGUCCAUCCGUAGAGGCUUACCAAUAGCAUUAGCAAUAGAAAAUAAGACAUCUUUGCAAUGAAUAAAAUGCACUUGCAAAUACGGCAAAGAAACUCAAGUAAGAAGAAUAGGAGAUUCCUCAAAGCACCAAAAUGAAGUCUAUGAGACUACGCUACAUGAGACUCAAACACAAAGGCCUAAUUCUUGGUAAGGCUGCCCACCUAAAUCCACUUGGAAAAUGUUCAAACAUACUUUUGAUAAUGUAUUUUAGUCUGUGAGGGUUGACACAAUAGAAUUUGGAUUCGAGAUGUUUACGGUUGCGAAGCUUCUGUAAGUGUUCUUGGUCCAUUGUAAACUCACAUUAUUUUCAUAGUGAAUUGUUUCGUCUACAAGUGGACAUAAUAACAUGUCGAGAUUUUUAUCCUAAAUCGCGAGGAUCAAAGGUUUUCUUGUAAAAACAUCUAUGUGUUGUGGAUGUCCAUUUAUUUUGCAUAUUUAUUUUCAUUACCAUAAAUUGAUUUUUAAAUUUAUUGAUAGUGUUUAUUAAAUUAUCUUUAUUAACUAGGAAAUAAAAUCAUUAAUUUUAAAGAGAUUAUUAUUAUUAUUACCAAGUAUAUAAAGAUAAUGAAAUAAAAAAAUAAAACUAAUAAUAUAAAUAUUUACUUUAGUUAUCAAUUAUUAUAUAUACACACAAUUAAAAAUAUUUUAUAUACAUACAUUAUAAGUAUGAAAAUAAAUUUUAUUCAAAACUAUGUCCAAUUUAAUCAUUUAUAUUCUUGUCAUUUACAAUCUUAUUAUAAUUUAAUAGUAAGAUUUACCAAAUACAUAGAUUGUUUUUUAAACUCACAGAACUUUUGAAAAAUUGUAUCAAACGUUUAAUUGGUUAUCUUUAUAGUUGACUAUUUUUACAGUACAGUUAGCAGUAAUUAUUUUAAAAACUAUAAUAUUAACAAAAUGAUCCAACAUCUUUUAAGGACCCAGCUGAAAUUUAACUAAUACAGGUUUACCAUUACUAUAGAUUGCCGGUAGUUUUAACUAUUUUUAAUUAAUUAUUAAUAUCAACCGUUGGAUUCCAUUCCAUUCUAAUGGAAUCCAAUGGCUUCAGCAUGGGUGAUGGGCAGAGUGGCAUGGACGCGUAAUCAAUUGAAAAGCCAGAUAUUCUUCGCUUAGAUUCCUUGAAGCUUCCAGCAAGCUCGAUGCUAACUCCAUCGUGUGAGUAAUCGAUUGAAAAGCCAGAUAAUUUUCAUUUAGAUUCCUUGAAGCUUCCAGGAAGGUUGAUGGUAACUUCAUCAUUAGAGUAAACAAAGACGAUAUUUUUGAAGCAACAAAUAUGUUUCACUGAUUAACUUAGCUUUCUUUGAAGCAACACUUCAAUGAAAUUCAACAGGUAGCUGCCUGUGCAAUUAAUACACUCAAAGCUUUAAGAUUUAUUUUAAGUUUUAUCUUAUACAUGUUUCUCUCAAAUACAAGCUUUUAGCGCGGCAUGCAAAAUACACCCCGUUUAAAUCUAAUCACACCUCUCUAAUUUUUUUUUUUUUCGCCCCAAAGACGUAAUGGAGUAGUCAAAGGGUAUAACCAUUAGAUUCCUUUCGCUUUUUUGCUUUUUUCACCCCCACUUUCUGAGAAGACCAAGACUUGCUUUUGGAAUACAUAUAAAUAAAUCCGGGGGAGCUGGAAGUUGCAUUUUUGUUUUCCCUUUGAAUCAAAACACUUCAUCGGAGUUGAUCAGAUCAAUUAGGUGGCUUCUUUCAACACACUCAAAGCUGUAAGUUUUAUUUUAUCCUCAGAAUUAAUUUGCACAUUCUGGAUGUUUAGAACAGGAAAUAUAUAAAAUUGAAAGAAAGCUUUGAAUGUUUAAAUUAAUUUGUAUAGUAUCAACUCUUUAAUUUGCUUCUCUUUGAGGCUCUAAUUAAGAUUUGCUUGAGCAAAGGUCGGCAAACACACUCUCCAAUCAGAAUCUGAAAAACUUUUUAAUUAUAUUUUGGAAGUAAAUGAGAGGCUGUUAAUUAGUUUGUUUAGUUAAGAAGAAGAUCAUUAAUUUGUUGUUCAAUAAUUUUAUGCUAAAAGAAAUUAUCAUAGUAAUUAUAUUAUUUUCAUUUUUGUGCUGCCCAUAAUCUUGAAUGAAUCUUAUUGUUUGCAUGGUAUUUUACGCUCACUGGAUUUCACUUGAUUUAUUCUAAAUUUUUAGGAACAAAUUAAUAUAAUGGCUUCCACGAGCUUCCAAAAUGUCUCUCAUGGGGAAUACGAUGCCUUCUUAAGCUUUAGAGGAGAAGACACCCGUAAAAUGUUCAUAGGUCAUCUCUAUACUGCCUUGAACAAUAAAGGAAUUUAUGUAUUCAGGGAUGACAAACAACUUGAGAAAGGAGGAUCCAUUUCACCAAAUCUCCUUAAAGCAAUUGAAGAAUCAAGAAUUUCAAUUAUUGUUCUCUCAAAAAAUUACGCUUCUUCCACUUGGUGCUUGGAUGAACUUCUUAAGAUUGUUGAAUGCAAAAAUAGAGAGGAUCAAAUUUUUCCAAUUUUUUAUGAAGUGGAACCAACUGUUGUAAGAAAACAAACAGCAAGUUUCGGAGAAGCUUUUGCUAAACAUGAAGAAUUUUUCAGGGAUAAUAUAGAAAAAGUGCAAAAGUGGAGACACGCUUUAAAGGUGGUGGCCAAUAUAUCAGGCUGGGAAUUGAAGGAUAGGUAAUCAUUCUUUUUCUCAACUAUUAAUUUUGUUCGUUUUGCAAGAUUAGUAACUACAAAACAGAUUUUAAUAUUCAUUCAACACUGUUUUCAAUUAAACAACUUCUAUUUAAUACAUAUGUAUAUCGUAUGAUGUGUAGUAAAAGGGUUCCUCCCGUGAAUUGAAUAUCUUUAAAAUAUACCUUCACUUUUGAAAACUUCAAUUUACCUCCCAUUUUUGUUAAGAAUACAAAAACAUUUCAUCAACUCACCCCAUUUUUCCUUCUCUUUUGAACAAAAAUAGGGUAAUUGAGGUGUUCAAAAGGGAGUGAUUUGAAGAUAUAUAAAAUUUUGAAAUUACCAAUCACAAUGCAACCCAGUCCAAUCCAAUUUUUAUUGGGUUGGGUUUGAAUUUCUCAUUCCAAUUGUUGUUGACUGAUGUAAUAAUAACAUAUUGUUUAAUUAUAUGACUUCAAUUUGAUGAAAUGAAUAUUGCAUAGUUUGGAUUUUAUUCAUAAUAUGGAAUUGAUUUGUUACUACGUUCAUACUAACUUUGAUUUAACAAUACCAAUCUUUUCUUGUUGUUUUCAAUCUGCAGGAAUGAGUCAGAAUUUAUUGAGGAAAUUGUCAAUGUCAUAUCUAGUAAAAUUCGUUCAGAACCAGAGAUUCUUAAGGAGCUAGUAGGAAUGGAAUCACGCUUGGAGAAACUGAGGUUUCUUAUGGGUACGGGGUCUAAUGAUGUUCGUAUGAUCGGGAUAUGGGGUAUGGGAGGUCUAGGAAAGACAACUCUUGCAAGGGUUGUUUAUGACUUGAUGUCUCAUGAGUUUGAUGGGAGUAGUUUUCUUGCCGAUGUUAGAGAAAAAUUUGAAAAAGAAGGCAGUGAAAUCUCUUUACAAAAACAGCUCCUUUCUGAUUUACUGAAGCUUUCAGAUUAUAGCAUACAGAAUGUCUACGAUGGUAUUAACAUAAUUGGAAGUAGGCUGCAACGGAAAAAAGUUCUUCUCAUAAUUGAUGAUGUGGCUGAUGUUGAACAAUUACAAAGGUUAGUUGGAAGGCGUGAUUGGUUCGGUCCAGGCAGCAGGAUUCUAAUAACAACGAGAGAUAGACAAUUGUUGGUGGCACAUGAAGUGGAUGAAGAGCAUAUUCUUGACCUUGAUGUACUAAAUAACGAUGAAGCUCUUCAACUCUUUAGUAUGAAAGCUUUUAAAAGCCAUCAGCCUAUGGGAGAAUAUGUGGAGCUGUCUAAACGUGUUCUGGAGUAUGCUGGUGGUCUUCCAUUAGCUCUAAAAGUUUUGGGAUCCUUUCUAAUUGGUAGAUCUGCAGAUCUAUGGAGAAGUGCCCUAGAAAGACUAAAAAAAGAUCCUUCAAAUAAGAUUAUGAGUAUACUUCAAAUAAGUUUUGAAGGACUACAAGAUUCAGAGAAGAAAAUAUUUCUCGAUGUUGCAUGUUUCUUUAAAUGGAAGAAUAGAGAUUAUGUAACAAAAAUUCUAGAGGGGUGUUGUUUUUCCCCAGCCAUUGGAAUAGAAGUUCUUAUCGAAAAGUCUCUAUUAACUGUUGAUGACGACAACAUACUGCAUAUGCAUGAUUUGUUACAGAAAUUGGGACAACUGAUUGUUACGAGACAAUCCCCCGAAGAACCUGGGAAACGUAGCAGAUUAUGGAAGAAAGAAGAAGUACGCCAGGUGUUGAUAGAAAACACAGUAAGUGAAUUAUUAAAUGAAAAACUUGUUGAUGCUUGCUACUUUAUUUUCCCCAAUUAUAUCUCUGACCAAAUUUUCAACAUCUUUACAUUAUUGUUUUAUUCACUCAUCCUUUGCUUAUAAUCUUUAGGGAGGUGAAGUAGUGGAAGGAAUAAUAGUUAAUGCCUACUUUCCUGAAGAUGAGGUUUACUUAAGUGCAAGUGCUAAAGCAUUUUCGCAGAUGACCAACCUAAGACUGCUCAAAAUCAGUAAUGUGCAACUUCCUGAAGGUCUAGAAUACCUCUCUAACAGGUUGCGAUUACUUGAUUGGCAUCGGUAUCCUUUGAAAUCUUUGCCAUCAAAUCUGCAAUUGGAUAAAAUUGUUGAAUUUAAAAUGUGUUACAGCCGCAUUGAAGAAUUAUGGAAAGGAUUCAAAGUAAGAUCAAUUUUUUUUUUGUCACAAAUUUAUAUUUUUCAGAGAAUAAUUGUGGAUAACAAUUUUAUUAUUAUAGUAGUAUAUGAAUUAAGAAAUAUCAUUUUAGCUCCUUUUUUGUUUUCAACAACCUUUAAACAUGUUGAGAGUCAUGGAACUCAGCCAUUCAGAGAAUCUGAUUAAGACUCCAGACUUCACAGAGGUCCCAAAUUUGGAGGAGUUGGAUGUUGAAGGAUGUACAAGGUUGCGUGAAAUUCACCAGUCUUUGCUACGUCACAAUAAGCUGAUCUUGUUGAAUUUGAAAGGUUGUACAAGUCUUACAACUCUUCCGGGUGAGAUAUUUAUGAAAUCGCUUAAAACACUUGUUCUUUCUGGUUGCUUGAAAUUGAGGAAACUUCCACGCAUUGUCGGAAGUAUGGAGUGUCUACGGGAACUUCUUUUGGAUGAAACUGAUAUCAAAAAACUGCCUUUAUCUAUUGAGCUUCUAUCCAAACUUGUCUUGUUGAAUUUGAAGGAUUGCAGAAAUCUAGAGACUCUUCCAAUUACUGUAAGCAGCUUAAAAUGUCUAAGAACUCUAAAGCUCUCUGGUUGCUCGAAAAUAGUGAAAUUUCCAGAGACUGUGAUAAGUGUGGAAGAUCUGUCAGAGCUCUUUUUAGAUGGAACUUCUAUCACAGAAGUGCCAUCAUCUAUAGAGCUUUUGACCAAACUUCAAUGGUUGAAUUUGAAUGACUGCAGAAGUCUCGUGAGACUUCCUAGCAGUAUAAAUGGUUUGAAAUCCCUCAAAACUUUGAAUCUCUCAGGCUGCUUCAAACUCGAAAAUGUGCCUGAGACGCUUGGGCAAGUAGAAAGUCUGGAAGAACUUGAUAUAAGUGGUACAGCUAUAAGGCAACCUCCAUCGUCGAUUUUUCUUAUGAAGAAUCUUAAAGAACUAUCUUGUCGUGGGUGCAAAGGAUCACCAUCAUCUGCAUCAUGGUUUCUGCGCUUCCCUGUCAAUUUGAUACGAAGGAGUUCAGAUCCGGUGGCUUUGAGUUUGCCGUCUUCUCUGUCAGGUUUGUGUAGUUUAACGAAAUUGGAUAUCAGUUACUGUGAUCUAGGGGAAGGAGCAAUCCCAAGUAGUAUUGGCGACUUAUGCUCAUUAGAAAAGUUACAUCUGAGUGGAAACAGUUUUGUUUCGCUACCGGCAAGCAUCUACCGUCUUUCUAAUCUUCAGGGGAUUAAAUUAGAGGAAUGCAAAAUGCUUCAAAAUCUGCCUCGACUUCCAGCCAGUAUACGUUGGAUUUCGUUAGACGGUUGUGUUUCGUUGGAAACAUUAUCAGAUGUAUUAAAUUUAAACGAGCAUCGACUCCCGCACUUAGGCCUUCAUUGUGUGGAUUGCUCGAAAUUGGCUGGCAACUAUGAUUUGGCGCUUUCGCUGCUAAAAGAGUACAUUAAAAAUUCUGAGGUCAGUCUCUCACUCUCACCUGUGCUAACAUUAUGCCUAAAACUGAUGCAAUACAUGUUAUGUCUUUUUAUUUUAUUUAUUUACUCACUUUUUUUUUUGUGGGGUUGCAGAAUAUGUCAUUGUCGGACAAGUACAUUAAACUGAGAGAGGUCAGUUUCUUACACUGUCUCUCACCUGUUGCUAAAAUCAUGCCUAAAAAUUAUGCAUUGGUUUGGCUUUCUAAUAUAUAUAUAUAUAUAUAUAUUUGUGGGGUUUAGCAUUGUUGGAGAGGUUUUAGCAUUGUUGUUCCUGGAAGUGAAAUCCCAGAGUGGUUCGAGUAUCAGAAUAAUGAGUGAUAUGCUAUAAGGCAACCUCCAAAGACGUAUAAGAAUAGUAAGCUUGUGGGAUAUGCUAUGUGCUGUGUUUUUCAUGUCCCUAAAUAUUCACUUCCUUAUUAUCAUCCGAACUUUCCAUAUCCCGUACAUUAUCUGUGUGGCUGGCAUACCGACUGGUAUGGUUAUGGAAUUUCGUUUGGAAAGCAAUUCGGUCAGGCUGUGUCGGACCAUCUUUGGCUAUACUACCUGAAUAGGGAAGAGGUGUGGCGAUACUACCAUAAUAUUUAUAAAGUGAAAUUUUCUUCGCCGUCGGUAUUGGUGCUGAAGAGGUGUGGUGUCCAUCCAAUUUAUGUGCAUCAAGGGGAUAAGUUCAACCAAACAACUGAUCCGGUUUGGAAUUUGAACGAAUUUGGUCACGAUUGUUCAGGAUCAACAUCCUUUACGCGUAGCCUUAAUGAUGACUUAGACAGGGCAGAAGGCAGUGGAAGUUGCUGCGGGGAUGAUGCAGGAUCAACAACGUCGUCUGAGCGAAGCUUUCUAAAGCGAAGUCUUGAAGAAUAUGUUGGGGCGGCUGAAGCUAGUGGAAGUGGCUGCUGUAAUGAUGAUGAGGAACCACAACCUAAAAGAUUUAGACAACUUGAAUGAAGGGCACAUAUUUUAUUUUUCUCUGCAGAUCGCAUUUCAUUUACUUUCUUUGUAUUUAUUUAUUGUAUCUGUUCUUGUUACUUAUUUCCCUGUUAAAUUACCAGAAAAUGCCUGGCUUGGGUCAAACAGUUGGACAGAUGUUUUAUUACUCUGUUUUUCCUGCAAAAGAUGCCGUACAUAGAUGCGGUGAGCGCGAGUUGUUUGGUAUACUUGAAGGGGCUCGGGACCACAAUGACCAAAUUAUUUAAUGUUGUGUGUUAAAUAUUAAAAUAUGCGGAUAGCUUAUCACUUUUGAGACCUAAAAGUAUUUAUUUAAUGUUAGGGUGAUUGAAAAAAAAUUGACGAAUUACCAUUAAACAAGCAACAAAAUAACAAAUUCUUUGAAAAGAAAUUAUAUAAUAGAAAGAAGAAAUUCUCACCCGAAAACAGUUUGCAGGCAACCUACCAUUGAUAUGAACAAUCAGUUAUAAAAUUAAGCAAAUAUAAAACGGAUACUCAAAAAUUCUUAUAAAAUUUGUUUUCUUCUUUUAGUAGUUUGAGGAAUGAAGAUGGUAUCUUUUUUUUUUUUUUUUUGUGUUUUAAGGGAAGACGGUACCUAGAUAUUGAUAAAAGAAAAAUCCUUUAGAGUCGGGAUAAAAGUCUUACCAUCAAUAAUAGGAGUUAAAUAUGAGAAUCAUCACCCUUAAUUUAAGUUUAAAAGGUAAGUAAUUAUGCAACAAGUCAUUUAGAAGUUGUGGUACUUUUUCAUACUUUAAAUUAUUUUUGUCUAGUCAAUUAAAUAGAUAUUUUUUAAGUCGCCAAAAAAAUAAAAAAAUAUUUUGAAAUUAAAAAUGAUAGGUGCUAUCUAUAGUUUUACAAUUUUGCAGUUAGUGGUAGAAAUAUAAUAGCAUUGUAACAAAUAUAAUUAGCUAGUAAUAUUAUUUCAACAAUACUUUAUAUAAAGAUAUUCCAUAAGGUCUUAUAGCAAUUUAUAUCAUAAUUAAAUGUUGUAUGAAUUUAAUUGUAAAACCAUUAGUACUUGAACAAUAAUGAUUAUAGAAGGCAUUGUAAUAAGUUAUUUAAUACACAUUAUUAACAAUACUAGAUGAAUCUGAAACAAAUGAGAAAUAUUUUCAUCCAUAACUAGAAUUGAAAAAUGUAUGUGUCUAUAUAAUUAGACAAUAGCUUGGAUAUAUAUUUUUAGAGUUAAAUUAGAAAAAAGGACACCCAGAAUCCCAGAUAUCUCUAACUCUGUAACUCCUUUCUUUGAAAACCAAGAAAAAAAAAAAUGUUCCAGUUUGCCUUUAGCCUCUCCUCCCAAGUUGUCGGGCAUGGACUUGCUUUCGCUUCCGAAAGGAAAAAAUAAAAUAAAUAUAUGUAUAUUAAAAUAUUUUUAAUCUUCAAAAAAUAUUUUAAUACUGUACAGUAUUAAAUUAUAUUGAAUUAAAUUUUAUAAUGGAUAUAAACAGAAUAUUAAAAUAAAUAUAUAAAGAUUCGAAUUAUUUUAAAUUUAUAUAAAAUAAUUUAAAUAUUAUCGAUACAUGAGAUUUUUUUAUUAGUUGUAAAAUCUAUUUAACCCAAAUAUUUAUUUUAAAAAAUUUAUAUAAAAUAAUUUUAAUAUUAUCAAUAAAAAGAUAUUAUUAAAAUAAUAUUAUAAUUUACAUUUUAAAAAUUAUUUUAUACAUAUUACAAAUAUUCCAUUAUUUUUAGUCUAUUAGACAAAAUAAACUACUUAAAGUAUAUUUGUAUUUAUUAAAAAUAUUUUAACGUUAAUUUUUUUUAGUUACUACCUAUGAAGGGUAUUAUAGCCAAAAGGGAGUUUAGGUAUCAUUUUCCUUUUAAGUUAUUUUAUCUUAAAUUUUUAAUACAAAAUUGAAAUUAUUGAUUUCAUGCAAAUCAAUUACUAUGGUGGAUGAUUUAACAUCGUAAAAUUUUACAUUGAUUUUCAAUAUCAACCAUUAGAUUGAGAGAGAUUAAUGGCUCAUUUUUUGCGUCAAAAUUUAAGUUAAAAUAUCCCAAACCAUGCUUUUAUAACGAGAAUAUAAAAUAAAUAGAUAAUAUUUUUCCUGUUCAUUCCCAUGAAUAUUAUUGGAGGUAAUAUUUACUUAUUAUAUUAAUUACCAUCAUAAAAGCAAUCAGCCUUUUAGUGACAUAAAAUUUUGUAACCACAAUCAAUGAAUAUUAACAAAACAAUAUUUCAUGAUUCAUAAAUUAUAACUAAUUAAGAAUAUAUGUUAAUUUCAAAUUUAUGAAAUCAACAAAGUGACAUUGGAAAAUUAAAUGAAAAUAGGCUUGUAAAACUUAAAUUUAUAUUCCUACCAUGUAAAAGUAUUCACUGUAACAUAAUCCCUAAUUUCAUGGUAUAUGUUGUGCUAAAUUGGUGUUAAAAAUAAUAUACACUUCAUGAUUAAUCACACAAUGGUCCUUAAUAAUAUACAAAAUAGUGAGCAUUAUGUUAAAUUUUAUUAAAGCGUGAAAAAGGUGAAGAAUGACAGAGGCAGCGGCCGUAGACGGUGGACGUGAGAUAGCUUCGGGUUUUGAUAUUUUGCUGACUUUUUCUUCUUUUUUUUUAAUGAAAGUAAUUGAUGAUGGAGGGAGGAUUUGUGUAUGGGGAAUGGUUGAUGGUCAGGAAAGCUCUGCCUAAUACAAAGAAAGACUCUGAUGCCACUUGACGCAUUGCAAAAGUGAUACUAAAUUUCAUUUUAAUGUACGUUCUUGAAAAUUCAAGAAAGAAGGUUAUCACGAAGAAGAAAAUAUAUCAAUUAAGAAAUAUUAAAUAUUAUUGAUGAGAAACUUAUAUGUUAUAAUGAACUAUCAGUAACAAGCCUAUAUAUACUAAGUAGCCAACUUAAUCUUAAUCCUUCUUAAAUAAGAGAAAUAAUCUAAAAUUCUAAUUAGAUUAGAAUUCCAAACAUGAUCGAAUAAGUUUAAAAAAUAAGAUAAAUUCUAAUAAAAUACUAAAUACCCAAAUAUUAUAAUUCCUAAUAAAUUCUAAUUUAUUUUAUCUAAUAUGCUUCCUAUAUUACUCCAUCGCUAUGUUGUCUGAAUCGAUGUCUCUUUUUAUCAAUAAAAAACGCUUACUCAUCAUCCUUUACUAAGGCCCCACUCAAUUGCUUGUCAAUUACUCCUUGAUCAGCAAGCAAGUUUUCAAAUUUCUCAAUGGUUGGUUGAGUUGGACAACCUUAGAUAGUUGUAACAAAGCUCUUAAGCUCAAGCCUCAAACCAUUGACAAUAAUUCUCUUUAUUCUAGAUUUAGAAAUUGUAGCAACAGAAUCCAACCCAUAAAUUUCACAACAUAGGGAUUUUAACUUGUUUAAGUACUCGUCAAUCGUCAUGUUUCAUUGUGAAAUUGAUAGUAGCUCAUUUUUCAGAAGUUGUAGCCAUAUGUUAUUCUUCUUUGAAAAACUCAUUGUAGAAGUAUCCCUAGUUUUCUUAGGUAUUUUAACAUUUUUUAUGUGUUGCAGCAUUUCUUCUUCAAUUGUAGUCUUGAUGGCGAACAUGGCCUUCUAGCUAUAAUGUUCCACUUCUUUAAAGUGGCAUCCUCAGUUGGUGGUUGCAUAUCGUUACCACAAACAAUCUCCCAGAGAUCUUGACCUUGUAAGCAGGACCCCAUCAAUGUUGCCCACGUAUUGUAAUUUUCCUUGUCGAGCUUUUUAAUUCUUCCAACUACUUGAAGGUCACCCAUCAUGUUUCCAAGACUUUAACAAUGCCAAGCUAGCUUGAUAUUCACUAACGAACUUGCAAAGUUCCAAACAAAGUACUCUAAAUAAAGAACUCCACUUCAAAUCUGAACCCAACUGCCUUUUACUCAAUAGAUUUUGACAAGCCCAUUCCGUUAGAUUAAGAGAAAAGAAUUGAUGGCAUUGCGCCACCGGGAGGAAUUGGUUCCAAAGUCUUUCUAAAAAUUGUACGAUCAGCAAUCCUUAGAAAAAAGUGAUAAACUUAUUGUAAAUUGUAAAUGGUACUUGAAGAGGAUAUGUAUUUUCGCUUGUUGAGGUUCUUAUUGAAUUUGCAUAGAUUUUACUUGAAUAGCACGGGCGCCUUCUAAGUUCGAGUUAUUCACGUUGCAAACCCUAUUUGGGAUUACAGUUGAGAUGUUAUAAAUAAAUUAUUUUAUAAGUUUUGACAAUAAUAGUGCUUGGUAAAUAUUUUAAAAGUGGCUUGUUUUAUAAUUUUCACUACUUUGAUAACAAUUUUAAAAAGUAGGUGCUAGAUAGGAGUUGCAUUUUACAAGUAGUUUAUUAGAAAAGCCGUUAACCUUUUAAAGUUUUUAUUAUAAACUAAAUAUUUUGACAAAACGAUAAUUAUAUCAUAUUUUUCAAUAAACCCUGAUAUAUAUAUAUAUAUAUAUAAGACUAUUUAAACUUAUAUCUACUUUGAUUAUUAUAUACAUUGAAACAACACUAUCAUAACAAAAUUUAUCGAAUUGAUAUACUUUAUUUUUCAAAUUCACAACGACAUAAUUUACGAAAUAUUGAAUUAUUUUUUAAUUAACAAUUUAUUUUAACCGCAUAGGGAAUAGGGAUGGCAAUGGAUUGGAUUUGAUCCAAGAUCCAUGUGAUCCAAAUCCAAUCAGAUCGGAUUUGGAUCGGUUUAAAAUGGAUUUGGAUCGGAUUUGGAUAUCGAUGUGCGGAUCUAAGACGGAUCUGGAGCGGAUAUGGAUCUAUCUUAAUAUCUAAAUCCAUAUCCAUAUCCACUCAUCUUUUAAUUUAAUUUUAUUUUAAAAGUUUCUUAAUAAUUGUGGAAUGAUAAUGAUAAUAAAUUUUAUUCAUAGCAUAUUAGUAGUAUUUACCAUGAAUUUAAACUCUUAAAACUUAAAGGUUAGUUUUGUAAAUUUAAAGGUCAGCCAGCCUCAAAGCAUGUACAUGCAAUAUUCAAAUUGCAAUCCAAGUAAUAUAACCUGGUAAUUUAUUUUAUCAUAUUGGCCUAAUAAUUUUUAAGGAAUAUAGUUAUUCAUAUAUUUAGUCAAAUAUGGUCAUAAUAAAAAUAAUAAAUGACUGAAUAUAAAUCAUAUUUAAUUUAUAUGUCAUUAUCUAAUGUUGUAGGAAUGAUGGUAGGUGUAUCGUGGAUACUAGAAUGACGAAGGAGACAAUAGAAUAUUAGAUUGAUCUUACUCCUGCAAUUACUUCUGAAUGAUAUUUUAUUAUCUUUCUUAUUUGUUGUUUUGGUGUAGAAGUAUAAGCUACAAUAUUUAUUAUAUUUUUGAGAAAAAUUAUAUAAUUUAUUUGUUAUCAAUACAUUUUAGCCUCCAAUUUUCAAUCUAAAAAAUUAUUACUUUUUUAUUACGGAAUUUUAGAAUUCAUGACGGAUCUAGAGCAGAUUUGGAUUUUAAUAUUUUUUUGGAUUUGGAGCAGAUAUAGAUAUUUAUUUCUUUUUUGGAUCUGGAUAUGGAGCGAAAAAUAUGGAUUCAUAACGGAUCUAGAGCAGAUACGGAUCUUAAUUUUUAUUAUGGAUUUGGAUCUGGAGCAGAGUAGAUCCAACCCAUAUCUGCCCCAUUGCCAUCCCUAAUAGGGAAAAUAACUUACCAUUUUAGUUACCGCAAUUUGGUCAUAGCACCUAUUUUCAUGUGCCAUGAUCAAUGAUCAUAUCACGUAUUUGACCAAAAAUAUUUUCGAUAAACAAUUAUAUUGUUUAUGUUGUCUUCACUGUGAGCUAAAGCUUCAUCAAGUACCCUUCCCAACCCUUUUAAUCUUUCAUCUUGAUGUUGGAAUCUUGUUGGCCUUUGCGGCCUUGUUGAAUUUAACCUCGCUUGUUUAAUUUGGGUUUUCUGACUUUGGUUGAGCCUUGUUGAUUCUUUUCUGCGGAGUUGGAAUAUUGCCCACCCCCAAUCUUUUCAUUAAACUUUUUUUUUUCAAACCCAACUUCUACAUUCGAAUUUUAAAAAGUAUGUGUUAAUAAAAAAACAUUAUGUUAUUUUAUUAUUGUUAAAAUUCAAAGUAAUAGUCUUUUUUUUCAACUACACAUAAAUUAAAAAAUUGUCUGCGUUCACUUGAAUGACAGAUAUUUUAAAUUAUAAUUUGAGUUAAAUUGUACAGAUUUGAUAAAAUGUUCUUGAGGAAUAAUUGUAUGAUUCCCAUGCUCUCAACAUGUUUGAUAAAAUGCCCAAGUAGGAACCAUGCCAUCCCAAUUCCGAGCUGAAGUGUUGAACAACGAGAUGAUGAUGAUACAUCUGCGGCGUCACCUCUACGAUUUCCCGCCCAAAAGCAAUCAAUCAACAAGGUCAAUUUCCUAAGCUGUUGAGUAUGAUUCAAUAAUAUAAAUUUAGAGUUGUGUGUAAUCAUAAAUUCUAUAACUUCUCAGGGGUGUGUUUUGGUCAGGAUCGGAGGUGAGAGGUGUGACAUCCAUCCAGUUUAUAUGGAGGAGUUUGACAAAACUACAAUCAAAUGGAAUCGCUUUACCACUUGUAAUCUGAAUGGAUCCCUCAAUUUUUUUUUUUUUUUUUUUUUGGCAUCAAAGAUGGUUGUAGCAACAAUUUCAAGGCGAAGCCUUAUUGCAUAUGUUGAGGUGAUGAGGAACCACAACCUCAAGGAUCCAUUUAGUGAACUCAAAUAAAGGGAGAAGCCUGCUUACUAUUCUCUGUAUAUUUCAGUAAGCAUGCAUCUUCAAUUUCAGUUGGCAAUUUUUAUUUUAUACAUGUUAAAUUACCACAAAACCAAAAUAUCAUCUCCAAAGUUGUUACCUUCCAUGAAUUGAAAAUGCUUUCAUGCUUGAUCAGAUUGUUUAAGUAUGCGUUCCUAAAAUAUACAAAAGUGCUCAGGAAAAUGGCACAGAAUAAUUAGUGUAUAAUAAAGUUUAUUUUUGGUAAUUUUUGAGAUGCAUAUGGUUUUAAAGUUCUCUUCAAAUAGCUGGACUUGCCGUAUACUAUAAUAUUGUUUACUAAGGCAUAACUAUCUUAUCCUUUUUUUUUUAUCUAUCAUUAAUAUUUACAUUUUUAUUAUUUCAUUAAUCUUAUUUAAAUUUACUUUGUAUUUGUAGAUAUAAUUUAAGAAUAUAAUAUUACUGUACUUACAUUUCCGUUUCGUAUAUAAUUUCCUGGAAGAUGCUCCAACAUCAGUUUUGUCGUUAUUAAAUAAACAAAAUAGGAAAAAAAAAAAGAUACAACAACUGAUGCUCCCAUUCACAAAGAACCAGAUAAUGUACAAGAGGCACUAGAUGACUCCAGACGGCUGCAAGCUAUGAAAGAAGAAUAUGAUGCUUUGAUUAAGAAUAAUACAUGGACAUUAGUUCCAAGACAGACAAGCUGGUCAUCACAUUGCUAACAAUAAAUGGGUGUGAAGGAUCAAGUAUAACAAAGUUGGAAGUGUAGCUAAGUAUAAAUUCAAGCUUAUUGCUAAAGAAUUUUAGCAAGUGGUAGGGGUGAAUUACUUUAAAACAUUUAGUCCAAGGGUUAAAUUAGCUAAUAUUAGAGUGGUGCUGAGCCUAGGAGUGAUGAACUAAUGGAAAAUAAGGCAAGUUAAUGUUAACAAUUCCUUUUUUAAUGGAGAGUUAACUGAGGAGGUACUCAUGUGUCAGCCGGAAGGCUUUAUUAAUGCUGAGAAACCUGAAUUUGUGUGCAAAUUGCACAAAUGUCUAUAUAGACUCAAACAAGUUCCUAGAGCUUAGUUUGAUAAGCUGAAAAGUUGUUUAUUGCAUUGGGGUUUUAUUACUACUAAUUUGGAUACCUCUCUUUUCAUCAGAAGAAACACUCAUUACAAGUCCAAGUACUAUAAAGUUAAAAAAGUUUUAUAACUCAGUUCAGUAAAGCAUUUGCCUUAAAAGACCUAGGAAUAUUAUCUUAUUUCCUUGGAAUUAAAGUGUUGUAAGAAGCACAUUGUGUGUAUUUGUCACAAAGAAAAUACAUCAGAGAUCUGUUGUUGAUGGGUGUCGAAGCCAACAAAAAUAAAUUCCUACUCUAAAUAAAUUGUGUAUAGUGAUUGAGCAGGGUCGUAUCCACAGAGAUCGGUAAUUAUUUAAAUCCUUUUGAAACGUAAAACGUAAAAUGGGGGAAUUGUUGACAAUAAUAAAAAUCAAAUUAAAAAUAACAAGAAUGCAAAUUAAAGUCGUAAUUCAAAUUGGAGAAAGCUCUGGUUGAAGGAAUUAACUCAGCUUGAUUCGAGUACUGAUCAUUGAUUCAAAUAUAGAUUAUUAUUACUCAUGAAUAGACCGGUUAUAGCUACUGAGACCCUCUAAUAGCCAAUCUCUCCUUAACUAGUCGAUAACCAAGGUACGACCGUUGGUUAUUUCCCUAAUCAAUAGACAACCCUAGAUACGAUCAUAGGAUUUAAUCAAUUGACAGCCUGAAAAACCAGAGAGACCCAAAUCCUAAUCAACACAUAUGAUGAUUCAUUUAAAUUAGAUUGUUUAUUCUCACAACACAACUCUCUGCUAUGUUAUUUGUCACAAACAUUAAAUUCUUCAUACGAUGAAUCCUUUAAUUGACAAUAGAUUAAGUUGAUAAUUAAAUAGUGGCCAAUUACCUAAUUAACAAACACAAUCAUGAAAAUAAUUCAGAGAAUAAACAAAUACCCAAAAAGUAAUAAAACAAUUAAAGCACAAGAAAGAUCUCACAGUAGUGAUGAAUCAAAGCUUUAUUAACCUUCAACCAGAAAAAUGGGUUUAGUUCCUCAUAGAGAGAAGAGAAAAAUUAGAUCUAGGGUUUCUUUUUCUCCAAUCUAAAUCCCCCCUUUUUCACAAUAGAUUCCUCCCUUAAAUACUCUCUCUCUCUUCUCUUUUAGAGUUCUAUUUAAAAUAAAAUACUAAUAUCUAAAAUAUUAAAUUCGUAAUUACAAAAAUAACCAAAAAUACAAAACACGUUAAACUAAAAACUGCAGGUCCGCAGUUGACAGCACGCGCCCACGCCUUAUCAAUAAAGUUCUUCUGCCGCUCAUAAUUUCUCCAAGAGAACAAUCAUCCUUAAAAAUCAUCUUGUAGCUCAAUUUUAUCACCAAUCAAUAGAAUUGCACCUACAAAAGUAAAACACAAGUAAAUCAUUAUUAUUAAGUGCAAAACAUUGAUAUUAAGGGAAGUAAAUAAUGCAAAACUAGUGCAUAAAUUGCACUCUAACAAAUUCCCCCACACCAAGAUGAUGCUUGUCCUCAAGCAUAUAACUCAAGAUUAAUCUCAAAUCUCCACUCAAUUCUCAUCUCAACUCAUCCAAAAACAAUUUUAAGCAAGCAUACCUCAAGAAAUUAAGUCGUUCAUCAUUCGAGAGACAAGGAUUUUAAAGCAUAGAAUUUCAUAAGAUAGAUUAAGAGCAUUCAACCACCAAGAAGAUCCAUUCAAAAUUCAAGUGCAACAAGAUUUAAUAACCCUCUCAUUGACUUCACUCCAUGCACUCAAAGUGUUUAGGGUGUCAUUUAUGCACUCAAAUCAAAUCAAAGAAUGCUAUUACCAUAAGCUUGCUUAUAUAUCACAUCUCAAUCCACAAAACAUGAAUAAAAUACAAAAAUCUAAGGGUCUUAAAAGGGUUGUAAUGGGGUUAAAUGAAAAAGAAAGGUUUACGAAAGAAAAAGAGAUCAAAACGAGAAGAAUGAACUCAUUGAAUGAACUUAUGAUAUCAAAAUGCUUAUUUCUACUCAAGUCACCAAGAAUGUAAACAUUUUUUUUUUUCGAUUUUUUUUUCUUUUUCUUUUUCUUUUUUUUUUCUUUUUUUUUCUUUUUUUUUUGUUUGUUUUUUUUUUCGAAUCAAACAAAAGAAACGAACCUUGCACAAUUGAAUUCAAGCAUAAUGCUUGUUGAUCUAAUUGAGAAACUUCAAUACAAGGUAGAAAAAGCAACAAAAUAUAUCCACACAAUGAGUCCAAAAAUCUCCUUAAAUUGAGGCUAAAAAAGAAGAAAAGUUGUUAAGUAGACGGAGAGAAUUAGAUGGGUAAUGGUUAAGGCUCAAACAAAGGUAGCAAAUAAAGGUCUUCGGGUAGAGAAAAAGGAAAAUGCGAGAAUAGAAAAAUGGUAAAUGGUUUGCCCUUAUCAUUUUAAUGCCUAAAAUCCCGUAAUGUGGCUUCAACAUGCAUAACAAAGCAAGUUCUAGAAUAAACAAACUAGGAUUGAUAUUCACAUAACAAAAAUAAUUAGAGCAAAAUGGUUGCUCAUAGGCUCAAAUCCUCACAAAGUUGGUAAAUUUGUCAUCAAAUCAUGUACACUCUUCAAAUGAAUCAACCAUCAAUAGUGGUGUAGAAUGAGAAGAAGGUAUGAGUGAGAUAUAAAAGGAAAGGUAAAAAAGGAUAAUAAGCGAGAAAGAUGUAUGUAGUAAAAAAAUGAAAGAUAAAAUGUGAGUGAUGAAAGAGUAUGAUAGGAAAAAAAAAUAGAUGUAAAUAAUUUGAGAUAGAUGGGAAAAAGGUAGUGAGAAAGAAAAGAAAAGAUAAAAUAAUAAUAUAUAAAGCAUACUAACUCCAAAAUCAUUUAAGGAUGAGUAGAGUGAAAAUAAAUGAGUAGAGUGAAAAUACUACUUCCAGACAUCAAUAAUGCAAAAAUCCCUCCCCCACACCAAGAACUUACAUUGUCCCCAAUGUAAGAUAAUCAAAGCUCACAUAAAAAUUAAAGCGUAAGGAUAAAAGUUUAAGGGCAAAAAGAAACUUCCCUGAAUUGUGAGUUUUGGUCCACAUAACGUCUAUGGGCUUGGCGGAAAUGGUGGGGUAAAUCCCACACUCUCGAAGUAUGCGGCCAAAUUCUGCUCCAUUUUGUUCAACUUGUGCUCCAUUUUCUCUAACUGAAUGCUCAAAGGUGGUGCGGAUGUAGAAGGAAUAGUUGGCGGGGCAACAGUGUCGUCGUCAAACUCGUCAUCAGAGGUAGCACCACUCCUAGCAUAAAGCUUCUUCGGAAGUUGAGUGGGUCCUGGUUCAGUAAACUGAAAUCUCCCCUCCUUGAAUUCGACCACACCUGUUCUUUCAAACACAGACAUAUCCAAAAAUUCCUUUUUGCAAGCAGGAUGCAAAUCAUUAUUGUCAGGAUCAAGCACACAUAGGUUUAUAGCUAACAGAGUAAUGUAUGGACCAAGAAAUAAAGUCCUAUACCGUUUAAGCACACUUUGAAAUUGAUCCGCUAACCAAAAACCUAAAUUAGGCCUCACAUCAUUUAACAUGCACCAGAUAAAAUAAAAUUCAGUUUUAGAGAAAAUUCCUGAGUGAUCUUUCUUGCCUAAAAAAUUAUAUGCUAAGAAUCGAUGCACACAUUUCAAAACAGGAUCACGUAAGAAAGAACUCUUUGAUUUACUCGGGUCAUAGGCAUUGUGAUCAACAGAUAAAUUACGCCAAAGACCAUAAGGCUCAAAAUUUUCACCAAAGUCACAAGUUGUUCCUAAAUAUUCAUCACUAGUAGAAUGAUCAUCAUCAAUGAAUCCUAAAGCUAGGUUAAAAUCCGUGAUAGAGUGUGAAAAAUUUCGUCCCAUUAACCUAAACUUAAUGACAUCCGGGGUAUGCAAAGUAAAAUCAUUCGGCAUAGUGAAUUGAAAAGUAGCAUAAAACUCCCUAAUCAACUCAACAUAACCCAAGCAAUCAACAUCAACAAACUUACGCAACCCAAUCUUAUCUAUCAAAGAAUCAAAAUUAUCUUUAACAUUUAAUUUUUCAAGAGUCGGGUAAUGAAUAUACUUAGCUGGAAGUAUUUUGCGCGUGGAAAUAUCUUUGUACCUCUCUUUCUCUUGUUGAGUCGCGAAUGCGAGGCACCCUCCGAGAUUGGAUUCCGCAAGUGGCAAAACACUCAUGCCUUUUCCAUGCUUCGAUCUUUGUCUCACGGCUUGGCGUGAAUCUGAAAUUAUGUUCCAUGGAACCGUAGUGGGAGCGGCAAUCUUAGAUUUCUUUGCGACGGGUGUCUUUUUCGACGACUUGGAAGUAGAUGCUUUCCUCUUCGGCAUUGUUACAAUAAUUGCACUCACGGAUUUCGAUUUACCCGGCUGGAAUACAGGGCGUAGGCUGGUUGUGUUGCGCUUGCUGCUCGGCUGGAGCUUGUUGCGCGAGUUGGGGCUGGUUGUGCGCGCUGCUGAGGCUUGCUUUGCGGGUGAUGGCUCAUUGCUGUGCGGGGCUGUUGCGCGAGUUUGGGCUGGUUGUGCGCGCUGCUGAGGCUUGCUUUGCGGGUGCUGGCUCGUUGCUGUGCGGGGCUGUUGCGCGCGAGAGCCAGUUCGCGUUGCGGGUCUGCGUUGCGGAUCUGUUGCGCUGCGCGCGCGGGACUGAUGUGCUGCGCUGAGGCUGAUUCGCGCUGCUGCUGGUUGCGGUGCGCGAUGCUGUGCGCGGCGGCUGGGGCUGAUUCGCGCUGCUCGCGCGGGCUGGGGAUGCUGGAGCUUGCUGCUGGUUCUGGGCGUACUCGUCUGCUGCUGCUGGUUGCGCGGUGAAGGCUGGAGCUGAUGCUGCUGUAAAACGAUAAUCAACAGUAAUUUUUGAAUUAGGGAUUUGUGAACAGUGAUUUUCGAUUUUUGGUUUUUUUUUUUUUUUUUUUUUUUUUUUUUUUUUUUUUUUUUUUAGUGAUGAAUCACUUUGAGACACUAAAAAUUUCAGAAGUACUUUUCUAAUAAGUACGUGGGCACGCCUUAUCAAAAAUUUUCUUCUGACCAAAAUAAGCAAACACAUUAAAUUUCAGAAGUACUUUUCUAAUAAGUAUGUGGGCACGCCUUAAAACUUUGAGACAUUAAAAAUUACAGAAGUACUUAUUAGCUAAGACGUGGGCACGCCUUAUCAACAAAGUUCUUCUGACCAAAAUAAGCAAACUCAUUUUUUUCAUUUUUUUUUUUAAAGAAGAUAAAACAAAAACCAAAAUAAACAAAUCAUUUGGGUUGCCUCCCAAAAAGCGCCUUUGUUUUAUGUCUUUGGCUAGACACAUUUAUGCAUCAAUCUCCAUAAUUGGGACUCUCGAGAGCCACAUCCUCCACAAUAUUCACCGAAAAACCUUCAUAAAAAGGUUUUAAGCGAUGACCAUUAACUUUAAAAACUUUGUCAGAGGUCGGACUCCGAAUCUCAACUGCACCAUGAGGAAAAACAUUAGUAACAAUAAAAGGUCCAACCCAGCAAGAACGUAAUUUACCCGGAAAAAGUUUAAGCUUAGAAUGAAAAAGAAGAACUUUUUGACCAACAGAGAACUCAUUUCUCAAAAUCAUUCUAUCAUGAAAUGUCUUCGUCUUUUCCUUGUAAAAAACUUCCUACGCUAUAGGGUUAAUAACAUCUACAGAAAAUACCGAAUGUUCCUCACUAGGAUAUUUCAUGGCAUCAUUCAUAUUGAAUUCUAUAACCUCUCCAUCAAACUCCAUAGUGAGAGUCCCUUUAUGUACAUCCAUUUUAGUCCUAGCAGUCUUAAGAAAAGGUCUUCUUAGCAAAAUUGGGACAGAAUUAGAGGAGUUAUCAUCUUCCAUAUCAAGUACAUAAAAAUCAGCAGGAAAAACCAACUCAUUAACUUGUACUAAGACAUCUUCUAAUACCCCAUCAGGAUAUGCAUUAGACCUAUCAGCUAGUUGAAUUAUCACGCCAGUUUCUUUUAAUGGACCAACAUUCAAAGAUGAAUAAAUGGAACGAGGCAUGACAUUAAUAGAAGCUCCUAGAUCUAACAAAGCCUUUUCAAUUCUAACACUACCAAUUUUACAAGGGAUAGUAAACAUACCUGGAUCCUUGCACUUAGGAGGUAGUUUCUUUUGGAGAACUGCUGAAACAUUCUCCCCCAUGUGAACUUUUUCAUCUCCUCUUAAUUUUCUCUUGGAGGUGCACAGUUCCUUAAGGACUUUAGCAUAUCGAGGUAUUUGUUUUAUAGCAUCUAAUAAAGGAAUAUUUACCUCAACCUUGCGAAAUGUCUCAAGGAUGUCUUUCUCUUGUUCCUCCUUCUUGGAUUUUGCAAACCGGCUUGGAAAAGGAGGAGGUAUCACAAUAGGUAGGGGUUUCGCUCUGGUGGGUUUUGCAUCUUGAGAUUGAGGCAUCAAUUCAUUCUUCUCAAGCUCAUCUUCUACAUGCUCUGUCACUUUCUUACUAGGCUCUUGCAACUCCUUCCCACUUCUAAGGAUGACAGCACUAACGUUUUGCUUUGGAUUCACCUCAGAUUGUGAAGGCAAUCUCCCUAGUACUUGAGACUCCAGACGGCUCACUGUAGUCGCCAAUUGACUCAUUUGGUUCUCCAAGUUCUGAAUGCUUGCUGUAGUUGCCUGUUGAAAUUGUUGAGUGUUAGUCGCAAGUGAUUUAACAAUUUCUUCAAGAGAUAUACCUGACUUGGAAUUAGGUAUUAUAUGUAUAAUACAAGUAGAAAUCUGCUGAUAUUUAUAGUUAGAAAUCGCUGAAAGGUUCUUUGCCUGUUUCCGCUUGUAGGGGCUGUGUUCAGAAACUGUGAGGGAGAAUAUUUGGGGAUUUCUCUUGUCCAUUACAUGUUGAGACGACUUUUGUUGCUGAACUGUUGGUUGUUAUCUUGGCUAUAGAGCAUGCUUCUGUUGGAGGUUGGACUAUGUUGUGGAUCAACUUAUUUUUGUUUGUUCUGCAAGAAUCAUAACGAGUGAGAAGAUGUCUGGAUUUCUUCACUAUUAAAAAACUACCAGUAUUUAUUUAAUAUGUUUAGACAAGUCACCAAGGUUACUAGUUUCCUGUCUUCAGUGUGUGCAUGUGUAUGUGUAUAUUUGUAUCAACAAUAAGAUUUUUACCAAAAUAGCGUUCAUAUUCAUCUCGUUAUUGCAACAACCAACUUGCCUACGAUUUUCCAAUAAAAUUUACAUGAAAAGAUUUUAUAGUAUAUUGUUUUGUGAAUGAUGUAGUAGAGCAGUGGAGAUCUAGAACUUGACAGGGAGAGGCGGUAGAAUCUGAUCAAUGAAUAUCUACAUACGAAGAGUUACAGACGAAUAUAGAGAAGAGUUACAAACAAUGUAGAUAUAUACAUGAAGAAUAUUAGCCUAGAGAUUAAUCAAACACAUGUUAUGACUUGAUCACUUCCAUUUUGUAGAUAUAUAUAAUGUAAUUUUUUGACACUACGUUACGUUCACGCCAACUUUAACUCACCAACACAAAUCUUUUCUUGUUCUGUUCAACCUGCAGGAUUGAAUCAGACUUUAUUAUGGAGAUUGUCAAUGGGAUAUCAAGUAAAAUUCCUAUAAAAUCAUAGACUCUUAAGGAGGUAGUAGGAAUAGAUUCACACUUGGAGAAGCUUAUCUAUCUUAUGGAUAAAGGGCCUAAUGAUGUUUGUAUGAUAGGGAUCUGUGGUGUGGGAGGUAUAGGUAAGGGGACUCUUGCAAGGGUUGUUUAUGACUUGAUCUUUCAUGAAUUUGUAGUAAGUAGUUUUCUGGCCAUUGUUAGAUAAACCUCAUACAAAGGCGGUCUGAUUUCCUAACAAAAUGGAAUGUAUAUAAUGUUAUCAACAUAACAGGAAGUAGGCUACGACACAAAAAGGUUCUUCGUGUUAUGGCUUACGGCAUUUACAAAGUUUAGCUAGAAAGUUCAGGCAGCAGGAUCAUCAUAACAUCAAGAGAUAAGCAUUGUUGACAACACAUGGAGUGGAUGAAUUGUAGGUCCUGAAGCAAAUACAUUGUGAUGAAGCUCUUAGACUCCCUUGUAUGACAACACAUCUGUGGCAUGAGAGGUAUAGGUAAGUGCAAUGCAUGUAUUUUGAGUUCAUUAUUCUAAAAGUCAAGAAAUGAAAUAUAAAAUUGCUAUCACUAUAUAAUGCAAAGUAAAACAUUUUAUGUAAUGCAGCCUACAUUUUAUUCAUUUUUUUAUGGUACACACAAAAUGUUUUCCUUUGCCCAAGCUAUCAAUUGUACAAUGUAAGCUUUCAAGGAGAUCCUUUGGUCAUAGUUACAGUGAUCCGAAGGGCAUGACUUUGAGCCCUGAGAAAGGUCUGCCCACAUUUGCUCAAUUCAACCUUUGAUCUUAUCUUCAAGACUAUUCCAGAUUAUUCUCAUCUCUUGCUGAAUCACUCUUAUGAGUCAUCUGACAUGCUUGACUCACAGAGGUGUUUCAUUGAGCAUUUUGCUCAUUUUAUCGAACGUUAGUUUUGCUCAACAUUCUAUGCUUUAAAUCUAUGCAUAAAUAAUUUUAUGGACAUCUUCACAUCCUAUUCUUCACUUCUCAUCUGCUUUUAUGAUUUUUAGGGAACUGAAAUAGUCGAAUGCAUGGUACAUGGCUUUUCAGAACUUAAGGUUCAUUCUAGCGCAGAUGCUAAUGCCUUCCGGAUGAUGAACAAGUUAAGAUUGAGCAGAAUUCAGAAUUCGCAACUUCCUCAAGGCCUAGAUUACCUCUCUAAUGAGUUAAGAUUACUUAAAUGGUAUAGGCAUCCACUUAAAAUCCUUUCCACCAAAUUUCCAACUGGAUAAAACUUUCAAGCUUAAGUUGUGUGAAUGCCGCAUUGAAGAAUUGUGGAAGGGAAUCAAAGUAAGAUCACUUACUUUUGUGUUUAUUAGUGAAUAAUUGUUUUAUUUUUUCCCUUUAAAUUUUGAAAUUACUUUCUAAGUUUAUACGAGAAGUAUCGUUGUAAAUUAAGAAAAAUUUCUUCUUGGUCCUUUAUGUUUCCAACAGCCUUUGAACAUGUUGAAAGUCAUGAAACUCGUGCAUUUGGGGCAGCUGUGAAGCCGCUCUCCACCCUAUAUUUUAGGGGAAUAUCCCCUAUAAUAAAACGUGAGCUGCCCCAAACGGAAGCUCAACCAUUCACAGAACCUGAUUAAAACACCAGACUUCACAGGGGUCCCAAAUUUAUAGAAGUUCAUUCUCGAAGGAUGCACAAGGUUGCACGAAAUUCACCCAUCUUUGCUGCUUCACAAUAAGCUCAUUGUAUUGAAUCUUAAGGAUUGUACAAGUCUCAAACUCUUCCAGGCAAAUUUUUUAUGAAAUCUUUAAAAACACUUAGUACUUUCUGGUUGCUCAAAGUCGAAGAAAUUUCCAGAGAUUGUGGGAAAUAUGAAGUUUCUGCGGGAGCUUCUUUUGGAUGGAACUGAUAUUAAGGGACUACCAUUAUCAAUUGUACUUUUAUCUGGAAUUGUUCAGUUGGAUUUGAAAGGCUGCAAAAAUAUUAGUUGUCUUUCAAAUUUCAUAAGUGCUUUAAAAUUUCUUUCCACUUUCAAUCUCUCUGGCCUUUUGAAAUUCAGAUUGCCUCUAGAGAUCAUGGGACGUAUGGAACAUUUGUUGGGCGCUUCGGUUGUUGGGAACCACUAUAAGAGGAUUGCUAGUGUCAACUGAAUAUCUCUCUGUCAUUGUUUUGCUAAAUUAAAAAGGUUGCAAACAUCUCUCAAGUCUUCCAGUUACUAUAAGUAGUUUAAAAUGUAUAAGAACUCUUAACGCUCUCUGGUUGCUCGAAGCUGGAAAAGUUUCCGGGAAGUAUGAAAUCUCUGACUAUGCUUAUUUUAGAUGGAACUGCUAUUCGAGAAUUGUCGUUGUCAGUUGAACUUCUAACUGGCCUUGUUGUGUUGAAUUUGAAAGAUUGGCAAUAUCUCUCGAGUCUUCCAAGUACAAUCAAUGGUUUGAAAUCUCUUAAAAUUCUGAAUGUCUCUAGUUGCUCGAAACUUGAAAUUGUGCCAGAGAACUUGGGUAAAGUAGAAAGCUUGGAAGAGCUUGACAUUAGUGGAACAGCAAUUAGGCAACUUCCGACCUUUAUUUUUCUCUUAAAGAAUCUUAAAGCAGUGGACCACUAUCAUCUACAUCAUGGGAUUUGUGCUUCCUUCCCAAUAUGAUGUGAAGGAGUUUAGAUCCCAUGACUAAUUUGAUAUUACCUUCUCUAUCAGGCUUAUGUUCUUUAACAAAAUGGGAUCUCAGCAACUGUAAUCUACCAAUGGAAGGAGGAGAAAUCCCAAGUGUUAUUUACCACUAAUGCCUAUUGUUCAAGAAUGAACUAGAAUCUAAUUCCAAGACUAGACGCAAUGUCGGCUGAAUAAUAAAUGAUAGUAUGAACUGCUCUCGGUUACCCCUAGAGGACUCAUGUACGACGUCUAGCUCAGGUCGUCUAAAUUUAGUAAGUGAGUGCACGCUUUGGUCACGUGCACUAACUUAUACAUAAUGAUCAAACGACCCGAAAAGACUGCCGUUUUGAUGAGCAUUACUAUCAUUAUAUGGCUGUUAAAUCGGUUAGAAAGGGUGGGAGAUUAUUACAAACCCAUAACAGGCUGAUGACCGAUGAGGUAUAUUGUAUGAUGUCCAUUCAGUAGCUUGUAAUUUUCUCUCUAAGUUUGUAAGUUGUUCUGAGAAAACAAAUAAAGCUUGCCAAAGAAAGCAUAGGCCAUUGUAGCUAAACAUCUUGGAUUUUUAAUUUCUUGAUAAACUAUAUAUUCAUUUGAAUUAUGUAAUAUGAAGAUUUUUGUAUCAUUAGUUUGUGCUUGUUGGUUUUUUAUUUCUUUCAUUCUAAUAUACAAUUAUAAUAGGAAAAAUGACAUUUACACCCCUUGAAUUUGAGGAAAUGGUCACCAACACCUCCAAUUUAAAAAAAAACAUUAAAACCCCUUUUUGACAAUUAACCCUUUAAAAAAUUAAAUUUAAAAUUUUUAGAAAAUAGAAAUAUUAUAUAAAUAAUGUAAUCUAUGCAAUAGACUAAUAAUAUUAAAAUAAUUUAAUAUUUUAAUAAAUUUAAAUAUAUAAAUUGUUAUAUUUAUUUAAUAAUAUAUUUUAUUUAUUUUAGAUAUUUUAAAUAAAUAUUUGCAUUAAAUAUAUUUUACAAUUAAAAAAAUCUCACAUACUAAUGUUAUUAUUAUUUUACAUAAUAUUCAAAAUAAUUUAAAUUUUAAUACACUUGUUUUAACAUUAUGAUUCUAUUUAUUAUCAAAUUUAAUUUUAUAUACUAAAAUAUAUCUAAUAGAUUGUAAAAUAUUAAAAUAUUUUUGAAGUAUUUCUAUUUAUUAUAAAACAUUAGAGUUGAUUCUUUUUUGGAUAAUAGAGGUUAAAGGGUAUUAUCAUUAAAAGAGGGUCUUGAUGUUCCAUUUUGAAAUUUUGGGAGUGUUGGUGAUUAUUUCCCUAAACCUUGGGGGUGUAGAUGUCCUUUUUCCCAUUAGAAUAUCUUUUUUUGGCUAUUAUACCUUUCAAUUAUAGUAAUAUUAAAAUUGAUUUUAAAUUUUAAAAUAAAUACAAAUAUAAUAUUAGAAUAAAUAAACAAAAAUUAAUAAUUUUUAUUUUGGAAUUCCAAAUAUAUUGUUUUCAACAUCAGAAAUUAUAGUAUUUCAACUGGAUGACAUCCUAAAAUAAAAAUUAUGGAAAAGAAAUCAGAUUGCUAUUAUUAGACUAAAUGAUAAAAAAUUAAUUUUAUUUUAGAAUUAUUUAAAAGAAAUUAAUCGCAAAUAAAAAAAAAUUUAAAACAAUUGACCCUGGGCCGGCCUCGUUCGUCUUUUUAUAUAGAAUUGCAGGUCAAGAGCAUGCCCAGAACAUGUUUGACGAAAUACCCAAGAAGGAAUGCAUCCAUCUGAUAUGUUGAAGAGCACCGACAUGAUGCAUCUGUUACGGUAACUUUGUGAUUUCCUAAGCAAUCAGAAUCAAACAGUCAACAAAGUCAACUUUAUGAUUUCCCAGUUAAUCAACAAAGUCAAUUAUGCUACAACUUUAUGAUACAUCUAUUGCCACAAUUUUUUUUCACGUAGAAAAUUCAAUUAAAUUAAUUUAAUAUUGUCCUGGCUCAAACAUGCUGCCGCUUUGCUUGUAGUGCGGGUUUUCGGGUCCUUCAAUUUGCUGGUAGUGUACUUUUUCGUUUGCUGAUUAUGAUUAUUUCGGAGCCAAACUUAUAAAUUUAAUUCGAAAAGAAAAAUUUUAGGAACUUAAGUAAGAGGCUGUUGAAUCAAUUGCUUGCAACAGGAGCAUUCUGCAGGGAGUUUCUCCAUAUGUUCUGUCCCCCGCAAACAUUUCACAAACCAUUUGCGUGUUGCUUUGGAACAAAAGGGAGCCGUUUUAUUUAGGGACGACCAGGAACUCGAGAGAGGAAAAGUAAUUUCACCAGGACUACUUACAGUAAUUGAAGAAUCAAGAAUUUUAAUAAUUGUUUUCUCAAGAAACUAUGAGUCUUCCACUUGGUGUUUGAAGAACCAAGAAUUUCAAUAAUAUCUUUCAUAAAUUUGAAGUCAGAAAACAACUAAAUCAUCUUAAAAAGAAAAAAAAUUAUAAUUUACACUUUUAAAAACAAUUAGAUCAAAUCUCUUCAUUGGCAGCUAACAACAUCAAUUCCAUAUCCAAGUCAGCAAGUUUGGAAAGGUUCAUCCGCCGCUUGGAUUGCUGAAUCGCUCUUUUGGAUAAAUUUUCCGGCUUUUAAUAAAAGAAAAUUGGAAAAGGAAAUUAUAGAGAUUGAACAAUUAGCAACAUAAAAAAGUUAAAAUUACUAACAAAUGAGCAAUUAUACUUUUCCAGCAAGUGAUUUCUGCUUUCUUAGAUUGCUGAGACGAUUAACAUGAAACUAGUUUUUUCUUCUUUUUUUUUUUUGGCAACAGAUAAAAGAAACUGAGUGAUUGAACAAUUAGAGAGACACAAUGUCCAGCCUGGACUAGAUUUGAGUAUUUGACGAAUAAAAAGAACAAUAGGAAUUGAUUUUUUUAUUUUUUUUUUGGGGUAGUUUCAAGUGAUGGAUUAUAGAAAGGAUAGAAUGAAAAAUAAGGAUAAAUUGGGGAGUAAAUGGGGUACAGUAAUAAGAAAUAAGAAUAAUUUAUUUUUAAGAGAUGGGCCAGAUGAAAUAAAAUGAAGCGUUCAAAUAUCACUUUUUCUAUAGUGUUGGCCAAUUAGCACUUUUUUUUUUUUUUUUAGAAGAAAGGGAUUCAUUCAUUAACUGAGUUAAAAAGGUACAUAAUUUUUUAAGGGUAUGACCCUUUCCAAAUAGCAGUUUCACCACUUUCUAAAGCUCUCUUAGCUAAAGAAUGAGCAAUGGCAUUACAGGAUCUUAAAAUGUGCUGGACUUUGACAGCAUUAAACUCCUUCAUUUUGCUUUGCACCUCUAUUAUUUCCCAUUGGAUCUCUGUUCUGCUGCUCUUUUUGCUGUUAACCAAAUCAAUAGUCUCCUGAGAAUCUGAUUCCAUGAUGAUAUUUGGCAAUUUUGCAUGCUUUGCUAUGCUUAGACCCCAGCUCACAGCUUCUACUUCUGCAUGAGUUACAUCACCAUGAAACUUUGUGACCUUUAUUGCAGUUGCCACAAAAUUUUCCCCCGCAUCCCUUAUGACAACUCCCAGGCCAGCACAUUGGUUUUUCACGUUUAUGGCUGCAUCAACAUUGAUUUUACACUAAUCUAGUGGAGGGCGGCUCCAGCCUCUUGGAAUCUUUUCUUUCUGCUCAGCAAAAUCCUUUCGGGUUUGUGCUUUGACCUUUUAAACUCUUCCACUACUGAUUCAGCUUUCGCAGCUAGGAUUCUAGGGUCUUCUCUCUUCCCUUUGAAUGACACUUGAUUUCGGGCACUCCAUGCUACCCAAAACAUAGCCGCCACCAUCUCAGUAUCAGCCUUGCCAAUCCUUCUUUCCAGAUCUUGAAUUACACUGAGAAUGUCCUGAGUUGCAAUGCUUCUGAGCUCUACUGCAGCCUCAGUUACCUUCCAGAUUCUGCGGGCUGACCUGCACUCCACCAACGCAUGGAAAGUAUUCUCCAAAGCAUUUCAACAGAGCUGACAGAGCGGUUGGGCUAGAAUUUUCCUUUUCCACAGAUUUGCAGCUAUUGGGAGGAGAUUUUUGGCUGCUCUCCAAAUGAAAAUUUCGAUUUUCUUAGGCAAUGACAUAGUCUAUAUAAUAGGCCAUGGACUUGCUUUCUAAUUUGAGCAUCCUCGAGAGUCUUCUAGCGUAAUCCUCAAUGCAACUUGAUAUCUGCUUUUCACAUUAUAAUUUCCUUUUUUAUCAAAAUGCCACAGGACUUGAUCUGCUGUUGGUUGUCUAGGGAGUGGGAUUCUUGUAAUUGUAUCAGCAUCUUCUUUCACAAAGUGUUGGUAUAUCAGCCCAACCUUCCAUUGAUUAUCAUCAUCAAUAAGCUCCGAAACAGUCACAUCAAUUGGCAAAGAUGGAAGGGAAACUGGUUUGAAUGUCAAUGGCCUCGACAUCCAGUUUCCUCUAUAAAUUUCCACUUGAUCACCUCUUCCAAUCCUCCAUCUUAUCCCUCUAUUGAUAACUUCUCUCCCCCAUAAUAUACUUCUCCAAAUAAAUGAGGGUCUGAAGCCUAACUUUGCAUUAAGAAAAUGACAGUUCUUAAAGUAUCUUGCUUGUAAGAUCUUUGACACCAUAGAAUCUGGGAACUGCAAUAUUCUCCAGCCUUGUUUCGCUACCAGAGCCUGGUUAAAGCUUGCGAAAUCUCUAAAGCCUAAUCCUCCUUUUUGCUUUGCUUGGCUUAAGCUCUCCCACCUUGCCCAAUGGAUGCCUCUUUUUUCCGCAUUACUACUCCACCAAAAUCUAGAUAUCACCUUUUGGAUGUCAUCACAAAUGCCCAAAGGAAGCUUAAAGACACUCAUAGCAUAUGCUGGAACAGCCUGUGCUAAGAAUUUGUAUUGCCAGCUCGAAAUUUUACUCAUCACCCUCAGCUUUAUUUCAUUGAAGAAACCUUUCCUUUUUCUCCCCACUAUGGACGGCAGCCCCAGGUAUUUCUCAUGCCUUGAGACUACAUUUAACUGAAAAAUGUUUUUAAUUGCUGCAACGCUUCCACUAUCUGUGUUCUUGCUGAAAAACAUUGAAGAUUUGUUAUAGUUGAAGAGCUACCCUGAGGCUGUUGCGUAGCAAUAAAAAAUCCGCUUAAGGUGUUGGCAAUCUUCAGCCGAGGCUCUUGAGAAAAUCAGGCUAUCAUCCGCGAACAUGAGAUGUGAAACAUUGAUGCUGUUGCCAAACCUGAGGCCAUGAAUCAGCACUCUUCCUUUUGCCUUUUGCAGCAUAACAGAGAACACCUAUGCACACAUGAUAAACAAAUAAGGAGAGAGAGGGCAGCCUUGUCUUAGGCCCCUCUGAGGGUAGAUUAAGCCUUUUGCUGUGCCAUUUAUAAGGACUGAAAAGAAUGAAGUUGUGAUGCACCUCAUGAUUAGGUUUACCCAUGAUCGAGGAAAUCCUAAUUUAAUCAUUGUUUGUUCCAAAAACAACCACUCCACCCUAUCGUAGGCCUUACUUAUAUCAAGCUUUAGAGCCACAAGCCCAUUUCUCUUCCCUUCACUAUGCCUAACCUUAUGUAAGCAUUCAUAACCUAUGAUAAUGUUGUCAGUUAUGAGUCUAUUUGGAAUGAAAGCACUUUGGGUAGGGGAGAUGACUUGGUGGAGAAUGUGUUUAAGCCUAUUUGCAAUAGCUUUAGCCACAAUUCUAUAAAUGACAUUACAUAAGCUUAUAGGUCUAAAAUUGGUCACUUUCCUAGGCUUUUUAGUCUUAGGAACUAGAGCAAUAUAUGUGUGGUUAAGAGGGGUUAUUGUACCUUGCUCGUUCAGAAUAUGCAAACAUGUAGUCACCACUCCACUUUUUACCAUUUUCCAAUGCUUUUGGUAGAAGAACGCUGGAAAUCCAUCGGGUCCUGGUGCUUUGGUGGGGCACAUUUGGGAUAGGGCUUCAAGAAUCUCUUCUUCCGUAAUGGGUUGUUGCAGCUGAUCAUUCAUCUCCUCAGUGACUCUUGGAGUUAUUUCUUCUAGGGCAGCAUCUAACUGAUUCUGGUCUGGUCUAGUUGUUGAGAACAAGUUAGCGAAGUAUGCACAUAAUUCUCUUUCUACUUCCUCCCCCAUCACUAUCCAGUUCCUUUGGCUGUCUUGAAUGCCCCAAAUCCUAUUCUUCCUCUUUCUCGAUGAGGCUUUUGCAUGAAAAUAUUUAGUGUUCUUGUCCACUUCUUUAAGCCAAUCAACCCAGGAUCUUUGUUUCCAAUAAAUUUCUUCAUCUAUCAAAAUAUUUUGGAUAUGCCUUUUCACCCUUUUGAUCUCCUCUCCAUUGCUAUACUGCCUCCCACUGAACCUCAGCUCUUUUAGCCUAGCCACCGGCUUAUCCAACUUCUUUUUCCUCCCUUUGAAUUCUUCCCUGCUCCAACACUUCAGCUGGGCCAUGGAAUCUUUAGUUGUUUUUUUGAACAGUUAGACAGGAUCAGCAUGCUUCCAGUCACCAUGCUGGCUCCAUUCUCUUUGAAUUAUGUCUUUACAGCCCUUAUAACUACUCCACAUAUCUUCAUAAUGCACCCGCGAAGUACUUCGCUUUGUGUAGCUCAGUCUGCUUCCUCUUUCAUUCACCUCCAUCAAAACAGGACAAUGAUAUGAGGUCCAUGUUUCUAGGUUGAUGGCAGCACAAUCGUCAUAAAUCUCCCGCCAAUUCUUACUACACAAAAAUCUAUCCAAUCUUUCUUCUACAAAGCCAGGACCCUACCUACCAUUACCCCAUGUAAAACGGGUAACCUUUACAGCCCAUAUAAACUAGAUUACACUCUUGCAAUGCCUCUCUAAACUCACUUAUCAUGUUUGGAUUUCUCUCAUUACCACCUAUUUUCUCCCUAGGGUGUAAAAUUUCAUUGAAAUCACCAAAGCACAACCAGGGGUAUCAAACAAACCUGCAAGUCUCCUCAGUAUUGUCCAAGUAUGUUUCUUCUGCCCCGCUUCAGGGUGCCCAUAGAUUCCCGUGCAUCUCAUCCAACUUCCUUUGUCAUCUUGAACCUUGGCAUCAAUGUGGUGGCUGCUGAAUGAAGUAACAUCCACAUUGACAUUAUUGUCCUAAAGCAUUGCCAAUCCCCCUCCCUUCCCGUUUCUAUUGACUGCAAAACAAUUUUCCAAUCUCAACUUCCUGUUCACUAUAGACAUUUGCACAGGCAUUAAUUUCGUUUCACAUAAAAACAACAAAUGUGGCCUGUGUUGAUGGAGAAUUUUUUACAAAGCUAGGAAUGUCCGGGAAUUCCCCAAACCACAGACAUUCCAACUGAGGAUCUUCAUUGUUACCGGUAGGGCUGCCCACCAGCCUCCGCCGAUAUCUCUGUGAUGAUUGGCCUUGCCACCUCCAUGUCAUCUACUGACAUUAACUCCCAUUUUAGCUCAAGGUUUGCUGAAGAAGGGGAUUGCUGAGCUUGUCUCUGUAUUUGUUUAAUGGGACUAACCAACUUGACUCUUUUUUUUGUUUAGGUUGUUUUCUUUCAACAUGCAAUGUGGCCUCUUAGCUGGAUAUGUCUCCCGCUUGAUUCCUCCCAUCUCGCUUUGUUUUCGGGCCUAGCGUUUCUAGCUUUUUCUAUUGGGCUUAAUUUGAUUUAAUUCCGGUCCAUCAUCUACACCUUCCUCGUCUUCUUUACAAACUUGAGCCUUGGCUCUUUGAUCCAUUUCUUCGGUAGCCAAUUUUCCUUCUUUGCUAAAUUUUCCGCUUUCCCUCUCAUUUUCAUCAACUUUUCCCGCGUUGCUGCUCAUCUUGCUAGGGGCCUUUUCAUUGUCAGUGGCUGCAGGUUGCUUGUAGCAGUCCACUCUCUGAUCUCCUAAUUUUUUCCAGCUGAGCAUUAAAUGCGUUUCUUCUGCUUCCUCUUCAUUAUUUUCUUUAUUGGCUGCCACGUGUGUGUCUUCCUGGUCUGAGCUUGAUUCUGGUUCUGUUGCAUUGGUCCUAUGUGAUUGAAGGGGUUGCUGCGCCUGGGACAUUGGAUUUUCCUUGAAGUCUUUGUGCCUGUUAUUAGUUGGCUGGUUAACCAUUUUGCCACUAACUUUUGUUCCCCUUUCAUGGGGUCUGCUUAUUUUUUAUUUGCCAAAUACAGGGACCACUUGCAUCCAUACUCCAUAAGCCAGUUUCUCUUUUGGUUGCCCCUCGUAUUUGUUGCACUCCUUGUAUUGGUGCCUGACGAGACCACAACAAAAGCAAAAUUCGGGCAAUCUCUCGUAAACUACUGGAAUUGGGACAUCAUCUUCUCCUUCGAGUUCUAGAUAAAUUGUUCUGCUUUAUGCAUUUGUUACUUCAACUCUAUGAUUUCCCAAGAAAACAAUCAAUAUGUGAAUGUUUAGGUGCAGAAAACAUGGGCCAGCAGCUUGUAAGAACCAGGGAAAAAAGCAGAACAAUUUCAAUUCUUUGAAACCGAGUGCAGUUAAGUAAAUUCAUAAUUUCAUAACUUCUUUUAUAAUAUGCAAAUUGUAUUACUUCUAUAUGAAUUGCUUUUAGUGUGGUUAAACAGAGUGUUUCAGACUCAUGGAACAAGAAUGUUGAUAAGGUUAGCAAGCAAUGAACAGCAGAACUGAUUGAGGAAACUCAGGCUCAGAUUCUCACUAGUCCUGCAAUUAACAACUGGAAAGGUUAAAUCAAAUAAUAGCAAAUUCAAAUCUUAGGUGGCCACUUCUUUUGGCUCAGUCAAAAGUUCAGGUUUGAUAGCAGGUUCUAUAAUAUCUCCCCCGCCAUGCACACAUCAUUAUCUUAAUUUUAUCAUGCUUGUAUGCCUGGAUGGAUGCUUGUAUGCUUGACUUCUGCCACAUUUCCAUUUCCGUACACAUUCAAUAUACAGUAGUGGCUCGACCUCUAGGCAACUUAGGUGGUUGCCUAGGCCCCCUCUUUACAUGAGGGCCCCAUGAGAUGAUUAUUUUGUAAAUAAAAGAAAAACAUGAAUUUAAAAGUCAUUAUUAUUCAUUUAAUUUAUUAUUAUUUUAUAAUUAUCUUUUCCUAAAUAAACUAUCAAAUUCCUAUAAAGUUUAUUUAAUAUAAUACUUAGUAGUUUUAAUUCCUACAAAACCGAUAAAUUCCAGAUUCUAUCUUUUUACUAUUCUCUUAAUUAGCUGUGUUAUUUAUUUAUUUAUUCUUUUUUCUUUUUAAUAUAUUCUUGUAUUAAUCUACUAUUUUUUGUGUGUGCUUGUUUUAUCUAUUUUGAAAUAAAACUAUAUCGAAAAAAUUUAGAAAAUAGAAGAAUAGAAAAAUUAGUUUAAUCUAGAAAAGGAGCAGUAAAAAAGAUGUAAUUUGAAUUAAAAAAAAAAGUGAAAAUGUUAUAAUUGAAUUAAAAUUUCAUGGAUUAGCAAUAGUAGAAUAGAAUUUUAUUUAAUAAUUUUACAUUUUAGAGUAUUUAAAGAAUUAAUUUUCAAAAAAUAAUAUAUAACUAAUAUAUAUAUAUAUAUAUAUAUAUAUAUAUAUAUAUAUAUAUAUAUAUUUUGUCUUAAAUUUUAAGAAGAACUAAUUGAAAUCAUUUACCCAAGGCCUCAAAUAUGGUUGAGCCGGCCCUGUCAUUAUAAAAGUAUAAUAGCAAGUAUUAGUUAGCUGAGCUGACUUUGUUGACCAAAGCUUGUAUAGAAACUGAAUAACAGAACAACUUAUGAGGCUUGUAACCAAAAGGAUGCCUAAAGCUAAAGCCAACUAUUUUUAGUAGAAAUUGAGGGCACUAAACCUUUCUUCUCUUCCCAAACUUUAUGCAAUUUCAAAGAAAAAUGUGAAACCUUUAAUCUUUGUUUUCCAUUUUUUACUUAUUUUAAUGAGAAAAUUCUACAAUUUAAUUAAAAUUUUUUUAAAGAUUAUAGUGGAAUUACUCCAAAAGAAUAUUGUAUUCUUUUUCCCUAUAAAAUGCAAUUACAAUGAAGACGCCCUUAAUAAAAUACCUAAAGAAAUUUUUUCUUUUGGUGCGUAGAUUAUUGAAGCUGGCUUUGUCAACAUCGUGUCGAUCAAAAUCAUUCUUCAUUAAUAUAUAUAUAUAUAUUUAUUUAUUAAAACGGGCUCUUUAAGACGAGUUAGAUAUGAACAAGGCGGGGUUGACAAACCCCAAACAUAUCUUGCGAAAUAAUAGAAUAAAUACCCACAGGCGGGUUAGAGAAUAAAUGUAAACCAUGCGGAACUAAGUGAGCCAUAUUUGCCAUGAAAUCUGCAGUUGAGUUUGCUUCACGGUAGAUUUACGAGAUAGAAAUCUGCCAAUUCCUGCUUAAGAAAUCACGAAUUGCCACCACUAAAGCAUAGAAAACAUUAGGCACGACCACCUGCUGAGAUAUCAUUUGAGUUACACAGAGGCUGUCUACUUCCACCAAAAGAUGUCUGAUGCCAACAUUCUAGGCAAGGGAUAAUCCUUGAUACAGUCCCCAGAGUUCGGCCAUAAUCACUGAGCUUUCCCCAAUAUUCAUACUAAAACUUGAGAUCCAGUUACCAAAAGAAUCGCGAAUUACCCCACCCGCUCCAGCUUCUCCUGUAUUUCUAUAGGAACCAUCUGUGUUCAACUUACACCAUGGUCAUGGAGGAGGCAACCAACUAAUAAAAAUCUCCUUACACCUUGGUUGUUGGCUAAGAUGAGAGUUAUUAAUUCUAUGGAUCUCACUAGCUCUGCCAUUAUAUCCAAGUAUAUUGUCUUGCUAUCUACCAAAUUUCUAGCCAUAAUAAAAUGAUUCCGCCAAAACCAUAACCUCCAAAUAGCCACUCCAAAAAUAUAAUCCCAAGGAAGCUCAGAAUCAAUUUUCCAGUUGUUUUGCACGUUGGCAGCAAUCCAUGCACGUAAGUUAGAUUGGAAAAAAGAGAGAUGGUGACGGGCUGGAACAAGAUGAAGCCAUAGAUUCUUAAUGCAUCGACAAUCUCUCACAGCAUGAAGAAUGUCCUCAGCUGAAAUCCCGCACCUAGCACAAACAUCCGAAACGGGAAUAUUACGCCGACUGAGCUCACGGUAGGUCUUCAAUUUGCCAUGCAAAAUCUGCCAAAUAAAGAGCUUUAUAGAUUGGGGUCCUUUCCAAGACCAUGGCAAGUUCCAUACUUUAUCUUGAGCAUCCAUGUUGUGAUGGCAAAGAGAUUCAUAAGCGGAUCGAACAGUGAACAAUCCUCUUGGAUUAAAACACCAAUACAGUCUGUCAGGUCCAAGAUGCGGAGCAGGAGGCAUGAUCGAAGCAAUCUGCAGAAGAAUAAAAGGGGGCAGCAAGAGCUGAAAGUUCGACCAUCUCCAGCCACCAUGUUCAUUAGUAAAAUCGCUAACAGUUGCAUUGAGAGAGACUUGAGGGAUCGGUUGGAGAGCAAGGCCAAUCAAAGGUUCAUAUUUCGUCACCCAACAGUCCAGCCAGAACCGAAUGCGAGCACCAUUGCACAAUGCCCAGCGAGCUCCAUGCAUGGCUGCAUCCCACGUUUUCCUUAUAGCAGACCAGACGCGCGAUCCUUGCUUGUCAGGGAGGGAAGACGGCAAAUUGCAUGGGUCCAGUCCAUACUUAGAACAGAGAACCGUCACCCACAACGUAUCCAAGUUGGAAAUAAUGCCCUAACUAAUCUUCAUUAACAGGGCAUGAUUCAUCACCUCUAAAUUUUUAAAACCCAAGCCACCACGUGAUUUUGGCAAGCAGAUUUUGUCCCAGCCUACCAUGCAUAUCUUAGGACUCUUCGACUUCCCAUCCCAAAUAAAUCUACGGCAGCACUUAUCGAUUCUAUGGCACACCGAUGAAGGAAGCAUGGUCGUUUGCAUUGCAUAAAUCGGCAUGGCUUGAAUCACCGAUUGCGCCAAAGUAACACGACCAGCAAAGGAUAAGUGAGCCGCGUUCCAGCCACUGAGCCUCAUGUCUACCUUGUCCAAAAUAGAUUGGUACGUGGCUUUAUUCACCCUCGAAUGAAGUAAUGGCAUUCCAAGAUAGUUUCCCAGGUCAUGAGUAAUCGAAACCCCCAAGGCAGCACCAAUGAGCUUUGCCUCUCUUGAAGCAACAUUCUUCGAAAAGAAAAUUGUAGUUUUCACUUUAUUAACCUUUGCUUCAGAACUUCGACAGUAAUUUUCUAAGACCGCAUCAAUAAUAUGAGCUUGAUCUAUCGAAGCUUCUGUAAAUAAGAGCAAAUCAUCAGUAAAAAAAAGGUGGGUAAGAGGAGUGCCAUGUUUAACCAACCGAAUUGGCUUCCAGCUUCCAUCCACCAUAGCUUGGGUUAUUCCAUGGCUCAAACGCUCGAUACAGAGCACAAAGAUAUACGGAGAUAGAGGGUCACCCUACCGAAUUCCUCUUCCCGGAUAAAACUCUUCAGUUACCUCACCAUUCCACAGGAUGUUCAUGCUGGCUAAGGUAACACAUUCCAUGAUGAGCCGAGAUAAGUGAAUCGGGAGCCCCGUCUGUUGAAGAGUUUCAAAAAUAAAAGACCAGUUCAGCCGAUCAUAUGCCUUCUCGAGAUCCACCUUAAUAGCCAUGAGCCCUCUUUUACCCGUUUUCUUGCGCAUGGAAUGAACCACUUCCUGAGCAAUAACAAUGUUAUCCACAAUGUGCCGUCCGAGAACAAAACUUGUCUGUUGAGGCCCGAUCAGCUCAGGUAAUAAAGCUUGUAGACAAUUGGCAAUAAUUUUAGUCACUGUCUUAUAGGCAACAGUGCAUAAGCUUAUAGGCCGAAACAUCUUUAAACUAGUAGGAUGAUCCACUUUCGGAAUCAAAACCAACAGAGUUUUGUUUAUGUUUUGAGGGAUUUUACCAGUAUUAAAAAUGUCAAUGAUAAAAGUACAGAAAGAGGGUCCAAUAGUGUGCCACUGGGAUUGAUAAAAGAUAGCCUGCAGUCCAUCAAUACCCGGCGCUUUAAGGGGUUUCAUGCUAAAAAUAGCUCUUUUAAUUUCUUCCUCCACAACCGGAUCAUUAACACAAUCAAGAUAAUUAGCAUUCACGGCUGGAAAAAAAUUCGGAACAGAGUAUGUUUGAUAAGAAUGAGCUUCACUUUUGAAUAAAGAGGAGAAAUACUCAACUGCAUGGCUACGAAUAUCUUUCUCAUUGUAGAUCCAGUUCCCCAUACUAUUCUUAAUGGCCUCAAUUCGAUUUCUUCUGCGACGAGCAAUAGUUUUUUGGUGAAAGAAGGUAGUAUUUCUAUCCUCGUGUAGGAUCCAGUCUUUCCUAGAUUUCUGCCACCAAAAAAUCUCCUCCUGAGCCAUCACCAUCUCUAAUUCACUUCGUAAGUGAGCCUCUAACCGAAUCAGCCCUCUAGAAUUAUAUUGUUCUAAGGCUGCUUGAAUACCAUUAAUCCGAGCCAGUAAUCUGUGUUUACACUGAAAGAUGUUACCAAAAACAUCGUGAUUCCAACCUUGCACCACUUGAAUAAAACUAGUAGUUGCAGUACUGUAGUGAGAGGUGGAAUCCCACACCUGUUUGACAAAAGAAUUAAAAUGCUCAUGAGUUAACCAAGUAGCCAAAAAUCUGAAAGGCCUAAUAACCUGUUGUCGGUAAUCAGCUCCCUCAAAGCGGGCCAGGAUCGGUAUGUGAUCUGAGGCAACUUUCGGAAGGUGAAGAACAGUGUUAUCAGCAAACUUCAUCAGCCAAUCAUUAUUACACACAUCUCUGUCAAGCCGUUUAAACAGGGUGCCAUGAGACCAAGUAAAACGAGGGCCUUUAAACUUUAAAUCAAAAAUUUGGUGGCCAUCAAACCACUGCCAAAAUAAACCACACACUCCAAAGUGUCUGGUAACACCCCCCUGCUUCUCAGAAGCAAACAAAAUAGAAUUGAAAUCCCCUCCAAUCAACCAAGGACCUUGAAUUGAGCCGGCAAGAUUCUCCAUACGACUCCAGAAAUGUCUCCGCAACAUUGGAUUUGAGCUAGCAUAGAUAGCCGUUACCCAAGAGACAAAAAUAUUAUUUCUACAAACUUUGAAAUGAAUAAAUUGCCUAUGAUUAAUUACCACCUCCACCUUAACACAAUUCCGCCACAGGAUCCAGAUUCCUCUAGAAACGCCAACUGCUUCCACUCGAUGAGAGAACUCAAAACCAUUUUUCUUUAUAAACCCAUCUGCUUUCAUUCCACUUACACGAGGUUCCAUGACAACCACCAUAGACGGGUUAUAAUUUUUUACAACAGUCUUAAAAGAGCGCCGAAAAUUUCCGGAGGCCGCUCCUUGGACAUUCCAAAACAAUAUGCUAAUCGUCAUAAAAAUAAAUAAAAAAGAAAACCAAGGGCCCAACAUAUCAAAGCUACUGGUCAUGGAUAUCAUCUAUCAUCACCAAAGGUGAUUCCUGAACCAUCGAGACUUCUUCAUCUGACAUCUCCUUCCCAUCAUCUCCACUCAUUGGAACAACGGGGUGUGUAUAAGCAUGCUCAAAAGCAUUAACAGUAAAGACGUGAUGGUCAUCUGGGGGGUCAGCCAAAGGUUGUGGGUCCAGAUCCUCACAAUCUCUAUGAUCCGUGCCCACACCCUUCAUAUCUCCAUAAGGAAGAAUUUGUGAAGAACAAAAGACCACCGUGUGCUUUGUAGGAUCCAAAGUGGUAGCUACAUGAGGAGUUUGUUGCUUAUUAGGGGCAGCAUGUGUAAUGGGGCAAUGGAUUUGGCUAGGGUUGUCAUGGGGUGUGGAAAUAAUAGUUUUUUCUCUUAUGUGGAGGGCAGUAGUCUGGAAAGGAUUGCGGGUAGGGUUCAUUGGAGUGAAAGGUUUCCUAUUUGGUGGCUUCGAAGCAGCAGAUUUUGGAGUCUGCUGACGUCUAACAGGAGGCUUAAAUACUUUAUCAUUGUUAAAGGUAAAUAUCGGAUUUGAGCUUGAUGGACUAGGUGUUUUGAGGUUGAGGGGACGUCUGUGGAAGCGCCAUGCAGAGAGUUUUCAUGCAGAUCCGUCAUCUGAGCUAGAAUGUGAAACCUUGACUCACUCGCCCCAUUAGGUUCACAGUUUUGACCAUUGUUUGGCUUCCUUCCUUUCCUAGUUACAAUCAUCCAAGGGUCGAAGGGCUCAACCAUAGCAGCAUCUUCACGGUUAGCUUCUGGAGAGGUAGGAUCCUCCCGACUUUGCACACCAGCUGGAGGCUGUGCAACGUUGUCAGAAUUUCUCUCAGCAGCCGAGAUCUUGCAGUUACUGCUAUUAUGACUGUACCUCCCACAAGCAAAACAAAUUACAGGCAAUCCUUCGUACUCUACCUUUUGGAUCAUUCCAUCCAAUUCAAACUGAGAAACUAAAGGCUUGUCUAGGGAAACACUUACUGCAAGGCAAGCAAACCUUCCGCGAGCAGAAGAAGCAAUGUUCGAGUCUACUUUGAUCACCGUACCCACCAUCUGACCAAGUUUUUGCAGAACUUUAUGGUUGUAGAGAUGGACCGCAAGGCCAGGUAAGCGAAUCCAUACAAUGACUUGGUUAAGAACCGUUUUGGUGAAAUCAAAAGAAGGUGACCAUGGCUGGACUGUUAAGUAAUGCCCCAUUAUAAUCCAAGGGCCUUUAGUUAGGGCAUCAACCGCGUCCCCAUCAGAUCAAAAACGAAUCAGAAAAUAAUUAUUUUCUAAGUCAAUCACCGAGUAUGUCAUGGUUGUUCUCCACAACGCAUGUAGCCUAGUGCAUAAAGUUUUGUAGCCAAUAUUUCGGCCUAGCAACUUGACAACAACAGAGUGCUUCCACGGUUCACUUAGCUUCGCAUGAAUCCUAUCCAAAAAACUUAUUGACGGCAAGGUUCCAUCGUUACGCUCAAUCACAUCUCCUUCCUCAAAAUCCCAGUCCACUGCACCUCCUCCAAAUCCAUUCUCCAUUGUUUGUGAUGAAUUCACAAGCGUUUCUUUGUAGGAGACAUGUUUAGUAGUUUCACUAUCGUUUUCCUCAUCACGAAAGCGUGCCUUUUUGGUCGUUCUAGCUUCCCUAAACGGCAGCGGAAAAGCCUCGCCGAAGUUAGGGUUUCCGCCACCUCCGAGAUUUUCGGAGUUUUCAUUCAUCCCUUUUUUCCCUACUUACUUCAUUAAUAUAUAUUAUUACUGUACUUAUAUAUUCAUGCUUAGUAUUAUGUUCAUGUUUCGCUAUUACCUAAUUGAAAUUGCAUUCCAACUUGGAUUUUUAAUUUCUUGAUAAACUAUAUAUUCAUUUGAAUUAUGUAAUCUGAAGAUUUUCGUAUCAUUAGUAUGUGCUUGUUGGUUUUUUAUUUAUCUCAUUUUAAUAUAUCAAUUAUAAAAGGAAAAACGACAUCAACACCCCUAAAUUUGAGGAAAUGAUCACCAAGACCCCUUUUUGACCAUUAAUCCUUUAAAAAAUUAAAUUUAAAAUUUUUAAUAGAUAGAAAUAUUAUAUAAAUAAUGUAAUCUAUGCAACAGACUAAGAACAUUAAAAUAAUUUAAUAUUUUAAUAAAUUUAAAUAUAUAAAUUGUUAUAUUUAUUUAAUAAUAUAUUUUUAUUUUAGAUAUUUUAAAUAAAUAUUUGCAUUAAACAUAUUUUACAAUAAAAAAAUCUCACAUACUAAUGUUAUUACUAUUUUACAUAGUAUUCAAAAUAAUUUUAAUUUUAAUACACUUGUUUUAACAUUAUGAUUCUAUUUAUUAUAAAAUUUAAUUUUAUAUACUAAAAUAUAUCUAAUAGAUUGCAAAAUAUUAAAAUAUUUUUGCAGUAUUGAAAUUAUUUUACAAUGUAUAAAUUAUUACAUUUAUUUUAAUGUUAUAUUUCUAUUUAUUAUAAAACAUUAGAGUUGAUUAUUUUUUGGAUAAUAGAGGUUAAAGGGUAUUAUCGUUAAAAGAGGGUCUUGGUGUUCCAUUUUGAAAAUUUGUGGGUGUCGGUGAUUAUUUCCCUAAACUUUGGGGGUGUAUAUGUAAUUUUUCCAUUAUAAUAUCUUUUUUUGGCUAUUAUACCUUUUAAUUAUAGUAAUAUUAAAAUUGAUUUUAAAUUUUAAAAUAAGUACAAACAUAAUAAUAGAAUAAAUAAACAAAAAUAGUAAUUUUUAUUUUAGAAUUCCGAAUAUCUUGUUUUCAACAUAAGUAUAGUAUCUCAACUAGAUGGCCUCCUAAAAUAAAAAUUACAGAGAGGAAAUCAAAUUGCUAUUAUUAGACUAAAUAAUAAAAAAAUUAAUUUUUAUUUUGGAUUUAUUUAAAAGUAAUUGAUCACAAAAUAAAAAACUUUAAAACAAUUGACCAAGGGCCAGCCUCGUUCGUCCUUUUAUAUAGAAUUGCAGGUAAAAAUCAUGCCCAGAACAUGUUUGAUAAAAUACCCAAGGAGGAAUGCAUCCACAGGAUAUGUUGAAGAGCAACGACAUGAUGCAGCUGUUGCUGUAACUUUGUGAUUUCCUAAGCAAUUAGAAUCAAACAGUCAACAAAAUCAACUUUAUGAUUUCCCAGUUAAUCAACAAAGUCAAUUAUGAUGCAACUUUAUGAUACAUCUAUUGCCACAAUUUUUUUUUUCGCAUAGAAAAUUCAAUAAAAUUAAUUUAAUAUUGUCCAGGCUCAAACAUUUUCUCGCUUUGCUUGUAGUGGGGGUUUUCGGCUCCUUCAAUUUGCUGGUAGUGUACUUUUUCGUUUGCUGAUUAUGAUUAUUUAGGAGCCAAACUUAUAACAUUUAAUUCCAAAAAAAAAAUUAGGAACUUAAGUAAGAGGCUGUGGAAUCAAUUGCUUGCAACAUGAGCAUCCUACAGGGAGUUUCUCCAUAUGUUCUGUCCCCCGCAAACAUUUCACAAACCAUUUGUGUGUUGCUUUGGAUCAAAAGGGAGUCGUUGUAUUUAGGGACGACCAGGAACUCGAGAGAGGAAAAGUAAUUUCACCAGGACUGACUUACAGUAAUUGAAGAAUCAAGAAUUUUAAUAAUUGUUUUCUCAAGAAACUAUGCGCCUUCCACUUUGUGCUUGAAGAACCAAGAAUUUCAAUAAUAUUUUUUAUAAAUAUCAAAGUGAGGAAACAACUAAAUCAUCUUAAACAGAAAGAAAUCAUAAUUUAUACUUAUUAAAAACAAUUAGAUCAAAUCUCUUCGUUGGUAGCUAACAACAUCAAUUCCAUAUUCAAGUCAGCAGGUUUGGAAAGUGUUUGGGGGAUAUACUUCGACAAGACCAGCCGUGAUGAGCAGAGAUCUGGUAGCAGGGGUACGCGAAUAGGUAUAUCUUGCAAAAGUCUGGUAGCAUGGUAACAGGAGCAGGAAUAUUCUGCUCGUCCACGAAUACGCCAUCCGCGAGGCCGGUCUCCUGUCUGAAGCAUAAAACCAUUCCUGCUAGGGGUUGAGGCGAGGAGACCCGGUCAACGACAGUUGGCGAGAUGGGCUCUCAAACCCGAGAAUCAAGGCACGAAGGCCAUGCAACCACCCACGAUUACGGAAACGGAGCAUCCACCUUCGAGAGGUGGGAAGAUAACGGGCGUGAAUGGAGGGAAGGUCUGAACUCAGGAGAAGCCUAUAAAAGGGUGGCCAACGAAGGUAAAAGGGUUAGGAUUUUCGACAUCAAAACUGAGAUAAAGAGAGCAUUAAGCAAUCGAUACCAAAAAUAAGCCAUAAGAUUAGUGGCUAACGUUCCCAGGAACACGAAACCUUCAUUUCUGACUUGAGCGUCGGAGGGUUUACGCCGGGAAAACAACCGGCGUGCUCUGACUUGUUUCUAUGUACGUAGGCAUUUUUGGAGGAGUCAUACGAGGAGAGAUCCUGAUCGUGGUUGAGUUGAUCGAGCAGAGAUCCUGGUCGUAGUCAAGAGGGUAAUCAAAAUCUCGUAUCAACAUUUUGGGGCUGUCUGUGGGGAGCUGAUAAAAAAGCUUAUGUUGACAGCAAGAAGAGGAGUAAAGCAAGUGAAGAAAUAAUGGAGGUAGGAGGAAGUAGUGCGCAAGGAGGUGAUAUGAGGCUUAACGAUUCCGUGACGUUGAGGGAGAUAGCCAAUGAAGCACAGGAAAAGGCUAUGUAUGACCGGAUGGAACGGAUGGAAAAGCAGAUGGAGACCCUGACAACCAUCCUGCAUGAGUUGCGGAGUGAACGAAGAGGAAUCCAUGAGGAAGGGAUAAGAAGUGGCGGAAUGGCACCCGGGCACGAUGAUAUGAUGAGAAGUCGGACCACCAGAGGAUUUGGUGGUGGGGGAGUUAAUUUGUCUCUAUGGGGAGAAGUGCAUAGAGGAGAAAAUCAAUCCCCAGGAAGGCAGAUCCUUGAUAAUGAUGACGGGGUGGUGAAUGCAGAGGAGAGAGAACUCAGACAACACCUGCAUGAUGUAGAGCAAGAGCGGGAUCAAGUUGCAGCACGUGACUCUGGUCGUGCAGUACAGCUGGAGGAAGAAGUGCGCAAAUUAGCGCAGAUAAUUUUUGACAUGCAAGGAAGGAGCAGAGCACCCGGUUGGAGGAUAAUGCUGGAUAGAGAAUCUCCGCUCUCAGCAGAGAUCAUAAGGGCAGUUAUCCCGAGGGAUUUUCGCCUCCUAGACCUCAGAUAUGCGGGACGAACUGAUCCGUUGGUACACAUAAAGCGCUUUAACGACAUAACUGGAGUGCAAGGAUUAUCCCAAGCUCAAAGAUGCAGGGUAUUUCCACUGUUAGUAGAGGGGUGAGCACGCGAGUGGUACCGCAAACUUCCUCAAGGGAGCGUCAAAUCCUUUGAGCAGAUGUGCCAAGAAUUUGCAGAGCAGUUUCGUAGGGCAAUGGCACCAGAAGAUGACAUGAUGGAGUUGAAAAACAUGAAGCAGGGGGAACAAGAAACCCUUCGGAAAUUCAUCAAGAGAUUUCAUCGUGCUAUCCUCGACUUGGGAGCCUUCAACCAUCCUCAGGCAUUAAGGAGAUUGAAAGAAUGGGUGAAGAUAGGAAGGUUGUGGUACAACUUGAGGAGCCCAGUUAUUCAUAUGUAUGCAGCCGCUUACGAGCAGGCUAAGAGGGACAUAGAAAUUGAGGAGGAAAAGGCAGCAUGGAUAAAAACAAACCAGCUAAAAGGGUUGGGAAGGAAAGAGAAGAGAGCAUUACCAGGAAAUGAGCCAAUCAAGAGGAGGGACUACCAUACCUCAGGUAGUGGUACAGGAGGUCGGGUCACCGCUUACCAGCCUCAUCAGAGGCCAUCACAAUAUCAGUGCAGCAGGGCGCAACCUCCUCGUUCACCAGCUAGGGAACCUUGGAGAAGGCAUGACUCAGCAUAUGGUCAUCCUUAUCCACACCCCCAUGGUAGUAGAAGGAGCAGACUAGAAGCACUGCUGCCUCCUCCAGUUCAGAAUGGCACAAGCAAGGAAAGGGCAGUGCACAUGAUCGACCAGAACUAGGACUAUAGGCGGUAUACUUCCUUGAAGAUCGCCCUGGACGAGGUGUACGAGACCAUAAAGGACCGGAGAUUAUUGUACCUCCCUGCCCCAAUAACAAAACUACCCAACAGGAGGGAUAGGGGACGCUAUUGUAAGUUCCAUGGCACUCAUGGCCAUACCACAACAGAAUGCAAGGAGCCCAGUUAUUCAGACGUAUGCAGCCGCUUACGAGCAGGCUAAGAGGGACAUAGAAAUUGAGGAGGAAAAGGCAGCAUGGAUCAAAACAAACCAGCUAGAAGGGUUGGGAAGGAAAGAGAAGAGAGCAUUACCAGGAAAUGAGCCAAUCAAGAGGAGGGACUACCAUACCUCAGGUAGUGGUACAGGAGGUCGGGUCACCGCUUACCAGCCUCAUCAGAGGCCAUCACAGUAUCAGUGCAGCAGGGCGCAACCUCCUCGUUCACCAGCUAGGGAACCUUAGAGAAGGCAUGACUCAGCAUAUGGUCAUCCUUAUCCACACCCCCAUGGUAGUAGAAGGAGCAGACUAGAAGCACUGCUGCCUCCUCCAGUUCAGAAUGGCACAAGCAAGGAAAGGGCAGUGCACAUGAUCGACCAGAACUAGGACUAUAGGCGGUAUACUUCCUUGAAGAUCGCCCUGGACGAGGUGUACGAGACCAUAAAGGACCGGGGAUUAUUGUACCUCCCUGCCCCAAUAACAAAACUACCAAGCAGGAGGGAUAGGGGACGCUAUUGUAAGUUCCAUGGCACUCAUGGCCAUACCACAACAGAAUGCAGAGAUCUUAAGACCCAGGUAGAAUAUUUGGUGAGAAAUUGAUACCUGGACGAGUUUAUAGAUAGGACUUUUCCGAUGGUGGCCUCGACAUGUGAAGGGGAGCAGAGUAACAGGAACUUGAGCCACGAGUAGCCUAUAGUAAGAGUGAUUACUGGGGGCCAACGUUGGCCGGAGAUUUCAACAGAUCGGGGAAGAACUAUGCUAGAUAUGCCAUGACUAGUAAAGAGGUAUUCUUCAACACCCCAACAACCAAACGAGCAAGAGUCAGGCAAAUGCCAAUCAUGUGGACAGAAGAGGAUGAAGAAGGGAUUUUAUAUCCACAUGAGGAUGCCCUAGUCAUCAAGGCCACUGCUGCUAGCAAGAAGUUUGACCGGAUACUGGUUGACACAGGGAGCUCAGUUGAUAUGUUGUUUAAGUCAACUCUGAAAGAGAUUGGAAUAGCAGACUUGAGAUUGGAGCACACCAAUACCUCCUUGAAGGGAUUUGGAGGAGGAAAGCUGGUCCCUCUGGGCGUGGUCGAGCUACCUAUCACGAUCAGUAACCCCUCGACAGAAAGGACUAUGAUACUGGAUUUUGUGGUGGUCGAUGAAGAGGGUCCUUAUUAGAUGAUCCUAGGUCGCCCAUUUCUGAGGAUGAGCAAAGCGGUACUGUCCAACCAUUAUCUAGCUCUCAAGUACCGGGUGAAUGGGGUAGUUGGAGUGGUACGAGGAGACUAGAGAAUCGCCCGAAGUUGUUAUUCCUCGGCAGCAAGGGAAGCAAUGCAGAUAACAUCCCUUGAUACCCGAGUGGGAGCCAAGAAUGGCAGACAGGAACCUGUAGAGGAGCUGGAGAUAGUAAGCCUGGGACAAGGGGAUCCUGGAAAAACAAUCCGAAUUGGGAGGGGCCAUAUAGGGUCAAGCAGCUAGUUGGACAUGGAGAUUACAAGUUGGUUCGCACGGAUGGCCACGAGGUGAAACGCCAAUGGAACGUAGCACACCUCAGGAAAUAUUUCCAGUAAGACUUGUUCAUGUUUUAAAGUUAUUUCUGUUCGCGCUCGUUGUUAUUUAUUUUAUGUCAAAGCAAUCUCAUGUAAGCCGAAUUUAGCGAUAAAUGAAUCUAUGAGGAAUUUUAGUCAACUGUACUGUUACAAAAGUUUCGAAGGCAUGCAAAGGCUCACCAGGUCUCAAAGCCUGUUUUAUGGCGAGACCAGAAGCCAAGCGUGCCAGGAUCUGCUCGACCAAGCAAAGGCGAGCAGACUCCCAAGCGUUGUAAAAUUUCUAAGACAUUUAAAGCCUCACCAAGUCUCAAAGCCUGUUUUAUGGCGAGACCAGAAGCCAAGCGUACCAGGAUCUGCUCGACCAAGCGAAGGCGAGCAGACUUCCAAACAUCGAAAAAACUUCUAAGGCAUGUAAAGGCUCAUUAAGUCUCAAAGCGUGUUUACGACAAGACUAGAAGCCAAGCGUAUCAGGAUCUGCUCGACCACGAGAAGGCGACCAGAAUCCCAAACGUAAAACAAUUUACGACUACAAGACAAGAAAGCAAAUAAGAACAUUCUUAUUAAUUUUUCAACAAUCAUAAAAAGCUGCUAGCCAUAACAUACAGUGUUCCAAAAAGCAACUACAACACAAGAUACAUUCAGGAGGACGGCGGGUCAGUAAGUCGAGCAGCCUCGGUUGCCUGGUCCACCUCAGGUGCAGGGGGGUAUCACCAGUUGCAUCCGGGGGGGUACUCGCCUCAGCAACAUCAGCAGGGAUUGCACGAGGAGGAGAGUUUCCCUCCUCAACCGCAAUUGGCUCCACCUCUUCGACAUCCUCUUUUGCUGCCUCCUCGUCCAUUUGUUGAGCAACACCAGCAGCAAGGUCAUCCAUCUUCAGAUCAGGAUACUGCUUCCCUAAAACGGCCAUGAUGCAGUGAUAAGAAUGCCGCAGACCUUGGUCAUAUUGGUUGUCAGCUUCCUUCUCUAGAUUCUCGACCUGAACCUGGUAAGAGUCCUUGAGGGAUUCGAGCUGAGCCUCAUAGGUGGCCUUCUGCCUCUGCAGAUCCUCCUUGACCCUGAUCAACUCUUCCUCAAGAGUAAUGGCCUUUGCUUGAGCGAGAGAUUCUUGCUCUAUCAGCUUCAAGUUCUCAAGAUUCAGGUCUCCUGCUCUCUUCUCGGCAGCAUCAGCCUUGGUCAUCGCCGAUUGAAUGUCCUCCUUCAUCUUCCAGUCAUAGCGGCCAACCUUGGCCUUAUAGUAAGUGGCCAUGCAGCCGAGAUGGAAAGCACUAAACUGCAUGGCUCCCACCAGCUCGCCCAGAGUGCUAUCAUCAAAGUCCUCCAGGUCCCUCUUGCUCACGAGUUUAGAAAACUCGUUGAUAUAGGGGACCAAAUGUUCUGCUCGACUGUCAGAUAAACGAGAUCUCGGCCCGACUGGAGGAGAAGAGGAAGCGGGAUCACUAGCUGCUCCGCUAGUUUCUCCGACUUUGGCAGGAGGAGGUGGUAGAGUCUUCAAUGGAGGAACCUGCUGCACAAUGUUCACCCGCUUCACAGUGGGAGCGUCCUUAUUCUAGUCCUGCUUAGUAGUAUGAGGUCGAGAACAUUUCCGAUUCAGAGCCCCGAUCACAGCGUCCUCCAUCCCAAAGUCAGUGGACACCAAACGAGAUUCAAGCAAGUUUUAAGUGGUUAGCAACUCUCGGUGCAAACAGGAAUUGGCCAAUACAGCCUCGACCCGCUUGAGUGGCCCAGAUUUAAGCGAGUAGUGCACACUCCAAGAACUUGAAAUUUGAGCAGAUAUUGGAUUAGAGACAAAUCAGUAAAAUGAGAACGACUAUGAAGACAAGAAAUCUGAAGUGAGCAUGCAACCUGGGACCACGAAACAGGGUGGGACGCGGUAAUCCUUCCCGUCAAUCUGUGCAACUUGACCCCAGGGACCCCCAGUAAAAAAGAAUUUUUUCUUCCAAGUGCCACCACCACCAGUUGGAAGAUCAGUUAUGGGUUUUUUGGUCUUGGUACUAGAUUGGAAGUAAUACCAGCCGGCAUCUUUAGGGCUGCUCUUUAGCUAGUUCAGGUGCUUCACCUCGUCAACUGUUGGCUCGCUUUGACAACAUCUGUCCCACAAUAUGAACAGACUAGAAAGUACCCGCCUCCCAUUGGGGUUCAGUUGACCAGGAGCUAAAUUCAACCCAUUGAGUAUUCGAGCAAAGUAGGGCUGUAUGGGGCACCUCAGCCCAAAUUUAAAACUAUCUAGAAAUAGAGUAACAUAUCCCCUAGGAGGCCGGUUGGGGGUAUCCUUCUUUCCUGGGACCCUAAGAGGUAUCUCAUCGGGAAUUCCAUACCUAAUCCGGAGAUUAGUGAGCUCGUCUACCGUGGUCGUGCAUGUGAUGAAAUCAAUAGCGUAGUGCUGUGAUAGAGCUUUACCCCCUACUGUGCUCUUGUUAUCUGGUCGCGAUGUUCCUGGUGGAGAUGUUUCACCAGAAUCAUCCUCCUGGUCUUCACUUAAGGUGUCUUCCGAACCAGAAGAACCCUCGUCGUCGCUAUUACCGGUUGAGGAGGUUAUUGGGGGGGGGACAUCCUCCUAGCACUAGUUCCAACACUAGAUCUAAUGGGUUCUAAGGGGAUCUCGGGGUCAAAGGCAGGACCGACGAGCAGACUAGGCAAGAAGCCUAACUCAUCGUCAUCAAUCUCAAUAACUUUCUCUUUGCCUUUUGACAUUCCCUAAACUAUAACCAGAGCAGUAUCACCAAACACUACCCAAACAAGACAGAGAGAAAAGAAAUUGUCUACAACUAUUCAAGACCAAGGAGAUAGAAAUAAUACCUGAAGUUGUAGCUCAGUCAAAGAGAGACAGGGAUAUAAGCUUUCUAUGCCGAAAAUCCUUCACCGGAGAGACAUAUAUGGAGCAAAUGACGAGUUUCUCUUUUGGGGGUUUUUCGAUUUUCCUAAUGAGGAACAAACGCUUGGGCUACCAGCAUUUAACGGCACUAAUCCAAAGAGUUUCGUAACCAUCGGUUUGAAAUUCAAAUGGAGGGAUAGAUUUCUGCACAUCACCUCAUCCGUAAGUAAAUGCGACACGACUCUUGGCAGCCUUUGCCUACCCCGCACGAGCCAGAACCGUUGAGUUUCUACUGUCGGCUCACUAUGUUACCCAACACCAGAAACUGGGGGACCAGUGUUUGGGGGAUAUACUUUGACGAGACCAGCCGUGAUGAGCAGAGAUCUGGUAGCAGGGGUACGCGAACAGGUAUAUCUUACAGAAGUCUGGUAGCAUGGUAAUAGGAGCAGGAAUAUUCUGCUCGUCCACGAAUACGCCGUCCACGAAUAGGUCUCCUGUCUGAAGCAUAAAACCAUUCCUGCUAGGGGUUGAGGCGAGGAGACCCGGUCAACGACAGUUGGCGAGAUGGGCUCUCAAACUCGAGAAUCAAGGCACGAAGGCCAUGCAGCCACCCACGAUUACGGAAACGGAGCAUCCAUCUUCGAGAGGUGGGAAGAUAACGGGCGUGAAUAGAGGGAAGGUCUGAACUCAGGAGAAGCCUAUAAAAGGGUAGCCCAGGAACACCAAACCUUCAUUUCUGACUUGAGCGUCGGAGGGUUUACGCCGGGAAAACAACCGACGUGCUCUGACUUGUUUCUGUGUACGCAGGGAUUUUUGGAGAAGGAGUCAUACGAGGAGAGAUCCUGAUCGUGGUCGAGUUGAUCGAGCAGAGAUCCUGGUCGUAGUCAAGAGGGUAAUCAGAAUCUCGCAUCAACAGAAAGGUCCAUCCGUCGCUUGGAUUGCUGAAUCGCUCUUUUGGAUAAAUUUUCCGUGCUUUUAACAAAAGAAAAUUAUAGAGAUUGAACAAUUAGCAACAUACAGAAAGUUAAAAUUACUAACAAAUGAGCAAUUAUACUUUUCCAGCAAGUGAUUUCUGCUUUCUUAGACUGUUGAAACGAUUAAUAUGAAACGAGCGAUUGAACAAUUAGAAAGACACAAUGCCCAGCCUGGACUUUUUUUUUUUUUUUUUGGUAGUUUCAAAUGAUGGAUUAUAGAAAGGAUAGAAUGAAAAAUAAGGAUAAAUUGGGAACUAAAUGGGUACACUAAUAAGAAAUAAGAAUAAUUUAUUUUUAAUUGGUCUGUUAAAAGAUGGAGUCUAAUGAAAUAAAAUGAGGAGUUUAAAUAUCACUUUUUCCAUAGAGUUGGCCAACUAGCACUCUUCUAAUUUUUAAUUUUUUUUCUAUCAUUAAAAUUUAAAAUAGUAUUCUCUUCUUUGUUUUAUUUUGCAAUCUUGUUAUGUAUACGCAUAUUUUAAAUCCUAAUUUGACUUAAGUUAUACAGAUUAGAUAAAAUGUUUUUCAGGAAUAAUUGAUUCCCAUGCCCUGAACGUGUUUGAUAAAAUGCCCAUAUAGGAACUCACAAAAUGAACAAGUAAAUGCUGAUGGAAAUCACAACUUUUUCCCCCUCUGGUCAAUAAGAUAAAACAGUACUUGGCUGAGCCUAAGCAGCUAAAAUAACAGCUUGAUUAAUGCUUUUCGCAGCAAGGAACCUACGAAAAAAGCCUUAAAUUAAUUGCUUCCGUCCAGACUCUUGCUUAGUUUACUGAUCACCAUCAUUGUGGUAAUUUUGGCAAAGUGAUUGUAGUCAAUAGCUUUCCUCUGGUUUCUCCCUGAUUUUGUACUAACUUUGGUGUCCGAGACCGCAACUGGUUUCCUGACAACUUGAAACGGGAUUGAUUGAGGUUUUGGAGGCGGCUUUUUAUCGGCUUUAAUUUGAACUUCUUUAAGGAUUCAAGCGAUUUCUUCUUCAAAUUGUCUCAAUCUUUCACUAUCAAACUCAAACAGCAAAUCUUUGUUGUCAUUAAGAUCUUCAUCAAUGAUCCUUUGAAUAAUUUCUUUCGGUUUCUGGAAUAUUGAUCUAAUUAGUGCUUCACCUUCUUCUUUUUUCAAGCUCUUAUCCUGGGCAGUUGUGCUCUGCCUACUCCCGUGGCCUCAAGCAUAGGAUCUACACUAACAGUUGCAUGUUUUCAUUUCUUCAAGUGCUGCAAGAAUAUCCCAUCUCCUUUUUUGAAGUCAAGGUUCUAUUCUCCAAAGCUUCUCUUCAGCAUCUCUCUUCUUUUUCGGCUUGUCUGCUUCCUUAUCCUCCACACGCCGAGGUUCCAAUACAACUUAACCGACUCUUCUCAGGAUUUGGGAGGCACUAGGGCUUUUCUUCUCUUGUCGAACAGGAUCAAAUAUAAACGGUUAAUGUUGAAGCGUCUUUGGUAGGCACCGAUACAGCGAUCAAUAAUUUAGACAUAGAGAGUAAUUGUUUAGGAAUUGUGUAUUAUUCCCAUGUCCAUAACAUGUUUGAUAAAAUGCCCAAGAAGGAACCAUAUGUCCAACACUCCAACCUGUUGCGUUGAACAGAGAUGAUGCAUCUGUUACUCCAACUCUAUGAUUUCCCAAGAAAACAAUCAAUAUGUGAAUGUUUAGGUGCAGAUAGCACAGGCUAGUAGCUUGUAAGAACCAGGCAAAAAGCAGAACAAUUUCAAUUCUUUGAAACAGAGAGCAGUUAAGUAAAUUCAUAAUUUCAUAACAUCUUUUAUAAUUUGCAAACUGUAAUACUUUUAUGUGAAUUGUUGUCAGUGUAGUUCAACAAAGUGUCUCAGACUCAUGGAACAAGAAUGUUGACAAGCUUAGCAAGCAAUGAAUAGUAGAACUGAUCGACAGGGUUGGCAUUAGGUAUAGGGGAACAAGACAGUCGCCUAAGGCCUCAUAUUUUAAGAAGACCUCAUUUUUUGAGUAUUUUCUUAAUAAUUCUCUAAUUAAUAAAAAAAUUUAAUGCGUAUUUUAAGAAAUUAAAAAGUUUAUUAGAUAUCUCUCUAUUCUUCAUUAUCCUACAAUUAAAAAUUAUUUUUUAUUAAAAAAUCUAUAUUUGGGAACCUUAAUUUUAAAGAAAUAUAAUUAAUAAAAAUUAUGCAUUGACAUGGACCUUUAUUUUUUAUGUCUUUGUUCUUUUUUAAGUUGCAGGAAGUGUCGAAACCAAUACCGCAUUUAAGCAUUGUUGUUCCAAGAAGUGAAAUUCCAAUGUGUUUCAGGUAUCAGAAUGAAGGUUCUUCAAUAGCUGUCACAACGCCUUUAUUUUGGCGUAAAAGGAAUGAGGUGGUGGGAUAUGCUAUUUGCUGUGUUUUUAAUGUCCGUAAACAUUCACCUGGUAUCAAAAGUUUGCGCUCAUACCCCACACAUCAGUUGAGCUGCCAUAAGAAAGAUUCUUAUAUCAGUAGUUAUAUUGAUUUUAGGGAAAAGUUCGGUCAAGCGGGGUCAGACCAUAUUUGGCUUUUAUAUUUGUCUCGUGAAGAAGACUAUUUGCGCAAAUGGAAUUUUGAAUCUCAGGAUUUUGUGUUGUCAUUUCAGUCUGAUUCAAGCCCAGGAUUGGAGGUGAAGAGGUGUGGUUUCCAUCGAGUUUAUAAGCACGAAGUGGCGAAGUUCGACCAUGCAACAAACCUAUAGACUCGGUCUAUUGAUUAUAAUCUGAAUGGAAACGUUUGGUCUCGGUUUAUUGAUCAUCUGCAUGAAUUGUGUCAAAAUCGAGCUCAGCUCAACAAUGUAUGUACGGGGUCGGUUAAUUGAUUAUCUGGAUGAAAACCAAGGGGAGGAUUUCGACCAAACAACAAACCAAUGGACUUGGUUGGUUUCUUGAUCAUCUGAUUGAAUUUUUUCCAGAUGCAGGAAAGUUCAACCAAGCAUGUUAUUUGUUUUUUUAUUAUAUCCAAAUGCAAAGAGGAGUCCGAGACCUCUGGAGUCUGCGAAGAGCUCUCAAAAUGAAGGGAGUAAGGCCCAGCAGUCGAUACGAUUUCGUAGACAUAAUCUUUAUGAAGAUUUUUUUUUCCUUUGUUUAAUUGCUUGUUAUUUAAUUUUUUUUUGAAACUUUGGCUGAAAAUUUUAAAUUUUAUGAAGUUAAAAUUGUAAUUAUUAUUUUUGGAAAAAAGUUGUGUGCCAUUUGUUGUGACUUCUAUUUGCUAUCACAAUUUGUUUUUUUAAAAAAAUGAUUAUUAUUUUAUUUAUUAAUUUAAAAAUAAAAAAAUUAUACAAUUUUGGCUUCCUCAAUUUAAAAUUUAAUUUAUAAAAUUUAUAUGAAAGAAAAUAAAUUAAUAAAUGUAAUUAAAUUCAAAACCAAUAAACUAAAUUAUUGAACUUUAUUAUCCAUAAAAACAUCCAGUACUUCUAAAUUUCGAAAACAUACAAUUCAAACUUUACAAUACAUUAGUUAAAUCAAUAUUUCAAAGUCAAGCCAAUGUAGGGAUGGCAAUGGGGCAGAUAUGGGUUGGAUCUACUCUGCUCCGGAUCCAAAUCCAUAAUAAAAAUAAAGAUCCGUAUCUGCUCCAGAUCCGUCAUGAAUUUAUAUUUUUCGCUCCAUAUCCAGAUCCAAAAAAGAAAUAAAUAUCUAUAUCUGCUCCAAAUCCAAAAAAAAAAAAUUAAAAUCCAAAUCUGCUCUAGAUCCGUUAUGAAUUCUAAAAUUCAGUAAUAAAAAAGUAAUAAUUUUUUAGAUUGAAAAUUGAAGGGUAAAAUGUAUUGAUAACAAAUAAAUCAUAUAAUUUUUCUCAAAAAUAUAAUAAAUAUUGUAGCUUAUACUUUUACACCAAAACAACAAAUAAGAAAGAUAAUAAAAUAUCAUUCCGAAGUAAUUGCAGGAGUAAGAUCAAUCUAAUAUUCUAUUGUCUCCUUCAUCAUUCUAAUAUCCACGAUACACCUACCCUCAUUCCUACAACAUUAGAUAAUGACAUAUAAAUUAAAUAUGGUUUAUAUUCAGUCCUUUAUUAUUUUUAUUAUGACCAUAUUUGACUAAAUAUAUGAAUAACUAUAUUCCUUAAAAAUUAUUUGGCCAAUAUAAUAAAAUAAAUUGCCAGGUUAUAUUACUUGGCUUGCAAUUUGAAUAUUGCAUAUACAUGCUUUGGGGCUGGCUGACCUUUAAAUUUACAAAACUAACCUUUAAGUUUUAAGAGUUUAAAUACAUGGUAAAUACUACUAAUAUGUUAUGAAUAAAAUUUAUUAUCAUUAUAAUUUCACAAUUGUUAAGAAACUUUUAAAAUAACAUAAAAUUAAAAUAUGAGUGGAUAUGGAUAUGGAUUUAGAUAUUAAGAUAGAUCCAAAUCUGCUCCAGAUCCAUCUUAGAUCCGCACAUCAAUAUCCAAAUCCGAUCCAAAUCCAUUUUAAACCGAUCUAAAUCCAAUCCGAUUGGAUUUGGAUCACGUGGAUCUUGGAUCCGAUCCAAUCCAUUGCCAUCCUUAAGCCAAUGGCCAACAAAGGCCAAUCAAAAAUCUAAGUAAUGUACUCAGCAUUCAGCAAUAUCCAGCACCAAAGCCAUGCAAAAUGUAGUCCUUUUCCAGCAGCAGCAAAGCCAAGUAAAACGUAUCCCAUUCCAUCAAUUGAAAAUAUUAAGUGAAAAAUAGGCAUUUAUUCAUGGAAAUAAUAAGAACAAUGUCUUCAUAAAGGAAAAAGAUACAAGUAAAUAAUAGAAUAUGAAAAUAUUUAGUGAAAAAUAAGCCAAGACCCCUUUUUUCCAUUCUCUGAAGUAAGGCAUUAAAAAAGAUUAAAGAAAUUAUGAUUGUUUCCGCACUUGGAGCAGGUAGAGACAAACUCUGGUCAUUUACUGUUGCCUUGGCACCAUUUGAAUAUGCCCUGCUUUUUUUUUUUUUGAACAGUCUUUAAGCAAGUUGAGAUUCAUGAGACUUAGCAAUUCCAUAAGCCUGAUCAGAACACCAGAUUUCUCAGGGGUUCCAAAUUUAAAGGACCUGGAUCUUGGAGGAUGUACAAGAUUGCGUAACAUUCACCCUUCAUUGCUACUUCAUAAGAAAGCUUAUUUUAUUGAACCUUAAAGACUUCAGUAAUCUUACUACUCUUCCGAGCAAGAUGAAGAUGAAAUCCCUAAGAAAACUUGUACUUUCUGGUUGCUCUAAGCUGAAGAACUUUCUGGAGAUUGUGGGAACUGCGGAAUGUCUGUUGGACCUUUUUCUUGAUGGAACAGAUAUUAUGGAACUACCACCAUCAAUCCGGUUUCUUUUUGGACUUACUUUGUUGGAUUUGGAAAACUGCACCAAUCUUGUGGUACUUCCAAGUACUAUAAAGGGUUUAACAUCUCUUGAAAUGCUGAAUCUCUCUGGCUGCUCCAAAUCUAAAAAUGUUUUAGAGAGUUCUGAAAAAGUAGAAAGCUUUGAGGAGCUUGAUUUGACUGGAGCGGCUUCAAGGAACCGAGUGUGGUCCAUAUUUUCUAUGAAGAAUUUUGAAGCACUGUCUUUUCUUGGUUCCAAAUUAUCACAAUCAUCAACGUCACGUUAUUUGCGCUUCCCCAUCAAUUGGUUUCAAUCAAGGAGUUCACGUCCUUUAUCUUUGAAGUUGCCUUCUCUGUCAAAUUUGUGUUCAUUAAGGAAAUUGGAUCUCAGUGACAGUAAUUUGGGGGAAGGAGCAAUCCCCAGUGAUAUUGGCAACUUAUGCUCAUUAAAAGAGUUAUGUUUGAGUAGAAACAGUUUUGUUUCGCUACUGGCAAGCAUUCUUAAGCUUCAAGAACUGGAGUUGGAAGAUUGCAGAAGGCUUCAAUUUUUGCCACAACUUCCACCCAACAUAGAGCACGUUUGAGUAAAUGGCUGUAUUUCGUUGGGAUCAUUAGCAGCUGAAUUGAAAUUAUGCAAGUCAGAGUACACGUUAAUUAGAUGUAUGGACUGCUUGAGAAUGCUCGGUACCAAUAAUCUGGCAUUUUCAUUACUAAAAGAGUACCUCGAGGUCAGCCUCUCACUUUAUAUCUAUCAGCUGUUUAGGCAAUGGCAUAUUUUUAUUUUUAUAGUUAUUAUAAUUAUUUAUUUUUUUUAUUUUUGGGUUUCAGGCAAUGUCAAAUUCACGAUUUAGCAUUGUUGUUCCGGGAAGAGAAAUUCCAGAGUGGUUCAUGUGUCAGAAUAAUGGUUCCUCAAUAACACACGGAUGGCCUUCAUAUAAGUAUAAAAAGAAUAAGGUGGUGGAAUAUUGCAUUUGCUGUGUUUUUCGUGUCCAUAAUCAUCUACCUCCUGCCAGAGGGAGAAUACACCUCAACGCAUAUCAGUUGAAGUUCCGUAUGAAAGAUGGAGGAUAUUUUAUUGAUUUUGGAAAGAAAUUCGGUCAGUGUGGGUCAGACCAUCUCUGGCUACUCUAUUUUUCUAUUCAAUACUGCAAUGACCAGAAUUGGCAUCUUGAGUCAGAUCUUGUUGAGUUGUCAUUUUGGCCUGACACGGGCCCAAGAUUGGAGGUGAUAAGGUGUGGUUUCCAUCCAGUUUAUAUGCAUCCAGUGAAGGAGUACAACCGAACAACGUACCAAUGGAAUCGUGUUACUGCUUACAAUCUGAAUGGAUGCCAUCAGAAUUUUGAUGGAUCAAAGCCAAGUCUUAUUGAAUACGUUGGGUCGGAAGCCAGAGGAAGCGACUGUUGUGAUGAUGAGGAACAGCAACAACGGCCUAAAGAGUUAGAGAACUCAAAUAAAAGGUGAAGCUUACGUAUUAUUCUCUGGAUUUGUCAGCCAGUGUGCAUUUGAACACAAUUUCAGUUUAUGAAUUUUGUCAAGAGUUGAAUUUUGCGAUUUCUCAUUAGUUGAAAAGUAAUGAAAGAGGGGAAAAAAAAACUUACAAGACUGAAAUGAAUCCUCUGUUUUUUUGAUUUUUUAUAAAUAUAGUACACAUUUAACUGAAAACCAUUAAUUUUACAACAACAGUACCUUUAUUUUAUUUGCAUCAAAGGCAUGAAAAUGACUCGCUGAGGGGUUUUGAUCUUGAAUGAGAUGAGGAGUUAACUAUGAGGUAAUGACUCACAAUCUUACAUUCCCUACUUAUUGCACGAAAGAUGCCGGAUGCAGAGCUAGUUUUCGGUAUACUUGAAGGGGCUGCGUAAUGAUUGAUUUAUAAAGGAAAAUGGAAUGUAAUAAUAAAUGUAAGAUUAAAAUUUUUCUAGUGGUGUUUAGAAGAUUUUCAAUGUUUAAACAGCUAAGCUAGCCUUACCAUAAGGAUCAUAUCAUAUAUUUGAUAUAAUAUCGUUUAUUUUUUUUUCUGUUUCAUUAAUCUUAUUUUAAGUUACAGUGUAUACAAAAUUUCCUGGAGGAUGUUCAGACGGCAGUUUUGUCAGCUAUUUAAUAAACUAAAGAAGCACAUCUUUUUCUUGAGAUAACGAGUGCCGUGCGAGGAUGAAAUUUUAUAAUAUUUAUUAAAUUCUUUGAAAUUUGUCAGUUUUUCUUUUACCCCCCAAGGAAUCUUCUAUUGAAACUUUUGAUUGGGCAAAAGAUGUGAAGCCUAUCACCUACUAAAUAACAAGAAGAGCAGACAAAGGAAAUAUGUCAAAGAAAAUAUGGAGGGGUUGGUUUGUUCCAUGUAUCUUCUUUGUCAUAAUAUUUUUUUAUUCAAUUAAAGUCUAAAUAUUUUUAUUUUUUGGCAAGACACUUUUGAUCUAACCUGCCGUUGGCAUGUAAAAGAAAAGAAAUAAUUAAUGUGAUUUCUGCGAAUUUUCAGGGACUUAAUCAUGAAUAUUAAAAGAGGCUCUUCAACUGUCACAGCUUCUUUCUCUUAUUGGCCGCAUGAUGUGUUCUUAAGCUUUAGAGGCGAAUAUGUCUGCAAGAACUUCAUGGAUCAUCUCCAUGCUGCUUUGAAUCAAAAUGGAAUUAAUGUUUUCGGGGAUGACAAAAAACUUGAGAGAGGAAAAGAUUGGUAUGGUUAAAUUGGAGUUAGUGUGAACGUAGUAGCAAAUCAAUUUCAUAGUAUAUAUAAAUUACUCCAAACUAUGCAAUAUUCAUUUCAUCAAAUUGAAGUCAUAUAAUUAAGUAACAUGCUAUAGUUACGUCAGAAACAAUUGGAACGAGAAAAUUCAAACCCAACACUACUACAAAAUUAUUUAAUUUCUUCUGCUAUUUUUUUCUCAAUUAUUAAUAACCAAUUAAACACAUCAUCUCCACUGACCAGCUUAGCCAUUAGAUCUAUUGGCUGAAUUAGAAAAGGACAUUGUUUGCAGUACCUUGAAACUGUAGCUGGACCCUAAUUUAUAUAUAUAUAUAUAAUAUUAAUACAGUACUUAAUUACAUUUCUGUUUCGUGUAUAAUUUCCUGGAAGAUGGUCCAACAGCAGCAAUAUUUUUAUAUUUUUAUUAUUUGAUCAUAUCAUCAUAUCAACAACAGCAAUAUUACUUAAAGUAUCAUCAUAUCAUAUGUUUGAUCUUAUCUCAAUUAUAUUUAUUUUUUUAUUAUUUCAUUUGUCGUAUUUUAGUUUCUUAGUAUUUAUUUUACAUAUAAAUAAUUCAUAAAUAUUUGCAUUUCUGUUUCACACAUACUUUCCUAGAAGAUAUUCCAACAGCAGAUUAAACAAACAAAAUGAACUGUUGUGUCACCUACUCAAGAACAAGAAGAAGAGACAGAAAAUAAAUAAAUAAAUAAAUACAAUAAAGAAAAUGAUCAGUGGGGAGGUUGGUUUAUUCCACGUAUCUUCUCUGUCAAGACUACUUUAAUUGUUUCAUUAAAUAGUCUAAAUUAUUAUUAUUAUUUAACUAUAUUUGAAAAAAAAAAGUUUCGGUGUUUAGAUUAUUGAAGCUUUUGGUAUCUUUGACUAUGUCUUUGAUUCCAUUCUCCAUCGUAGAUCAUAGUCACUCUUUAUAAUUAUCUUUUGCAAAAACUUUUGAGGAGACUUGCAACCGAAAAUGAAGGAAUUAAUUAGAAGGCAUGAAACCCUCUUGUUGAUUUCUUUGAAACAAACUUAAUUGGAAUCCAAAGUAAAGAAAGUUAGCGAAAUUACAAAAUUGCUAAGGUGCUUUACAAAAUUCGUGAUUUCCAAGCAUUGACAGAUAAUGCAUUAACUAAUGCAGAAAUGAUCAAAUUACAAGCCUCACAGGUUGCUAUGUUUCUCUUGAAGGAUGAUUCAAAUUCCCUAUGUUUGUUAGUUAAGUGGCUGACGUGGACUCCACUUACAAGUUUUAUCUGAGUUGAAUCUCUUGACCACUGCUUGUAUAAAAAUCUGAAAAAUAACUUACAACUUCUGAAGUUUGUAACCAAAGAUGCCUCCAAUUAUUUCUGAGAGAAAUGGACAGCUUUUGAAAGGAAUUUAGAUCUAUGAAAAAUAAAUGUAGGCAAUUAAAAAUCAAAAAUUAAUUUUCUGGAAGUACUGUUUACUGUUACUGUUUACUGCAACUGUUCACAAUUACUGUUUACGAUUACUGUUCAUCCGCAUAAAAAAUAUUAAUUUUCCAAAAACACAAUAAAAAGUAAAAUAAAUGACACGAAGAUUUUUACGUGGUUUGGAUUAAUCAAUCCUACAUCCACGAGGCCACGCCCAGAUGAAAAGCAAUUCACUAAGUUAAAAUGUUACAACCUAUGGAUUUACCAAACUUAAGACUCUGACUUACAGUUUAUCAUCAUACAGUUUACUUAACCUUAGACUGAAUUUGGUUCUCCUGAAUAAUUGCUACCCCUCUUGAUCCACGAUCCUCAAGGCACUUCGCAAAGUGAUCAAUAGCAAUUCUUCAAUUCUUCUACGUCUAGUGAUCCAAGAUCCACAUAGAUUCUUCACAGAGAUGAAAAGAAGAUAAGAAAACAAAUCAGAGAUAAGAAAACAAAUCAACACAACAUUAUGCGCCAAAUCCGGAUUCUCUAGGGAGGAGGCCGAAUUUUGCUUCUCUGCAUUAUGCUCUGUGUCGUGCAUAUAUAUCUUCAAUUAUGAAAUACUUCUCUUUAUAUAGGCACUAGGGUUUCACCAAAAUAGAAAGUCUUAAAAGACUUGGAUUCUUUCCAAAUAAGAGUUUCUUUCCUCUUAUAAUUCUCAUGAAUCUGAAUAGGAAUAAAUCUGAUCUUCUUGUCUUGCUUUCUCUCAAGAAAUAUCUAGAGCAUUUAAUGAACUUCCUGUUUGAACCAACUUCUUGCUCUAAAUAGAUCUCAUGCGUCAAGUAUAGAAUCCCACCAUUCAUUGACUUGCUAAAUUAGACAUCUAAUUAAAUUAGGAAACAAAUAUUCCUAAUAAAUUGGAAUCUCACUAAAUUAGGGAAUUAAUAAAUUAAUCCCUAUUACAAUAUAUGCAAUAAACAAACUUCUAAUUUAACUAGACUUGUCAUAAAAUACCAACUCUAUAAAUAAUGACCUUAACAACUUUAAACCUUUCUUCUCAAGCUUUAAGCAACUUCAAAGAAAAAUGUCAAGCCUUCAACCCUUACUUUCCAAUCUUUACUUAUUUUAAUGAGAAAUACGUCAAUGCUAAUUCGCAUAUUUUGAUGUUUGAUUAAUUAUUGAUAUCAACCGUUGGAUUCCAUUCCAUUUAAUGGAAUCCAAUGGUUUCAACAUGGGUAUUGAAGAGUGGGCGCUUCGCUUAAUCGGUUAUUUGAAAUCUUAUAAAAAUUUAAUAGAAAGAUUUACUAAAUGCAUACGACUAUUUUUAAAACUCACAAAACUUUUGAAAAUAAAUUUAUCAAACAUCUAAUUAAUUAUCUUUACAGAUGAUUAUUUAUACCACACAGUUAAUGACAAUUAAAACUACAACAUUAUUAAUUUGAUCCAACAUCUCCUAAGGACUCAAACGAAGUUUUACUAAUGAAAGGUUUCUAAUAAAAGGUUUACCAUUCCUAUAGAUUGCCGGCAAUUUAAAUAUUUUUAUCAAUUACUGAUAUCAACCGUUGGAUUCCAUUCCAUUUUAAUGAAAUCCAAUGGUUUCAACGUGGCUAAUGGGUAAUCAUAUUGAGUUGUCGUUUAAAUCCCCCUCAAUUCGUGAAUUGAAGGUGAAGAGGUGUGGCUUCCAUCCAGUUUAUGUUCAUGAAGUGGAGGAGUUUGACCAAACGACAAAGCAAUGGACUCACUUUACCUCUUAUGAUCUGAAUGAAUCCCAUCAUAAUUUUGUUGGAUCAAAUAUGGAAGUAGCCACAACAUCAAAGCGAAGCCUUGCAGAAAAUGGAGUGGCAGCUGAAGCCAGUGGCAGUGGUUGCUGUGAUGAUGAUGACGAACCACCACGUAAAAGAUUUAAACAACUCAAAUGAAGGGUAAAGCCUGGUGUAACAGUGAGAGUACGCAUCCCAAUUUCAAUUUAUGUUCUUUAAAUUUGCAUAUGGUAUUUCAUUUACUUUUUAUUUGUCCAUUUAUUGUAUCUACUUUGGCAAUUUAUUUUCGUGUUAAAUUGAAGCAUUGAAUUUUGUGAUUUCUCAUGAGUUGAAAAUUAAAGAAAGAGGGAAAAUUAAUCCUUUGUUUUUUAUACAAAGAUCAUAUCAUAUAUUUGGCCAAAAAGAUUUUUGGCAAAAAAAUAUUGUUCAUGGCUGUCUUCAGUGUGAACAUUUGUGAUUUUUAUCUCUUUUAUUUUGAUGUUGGAAUUUUUUUGGUCUGAAUUUAACUAUGCUUAUUUAAUUUAGGUUUUUUUACUUUUGUUGAACCGUGUUGAUUCUUUUUAUGUUGGAUUAUUGACACCCCUCUAAUCUUUUCAUAAAACCUUAUUAUUAUUAUUUUUUCCAAUUAUUCUUAUUUUUUAUUCCAAAAAUGUCCCUUUUUAAUCACUCAUCUAAUUUUUAAUCUUAUUUUCUUAUCGAAGUUGAGGUCUAGCUUCACAGCUAAGCUUUUCUAACACCUAGGUUCUCGUCUUGAUCUUUAAUGGAUGCGUGAGUUAAUUUAAAAAUGUCUUUUAUUAUUUUCUUGUUGAUUCUUUUCAAGGAGUUGGAUUAUUGCCACACCUCUAAUAUUCUCAUAAGACUCUUGUUUUUUUUUUUAAUUAUUCUUUCUUUUAAGGGAAAACGACAUGUACACCCCUAGGUUUGAAGAAAUGGUCACCAACACCCCUUUUUGACUAUUAUGCCAUUUUAAAAAGUUUUAAAUUUUUAAUAAAUUGAAAUAGUACAUAAAUAAUGUAAUCUAUGCAAUAGACUAAGAAUAUUAAAAUAACUUAAUAUUUUAAUAAAUUUUAAUAUGUAUAUUGUUAUAUUUAUUUACUAAUAUAUAUUUAUUUAUUUUAGAUAUUUUAAAUAAAUAUUUGCAUUAAAUAUACUUUACAAUAAAACAAUCUCACAUACUAAUGUUAUUAUUAUUUUACAUAAUAUUCAAAAUAAUUUAAAUUUUAAUACACUUGUUUUAAUAUUAUGAUUCUAUUUAUUAUAAAAUUUAAUGUUAUAUAAUAAAAUAUAUCUAAUAGAUUGUAAAAUAUUAAAAUAUUUUCUAAGUAUUGAAAUUAUUUUACAAUGUAUAUAUUAUUACAUUUAUUGGAGGAAUUAAUUAGAAAGCAUGAAAUCCUCUCAUUGAUUUCUUUGAAACAAACAAAAUUGAAAUUAUCUUUAUUGAGAGGAAUUAUCUUUGGCAAAGUAAAUUUUCAUCAUCUUUCAGUGCGUCCAACACGCUCAAAGCAUUACGUUUUCUCGCAGUUUUGUAUUCCAACAUUGCUUCCCAUGAAUGUUUUGUUGCGGAAGUGUGAGAUCCAGCAAUUACCAAUAUUACGAUGACUAUAACUUUUGGAGAAAUAUAAAUGUGACAAACAAAUACAAAAAAAAUAUGACACAAUAAUUUACGUGGUUCGGCGUAAUGCCUUUGUCCAUGAGCAAAGACUGUGAGAUAAUUUUACUAAUAAUAAGAAUUUACAAAAGUAGGAAAAAUUCACAAAAUCCACAACCCCAAUACACCCAAAUAGAACCUCAUUAAAACACUCAAGUGGAAACUCUCUCAAAGAACUCACUUGCAAUUGCUCUCUACUUCUCUCAAAUUGUAAUGCUUUACAAAUGCAUUCUACUACUCUAUUUAUAGGCAAAGCUUACAAUAUGAAUGCAUGAAAAAAAAAAAAAAUUUGCCAUUUUCAAUUUUAAUGGCUUUGGUGUGACUUUUAGUGAAGAGAUCAUGCUAGCACAUGCAAUUGGAUCACGCUAGCGCAACAUUGGUGUGCUUGAAAUUUGCAUGCUAGCUGGCUCAUGCAAGCAUGCUUGACUUUUCAACAUGUUUGUCUUACAUUAUUAUGUAUUAAGUGUUUUUUUUCUUUUUUUCUUUUUUUUGGAUGUGAUAGAUUAAGUGUUUCUAAUCACUCAAAUAGUCAAUAUUAGAGGAGAUUAUGUUCUCUUCUUUGCUGAUUUUGAUUAUUUAUGUACAGUUUUUUUGGUACUUGUUGAGUUGGAACUCAAUGUGAGUACACAUUUUUUUCCCCAACAACACAAAAAAACACAAUUGCUUCUUCAACUUCUUCUCUUAUUCAUAUGCUGAAAAAAAGAAGAACAUUGAACAAUCCAUUGAAGAAAGAAGGCAUUUAUAUUGUGAUCAAAAGGAGGUUUUCCACUUGUGAUUUCCUUUAAGCCAUUAACGUGAUCCAACAUUCGAUCAUUCCGCUACAAGACUCGUGAAGAAAGGUAGGGUCUUGAAUCCUUUUAUUUUCUUUUAAUUUAAGAGGCAUUUACUCAUAAAAAUCCUUUGCUUUUCAUCAAAACAAAUAUAUUUGCCUUAUUAGCUUAAGUUCUCUUUAAGCAAAGCACUUCAUUGGAAUUCAUUAACUUACAAAAAACCUCUCUAUUUAAGAUUUGCUCAGGCACACUCUUCCGUCAGGAUCUGAAAAGUCAAAUUUUCUAAUAUAGUUUGGGAUUUGUGGUAUGAUAUUUUCUUUUCUUUAAAGAAAGGAUAACAUAAAAUUGUGUAAGAUCAAUUAAAGUAGAAAUUUGAUUCAUACGUAACUAUAACUUAAGUGAUCACAUAAUAGUUGAUUUCUUUUUACAAAUUCGACAUGCUUAUUUCUUUUUUGUAUAAUUUUUAUUUUAUUUUAUUUUUACUAUAGUAAGCCGAAAAUUGAUAUUAUAUUUUAAAAAUAAAAAUAAAAAUAUUAUUAAUAAAAAUAAACUAAAUAUAUUAUAUUUUAAAAAUAAAAAUAAAUAAAAAUAUAUUACUAAUAUAAAUAAUAUAAAUUUAUUAUUCUUGACUAAUAUAAAUUUAAAAAUAAAUAUAAAUCAGUUAAGGGUUAGUGACGUGUCCAAGUUUGUUAACCGUGGUAGAGCGAAGAGUUAGAGAGGGUUUAUUGAGCUCACGCUCUUCCUUGUCAUUUCCUCGGUGAAUUUUUAUGGGUUUAAAUACUUGAACCUCGGAAUUGAGGCUACAAUGCUUAGUGCACAAUGUUGAAUUGAGGAUUUUAGGAAGACAGACAAAUAUCUAUAUGAAUAUGAUCGAUCUCAGCUUGAUUUGGGCUCAGAACAAACGAUAAAUAGACAAAGGAAUGAUUAUCUGGAAUUUGCAGGCCAGGUUCAAGAGAGGAGUUGUUGAGGAAUUAUGGUAUAAUUCUCGUGCCUAGGACGUGUUCGAUAAUAUGCCUACCAACGAAUGUGCAUCCCACCUGAUGUGUUGCACCAACUCUAUGGUUUCCCAAGCAAAAGCAAUCAAUCAACAAGGUCAAUUCGUGAAGGUUUGUCCUGCGUGAGUCAUAGCUAGUGAGCAGAUUCUGAGAGUCUUUAGUCUUUAACAGAAUUUUACCACAAACACAGUGCAAACCCAGUGUUUAUUUAAUCAAUUAUUUCUUUUCUAGCGGCUAACAUUUUUUCAAAUUUCUAAAUAAAAAUAUACAUGACAGAAUUUGAUUAUUUGUUGUUUCGUGACUGAUGUGGUAGAACGAAGGAAUUGUAUAAUUUCUUGAGUUUUAGACAUAAAACAGAGUCGGGCCAUAGAAUGAACGAAAAAAAUAUCAUCACAUUUGUUGGAAUGAUGCUGUGCUUUAUUCAAAAUUAUUUCUUCCACUUGCGAAGCAAUCAAUAAUAGUGUUAAUUCUUGAACCUGUGAAAAGCAAUUAAUUUUCUUCAUUUGUUUACAAGCAAUCUUCCAUAACCAUUGUGCUUGGCUGUGAAAUACCCCAUUUGUGGCUGAACAUAGAAUCUGUUUUUUGUUGCUUUUUGCGAUCUUUGGCUUAAUUUACAAUUCAUGGCAUGUCUGAAAAUGGGUCGAUGAAUAUGCUAAAUAUGGACUCAGAUCUAGAUCAGAUUUAUCCACGAAACAAUCAAGAGGAUUCAACAUUUGAUAUUUAUUUUUCCUUUCUCCACCCCCAUGUUUAAUUUUGGUCGGAGGACUUGGUUGAUAGGAAUUGACAACUAUUGAUUUUCCUUUUUUUUGUUAAACAACAGACCACAAUGUCAAUUUGAAGACUUUGUUGAUAAGAAUUGACAACUGUUGGUUCUUAUUAUUUGUUUUUGUUUAAUAGAAGAUGCCUUGGAAUUCCGCAUCAUUGACAUGUAGUUGAUAUUUAAAACUACAACUAUCGGAAUUCUUAUUAAGAAAAUUACUAUGCUGCUUGCAACAUAAUCAAAGUUGUAAGUUUUAUGCCAUGCAGUUCUCUUUAUUUUCAUUUAUGUUUUUGAAUUUUCAGAAUAAAUAUGGAGAAGAAGAUCAUUAAUUUCCAAAGCUGAGAAGAAAAUAUUUUCAGAAUUAUACUACAAUGACUAUAGGGAGAUCCUGAAAAUGAGAUUCUUGAUGUUCUUCAAAUAAGUUUUGAUGGGUCAAAAGAAACAGAGAAGAAAAUAUUUCUCGAUAUUGCAUGUUUCUGUGAAGGGAAGUAUAGAGAUUAUGUGAAAAAAAUUCUCAAAUAUUGUGAUUUUGACCCAAUUAUCGAAAUAGUUGGUCCUAUUGAAAAAUCUCUAUUAACUGUAGAUGAUUUCAGCGGACUGUGGAUGCAUGAGUAGCUACAAGAAAUGGGGUAGACAAAUUGUUAGGAGGCAAUCCCCUCAGGAGCCUGGAAACUGCAAUAGAUUGUGGAAGGAAGCAGAUAUAUGCCAUGUAUUAUCACAAAGCACAAGUAAAUGUUCAGUUAGGUUGAAAACUUGCAAUUUUGGGAUCAUGAUCACUUAUUUAACUAGUUAAACCUUUGCAUAGUUUUAUCAAUAUUUUCUUUCUUUCAUUUUUUUUUUUUUGGUUCCCACUUAUUUUUUGUUAUAAUGUUUAGGAAACUGAUGUAGUUGAAGCAUCAUAUUUGAUCGCUUUAACAACAAAGAGAUGCAUGUCAGUGCUAAUGCCUUUUCUAAUAGGACCAAUCAGACUUCACAAGAGUACCAAAUUUAGGGGAGCUGAUUUCUGAAAGAUUUACAAGGUUGCAGGAGAUUCACUCAUUUUUUCUGCGUCAAAGAAGCUGAUUUUGUUGAAUUUGAAAGGUUGUACAAGUCUUUCAACUCUUCCAGGCAAGAUCUUUAUGAAAUCUCUGAAGACACUUGUUCUUUCUGGUUGCUGGAAAUUGAAGAAAUUUCUAGACGUUGUGGGAAGUUCUUUCGGAUGGAACUGAUAUUAAAGAACUGCCAUUAUCAAUUGAACUUCUAUUUGGACUUGCUCAGUUAACUCUGAAUGGCUGCAAAAAUCUCGAGUGUCUUCCAAGGACCAUAAGUGCUCUAAAAUAUCUAUCAACUUUGAAUCUCUCCAGCCCUUUGAAAUUCAGAGAGUUCCCAGAGAAAACUUCAAGCAGGGAUCAGCUCUUGGAGCUUCAUUUGGAAGGAACUGCUAUAAGAGGAUUGCCAGCAUCUAUUGAACUUCUUUCUGGCAAUGUCUUGUUGAAUUUGAAAGAUUGUAAAAAUCUCAAGAGUCUUCCAAGUACCAUAAAUGGUUUGAGAUUGCUUAGAACAUUGUAUCUCUCUGGCUGCUCCAAACUAAAAAAUGUGCCAGAGACCUUGGGGAAAGUUGAAAGCUUGGAAGUUAGAUUGUCUUGUUAGAAUCAGGCAAAAAUGCAGAAUGACUUCAACUGUGUGGAACAGAGUGCAGUGGAGACAGUAACAAAGUUAGCAAAAGCAGAAUCGCUAAGGUACUUUACAAAAUUAAUAAUUUCCUUUAUAACAUGCAGUACCGUAUUACUUCUAUGUGCAUUCCUAACAUUAUCUUCGACAGAAAGAUUCAGAUUCAUGGAAGAAGAAUGUUGAUAAGGGCAUCAAGCUAUCCACAACAGCAAUAUCAGCUUGCUCACUUGCCUGCCAUAGGCUGAUUCAAACCUCAAGAGCCAUGCCAAGGGUUGAAUCAAAUAACAGCAAAUUCACAUCUUAGGUGGCCUUUUCUUCCAGCUUAGUCACUGCAUCAUUUUUUAUAGCAGGUUCAUUCUAUAAUAAUCUCAUAGGCACAUAUCAUGAACUUUGUUUUAUCAUGCUUGCAUACUUUAUUUACUUCUGCACAGUGAUAUACACAUUCACUAUCAAUUUAAGUAGAAAUUGAUUUUUGAAUAUGCUCUUAUCCUUUACUAAUCAUAUAAAAAGCUCAUACGUCAGGGUAUAUGACUAUUUACAGCUGUCUUGCGGAUGGAUUCGUAACCUUACUUAAGUAAUAUUAUCAACAAUUUUUGGAAUUGAUGAUAUCUAUUCAUCAAUUGCAUACAACUGCAGCAUUUAUUUGAUUUUAGAACCUGGUCUUAGAGUCCAUAAUGCAUUGACAAAUACAGAAGUGAUCAAAUUACUAGCCUCUGGAGUUGCUAUUUAUGUUAUUAUUGAAGGAUGAUUCAAAUUCUUUAUGUUUGUUAGUUUUUGUUUGGGCGGGAAAUUUAAGUUUUAUCUGAGUUGACUCUAUUGACCACUGCUCGUAUCAAAAAAAUCUGAAAAAUAACUUACAACUUGUGAGGCUUGUAACCAAAAGAUGCCUAAAACCAAUUAUUUCUAAGAGAAGUGGACAGCCGUAAACCUUUCUUCCCGAGCCUUAAACAACUUCAAAGAAAAAUGUCAAGCUUUCAACCUUUAUUUUCCAAUCUUUACUUAUUUUAAUGAGAAAAUACUACAAUUUAAAAAAAUUUGAAAGAUUGUACAGGACUUAUUCCAAAAGAAUAUUUUAUUCAUUUUUCCCUAAAAAAUGCAAUUACAUUUGAAAUCCUUUCUUUGAUGUGUAGAUUACUGAAGCUAGCUUUUGUCAACAUCAAAUAGACCAUGUCUUUUCUACACUAAAGACCAAAAUCAUUCUUCAUUAUUCCUUUCGGCACAUGCUUUAGACUAAAAUUGUUGUUUGAGAAAUUAAUUAGAACACAUGAAAAUCCUUUCAUUGAUUUCUUUGAACAAACUUAAUUGGAAAUUCAAGUAAAAAAUGUCGAGCCUUUAACCUUUACUUCCCCAUCUUUACUUCUGUUAACAAGAAAAUUCUACAAUUUAAAUAAAAAAAUUCUUAAAAGAUUAUAAUGGAAUUUUUACAAAAGAGUAAAUUCUUAAAAUAUUUUAAUGGAAUUAUUCCACAAGAAUAAAUUCUUAAAAGAUUAAAGUGGAACUCACUUUGCCCUAUAAAAUGCAAUUACAUUGAAGACACCAUUAAUAACAUGCUUUUGUCAACAUCAUGUCGACCAUAUCUUUAAUCCCAUGCGCCACUAAAGACCAGAAUCAUUCUUCAUAAUUACUUUCGGCAUGCACUUUUUAUUAAACUUUUUGUCUUUGAGGAAUUAAUUAGAACACAUAAUAAUGAAUGUACAAUAAAAAAAAAAAUACUUUUGUUGUGAUUUUCACGGACGAAUUAAAAAAAAAAAGGAUUAUAAAUGUAUUUAAACAGUCCAUUAGCCGGGUCCAGCUACUUUUUUUAACAACUUUUACAAGGCAUUUCCGACUUUCGGAGAACUUUUUUUUUUUUUUUUUUUUUAACGUUUGGAUUUGAUAGAAUCUGGAUUUGGACAAUGAUAGGAGUGGUACGAUACAUACCUCAGCUUAGGAUCAAGCUUCGGGUUUGAUAGCAGGUUCGUUCUAUAAUAAUCUCAUAUGCACAUAUCUUAAUACUUAUUUUAUGGGAGAUUCCCAAUUUUCUUAUGGUGCAAUCAAUAUUUACUAUUUGUCCCUUAUUGCUUUUACAAUCUCUCUUUUGCAUGACUACUAUAAAUUUAAGUGAAAUUUAUAAGAAUAAAUUAUUCUAAAAGAAUAAUUUAAUCAAUUGAGUUGUGAUUCAGAAUAAUUUAAUCAAUUAUUCUAAAACAUUUUUGCGCGAAUCUUGAAAUGCUAAAAGCAAAUUCCCCUUUUUAAGUCCAAUUUUGAGUAGUUUUACCGCCAUUAUUAAUCUUAGAACUUUUUGUACAGCUAAGUGGUACCAAUUACAUCGAAAGUGUAAUACUUGUGCGUUGCCUUCAUUGGUAAAAAACGAAGGUAAAACUUGCAUCCUUUUUAACUGUUACUAAUAAUUUGUACGUGCUUCUCUCUUCCGCAAUUUCAUGAAAGUAUGUAAUGAACCCAAGGGCAAAUGACAAUGAAAUUUCUUACGGACAAGCAUCCUCGAAUCUACAGAUCAUCCACAAAUCUCAGCGAAUGAAUUUUUAGAUCGUCGUUACCCCAUGCAAUACAUAUCAAAUGGUACUGACGAUCAAUCAUUUUGUAUUGAGCUCCUUGCAGCAAACGAUCACUUGAAAAUUAAUCACACAUAUCUUCCCGCAAUGCAUAAUUGAAGCUACCAUUUGCAUUUUGUGAAAACGCCCUUCGCAGCCACAUCUCAGAUCUUUCUUUAUUCACAAAAUAUACAACUUCAAAGAUUAAAAUUUUUCUUUAUUCACAAACAUACAACUUCAAAGAUUAAAAUUUUUCUUUAUUCACAAACAUACAACUUCAAAGAUGUUAAGCAGUCUCUAACAUCUGUUGAGUUUGCAUUAAGUACCAUCAAUUAAAGUAUGCACCAACCAAAAAACAAGACAUGAAUAUAUUUGUGAAAUCAAUAUAUCAAACUCAAUUGGGAAAACACAAACCCAUCCUCCCUUAUUUCCACAAGAAUAAAUUCUAAAAAGAUUAAAGCGAAAUUUUUAUAAAAGAAUAUUUUAUUCACUUUGCCGUAUAAAAUGCAAUUACAUUGAAGACUCACUAAAUAAAACGCUUAAAAAAAUCCUUGCUUUUGUCAAUAUCAUGUCGACCAUAUCUUUGAUUCCAUGCGCCAGUAAAAACCAUAAUCAUUCUUCAUAAUUACUUUCGGCAUACACUUUGGAUUAAACUUUUUGUUUUCACCACCAGUUAAGUAACAUUACAAAUUAAAUCAAUUUUAGGUCUGACAAAAAGCUGCAAAUUGAAGAAAAAGGGCACAUACUAUCUUAGAGGCUAGACUUAGCUCCAAUUAUAAUUUUUUCUGAGACUCGAGUUUUAGAUUCGAGCUCUACUUUACUUGCAUGCCACAAAUUUGAAAAAAAAUGUGCAUACUAAUUUUUUUUGGAGAAAAAUGGAAUUGAAUAAUAAACGUACAGUAAAAAAUUUACUUGUGUUGUGAUUUACACAGAUGGAUCAAAAACAAUGAUUGGCGGAUUGAAUAAUGAGUGUAAAAUAAAAUUAAAAAAAUUUACUGUUGUUGUGAUUUUCACGGACGAGGGGAUUAUAUAGAAUCUGGAUUUAGACAAUGAUAGGAGUUGUACAAUACAAACCUCAGCUUAGGAUCAAGCUUCGGGUUUGAUAGCGGGUUCGUUCUAUAAUAAUCUCCUAUGCACAUAUAUUAAAAUUUAUUUUAUCAUUCAUUAUAGCAAAGCUUUUCUAUUUCGCAUAAGUAUUAUAAAUUUAAGUAGAAAUUUCUUUUUUAAUAUGCUCUUAUCCUUUAUUAAUCACGUCAAAAGUUGUGAGAGUAAAUGUUCGAAUAGUCUAUAUAUUUUUGGUUAAAUAUAUGUUUAUUUUUUAUAUUUCGAAAAAUAUCUUAAGAGACCCUACUUAUUGAAUAUAUGUACUACUGCCCUUUGUUUUUCUUAUGUUUUAUAAUAAUGCCCUUAUUACAAUUUAGAGACAUUAAUUAAUUAAUCUAUGAAAAAUGUUAAUUAACAAAUUUAACCAUAGUUAUUUAUUAGCAAUAUAUAUAUAUAUAUAAAGCUGGGACUUGAGGAGGUGAUGUGGCAUCACCAUUUCUCAUCUUUGUAUAUUCUUUAUUAUCUAAUAAAUAGAAAAAUUUUCUUUUAGAUUUGGCUUUUCAUCUUCUCAUAAUUAAUUUGAUUGUUAUUACACAAUAACAAUUAUGUAAAGAUUUUAAUGAGGCAUAUUCUUUGUAAUGAACAUCCAAGGGGGAGUGUUAUGAAUUUAUUAAAAUAAAUGUAGAUGUUCAUAACAUUUAUCUCUUAGUCUCCCCACUAUCUCCCAUUAGCAAUCUUUGGCUUCCCUAUAACUCCUACUAUCUGACAAGGAAUUAUAAUCCAUAAUUUUUCAUUAAUUUCAUUGAGUGAUUAUGUAACUAUAAAAGGAGAGCUCAUCUUUUUGUUUUGUACACACACAAUUGGAAUGAAUAAAAUCACUCUAUAAUAUAUUCUCUCAUUUUAUUCUUUAUCUUGCGUUGCUUCUUUAUUUGUAUUGCUGGCAAAUAGUUUUUUUUUUUUUUUUUUUAUAAGGCUGCCUCAUCUUAAAAAAAAACCAAUUCAUAUUUUUUAUCAGUUUUAUCAAGUGUAAAGUAAAAAAAAAGAUAAUAUUAAAUUCUUUUUUUAAAGCCGCGUGAAAUGCGGUUCUAUUUUCUAGUUAACUAAUAAUUAUCAGUUUGAAUGAACUGGUAUUUUUCAUACUCUUAUGGCAAUCUUCUAAUGAUUUAAAAUAAAAUUAAUACUAGCUAACUUAAAGCAAUAUUUAAUACCCUUGCGAUUAUAGUCCCUGUAAUAAUUAUUUAAAAAAUUAAUCUACCAAAUUAAUUCCAAAAGUAAAAUAAAAAAUUUAUAUUUAUUUUUACUUUAACUUUCUUUAUAGAUAAAUUAAUUUACAUCCUCAAGAAUAUUGUUGCAAGUGUAUUCCUAUAAAAGUAAAGAAAAAACAAGUGCAUAAGUGUAAUAUACUUAACAACAGUGAUCUCUUGAGACACUUUUUUAAAAUAUAAAAACUAAACAGAUACUUAAACAAAAAUAUAUAGAUUAAACAAAUAUUUACCCAAAAUUGAGACAUCAACCUGUAUAAUUAUUUACAGCUGCCUUGCGGAUAGAUUCAUAACCUUAACAAUUUUUUGAUUGCAACGUAGAGUAGAUGCCUUCUCGACCGUCGGAUGCAUGUGUGAAGAAUCCAAAACGGUAACCCAUAAUAGUGAGACACGUGUGAUGAAGAUUCCGUCCAAUUGUCCUGAUGAUGAGACGGUUUGGAUAUUGGAAGCUGCAUUCCCGUUGUUGGUAACAAUUUAUGUUAAAUAUGUUCGGUAAUGCAACACGUAAAAUCGUAAAAAUAUAUGAUGAAGCAACAUUUUACUUAUUUCAACCUUUACUUACUUCAAUAACAAGAUUCUAUAACUUUAAAAAACAAAAAAAAAAAUCUUAAAGAUUAUGACGGAAUUCUUCCGAAAGAAUAAAUUCUUAAAAGAUUUUAGUGGAAUUUUUCCAAAAGAAUAAAUUCUUAAAAUGAUUAUUGUGGAAUUUUUCUAAAAGAAUAUUUUAUUCACUUUGAGCUAUAAAAUGCAAUUACAUUGAGGCCACCCUUGAUAAAAUACUAAAAGAAAUCCUUGCUUUCCUCAACAUCACGUCGACCAUAUCUUUGAUUCCAUGCACCACUAAAGACCAUGAUCAUUCUUCAGAAUUACUUUCGGCAUACAUUUUUUAUUAUACUUUUUGUUUUUUGAGAAAUUAAUUAGAACACAAAAAAUUUCUCUCAUUGAUUUCUUUGAAAGAAAGCUAGGUCCUCUUUCUUAUUGAGGUACUAUAAUUUUUAAGUUUAAAUUAUUAAAAAAAUUAUAAUUAUAAAAUAAAAAUUAAUAGUAUGUAAUAAAUAUAAUUUUAAAUAAUAAUUUUCACAAAAUUAAUAAAAAUCUAAUAUAUUUUUCAGCAUACAACUUAAGUUUUAAGAUAUAGUUGUGAGUAUUUAUCAAACACGUUGGUGUUGUAAUUUAAAAGUUACAGCUGUCCAACCUCAACUUCGAAUAUGGCCUUAAUUAGAAAUUCAAGUAAAAAUUUACCAUCUUUUAUUGCUUCCAAUAAGCUCAAACAUGCAAGUUAAUUUUCUUACAUUUUAAUUUUACUUGUAUCUCAGCGUUUGCUUUGCAAGAAUAAAUGUCUUACAUAUUUAUGUCUUAUUUUUUUCAUAUAUAAAAUUAAAUUUGAAUUAAUUUAAGAGGAAAUCUUGGUUUUCUGCUCCUUGAAUUUGCUGGUUGUGUGCUGAUUAUGAUUAUUUAAGAGCCAUUUAUUCAUAACAUUUCAUUUCAAAUAAAACUAAAAUGUCCAAUGUAUUAAAAUUUGUCAAAAGUUUAUGCUAAAAAUCAUUAGGAGAAAAAUGAUUAUUUUAGUCAUUUUGCGUCCCCCGACAGAUUUUGAGGGAGAUUGGAAUCUUGUGUAAUUUGCUGUACAGAGUUAUGAUGCAUCUUUAACGACUAUUCUGUUGACUGAACUUGAUUGACCUCCGAAUGCGACCUCAUGUAGGUCCGUCCGCUGAAUACGUGUUCUUUAAAGGAUCAACUCGACCCGUAUUUGCCCCGAUAUUGACCCGCGUUUGGUUUGACCGCAGGAUGUAUGUGACAUGUCUUGUUGGCCGUUGAUCCGCGUUGUGUGAGGGUACUGGAUGGUUGACGUUGUACCUAGACAUUAUUUUGAUUAUAUUGAACGCGGUCCAAGGGUUCUAAAGCUGCCACGUACACUGCUACUCCGAACCUUUGAUUUAAUUCAAUUUUGGUGGAUCCAACGGCCAUUUCCCUCAUCUCUUUAAAAUGUAAAAGCAUCAUUUUAAGCACUACAGGCUGUCGAUUUCGAGCGAGCUUACAAGUGUAUGGGAAAAAUUUAAAGUAGGAAAACUACGAGACUGUAGUUUGAUAUAAUUUUUCACUAUAUUAAUGAGAUUACAAUACAAAUUACUCUCUAAAUAAUGCUAGAGGCUACCAACAUCUAGAAUCUCAUUAUUUUUAGCUUAUAGUAAUCCCCGAAGAACUAUCUCUCUAACAAGUGGGUAUCUCAAAUAAUAGCCAACAAGAGGAUAAAAUAAAAAUCAAGACUAGUAGGAUUAUAGAGGGCGAUGCCAGGAAUUUACCCUCAAAAUUUAAGAGAAAAUGGAGUUAAUUUCGUCUUUUAAUCACCCAAUUAAAGAUUUAAAUAACUAUUCCCUUCUACUGGCUUUCUCUCUCUCUCUCUUGCCGCUUUUUCUUCUCUGCUCGUCCUUUUUAUUAAGUGAAAACUAGGGCUACUGCUUGCUUUUAUAGCCAAAUUACUUGGCGAUUUUCAUCGAAGUCCAAGGCUUAGUAAUAAUUACAAACCAAGCAAACUUAUUUAAAUUUUGGGCCCCAAAUGAGAUGGACCCAACAAGGAAGAAUUUAGUGACUUCUUACUUUUAUGUCCUUAAAAUUUACUUUUAAACCCUAGAUUUUUGAGAAAUACUUUUCUGAAGGGUUAGAAGCUAAUGUUUUAGAUUGGAUUUUUUUCAAACAUCAAGAAUUAAUUAGCAUUUAUUUUCUUCUCUUGUCUUUAGCUCCACCAAGUUCGUUGAUACAAGGUCUUUGAGCUUGAAGGUGUUAAAUUUAAGACGGAUUCUCUCACACCGAUUAUCAUUUUACCCUUAAAUUUUUCUCCUCAGCAAAUUUUGAUGUUUAACUCAUGUAGGAAAAAAAAUUGUGAGGACUGUGCGGAUUUUUUUUUUAAUUAAAAAACACUCUAAGGUGGGGGUUAGGCAGGACCCCCAUACCAAUAGAUUAAUAAAAUUAAAGAAAAUUCAUAUGGAGGGGGAGACAUAUUCCAAAACCUCUAAGCACGGGAACAAAUACACUCAACAAUUAGAAAAAUAACAAAAGCUUAGAAGAUACGAGUAAUUAACGCAACCGGCUACAGAAUAGCAUACAAUUCUUGGGCCAGUAACUAAUGUGAAACCUUUCUUAGAACCGGAGGCAUACAACCAGGCAAUACUAAAGUCAUCAACAUCACGCCCUCUAGUACCCUUAGGCCCAAAUGCAAAAUAUUCAUUAGUUGCAAGAUUCUCAUCAAAGCUAAACUCCUCAUCAGACUGAAAAGGGAUGUCCGUAGAAUGGCAAUUGAAGCCCACGACCAUGGAGCAAAUAUCCUCUACAACAGCUUGAAAAAAAAGUAGCGCCAAUGGAAGCCCUUUAAACACCCGGAUAAUCUAAAAAAUAAAGAGGAGGGUUAGAGACCUUAGAUGUCUGAACUCUUUUCAUAAAAACUGGAUCAUACCCAUCUUCUGUAGUAUCCUGAUAAAUAGGCGGCUAAGCAUCUACCGAAACAUCCUUGCCAGCACCAGGCCUCAAUGGCUUAACAUCUUCACGAUCCCCCUUUAAAUGCACAAUAGCAUCAUAUAUAGGCACCUUGCCUUUAUCACGAACAACAACACCUUGCACCUGACCAACAGGCUGCUGGGGCUCCUAGAGCCCAGGAUUAGCAACAAAACAAGCAUCAGCAGCUUGCCAAGAUGCUUACACGAGACACAAUAUAAAGGAACACACUAAAAAUUGACAAUCUUGCCAGCAACUGCCAUCACCCUCACCAGUCCAAAGUUUGGGCAACAACGACCGCAAAACAUCAUAUUCAAUCAGAAUUCUAGUGAUUAAGGGCCGAUUAACAAUAGUAGUAGCAUGGUCCACCCGUAGAGGCUUACCAAUAGCAUUAGCAGUAGAAAAUAAGGCAUCUUUGUAAUGAUUAAAAUGCAUUAGAAAAUACGACAAAGAAACCCAAACAGGAACAAAAGGAGAUUCCUCAGAGCACCAAAAUAACGUCUAUGAGACGUAGCUACAUGAGACUCAAACCCAAGACCUAAAUCUUGGUAAGGAUGCCCACCUAAAUCCACUUGGAAAAUGUUCAAAUGUAUUUUAGAUAACGUAUUUCAGUUUGUGAGGCUUAACACAAUAGAAUGUAGAUUCGAGAUAUUUACAGGUGCGAAGCUUUGUGAGUGUUGUUGAUCCACUUUAACUUACAUAUUUUCAUAGUGAAUUGUUCUGUCUACAAGUGGACAUAAUAACAUGUUGAGAUUUUUAUCCUAAAUCGUGAGGAUCAAAGGUUUCUUCGUAAAAAAAUCUUCGUGUUGCGGAUAUUCAUUUAUUUUGCAUAUUUAUUUUCAUUACCAUAAAUUGAUUUUUAAAUUUAUUCUAUUGAAUUAUCCUUACUAACUAGGAAAGUAAAUCAUUAACUUUAAAGAGAUUAUUAUUAUUACUAAUUAUAUUGAGAUAGCGAAAUAAAAAAUAAAAUUAAUAAUAAAAAUAUUUACUUUAAAUAUCAAUUAUUAUAUAUACACAAUAAAAAAUAAUUUAUAUGCAUAUUAUAAAUAUGUAAAUAAAUUUUAUUCAAAAUUGUGUCCACUUACAAUCAUUUACAUUCAUGUUAUUUACAAUAUUAUUAUAAUUUAAUAGUAAGAUUUACAAAACACAUACAAUUGUUUUUAAAAUUCAUAGAGCUUUUGAAAAUUGGAUCAAACGUUUAAUUGGUUAUCUUUAUAGUUGAUUAUUUCUAUAAUACAAUUAAUAGUAAUUAUUUUAAAAACUAUAAUAUUACCAAAAUGAUCCAAUAUCUUUUAAGGACCCAACUGAAAUCUAACGAAUAAAGGUUACCAUUCCUAUAGAUUGUCAAUAGUUUUAACUACUUUUAAUUAAUUAUUAAUAUCAACCAUUGGAUUCCAAUCCAUUUUAUAUUGCGUUUACUAAAUUGGAAUCGGAAUGGGUUGAAAUUAGAAUGAGUAAGAAUGGGAAUGAACUGAAAUGAGUAUGGAUAAUGGGAAUUAAAAUAAGGUUUUUACUUGAACUGCAGGAAUUAGAAUCGGAAUGAGCUGAAUUGCCAUUAAUGUAUUUACUUUGUCUUUAAAUUAGAAUAAGAAUGAGUUACAUUGUAACUUAUUACUAUAAAGUACAUAAUGAACUAUUCUCAUCAUUAUUAUUUUAUAUUUUAAUUACAGCGAUUAUUUAUUAAAAAUGAUGAUUAUUAUUAUUAAUUAUUGUUAAUAAUACAUAAUUUAAUUAUAUUUAUAUACUAAUUAUAAAAUAUAUUAAUUAAUAAUAAAUAUUAAUUAUUGUGAUUAUUUAUUAAAAAUUAUAACUAUUAACAAUUAUUGUUAAUAAUAAUUAAUAUAUUAAUUAAUAAUAAUAACUAUAUUAAUUCUUCAAUUAUAGUAAUAUUUUAUAAUUAUUAUUAAUUAAAUAUAAUUACUAUUAAUAAUUAUUGUUAAUAAUUAAUUAUAAUAAUAUAUUAAUUAAUCAUAAAUGAGGAUAAAAUGAACAUUUUGAUUUUUGGAGAGGGGUAAAAUGAUCAAUCCAUCAAAUAAGAGACUCACUACCACAUCCUCCUUAGAAUGAGUCUUCCAUUCCUCAUUUUCAAAUUGUGGUAGGGUAAAUAAUAUCAAUGAAGUCCUUCAGUUUAGUAAAAUUCUUCUGUUACCCACAUAAUUUUAGUUUUGAACAAUUUAAUCAUCCUUAGUUUUUCAACAAUUACUUCUAUGUGAAUUGCUUUCGGUGUUGUUCAACAUAAUAUUAUCAGACUCAUGGAACAAGAAUGUUGAUAAGGUUAGCAAGUAAUGAAAAGCAUAACUGGUCAAGGAAACUCAGGCUCAGAUUCUUACCAGUCCUACAAUUAACAACUGGAAAAGUUAAAUCAAAUAAUAGCAAAUUCAAAUCUUAUGUGGCCACUUCUUUUGGCUCAAUCACAGGUUCAGUUUUGAUAGUAGGUUCUCUAAUAACAUGAUCUUAAUUUUAUCAUGCUUGAAUGCUUGGCUUUACUUCUGGCACAGAUCCAUUUCCAUGCACAUUCACUUUCGCAAAGUUUCUCCGUUUUGCAGGACUACUUCAAAUUCAAGCAAAACUUACAAGCCUUAAUUGCCGAAGAAUGAUUCAAAUUCGUAAAGUCCGAAGUUUUGGUUUUGGCGGGAAAAUCAGAAGCUCAAGCUGCUAGCGCGGAUUCCACUUGUUAGGUUCAUCUCAUUUGGGGCCCCAAAGCCGAAAGUCCAAAUAAAUUUGCUUGGUUUGUAAUUAUUAUUAAGCCUUGGACUUGAGUGAAAUUUGCCAUGUAAUUUAGCUAUAAAAGCAAGUGGUAGCCCUAGUUUUCUCAUCACACAAAAGGAUGAGUGGAGAAGAAAAAGCGGCAAAAGAGAGAGAAAAGCCAGUAGAAGGUUGUAAUUUGGGAAUAGUAUUUUCAAUCUUUAAUUGGGUGAUUGGAAGUGAUUUUGACUCUGUUUUCUCCCAAAUUAUGAGGGUAAGUUCCUGGCCUCACCCUCUACAAUCCUACGGGUGUUGAUUUUUAUUUUAUCCUCUCUUUGGCUAUUAUUUGAUAUACACACUUGUUGGAGAAAUAGUAAUUAGGUUGUUACUUUAAGUUAAGAAUAAUGAGAUUCUUGAUGUUGAUAGCCUCUAGUAUUAUAUAGAAAAGAAUUUAUGCUGUAAUCCAUUAAUAUAGUGGAAGACUAAAUCGGACUAUGGUCCUGUGAUUUUUCUCGUUUUAGGUUUUCCAUGUAAAAAUUUAUACCUCUUGUAGUUGGUUUUUGCUUUGGAUUUAUUGGUUUAUUUUUCUGCCUAUUUAUUUGUGGUACACAUCUUAUUAUAAUCACACAAAGAGGGAAAGAGUUUUGUUUUUGCUAAAUUUACAAAUGUUUAUGAUAGUUCCUUUCCCAACUGAGUGGUAUCAGAGCCAUGUUGUGUGUUUUAUUACUUGUGUGGUUGAGAUGGAGGAAUCCUCGGCCUGCAUGAUUAAAGUAAAGUAAUGGAAUUAUUGUAUUUGAAAGUCUCGAAUGGAAGAUUUGUUAUACAUAAAAGACUUACAUGAACCCAUUAAAAGCGAAGAAGUUAGACACGCCGAUUUAGAUGAUAAGAAAUUGGCUCAAUUAAACCAGAAGGCUGGGGGUACUAUUAGAUCAUGGAUUGAUCAGAGUGUGUAGCACCAUGUCACGAAGAAAUCCAAGGCUGAUGUUCUUUGGAGAAAAUUAGACACAACUUAUGAGCAGCCGACAACACAAAAUAAAGUCAAUCUGAUGAAAAGACUUGUUAAUUUGAAAUACAAGAGAGGCGCAAUAUAACUGAACACACUAAUGAGUUUCAGUGAUUUGUUGAUCAGUUGACUACUAUGAAAAUUAUUCUAGAUGAUGAGUUACAAGCAUUAUUGUUGCUUAGUUCUUUGCUUGGCAGUUGGGAGAAUUAGUGGUUUCAGUGAAUAAUUCAGUGUCGAACAGAAAAUUAACCUUGGAUAUAGUUACAGAUAGGUUGCGGAAUGAAGAAUCUAGAAGAAAAAGUGUUGAAGCACUUUCUUCUAAACCAGAUGCACUUGUUUAAUAAAAGCAAGAAAGGUAAAGGAGAAGCCAAAGUAGAAAUUCCCACCAGCAGAAUAAUGAUAGGCCCAUAGGAAGAUCUAAGUCCUAGAGGAGAAACAUAAAGUGCUUUCAUUGUCAGAAAAUGGGUCACGUUAAAAGGGAGUGUAGAUUGUGGAAAAGAGAACAGGCGAAAGAAAAGGGUGAUACUUAGAAAAAUGACAAAGAAAACACUACAGCCAUAGUUGACGGUGAUUUAGGUAUUGUUUAUGAUGAAAACUCAAUAAAUCUCACUUGCCAUUCCAGUGAUUGGGUGAUUGAUUCUAGUGCUUCACUUCAUAUUACUGCACAUCGUGAUUACUUUACAUCUUAUGUUAAUGGUGAUUACGACCAUGUUCGGAUGGGAAAUGAAGGGGCAUCCAAGAUUGUAUGCAUAAGAGAUAUUUGCUUGGAGACCAGCACUAGUUGUAAGUUGUUGCUUACAGAUGUCAGACAUGUACUCGAUAUUCACCUCAAUUUGAUCUCUACAGGCAAAUUUAAUGAUGAUGGUUAUAUUAACGAAUUUGGUGAAGGAAAAUGGAAGCUCACCAAAGGCUCUCUAGUGUUAGUUAAGGGGAGGAAAGUAAAAACUCUAUAUAUGAUAGAAGCUAAGAUAAAGAAAGAAUAUGUGAAUGUGACUGUAAAAGAUUUUAACAUUGAGACAUGGCAUAAAAGACUUGGUCACAUUAGAGAGAAAGGGUUAGAAACUCUUGUCAGAAAAGGAUUUCUACACAGCUUCACAGGUAUGUCCUUCAAGACUUAUGUUCAUUGUUUAGCUGGAAAGACACACAGCGUAGCUUUUAAAAGUUUUUCUCCAUCUAGAAAGUCGCAAAUCCUUAAUUUGAUUUACACUGAUAUUUGCAUGAUGCAAAGUAGAUCAAUAUGAGGUGCACUUUAUUUUGUGACUUUUAUUGAUAACUAUUUUAGAAAAGUGUGGGCUUUUGCUUUAAAAUCUAAAGAUUAGGUGCUUGAUAUAUUUAAGUUCUUCCAUACUUAUGUUGAGAGAGGGACAAGAAGAAAGUUAAAAUGCGUUAGGGCAGAUAAUGGUGGUGAGUACAAAUGGCCAUUUGAGCAGUAUUGCAGAUCCCAUGGGAUCAGAUUUGAGAAGACUGUACCAAAAACCCUACAGCAGAAUGGUGUUGUAGAAAGGAUGAACAGAACAAUUGAAGAGAGGGUCAGAUAUAUGCUUUCUGAUGCGAAGCUUCCUAAAUCCUUCUUGGCAGAGGCUAUGCGUACUGUAGUUGACUUGAUUAACCUUUCUCCUUCAGCUCCAUUAGAGGGUGAUGUACCUGAGCGAGUUUGGACGGGGAAAGAUGUUUCUUAUAAACAUUUGAUAGUGUUUGGUUGCAGAGCAUAUGCUCACAUCCCUAAAAACGAGAGUUUGAAGUUUGAUGAUAAAGCCAAGGAAUGCAUUUUUUUAGGCUAUGGGCAUGAAGAAUUUGGGUAUAGAUUAUGGGAUCCAGUGGCAAGGAAAUUGAUCAGAAGUAGAGAUGUUGUGUUCCUUGAAGAUUAGAUAGUUGGUGAUGUAGUGAUGAGUGAUAAGUCUCAGUCAUCUCCAGAGAUUCUUAUUAUUCCAACUUCAGUUUCUCCACUUAUGAUUCAUGAUGAUCAUAGGGGAACUAAAGAGGAUAAUAAUGAUGGUCCAGCAAAAACAGUUGACCAGGCACCUCUAGAACCACCAACACCACCAGUUGAGCCAUAAUUGAGAAAAUUUAUCAGAGAACGGUGACCUUCUACUAGAUAUCCUCCACAUAAGUAUGUGAUGCUUACAGAUGUAAGGGAGCCAAAAUGUUUUGAAAAAGCCAUGUCUCACCAGCAUAAUAGUGAGUGGGUUAAAACCAUACAAGAAGAGAUGAAAUCCUUGAAUGAGAACCACACUUAUGACUUAGUGAAGCUUCCUAAGGGAAAGAGAGCACUGAAGAACAAGUGGGUUUAUAGGUUGAAGAUUGAAAACAACUCACAGCAGUGAUAUAAGGCUAAAUUGGUUGUGAAGGGUUUUGGUCAGAAGAAAGGUAGGUAUUGAUUUUGAAGAAAUACUUUCUCCUAUGGUAAAGAUGUCUUCUAUCGGAGUUGUUCUGGGACUAGCAAUUAGCUUGAACUUGGAGAUUUAACAGCUCGAUGUAAAGAUAACUUUCUUACACGGUGACUUGGAGGAGGAAAUAUACAUAGAGCAACCUGAAGGAUUCAGUGUCAAAGGUAAAGAAGAACUUGUGUGCAAGUUGAAGAAAAGUUUGUAUUGACUGAAACAAGCACCAAGACAAUUGUAUAAGAAGUUGGAUUCUUUCAUGGAGAAUCGUGAUUUCAACAAGACUAUGUGCGAUCAUUGUGUUUUUGUGAAGAGGUUUAGUGAUAAUGGUUUUAUUAUCCUUUUGCUUUACGUGGAUGACAUGUUAAUUGUUGGCCAGGAUGCUAGUAAGAUUGGCAAUCUGAUGAAGAAGCUUAGCAAGUCGUUUGCAAUGAAGUACUUGGGACCGACAAAAUAGAUUCUUGGCAUGAGAAAGGCGACGAGUGCUUGUUGCGAAUCCAAACUAAUUGCUCAACUUACAUGUUUAUGAUAUUUGUAACUAGCUAAUUGCUUCACUAUCUUUCAAAUUAUUUCUUUUUUUCUUUUGAAAGUGUUAAUUUUUUUUCCGCAUUGAAAUUAAGACCAAAGACAGUGUUUUAACCCAAAUCUAUUUUAGAAAAGUAUUACAUACUGUGAGAACACUUAAUUAUUUAUUUUUUAAACUCUUGGGUAAGUCUAAUCCAACCCCGUACUUGCAUGGAACACUUUGUUUCGUAUACAAAUACAAUUAGUUGUUAGUAAUAAGUUUCGGCCAAUUUGCUGUAAUUCUUUUCCUAACAAUUGUCUUUACCGGCCUUUUACCACUCUGGUUACUCUCAUGACCUACAUUAAUGGUGCUUUUACUCAUGGGACUUAAGAAUCAAAAUUCAGAAUUAGAAUGAUCCGUAGUGUGUACUUCUUAGAAUAGAAGAGGGAAUGGAAAUGAACUAGAGGGGCUCCUACGUUUCUGGAAAAUUUGUGAAAUUUGUUCAAACCUUUUGUGAAAUUUGUUCAUGGAAUUCCUAACUAGUUACCGCCAACAGCAGAGGUGGAUUACUAGCAAUAAGCAUACAAAUUAGAGUCAGCAAUUUUUAUAAUUUAUACAUAUGGCUAGUAAAUAAAAAGUAAAAUAAAUCAAUCAAUAUAAAAGUGGUAAAUUGAUGUUUUAAAAUUAAAAAUUAAAAAUACUUGUAAAAAUAAUAUAAAACUUAUAAAACAACAUUAAACUUUAACUAGACUAGAAAAUAGUUGAUUUAUUUAUAAAUUAUGCAAAAAAAUUCACUAAUCAAGCAAAAAAAAUCACUCAUUAACUGAAAAAAAAAACUGUAUUUAAAUAAUUAGAAUAAAUUUUAUUGAAUUGGUUUAACCAUGAAUUCUAUAUUUAUCCUUGGAAAUUUAUAAUUUUUUUCAUUUUCUAUCAUAAUAUUUGUUUACUACACAGAAAAAUUAAUUUUUUUUAAAAUGUAGAUCAAGCCAAAAUAAAAUAAAAGUUAUUUUUAUAUUACUAGACAUAUAUGGUAUAUGAAUAAAAUUAGAAUUAAUUUUCAGUUUUAUACAUACUUUAUCUAGUUUUAAACUUUACUUCUUAUACUUAAAGAUCAUUUAGGGUUAUUGCCGAAUAAGUUUAGAAGGAUGCAAAAUUACCUUAUCUUAUAAAUAACUUUAAAAAAACAUAAAAAGAGUUUUAUUCUCUCAAAUACAAGCUUUUAGCGCGGCAUGCAAAAUACACCCCGUUUAAAUCUAAUCACACCUCUCUAAUUUUUUUCUUUUUUUCGCCACUAUGAGGUAAUGAAGUAGUUAAAAAGUAUAACCUUUAGAAUUUAGAUUCCUUUCGCUUUUUUGCUUUUUUCACCCCCACUUUCUGAGAUGACCAAGACUUGCUUUUGGAAUACAUAUAAAUUAAUCUGGGGCAGCUGGAAGUUGCAUUUUCUUUUCCAAAAGAAACAUAUUUGCCUGAGAUUAACUUCUUUCCUUUGAAUCAAGACACUUCAUUGGAGUUGAUCAGAUCAAUCAGGUGGCUUCGUUCAACACACUUAAAGCUGUAAGUUUUAUUUUAUACAUUUCUCUUUUAUCCUCAGAAUUAAUUUGCACAUCCUGGAUGUUUAAAAAAGGAAAUAAAUAAAAUUGGAAGAAAGCUUUGAAUGGUAAUUUAAUUUGUAUUGUAUCAACUCCUUAAUUUGCUUCAUUUUGAGGCUCUAAUUAAGAUUUACUUAAGUAAAAGUCGGCAAACACGCUCUCCAAUCAUCAUCUGAAAAACUUUUUUAUUGUAUUUUGGAAGUAAAUGAGAGGCUGUCAAUUAGUUUGUUUAGUUAAGAAGAAGAUCAUUAAUUUGUUGUUCAAUAAUUUUAUGUUAAAAGAAAUUAUUAAAGUAAUUAUGUUACAUUAUUUUUCUCUUUCUCUCUAUUUUCUCUUUUUUAACACUAAUAAUUAAUAAUUUUUAUCUCCUUGAAUUUCGUAAGUCUCGAUGAAUCUUCAGGUUUGUAAAUUUUUUCUUUAGAUCUCGAUAAAUAACAUUUGACAAUAUUUGUUGAUCAGGCUGUGUUAUAAACAACGCAGAUUUUAUAAGUUAAAUCAAUUUUCACUGGAAGCUUUUAAACAGUAAUUACAGUUUAGCAUAAUUUUUUUUAAGUGUAUGGAUUUUGCAUCUUUCUAUGAUAAAGAACUUUAAUUUUUCUUUCUGUAAGGGUGGUCAUCCAACCCCCCCACUAUUGAUUAGUUUAAAAAAAAUCAAACCAACCAAUCAAAUAAAUAUGUUCAACCCAACCCAAUCUUAUCCUUAAAUCAUUGUGCUGGGUCAAUCGAAUUGAUUAAAACUAAAAAUGAAACAAGUUCAAACAUAAAAGUUGAAAAAAAAAAAAAGCUAUUUGCUACUUAAAAUCAAAUUCAAACAGUAAAAAGCAUAUUGAUUCCCACCUGGCUGGACUCCAUUAAAGUUUCAGUAAUAAAGAUCAUUAUGUUUACCAUUAAUUCCUAUAGAUUGCUGAUAAUUUUAAUAUUUUUAAUUAGUUAUUAAUAUCAACCGUUGGAUUCCGCUCCAUUUUAAUGGAAAUAUGGAAUCCAAUGGUUUCAACACGGCUAAUGGGCAGAAUGGCAAAGAUGCGUAUACAAUUGAAAAGCCUGAUAAUUUUCGUUUAGAUUCCUUGAAGCUUCCAGGAAGUUCGAUGCUAAGUUCAUCGUGUGAGUAAGCAGUGACAACAUUUAUUGAUUAUUAAAGAGGCCACUUUUUGACAACAACACAACUCCUAUUGCUUAAUUUAUUUUUUCCCAAAGGAUAUUUACAUGAAUAAAUUCUUUGAAUCAAACACUGCAUCGGAGUUGUGGUAAUAAUAAUAAUAAUACUGCAUUGGAAUUCAUUUAAGGGCUUCCUGCAAUACACUCAAAAGCUGUAAGUUCUAUCUCAUAAAUCUCUCUCUUUUAUUUUCAGAAUUAAUUUUGCACAUCUUGAUGUAAAAGAAAAAAAUGUAAAAAUUGAAAGAAAUCUUUGAAUGUUAAUUUCGUACAAACUCUCUGCUUUCUUUUAGAGGCUAUAAUCAAGAUUUGCUUAAGCAGAGAUUGGUGUGCACACUCCCCGAUUAGCAUCUAGAAAAAAUUUAUAUUACAUUUUGGGGUUUAUCAUGUGUAAAGAAUUUAGAUCUAUUUUAAUCAGCAUAAACAAAUUAAAACGGUAGAUAUAUUAAUUUUUCUAAUUAAUUAAUCCUGAAAUUACUGUUCACGGAUUACUGUUUAUACAAUAUUGUUCAUGCAAUACUAUUUAGACUCACUAUUCAUACGAGUUACUGUGUAGGUUGUCAAAAAAAGUAGAAUUUAUAUAUAAUUUAUAAAAUUUUCAUUUUUGUGAUGCCCAUAAUUUUGAAUGAAUCUUAUUGUUUGCAUAGUAUUGUGCGUUCACUGGAUUUCACUUGAUUUAUUCUAAAUUUUCAGGAACAAAUUAAUAUAAUGGCUUUCACGAGCUGCCAAGAUGUCUCUCAUAGGAAAUACGAUGCCUUCUUAAGCUUUAGAGGAGAAGACACCCGUCAAACGUUCAUAAGUCAUCUCUAUACUGCUUUGAACGAUAAAGGAAUUUAUGUAUUCAGGGAUGACAAACAACUUGAGAAAGGAGGAUCCAUUUCACCAAAUCUCCUUAAAGCAAUUGAAGAAUCAAGAAUUUCAAUUAUUGUUCUCUCAAGAAACUAUGCUUCUUCCACUUGGUGCUUGGAUGAACUUGUCAAGAUUGUUGAAUACAAAGAUAGAGAGGAUCAAAUUUUUCCAAUUUUCUAUGAUGUGGAACCAACUGUUGUAAGGAAACAGACAACAAGUUUUGGAGAAGCUUUUACCAAACACGAAGAAUUUUUCAGGGAUAAUAUAGAAAAAGUACAAAAGUGGAGACACGCUUUAAAAGUGGUGGCCAAUAAAUCAGGUUGGGAAUUGAAGGACAGGUAAUCAUUCUUAUUCUCAAAUAUUAUUAUUAUUAUUAUUAUUUUGUUCUGCAUGAUUAGUAUUCAUGAUUCAACAUUGUUUUCAAUUUAACAGCUUCUGUUUAAUAUGUAUAUAUAUCAUAUGAUGUGUCGUUAUUAAAGUAGUAGUGCUAUAAAUGCAUUAAUAUUUGCAAAUGAAUAGAUAUGGAUGUUGAUACUAUAAAUUAUUGUGUUCUGAACUAUUGAAGACUAUACAUAUGUAUCUUGUGUUGCUUUGUGCUCUAUUAAUCACAUCUAAAAAAUAAAAAUAAAACAUUACUCUUAGAUUGACUCUUUAGUAACUGUUAAUAAUAACAAUGACAAUAAUCGCAAGCCCAAUGAUACCAUCAAUAUCAUUACAUAUUUAGCUAAUUGUAGUGCUACACAUCUCAAAUUUUUUAUUUCAAAAAACCAUCCCAAAAUGAUGUGACGUCCAUCAAUUAGUUCUUGAAAUAAUAUAAUUAACUCACUCGAAUCUUCUAAAGAAUUAUCAACCACUUAUUAAAUGACACAUCAUUUGGGACAUUUAUCAUCAUCAUCUAAUUGAUUUCAUGUGAGCAAUAAUUGUUCUUAUAAAAAAUUGAUAUAAAUUCUCUUUUAAUCUAAUUUAUCCUCCUACAGAAAGAAAUAAUAUGUACAUGAGAAGAAAACAGCAAAAGAAAUUGAAUUUUCUCAUUCUUGUUGUUUCUAACCCACGCGAUAAUAUAUGUUACUUGCUUAUACGACUUCAAUUUGAUGAAAUGAAUAUUAUAUAGUUUGGAUUGUAUGCAUAAUAUGGAAUUGAUUUGUUACUAUGUUUACACAAACUUUAAUUUAACAACAGUAAUCUUCUCUUGUUGUUUUCAAUUUGCAGCAAUGAGUCAGAAUUUAUUGAGGAAAUUGUCAAUGUGAUAUCAAGUAAAAUUCGUACAGAGUCAGAGAUUCUUAAGGAGCUAGUAGGAAUAGAAUCACGCUUGGAGAAACUGAAGUUUCUUAUGGGUGCAGGGUGCAAUGAUGUUCGUAUGAUAGGGAUAUGGGGUAUGGGAGGUCUAGGAAAGACAACUCUUGCAAGAGUUGUUUAUGACUUGAUCUCCCACGAGUUUGAUGGUAGUAGUUUUCUUGCUGAUGUUAAAGAAAAAUAUGAUAAAGAAGGCAGUGUAAUCUCUUUGCAAAAGCAGCUCAUUUCUGAUUUACUGAAGCUUGCGGAUAAUAACAUACGAAAUGUCUAUGACGGUAUUAACAUGAUAGGACGUAGGUUGCGACAAAAAAAGGUCCUUCUCGUGAUCGAUGAUGUCGCUCAUGUUGAGCAACUACGAAGAUUAGCUGGAAAGCGCGAUUGGUUUGGCCCGGGCAGCAGAAUCAUAAUAACAACGAGGGAUGAACAUUUGUUGAAGUUGCAUCGAGUCGAGGAAGUUUUUAAGCUUGAGGCACUAACUUAUGAUGAGGCAUUCCAACUCUUUUGUUUGAAAGCUUUUGAAACCCAGAAGCCCAGGGAAGAAUAUGUUCAUCUAUCUCAACUUGUUGUAAAUUAUGCUGGUGGUCUUCCAUUAGCUCUCAAGGUUUUGGGUUCUUUUUUGUUUGGUAGACCUGUGGACGAGUGGACAAGUACCUUGGAAAGACUAAAAAGAGAACCUGAAAAUGAGAUUCUAGAUAUACUCCAGAUAAGUUUUGAUGGCUUGAAGGAAGCAGAGAAGGAAAUAUUUCUCGAUGUUGCGUGUUUCUUUAAAGGGGAGAAGAGAGAUUACGUGUCAAAAAUUCUCGAUAGCUGUGGUUUUGAACCGGUAAUUGGCAUUGGUAUUCUUAUUGAAAAAUCUCUAUUAACAAUAUGUGAGAGCGACAGACUAUGGAUGCAUGAUUUGUUACUAGAAAUGGGUCGACAAAUUGUUAGGAGGCAGUCCCCACGGGAGCCUGGAAAACGCAGCAGAUUGUGGGAGGAAGCAGACCUAUGCCAUGUAUUGUCACAAAACACAGUAAGUGACUAAUAAAGGGGAUCGGAAAAUUUUUUUUCUUUUACCCAGUAAAAUCUCUAAUGAACUAUUUUGUUGAUAAUAUUUAGGGAACUGAAGUAGUUGAAGGAAUAAUACUUGAUGAUUAUUACUUUCUCCAAGAUAAGGUUUAUUUAAGUGCUAGUCCGAAAGCAUUUUCAAAGAUGACCAACCUACGAUUGCUCAAAAUCUGUGGUCUGCAACUUCCUCAAGGCCUUGAACACCUCUCUAACAAGUUGCGGUUACUUGAUUGGCAUGGAUAUCCUUGGAAAUCUUUGCCAUCAAAUUUGGAAUUGGAUAAAACUGUGGAGUUUAAAAUGUGUUACAGCUGCAUUGAAGAAUUAUGGAAAGGAAUCAAAGUAAGAUCAAUGUUUUGUCACUAAUUUUUUUUUUUAGUGAAUAAUUGUUGAUGACAAUUUUAUUAUUAUAGCUGUAUAUAAAUUAAGAAAUAUCAUUUCAGCUCCUUUUUGUUUUCAACAGCCUUUAAACAUGUUGAAAGUCAUGGAACUCAGCCAUUCAGAGAAUCUGAUUAAGACUCCAGACUUCACAGAGGUCCCAAAUUUGGAGGAGUUGGAUGUUGAAGGAUGUACAAGGUUGCGUGAGAUUCACCCAUCUUUACUGCUUCACAAUAAGCUGAUUUUGUUGAACUUGAAAGGUUGUACAAGUCUUACAACUCUUCCGGGAAAGAUUUUUAUGAAAUCGCUUAAAACACUUGUUCUUUCUGGUUGCUUGAAAUUGAGGAAAUUUCCACACGUUGCGGGAAGUAUGGAGUGUCUGCGGGAACUUCUUUUGGAUGGAACUGAUAUCAAAGAACUGCCACUAUCAAUUGAACUUCUAUCUGGACUUGUUCAGUUGACUUUGAAUGACUGCAAAAGUCUCGUGAGACUUCCCAGCAAUAUAAACGGUUUGAAAUCACUAAAAACUUUGAAUCUCUCUGGCUGCUCCAAACUUGAAAAUGUGCCAGAGACGCUUGGGCAAGUAGAAAGUUUGGAAGAACUUGAUAUAAGCGGAACAGCUAUAAGACGACCUCCAUCCUCCAUUUUUCUUAUGGACAAUCUUAGAACACUCUCUUUUUUUGGGUGCAAUGGGCCACCAUCAGCUGCAUCAUGGCAUUUGUUCCUUCCCUUCAAUUUGAUGGGAAAGAGUUCAUGUCCUGUGGAUUUAAUGUUGCCUUCUCUGUCAGGUUUGUGCUCUUUAACAAAAUUAGAUCUCAGUGACUGUGGUCUAGGGGAAGGAGCAAUCCCGAGUGAUAUUGGCAACUUACACUCAUUAAACGAGUUGUAUCUGAGUAAAAACAAAUUUGUUACGCUGCCAGCAAGUAUUAACGGUCUUUUAAAUCUUAAAAACCUAGAGUUGGAAGAUUGUAAAAGGCUUCAAUCUCUGCCACAACUUCCAUCUAGCAUAAACGUAGUUACAGUGAAUGGUUGUUCUUCAUUGGUGACAUUAUCUGGUGCUUUAAAACUAGGUAAGUCCGACCACACAAUGAUUAAUUGUAUAGAUAGCUUGAAAUUGCCCGGGAACAACAGUUUUGCAAUUUCGAUGCUACGAGAGUACCUUGAGGUCAGUCUCUCACUCCGUUUCUUCCAGCUAUGCCAAGAUUAUGCCUGAGAAUUAAGCAAUGGUAUGGACCUGUUCAUUUUUUGUUUUUCUGUUGCAGGCAGUGUCAGAUCCAAGCCAUAAAUUUAGCAUUGUUGUUCCAGGAAGUGAAAUUCCAGAGUGGUUCGUGUAUCAGAAUGAGGGUUCUUCAAUAACAGUCACAAGGCCUUCAUAUUUGUAUAAUAUGAAUAAGGUUGUGGGAUAUGCUAUUUGCUGUGUUUUUCAUGUCCCUAACCAUUCAACUGGUACCUAUUUAUGGCGUUCGUAUUCCCAAGUUGAGUUACACUGCUCCAUGGAUGGUUCUAAUGUCAGUCAUUUUAUUCGUUCUAGAGGGAACUUCGGUCAUGCUGGGUCAGACCAUCUUUGGCUAUUCUAUUUGUCUCGACAAGAAUGCUACAAUGAUAAGUGGAAUUUUGAAUCUAAUCAUUUUAAGUUGUCAUUUAUUGAAGAAGGUCUAUAUCGGCGAGGUACUGAUUUGAACGUGAAGAGGUGUGGCUUCCACCCAGUUUAUAUGCACGAAGUUGAGGAGUUGGACCAAGCAACAAAGCAGUGGACUCAUUUUACUUCUUAUAAUCUGUAUGAAUCCCCUCACGAUUUUGUUGGAUCUAAUAUGGAAGUAGCCACAACAUCAAAGCGAGGCCUUGCAGAAAAUGCUGGGACAGCUGAAGCCAGUGGCAGUGGCUGCUGCGAUGAAGAUGAGGAACCACCACCUAAAAGAUUUAGACAAUUCAAAUGAAGGGCAAAGCCUAGUGUAACAGUGUAAGUACACAUCCCAAUUUCAAUUUAUGCUAUUUAAAUUUGCACAUGGUAUUUCAUUUAGUUUUUAUUUAUUCUAAUCUUGCAAUUUAUUUUCACGUUAAAUUACUAGAAAUGCUCUACUUGGAUUCAGAAGUUGGUCAGAAUCAGAAUGUGUUGCUCGACCAAAUUGAAGCUUUGUAUUUUGGGAUUUCUCACGAGUUGAAAAUUAAAAAAAGAAGGAAAGUUAGUCCUCUGUCUUGCAUUCUUACUUGUUUCUCCGUUUCAUUGCAGCAUUCUGUCAUUUUGUAUCCAUUAUUAAACGUCCGAGUUUUUGGGUACACUUGAAAGGGCUGAGGACUGGGGUCAUAAUUGAUGAAUUGCAUACAAAUUGCUAUGAGUGAACAAUAAAAUAAGUAUCUCAUUGCAAUCUGGUUAAAUAUAUUCUUUUAUUAUUAUUAUUAUUAUUUUCACUCUUUUGGCGUACAGCUUCUACUGUUCUUUCUAUUUGAGUAGGCCAACUAAGCUUAUUCUAAAUUAUACAGCACGUGAAGCUGAUAUGGAUUUUCGCUUGUUGAGAUUCUUAUUGAAUUUGCAUAGAUUUUACCCUAGAAUAACACUAGCACCUUCUGAUUUGACAUUUCAAAUUAAAGCAAUUUUAAGUCUCACAAAAAGCUGCGAAUUAAAGAAACUGUACAAAUUAUAACAAUUUAUAGAGAAAAAUGAAAUUGAAUGACAAAUGAACUUUGAUGAAGUAAAAUUAUCAUUUAUGUAUGAAGAUCAUAUCACAUAUUUUUCUGUACAAGGAUCAUAUCACAUAUUUGACCAAAAAGACUUUUGACCCAAAAAAAAAUAUGUUCAUGGUUGUCUUCAUUGUGAACAUUUGUGAUUCUUAUCCCUUUUAUUUUGAUGUUGGAACUUUUUUGGGCCUUCAUGAGUUCGUUGAAUUUAGCUGUGCUUAUUUAAUUUGAGUUUUUUUGACUUUUGUUCUUUUUACGCUGGAUUAUUGACCCCCCGAUCUUUUCAUAAAACCUUUUUUUAUUACUUUUUUUUUCUAGUUAUUCUUAUUGGUAACUCCCAAAAUAUCCCUUUUUUAAUCACUCAUCUAAUUUUUAAUAUUAUUUUCUUAUCAAAGUUGAGGUCUAACUUCACCGCUAAGCUUUUCUAAGACUUAAGUUUUAGGUUCUUGUUUCAAUAGAUGUGUGAGUUAAUUGUAAAAAUAUUUUUUAUUAUUUUCUUGUUAAUUCUUUUCACGGAGUCGCAUUAUUGACACCCCUCUUAUAUCCUUGUAAGACCUCUUUUUUUUUUAAAAAAAAAAGAUUAUUCUUACUUUUAAUUUAAAAAAUGUCCUUUUUUUAUACACUCUUCUAAUUUCUUUCUUUCUUUCUUUUUUUAGCAGUGUUGUUAAUUUCAAAUCAAUCCUACAAACGAAUUAAAAAAUUUUAUCGGUGAUGAAUUUUUUAAUGUUAAUCAUUGACUUAAAUUUAAAAUACUUUAAAUUAUAAUUUAUUGAAUUAAAUUACACAUAUUUUAAAUUAUAAUAUAAUUGUACGUAAUCUGUAAUUAAAAAAAAUUAUUCAAUCAAUAAGAACUACAAAAAGAAUAAUAGAAUAUUUUAAAUUUAAGAAAAUUUAAUUUCAAUACGCAGGAAGUCAUGACAAAUUAAAAAAAAAAAAGGGACGUUAAUGAAUACAGUUAAUUUGCAGGAAAAAAGAUCUAAUUGGUUGACUAAUUGUUAUUUAUCCUUAUAUAUAGUUGUAUUUGAAGUUGGGUUUUUUUAAGAAUGACAAAGGGGUGCUCAUAGGUUCACUCUUUCUACAAGUGUGCUCGACAGCUAUUCAAUUUAUUGAUUCUAAGUUCUGAACAGCUUGUAAUCCAUAAUCAAGAAGAGUCAAGUUUUUGACACCCCGAAAGUCUCUAAAAUAAUCUCAUACGCGCAUAUCUUUAUCAUAAUUUUACUUAUUUAUUUUUUUGAUAUGAUGAGGCUCUAAAAAGAGCUAGAAUAAAACAGAACGCGGGUAAGCCACCCCAUACAAGUCAUGGUACAAAAGAGGAGUCACACCAGGUGGGGGAUUAGCAGGAUGAUGAACACCUAGAGGAAGAGAUAGAGCAUAAUUAGCGAGAUAGUCUGCUGUGAAAUCUGCCUCACGGUAGACAUCGUUAAUGAUAAUGUUGUUCCAAUUACGCUGGAUAACCUCCUCGAUAGGCUGAAGAAGGGAAGUGUACUCAUUGUCAGUAUCCACAGGCUUCCUAACCAGUUCAGUGACACAUAGGCUAUCAAUUUCCACCACCAGCCACUUUAUCCCAUGCUCCCAUGCCAGUUUUAGACCAUGAUAUAAACCCCAUAACUCAGCCACCGUAACAGAGCAAUGCCCUAUAUUCAUUCCGAAGCCAAAGAUCCAAGCCCCUUUGUGAUCACGAAUUACUCCAGCACUUGAUGCUUCUGUUCGCUUACAAGCUCCGUCAGUGUUCAACUUGCAUCAUGGCCAAGUUGGGGCAUCUCCAUGCAGUCCAUUUGUUUACUCUCCCGAUGUCGUGACUAGGCCUGUAUUAUUUAUGCAGUUGAUUUUCUCUGCUCUGGUUCGAAUGUCAUGAAGCAUACUCAGGUUGUCAACAGAGGUAUGCUUAAAUUGAAAUUGAUUGCGUCAGAACCAGAGACGCCGACUAGCGAUUUAUUUUUUAUUUGUAGACAUAAUUUUGAUAUGUAUAACAUUAUAUUACUACUGUGCUUACAUUCCUGUUUCGUACGUAAUGUAUAACAUUACAGCAAUAAUGUUUUAGAUGGUUUUCUCAUCUGGUCAAAUGACUAGCCUACCAUAAACAAUAUUGUUUACUUAGUAUCAUCAUAUCAUAUAUUUGAUCUUAUCUUAUCUCAUUUAUAUUUAUAUUAUUUCAUUUGUCUUAUUUUAGUUACUUAGUAUGUACUGUACAUAUAAAUAAUUCAUAAAUAUAAUAUUACCUGUAUAUUUACAUUUCUGUACUUUCCUGGAAGAUGCUCCAACAGCAAAUUGAAUAAACAAAAUGAAAUGUUGUGUCAUCUACUAAACAACAAGAAGGAGAGACAGAGUAAAAAAAAAAAAAAACACAAUAGAGAAAAUGAUAAGCGGAGAGGUUGGUUUAUUCCAUGUAUCUUAUUUGUCAUAAAUACUUAUUGUUUCAUUAAGUAAUAUAAAUUAUUAUUUAACUAUACUUGAAGAAAAGUCUCUGUGUUUAGAUGAUCGAAGCUUUUGUUACCUUUGAUAAUGUCUUUGAUUCCAUUCUCCACCGUUGACCAUAGUCACUCUUUAUAAUUAUCUUUUGCAAAUACUCUUGAGUCUUUUCUUUCUUUCUUUCUUUCUUUUUUUUUUUUUUUUUGGUUGUUGAUGGGAUGGAUUAAGUGUUUGUAAUCUCUCAAUAAUCAACUGUAAGUGAUCACAUAAUAAUUGACUUUAAGUGUUUCAUUUUGCGCUCCCCCCCCCCCCCUCCAAAUUAUACUCUUGACCAUGUAACCCCAAAUUUGGUAUUAUAUUUUAAAAAUCAAUAUAAAUAUAUUAUUAAAUGAAUUGGCAAGCUUGGAUUGAGGAUUUUAGGAAGAAAGACAAAUAUCUAUAUGAAUAUGAUCAGAUGAAUUGGCAAGCUUGAGUUAGGUUCAGAACGAACGAAAAAUAGACAAUGGAAUGAUCAUAUGGAAUUUGCAGGCCCGGCUGAAGAGGGGAGUUGUUGAGGAAUUAUGGUAUUAUUCUCAUGCCUAGGACGUGUUGGAUAAUAUGCCCACGAAGGAACGUGCAUCCCACCUGAUGUGUUGCAUCAGCUCUAUGAUUUGCCAAGCAAAAGCAAUCAAUCAACAAGGUCAGUUUGUGAAUGUUUGUCCUACACGAGUCAUAGCUAGUGAACACAUUUUGAGAUUCCUUCACUAAAUAUGUAUUGUUUUGAUUCAAUAUAGUGAGCACAAGCCCAGUGUUUAUUUAAUCAAUUACAAUUAGUUUUUCUAGCUACUAACUUUUUUGCAAUUUUCUAAAUAAAAAUAUACGUGACAGAAUCUGAUUAUUUAUUGUUGAAUGAACGAUGUGGUAGAACAAAGGAAUUGUAGAAUUUCUUGAGUUUUAGACAUAAAACAGAGUCAGGCCAUAGAACGCAUGUAUGAAGAAAUUAUCAUCUUCCGAUGAUUGAAAAUUAUCAUCACAUUUAUAGUAAUGAUGCUGUGCUUUAUUCAAAAUUAUUUCUUCCAAUAGAGAAGCAAUCAAUAAUGGUAUUAAUUCUUGAACCAGUGGAAAGCAAUUAAUUUUCUUCAUUUGUUUUCUUGCUUGGCUGUGAAACAGCCCAUUUGCGGCUGAACACAGAAUCUGUUUUUUGUUUCUUUGUUGUUUUUUGUGAAUAUUUGGCUUAAUUUACAAUUCAUGGCAUGUCUGAAAAUGGGUCGAUGAAUCUGUUAAAAUAUGGACUCAGAUCUAAAUCAGAUUUAUCCAUGAUACAAUCAAGAGGUGUUAAGAGUGCAAUUUAUGCACUAGUUUUGCAUUGUUUACUUCCCUUAAUAUCGAUAUUUUGCACUUAAUAAUAGUGAUUUACUUGUGUUUUACUUUUGUAGGUACAAUUCUAUUGAUUGGUGAUAAAAUUGAGCUACAAGAUGAUGUUUAAGGAUGAUUGUUCUCUUGGAGAAAUUAUGAGCGUCAGAAGAACUUUGUUGAUAAGGCGUGGGCGCGUGCUGUCAACUACGGACCUGUAGUUUUUAGUUUAACGUGUUUUGUAAUUUUGGUUAUUUUUGUAAUUACGAAUUUAAUAUUUCAGAUAUUAGUAUUUUAUUUUAAAUAGAAUUCUAGAGGAGAAGAGAGAGAGAGAGUAUUUAAGGGAGGAAUCUAUUGUGAAAAAGAGGGACUUUUGGGGAGAAAAGGGAGAAACCCUAGAUCUAAAUUUUUCUCUUCUCUCUAUGAAGAACUAAACCUAUUAUUCUGGUUGAAGGUUAAUGAAGCUUUGAUUCAUCACUACUGUGAGAUCUUUCUUAUGCUUUAACUGCUUUAUUAUUUUUUGGGUAUUUUUUUAUUCUCUGAAUUAUUAUCAUGAUUAUGCUUGUUAAUUAGAUAAUUGGCCACUAUUUAAUUAUCAACUUAAUCUAUUGUCAAUUAAAGGAUUCAUCGUAUGAAGAUUUUAAUGUUUGUGACAAAUAACAUAGCAGAGAGUUGUGUUGUGAGAAUAAACAAUCUAAUUUAAAUGAACCAUCGUAUGUGUUUGUAGAUUAGGAUUUGGGUCUCUCUGGUUUUUCAGGCUUUCAAUUAAUUAAAUCCUAUGAUCGUAUCUAGGGUUGUCUAUUGAUUAGGGAAAUAACCAACGGUCGUACCUUGGUUAUCGACUAGUUAAGGAGAGAUUGGCUAUUAGAGGGUCUCAGUAGCUAUAAUCAGUCUAUUCAUAAGUAGUAAUAAUUUAUAUUUGAAUCAAUGAUCAGUAGUCGAAUUAAGCUGAGUUAAUUCCUUCAACCAGAGCUUUCUCCAAUUUGAAUUACAACUUUAAUUUGCAUUCUUGUUAUUUUAAUUUGAUUUUUAUUAUUGUCAACAAUUCCCCCAUUUUAUGUUUCACAUUUUAAAAGGAUUUAAAUAAUUACCGAUCUCUGUGGACACGACCCUGCUCAAUCACUAUACACAAUUUAUUUAGAGUAUGUAUUUAUUUUUGCUGGCUUCAACAACCAUCAAAGUUUGGCGCUGUUGCCGGGGAUUGGUGUCAUUUAUUUAAUCCUUUUUACGUUUUACUUGGUGUAUGGUUCGUUCUUCUCGUACAGGUACACUUUCGUUUGAUCCUGAAAUUGAGAAGACAGCUUGCCAGCUGAGACAGCGGAUGAAGCGAGCUAAGCAACGAUCCUCAUCGCCUUUGCUUUCUGAAAUAGAUACGGUGCCUGAUUUAGUUGAAUCAUCUAGCGAUUCAAAAGAAAAAGUGAUGGAUAGAGCUGCACAUGUAGAAAGAACUCUUAGAGAGUUAGCUAAACCAGACUUGAAUUAGCAACCACUCUGCAUUCAAUAUGUAGACUUGGAGGUAAAUUUUGAAUUAAAGUCUGGUCUUAUUCAUUUAUUACCCAAGUUUCAUGGUUUUGUAGGUGAAGAUCCUCAUAAACAUCUCAAGGAGUUUCAUGUUGUGUGUUCAAGUAUGAGGCCACAACAUGGAAUUAGAUGGACUAGCUAAAGACUGGUUGUACUACUUGCCUCCUGGAUCGAUUACAACAUGGAAUGGUUUGGAGAAGCAGUUCCUUGAGAAAUACUUUCCUGCUUCAAGAGCUGCCAACAUCAGAAAAGACAUUUGUGGGAUCAGACAACUUCCUGGGGAGACUUUAUAUGAGUAUUGGGAGCGAUUUAAACAAUUGUGUGCCAGCUGUCCUCAACAUCAGAUUUCUGAUCAACUUCUUAUUCAAUAUUUUUAUGAAGGACUAUCAUUAAUGGAUAGGAGUAUGAUAGAUGCUGCUAGUGGAGGCGUGUUGGUGAACAAGACCCCUACUCAAGCAAGGGAGUUGAUCUCAAAUAUGGCUGCCAAUGCACAACAAUUUGGCAGUAGGCAAGAUUCCACUUCAAAAACGGUGAAUGAGGUAAAUAUUUCUUCUGUUGAACAACGUUUAGAUAAACUUACUUCUCUUGUGGAAAAGUUUGUUGUAGGUAAUGUGCAACAAGUGAAGACUUGUGGCAUUUGUUACAAUAUGGGUCAUUCAACUGAUAUGUGUCCUACACUUCAAGAAAAACCCGUUGAACAAGCAAUGCAGUUGGAGGAUUUCCAGGCAUGCCUCAGAGGAGGUUUUCUUCACAAUCUGAGGUGAAUCCAAAGUAAACAUUAGUGCUGUCAUCCUUAGAAGUGGGAAGGAGUUGCAAGAGCCUAGUGAGAAAGUGACAAAGCAUGUAGAAGAUGAGCUUGAAAAGAAUGAAUUGAUGCCUAAAUCUCAAGAUGCGCAACCCACCAAAGCAAAACCCCUACCUAUUGUGAUACCUCCUCCUUUUCCAAGCCGGUUUGCAAAAUCCAAGAAGGAGGAACAAGAGAAAGACAUCCUUGAGACAUUUCGCAAGGUUGAGGUAAACAUUCCUUUAUUAGAUGCUAUAAAACAAAUACCUCGAUAUACUAAAGUCCUUAAGGAACUGUGCACCUCCAAGAGAAAAUUAAGAGGAGAUGAAAAAGUUCACAUGGGGGAGAAUGUUUCAGCAGUUCUCCAAAAGAAACUACUUCAUAAGUGUAAGGAUCCAGGUAUGUUUACUAUCCCUUGUAAAAUUGGUAGUGUUAGAGUUGAAAAGGCUAUGUUAGAUCUAAGAGCUUCUAUUAAUGUCAUGCCUCGUUCCAUUUAUUCAUCUUUGAAUGUUGGUCCAUUAAAAGAAACUGGCGUGAUAAUUCAACUAACUGAUAGGUCUAAUGCAUAUCCUGAUGGAGUAUUAGAAGAUGUCUUAGUAUAAGUUAAUGAGUUGGUUUUUCCUGUCUUUUUUUAUGUAUUUGAUAUGGAAGAGGAUGACUCCUCUAAUUCUGUCCCAAUUUUGCUAGGAAGACCAUUUCUUAAGACUGCUAAGACUAAAAUGGAUGUACAUAAAGGGACUCUCACUAUGGAGUUUGAUGGAGAGGUUAUAGAAUUCAAUAUGAAUGAUGCCAUGAAAUAUCCUAGUGAGGAACAUUCGGUAUUUUCUGUGGAUGUUAUUAACCCUAUAGUGCAGGAAGUUUUUUAUAAGGAAAAAACGAAGACAUUUCAUGAUAGAAUGAUUUUGAGAAAGGAGUUCUCUGUUGGUCAAAAAGUUCUUCUUUUUCAUUCUAAGCUUAAACUUUUUCCGGGUAAAUUACGUUCUUGCUGGGUUGGACCUUUUAUUGUUACUAAUGUUUUUCCUCAUGGUGCAGUUGAGAUUCGGAGUCCGACCUCUGACAAAGUUUUUAAGGUUAAUGAUCAUCGCUUAAAACCUUUUUAUGAAGGUUUUUGAUGUAGCUGAAGUUUAAUGUUCAAAAUAUUCCGUUGAUUCUAGAGAAUACCGAAAUAAAAGAACAACUAAAUUCACGUUGAUUCAAAAGAAUACCGCGAACUUAGGGAUUUAAGACUCGUUGAUUCCGCAGAAUACCGAGAAUUAACUGUUCAAAUACUCACAAAGAGAUUUGAAAAUUGAAAUAUUAUUGAACUCAAAAUUAUGCCUGUAAAAACUACAAAACACACUUAUUUAUACUAAGUAAGACUUGUCCUAAUAUGAUUAGAAAACCUAUUUUAAUAAGACUUAUACCGAAAUUAGAAAUAUUACCCAAAUAAGCAAUACCUAAACAAUAAGACUCUAAAUAGGAAACCAAAUUAAACUAGAAUACAAAUUAAUUAAAAUAUUCCUAAAUAUUAUACAUUUAACUCUAAUUUGGAUUUCUUCAAUUUCUUGCUCUGCAUCAUUCCCGCCAAGCUGGAGAAAGUUCGUCCUUGAAUUUUGUAUGUUGUAGUCUUCAAGAACAUCUUCAUGUGCACAAGGAUUAAUUUUUAAAACAGAGCUUUGACAUAGACGAUGAACUUUAAAUUUUCCAACUUUUGUAAUAACGUCCAUCCAAUCACUCCAAUAGCGUAAAAUAAAUUCUUCUAUCAACAACUUCUCCAAUAAUGUCUUCUCGUAUUGUUCGUAUCGAACAUCAACAUAGUUGAGGAAAAACGAUUUCUUCUCAUAAUCCAUUAAUUGUUGAAAAAUAUCACAACUUUUUUUGUCUUCUUUUGGCAAAUCAAGAGAACAAUAAGAGAUUGUAUCAACAACUAUCUCUCUUUCCUCCACAAGAUCAAAAGAUGGAUGAACAAUUACCUCUUCUCGUCCCACAAUAUCAAGAUACUCAUCAAAUUUCGGCAAUUGAUCCAAAUCAAUGUCUUUGUGUUGAGAAUUUGUUGUAGACAUGAAUGGCCAAUUAAUAUUCUCCUCGGAAGGAAUAAUAUUGUCGAGGGAAACCAAGUUACCAUUUUCCUCAUUAUCCUCACAACAAAUAUCAUCAUGAACAACUUCAUCAAAUCCAUAUGCCUGCUUUAUGUGUAAAGAUUUUAUAUCUUGAAGUUUCUCUAAAUCUUGAGAAAUCAAAAGUAAAAUCCUCAACAUUCUAUUUAAAACUUCUUUCAAGACAAAAUCUUCGCGGCGAUGUUGUCGUUUCAUGAAUCAAUUUUUUUCUUCUUUUUUGUUUUCUAUCUCUUUUUUUUUUAAAUAAUGAAGCUAAACAGAAAAAAACAAAAAUGAGAAAAGAAAUGUUUGGUGGUAGAUGGGAUUAGAUAAGUAAUACCAGGUUUUGGCUCUGAUACCAAACUGAUGCAGCAGAAGUUUAAUGUUCAAAAUAUUCCGUUGAUUCUAGAGAAUACCAGAAUAAAAGAACAACUAAAUUCACGUUGAUUCAAAAGAAUACCGCGAACUUAGGGAUUUAAGACUCGUUGAUUCCGCAGAAUACCGAGAAUUAACUGUUCAAAUACUCACAAAGAGAUUUGAAAAUUGAAAUAUUAUUGAACUCAAAAUUAUGCCUGUAAAAGCUACAAAACACACUUAUUUAUACUAAGUAAGACUUAUCCUAAUAUGAUUAGAAAACCUAUUUUAAUAAGACUUAUACCUAAAUUAGAAAUAUUACCCAAAUAAGCAAUACCUAAACAAUAAGACUCUAAAUAGGAAACCAAAUUAAACUAGAAUACAAAUUAAUUAAAAUAUUCCUAAAUAUUAUAUAUUUAGCUCUAAUUUGGAUUUCUUCAAUUUCUUGCUCUACAUAAGUUUUUCAGUGAAUAUUGUGGAGGAUGUGGCUCUCGAGAGUCCCAAUUACGGAGAUUGAUGCAUAAAUGUGUCUAGCCAAAGACAUAAAACAGAGGCGCUUUUUGGGAGGCAACCCAAAUGAUUUAUUUAUUUUGGUUUUUGUUAUAUCUUCUUUUAAUUUUGAUUCAGAUUUUUUUUAAAAAAUAAUGUGUUUGCUUAUUUUGGCCAGAAGAAAAUUUUUGAUAAGGCGUGCCCACGUCUUAACUAAUAAGUACUUCUGUGAUUUUUAAAGUAAAAUGGUUUUAAGGCGUGCCCACGUGCUUAUUAGAAAAGUACUUCUGAAAUUUUUUUUGUGUCUUAAAGUGAUUCAUCAUUAAAAAAAAAAAUAUUUAUUUAUUUGAAAAUGAAAAAAAUGAAAAAAAAGGUUUUUUUCCUUUCUUUUCUUUCUUAUAUAUAUAUAUAUAUUUGAAAAAAAAACAAAAAAAAUUACUGUUUACAAAAUCCCUAAUUCACAGAAUUGGUUUUCUUCUCCAGCCUUCACCGAGCAGCCACGCAGCACCAGCAAUCCACCAUCGCGCACCAGCCCACGCAGCAGCAGCAGCAGCCGUGAGCGCAACCAGCACCAUCUCGCGCGCUCGCAGAUCCAGCCUUCACCGAGCAGCCACGCAGCAACCCACACUCGCAGAUCCAGCCUUUACCUAGCAGCACGCAGAACCAGCAUCAGCCCAGCUCUCGUGUGCAAUCAACCCUAGCGCACAGAUCCAGCAGCCCGCGCGCGCAGCAGAAUCAGUCCCAGCCCGCACACGCAACGCAACUAGCGUCACUAGCGCAGCAGAACCAGGCCCAGCAGCGCGCAUCAGAAUCAGGCCCAGCGCACAGCAUCCCGCACGCAACCAGCAUCACCAGCUCACAACCAGCAAUCCACCAUCGCGCCAAACUCCAACUGAGCAGCAAUCGUCCGCAACCAACCUACGCCCUGUAUUCCAACCAGGUGAAUCGAAAUUCGUGAGUGAAAUUAUUGUAACAAUGCCAAAGAGGAAAGCAUCAACUUCCAAGUCAUCUAAAAAGACACCUGGCGCAAAGAAAUCCAAGAUUGCCGCUCCCACUACGGUUCCAUGGAACACAGUUUCAAAUUCACGCCAAGCCGUGAGACAAAGAUCGAAACAUGGAAAAGGCAUGAGUGUUUUGCCACUUGCGGAAUCCAAUCUCGGAGGGUGCCUCGCAUUCACGACUCAACAAGAGAAAGAAAGGUAUAAAGAUAUUUCCAAGCGAAAAAUACUUCCAGCUAAGUAUAUUCAUUACCCGACUCUUGAAAAAUUGAAUAUUAAGGAUAAUUUUGAUUCUUUGAUAGAUAAGAUUGGUUUGCGUAAGUUUGUUGAUGUUGAUUGUUUGGGUUAUGUUGAGUUGAUUAGGGAGUUCUAUGCUACUUUUCAAUUUAAUAUACCGAAUGAUUUUACUUUGCAUAUCCCGGAUGUUAUAAAGUUUAGGUUAAUGGAACGAAAUUUUUCACACUCUAUCACGAAUUUUAACCUAGCUUUAGGAUUCAUUGAUGAUGAUUAUUCUUCUAGUGAUGCAUAUUUAGGAACAACUUGUGACUUUAGCGAAAAUUUUGAGCCUUAUGGUCUUUGGCGUAAUUUAUUUGUUGAUCACAAUGCCUAUGACCCGAGUAAAUCAAAGAGUUCUUUCUUACGUGAUCCUGUUUUGAAAUACGUGCAUCGAUUCUUGGCAUAUAAUUUUUUAGGAAAGAAAGAUCACUUAGGAGUUGGCUGGUUCGCGCUGCGUUACAGGGGCUGUGUGACGCUGGUUGCUUUGCUGGGGAUUGCGUUGCGCGUGGGACUGAUUGUGCGGGGCGCGCGGGCUGCUGGUUGCAUUACGUUGCGCGCGGCUGCUGCUGCUGCGCGAUGGUGACGACUGGAUUGAUUUGAGCUGCGCGCGGGAGCUGGAGUCGAGGAUCUGCGUUGCAGGGCGUGUUCGUCUACUGCUGCUCGGCUGCGUUGCGUGCGCGGGACUGAUGCGCUACGCCAUGGUGAUGGCUGGGGCUUGCUGCGCGCGGGCUGGUGGUUGCAGGUGGGACUGAUGCGGCUACUGCUGGUGAAAACGAUAAUCAACAGUGAAUUUUUUUUUUUGAAUUAGGGAUUUGUGAACAGUGAUUCCAAUCGUACCUAAAAGCUUAAGCUGUUAGGAGGGGCGCUACUUUAUACUUAAGUAGGUAAUCCGCCUAACACCAGGUAACGCCUUCACGUUAAUGCCACAUCACCCACAUGGAUGUUGGUAGAGUCACCACCGUGGUGGUGCGGGCCCCAGUUACAGUGACUGGGAUAUAUAUAUUAAGCCUAUUCCUCCCCCGCGGCUCGAACCCUGGCUGGCUCUGAUACCAUCUUAAGGCGCUUACCAAUCGUACCUAAAAGCUUAAGCUGUUAGGAGGGGCGCUACUUUAUACUUAAGUAGGCAAUCCGCCCAACACCAGGUAACGCCUUCAAGUUAAUGCCACAUCACCCACAUGGAUGUUGGUAGAGUCACCACCGUGGUGGUGCGGGCCCCAGUUACAGUGACUGGGAUAUAUAUAUUAAGCCCAUUCCUCCCCCGCGGCUCGAACCCUGGCUGGCUCUGAUACCAUCUUAAGGCGCUUACCAAUCGUACCUAAAAGCUUAAGCUGUUAGGAGGGGCGCUACUUUAUACUUAAGUAGGCAAUCCGCCCAACACCAGGUAACGCCUUCACGUUAAUGCCACAUCACCCACAUGGAUGUUGGUAGAGUCACCACCGUGGUGGUGUGGGCCCCAGUUACAAUGACUGGGAUAUAUAUAUUAAGGGCUCAGCAUCAAGCUUUGCAAAAUUUAAGCUUAAGCUUUUAGGUACGAUUGGUAAAAAGUCUUUAAAUGUUUGAAAUGUUGAUCGAUGGUUUGAGAGAAAAUCAAGACAUCAUCAAUAUUUGCCAAAAUCCUGACUUCAUGUCAAAUUUUGAAAAUAUGAAUGCAGAAUGCAGUUUUUGAAGCAAAUCCUUUUUAUUUAUUAUUUUAUAUAUAUAUAUAAAAGAAAGAAAAUAAGGAAAAAAAUAAUUAUUUUUUUUUUAGUGAUGAAUCACUUUUAGACACUAAAAAUUUCAAAAGUACCUUUUUAAUAAGCACGUGGGCACGCCUUAAAACUAUUUUACUUUAAAAAUUUCAGAAGUAUUUAUUAGUUAAGACGUAGGCACGCCUUAUUAAAAAUUUUCUUCUGACCAAAAUAAGCAAACACAUUAUUUAAUUUUUUUUUAUUCGAAUCAAAACUAAAAGAAGAUAAAACAAAAACCAAAAUAAACAAAUCACUUGGGUUGCCUCCCAAAAAGCGCCUUUGUUUUAUGUCUUUGGCUAGACACAUUUAUGCAUCAAUCUCCAUAAAUAGGACUCUCGAGAGCCAUUUCCUCCACAAUAUUCACCGAAAAACCUUCAUAAAAAGGUUUUAAACGAUGACCAUUAACCUUAAAGACUUUAUCAGAGGUUGGACUCCGAAUCUCAACUGCACCAUGAGAAAAAACAUUAGUAACAAUAAAAGGUCCUACCCAACGAGAACGUAAUUUACCAGGAAAAAAUUUAAGUUUAGAAUGAAAAAGAAGAACUUUUUGACUAACAGAGAACUCCUUUCUCAAAAUCAUUCUGUCAUGAAAUGUCUUCGUCUUUUCCUUGUAAAAUCGCGAACUCUCAUAGGAUUCAUUUCUAAUCUCCUCCAACUCUUGCAGCUGCAACUUCCUCUGCUUUCCCGCUUCAUCCAUCCGCAUAUUGCAUUGCUUAACCGCCCAGUAUGCUCUGUGCUCAAGUUCUACAGGUAAAUGACAAGGCUUACCAAAUACUAAACGAUAAGGAGACAUACCUAUGGGAGUUUUGUAAGCGGUGCAAUUCUCCCAUAAUGCAUCAUCUAAUCGCAAACUCCAAUCCUUUUGAUUUGGACUAACUGUCUUUUCAAGAAUAGACUUGAUUUCUCUGUUUGAUAUCUCAGCUUGUCCACUUGUCUGUGGAUGAUAGGCGGUAGACACUUGGUGGGUAACAUGAUAUCUUUUGAACAAAGCUUCCACCACUCGAUUACAGAAAUGAGUGCCUCUAUCACUUAUCAUCGCUCUUGGUACACCAAACCUGGCAAAAAUAUUAGACUUGACAAAAUCUACAACAACUUUAGCAUUGUCAGUCCGGGUGGCCUUAGCCUCUACCCACUUAGAAACGUAAUCCACUGCUAAAAGAAUGUAAGCAUUGCCAAAAGAUGAGGGAAAAUGUCCCAUAAAAUCAAUGCCCCACAUAUCAAAUAUUUCACAUACAAGAAUAGGGGUAAGUGGCAUUUGAUUUCUAUGACUUAAAUUACCAGUCUUUUGACAAUUCUCACACGACUUACAAAACAUGUAUGACAAUCCUCAAGCCGGGAAAGCUUGGAGGCGUGGACGGAGGCGAGGUUGGCCGAACCACGUAAAAAUCUCUAUGUUUGAAUCCCUCUUCCCUUAUCUUUUUAUAUUGUGAUCAACUUAAUUGUUAUUGCUUUGAAUUUGGAUUAUAUUUGCAUUAAGUUUUUCUUUAUAAAUUGAAUAGUUUUUAGAAUCCCAAUUCACCCCCCUCUUGGGUUGCAUACUUGUAUUUCAAUUGGUAUCAGAGCCUUGUUCUCUUGUUAAGACUUAAUCGUCUAGAGUAAAAGAUCCAUGGCAACCCUAAAUGACUCAACCUUUAGAGAAGGGCAAUCUACAACUUGACCACCAUUCUUUGAUGGAAAUGACUAUGCUUAUUGGAAAACUAGAAUGAGAAUCUACUUGCAAGCCUUAGAUUAUGAAAUUUGGGAAGUUGUUUGUGACGGUCCAUUCAUGCCUAUGUUUAAAGAUGAAGUAGGAGAUGAUAUUCCUAAACCAUCAAGUCAAUGGAGUGAGUUAGAAAAGAGAAAAAUGUCUCUAAACUCCAAGGCUAUGAAUCUUUGUUUUGUGCCCUUGAUAAGAAAGAAUUCCAUAGAGUAUCUAGUUGUGAAAGUGCACAAGAGAUAUGGAACAAACUUGAAGUUGUCUAUGAAGGGACAAAUCAAGUAAAAGAGUCUAAAAUCAGUAGAUACACUCGUCAAUAUGAGCUGUUCCAAAUGGAACAAAAUGAAAAUGUGUAUUCUAUGUAUACUAGAUUCACGGACAUAGUGAACACCCUAGGUGCCUUAGGGAAAACCUUCUUAAAUAGUGAGAAAGUUAAGAAAAUCAUUAGGUCACUUCCAAAAGAAUGGAGACCUAAAUGAACCGCCAUUGAAGAGGCCAAAGAUUUAAAUACUUUACCUCUUGAUGAUUUAAUUGGUUCUCUUAUUUCAUAUGAAGAGGAUUUAGCUGCAGAAAAAGGACAUGAGGAGAAGAAGAAAAGCAUUGCUCUCAAAGCUUCAAAAUAUGAGAGUGAUGGGGAAAGUGAACCGGAUGAUGAAGAGCUAGCCAUGCUAGCAAGGAGGUUCAGAAAAUUCUUCAAGAAAACCAGAGAGAGAAGAAAUUUCAGAAACUUCAAGAACUAUAGGGAGAAGAAGGAGGCAAUUACAUGCUAUGAAUGCAAGAAGCCUGGACAUAUAAGAUCGGAGUGCCCACUUAUCAACAAACUUAAGAAGAAAGCAAUGGUUGCAACUUGGGAUAAUAGUGAGGAAGAAUCAAGUGAUGAAGAAGGAUCGCAAGAAGUAUCAAACCUAGCACUCAUGGCAAUAGGAGGGGAUGAUGAUCUCAAUGAGGUAAGUGAUCCUACCUAUGAUGAAUUGUAUGAUGCUUUCAAAGAUUUGCAUAAUGAGUUAAUGAAGAUUGGUAAAAAGAACGUAUGUCUUAAAAAGGAAAUGGUAAAGCUUAAAAAUGAAAAUGAAUCUCUAAAUGCAAGAAUUGUAUGCCUAGAAGUAGGGAACAAAACAUUGCAUGAUGAAAUUGCAUUAUCAAAUGAGAAACCUAGCAUCUUACAUGAGCAUUUAGAAUCACACAUAGAUGAGUUGAAAAAUGAGAACGAAAUGCUCAAGAAAAAGAGUAAUGAAUUGAAUGAAAUUGUUUUGAAAUUUACAAAUGGGCAAAAGAUGUUGGAUAAUAUGCUUAACUCACAAAAAUGUGUUUUUGAUAAAGGAGGACUUGGGUAUAAGCCUAAUUUGAAGCAAAAGUAUUAUAAGAAUUAUUUUGUUAAAGCUACCUCCACAAAUGAUCAUAAGAUUGUAUGUUAUUAUUGUAAUCAAAAUGGUCACAUGAAAUAUAGAUGUCCCGUGAAAAGGAAUGCAUAUUAUGGUGUCAAAUGCAUUUGGGUUCCAAAAGGAACUGUUGCUAACUCUCAAGGACCCAAAAAGCUUUGGGUACCUAAAACUUGAGAUUUUUUCUUGUAGGGCUUGAAGAAGAAGAAAAAUAAAUGGUACUUGGACAGCGGUUGUUCAAGGCACAUGACCGGAAACUAUGCAUGGUUCUCAAGCUUCACCAAAAUUGAAAAUGGUGGAGACGUAUCUUUUGGAGACAACUCAAAAGGAAAAAUUCUUGGAAUUGGAAAUGUUGGUAAAGUCUCUUCAACUCUAAUUGAGAAUGUAUGUUUGGUUGAGAACUUGAAACACAACUUAAUUAGCAUUAGUCAAUUAUGUGACAAAGGUUAUAAAGUUAUCUUUGAUAAAUUUAGUUGUGUUAUUGAGAACUCAUGUGAUGGCAAAACCUUGUUUGUUGGUAAUAGAUGUGGUAAUGUUUAUACCAUUGACAUAGAAUGUGCAUCUACUCUUGAUAAAUGUUUUUCCGCAUUACAUGAUGAUAGUUGGCUAUGGCAUAGAAGAUUAGGACAUGCAAGUAUGGAUUUGAUUUUGAAAAUUUCGAAAAAUGAUUUAGUUAAAGGUCUUCCGAAAAUUGGUUUUCAAAAGGAUAAGAUUUGUGAAGCUUGUCAAUUUGGAAAAAAAUCAAAACCUCUUUCAAAAACAAAAACCAUAUCUCUACUUCAAAACCUCUUAAACUUCUUCACAUAGAUCUAUUUGGACCAUCUAGAUAUGCUAGUCUAAAUGGCAAAUAUCAUGCAUUUGUGAUAAUGGAUGAUUAUUCUAGAUAUACAUGGGUAUUAUUCUUAGCCAAUAAGGAUAAUGCUCUUGAUGCUUUUAAAGUGCUUUAUAAGAAAUUACAAAAUGAAAAAGGGUGUGACAUUAUAUGCAUUAGGAGUGAUCAUGGAGGAGAAUUUGAAAAUCAUGCAUUUGAGAACUUUUGCAAUAAUCUUGGCAUUGAGCAUCAAUUUUCAUCACCUAGGACUCCACAACAAAAUGGAGUUGUUGAGAGAAAGAAUAGGUCUAUUCAAGAAAUGGCUAGGACCAUGUUAAAUGAAAAUGCAUUACCUAAAUAUUUUUGGGCCGAAGCCGUCAACACCGCUUGCUAUGUUUUAAAUCGGGUGUUGAUUAGACCUCAUCUCAAUAAAACUCCCUAUGAGCUUUGAAAAGAUAGAAAACCCAACAUUGGCUAUUUCAAAGUUUUUGGAUGCAAAUGUUUUAUUUUAAACACAAAAGAUAAUCUUGGUAAAUUUGAUCCAAAAUCUGAUGUUGGCAUCUUUCUUGGGUAUUCAAACUCAAGUAAAGCUUAUAGAGUUUAUAAUAAAAGAACUUUAGUUGUGGAAGAAUCCAUGCAUGUUACGUUUGAUGAGUCUAAGCCCUUCUCUACGGAGAAAGGAGUUGCUAAUGAUGAUGCAGAUGGAGACUUACAAGAGGAAUCAUCAAAAGAGAUUCAAGAAAAUGCACCAUAAGAAAAUCAAGAGGAUAGACAAGAAGAACAAACCAAUACGGAGCUGGAGCAACAAGAAGGUAUUUCUCAAACACUCCCCAAGGAGUGGAGGUAUGUCUCUUCUCAUCCUAAAGAUGUAAUUUUAGGAGAUCCCUCACGAGGUGUUACAACUAGAUCAUCUCUUAAGAAUACUUGUGAGCAUAAUGCAUUUAUCUCUCAAAUUGAACCCAAAUCCUUUGCGGAUGCGGAAAAUGAUGAAUCUUGGAUUAUGGCAAUGCAAGAGGAGUUAAAUCAAUUUGAAAGAAACAAUGUGUGGGAAUUAGUUCCUAAACCGAAACAUCAAUCUGUCAUAGGCACUAAAUGGGUAUUUAGAAAUAAGAUAGAUGAAUCCGGGUUGGUUGUAAGAAAUAAAGCUAGAUUAGUGGCUCAAGGUUACAACCAAGAAGAAGGAAUUGAUUUUGAUGAAACUUUUGCACCUGUAGUAAGGUUAGAAUCCAUUAGGAUGUUGUUAGCAUAUGCAUGUCAGAAGGAUUUUAUUUUAUAUCAAAUGGAUGUCAAGAGUGCUUUCUUAAAUGGAUAUAUUAUGGAGGAAGUUUAUGUGAAACAACCUCCUGGUUUUGAAAAUGAAAAAUUUCCAAAUCAUGUUUAUAAGUUGCUUAAAGUCUUGUAUGGAUUAAAACAAGCACCUAGAGCAUGGUAUGAUAGACUUAAAAAUUUUUUGCUAGAAAAUGAUUUUUCUAUGGGUAAAGCGGAUACUACUCUAUUUGUUAAGCAUAAGAACCAAGACAUACUUAUUGUUCAAAUUUAUGUUGAUGAUAUUAUUUUUGGUUCUACUAAUGAGUUGUUGUGUAAAGAAUUUUCAUCGUGUAUGAGCAAAGAAUUUGAGAUGAGUAUGAUGGGAGAGUUGAAGUACUUCCUUGGACUUCAAAUCAAACAAAACGAGGAAGAAAUUUUCAUAAAUCAAGCCAAGUACAUAAAAGAUCUACUCAAACGAUUCGGCAUUGAUGACUCAAAGACCAAGAAUACACUAAUGAGCACAACAACCAAGCUGGACAAAGAUGAAAAAGGCAAAGAAGUUGAUAUCAAAAUGUAUCGAGGUAUGAUCGGAUCCCUACUUUAUUUGACUGCAAGUAGACCCGAUAUCAUGUUUAAUGUAUGUUUGUGUGCAAGAUUUCAGUCAUGUCCCAAGGAAUCUCAUUUGCUUGCUGUUAAAAGAAUUUUUCAUUAUUUGAGUGGAACCAUAGAUAUUGGCCUUUGGUAUCCUAGGGGAACUCAUAUAGAUUUAACAUGUUAUUCGGAUGCGGACUUUGCCGGUUAUAAAGUAGAUAGGAAGAGCACUAGUGGUACUUGCUAUAUUCUAGGACACUCUUUUGUUUCAUGGUUUAGCAAGAAACAAAAUUCUGUCGCAUUUUCAACUACCGAGGCUGAAUAUAUAGCUGCCGGAAGUUGUUGUGCACAAGCACUUUGGAUGAAACAAACACUUAGAGAUUAUGGCAUUAAUCUUGAACAAAUUCCUAUUAAGUGUGAUAAUACUAAUGCUAUAAAUCUUUCAAAGAAUCCCAUUCAACACUCUCGAACCAAGCAUAUAGAAAUAAGACAUCAUUUCUUGAGAGAUCAUGUUCAAAAGAGAGACAUUGCAUUAGAGUUUAUUUCUACGGAAAAACAACUUGCCGAUAUUUUUACAAAACCACUUUGUGAAGAACAAUUUUCCAAAAUUCGGCAUGAACUUGGGAUGAUGAAAUUUUCACAUUAACAUCUUCAUUCAUGCUAUUGAGUGUAUUAACAUUGAUUGAUCUAUGACUUGAUGCUUUAAUAUCUAUGAAAUGCUCAAUCGUAAUAUACAUGUGAUGUGUAUGUAUAAUUGAAAAUGUAUGAAUUAAUUUUGCAAUACAUAUAUAUGUUCAUGAAUUAUGCAUUGAAAUGGCACUCAAAUCAUUUUGGAUCAAUAAAAUGAUCUUGAAAUGUAUUAAUAAGUAGCCAAAUAUCAAAAUACAUGUGCAAAAUCAUAAAUUGUAGAAAACGGAUUGUCGUUAUUUCAAUAAACGGCUAACCGUUUUGGGCAGAAACAAUGGAAAGUUUUCUGGGCGCUAUCGGUUCGCCGAUAACUAUCUAUCGGCUCACCCUCCUAAUACAAAAUUUUGAGGAGACUCCCUAGACCCUAUCGGCUCGCCGUUUUGAUGAAAUAUUUUAGAGGACUCUCUGGACUCUGUCGGCUCGCCGUUUUGAUGAAAUAUUUUAGAGGACUCUCUGGACUCUGUCGGCUCGCCGUUUUCUUUAUAACGGCUCGCCGUUAUCACGCGUUAAUUGAACAGUCCUUCGUCUUCCUCCUCAUUUCAGUUUCUCUUUCUCUCUCCCUCUCACUCCAACCCGUGACUGCACCAGUUCUCUCCUCUCAAUUCCAUCACUUUUCUUGUCAUUUUUCACCAAAUUGAAGGAUUACAAAUCAUUUUCAUCAUCUCUAGCAUCUUUUAACCGAUUAAAAUUCUUCUUUUUCUUCAAAAUUUGAAAAAUCUCUUUUUAAAACCCUAGAACCAGCCGAACCUCAUUUGCUCAAAUUUGACCUAAAUUUCUUCCUUUUUCCAACCACAUUUCCACCCACAAUCACUCUCUCAUCUCUCAAACUUCAUUUCCCCCGAUCUAUUUUCCUUCUAACACAUCCAUGGCGGAACGACCACAAAGGCGUGCUCAAACCAAGCACACUGCUCCACGACGUUCUAGUCCACCCAGGUCUCCUCCUCAAGACUUCGAGAGUCUUCAUUUUUCCGAUGCCACCUCUGCUCAGCGAUUUCGUGAGAAAUUCAUGGGUAAACCCGUAACUCCCUCUUUUUCUCUUAACAUUUCGGAGUUUUCGGAUAUUACUGUUUGUGGUCACUCCAUUGCUCAAAUGCUUAGUCAUUGGAAGCAAGCUUUAAGUAUUGAAGAACCAAUUUAUGAAAAUCUAGUUCGAGUCUUUUAUUCUAACAUAGAAUUCCCCUCUACUCGUCGUGACGAGCUUCAUACAUAUGUAGGAGGAAUUCGCAUUGAACUUGAUGAACCCGAAUUAUGUAGUAUUCUAGGAAUAGCUUAUGGAGGUUUAGAUCUGUACACCGCUAGGAAAGAACUAUCUUUUAGUGAUUUUCGUCAUGUGGAUGGUGUACGGAACAUUUGUCGUCGUCGGGAUCUUUCCGAUGACAUCUGCUCUCUGUCCUUUAGGUCUCAACUCCUCCCUUUUCAGAUUCGAAUACUUCACAUUAUUCUCCAACACAUGGUCACUCCUAGACAGGGUCACACUGAUGAGGUCACUAGGCUUGAUACUGGUCUAUUAAAUUCUCUUAUCCGUAGACGCCAUGUGAGCUUAUCCUACACUAUUCUGUGUCAUAUGAUGUCCACUCCUAAAGUCUCCAAUCGAUCUCUUCUUUAUGGCAGCAUCAUUACUAAAAUCUUGAACCACUUUCGAGUUCCUAUCAUCGAGCCUGUUUUUCUCGAGACUCGUAAGCUCGGACGAGAAAUUAUUUCUGCCAUCGGAUUCUUUAAGAAGCGUGGGAAAUGGGAGAAGACCACAUCCUCUAAAAACCCAGAGGAUGAUCGUAUGUUGAAUGAUGUCUACUCCGAGGAUGAGUUACCUGAUUUCUGCCUUGGGGCUAGACCGCAUGUUCCUCGCCGAGCAACAGCUGCAUCUUAGGAUGACGAGCCUACCGAGACUGCCGUCCCUCCUGCAGCAUCGGCUGUUCCUGAGGAUCGCUUCCAGCAGCUUCUCAACAGAGUGGAUACUCUGUCCCAGCAGCAGCAGCUUCGAUAUGAUUUUGCAACCUUUCGGAAGCAAAUUUCAAAUCAGCAGAUGGAGUUACUUGCGGGCCAGCAUCGCAUUCUCGACUACUUUGGAUAUGACCCCGGCAGCUCGUCUUCACAGCCUCCAUCUUAGCUUUUCUGCCCCUCUGAUAUUCGCACAGACAUUUCUCAUUUCAUGUUAUUUGCCUUAUGCAUAUGAUGUUAUUUGUUUUGUGUUUAUGCUUCUGAUAUCUCAUGUUAGACAUGUGCACUUGAUUUAUGUUUGAGUUGGCCUUGGUAUUAUAUUGUUUAUCUUGCUCAUUAUGGAAGUGUGAAAUUGUUGGUAUGGAGAUUGGUUGAUAUGGUGGCAUAUUUAUAUGGAAGUGUUUUUUUCUUUUUAACUCUGUGUAUUGUUGAGGUAAUGCUUAUAUUUAAGGGGAGAUUCGGCCAAAGUUUUUUCAAGCAUAAGUCAUUCCUCAUGCCUCUUUCUUUUUUAUGAUGAAGGGGGAGAUAAUUGGCAUUGGCAUAAAAUUAUUUAUUUCUUCCAAUCAAUCUGUUUUAAACUUGUUUGAGAUUAAAGUUAAAUGAAUUUUUUAAGGGAGAUUAACAAGUCUUUCAAAAUCUCACUUAGGGAGAGCUCAUAUUUAGGGGGAGCAAAAUUACACAAGUAUUUUCUUGAAAAGUUUGUCAUCAUCAAAAAGGGGGAGAUUGCUAACAUAAAUAAUUCCUUAUUGAUUUUGAUGAUAACAAACAUGAUUAAGUUUGAUAAAUCUUUUGAGGACUCAACAUAUUUUUUCAUCUAUUUUUGACAAGUUUCAUAAAGUAUUGUUUAUAAAGAUUUGGAGUCAAAACAGUCAUCUUGCAAAAUAGAUCACUACAGCAAUUUUUGUGGAAAGCGGCGAUCCGAUAUGUGUAAUAAACAGCUCACCGAUUUCAAGCAGAAAUGGAGAUUAGCCUCUGGACGUAAACGGCACACCGACAUGUGUGAUAAACGGCUCGCCGAUAUCAACCAGUAGCCUCUGGACCUAAACGGCGAACCGAUAUGUUGCUAAACGGCUCGCUGAUAUCAACCAAAACUAAAGGGUAGUCUCUGGACCUAAACGGCGAACCGACAUGUGUGAUAAACAGCUCGCCGAUAUCAACCAGUAGCCUCUGGACCUAAACGGCGAUCUGACAAUUUGAAAAAUCAGCCCAACGGUCAUAUUGAUCAGUCAAACGGCGAUCCGACAUCUAGCUAACGGCGAUCCGUCCGUGUGCAGAAAGUUAAUAACGGCUAGUUUUCAACAGCAGCUAUAAAUAAGCUCAUUCAAAUUCAAACAAAAGCUUAUCACAACACGACUACUGAGCAUAUAAUUGAGAGUACAAUCUUCAUUGAGCUAUUAAAAUACAUUCUUGCUUCAUCUAUCUAUAUAUUGGGUAUCAUUGUGUAAUUUUAUAUAUUGUGAGAGGCAAAACAAUUUGUAAUCUUUUACUUUGAGUGAUUGUAAGUGUUGGGAUACACUUGGGUUAAGAGAUUGGGGAUAAUCUCUUGUUGUAAAGGUUUAUUGACACCUUGGAAGUCAAGUGUAAGCAUUUGAAGCCUUGGAGGCUUGCUUAGUGGAAUCCUCAAGCCUGGAAAGCUUGGAGGCAUGGACGUAGGCGAGGUUGGCCGAACCACGUAAAAAUCUCUGUGUUUGAAUCCCUCUUCCCUUAUCUUUUUAUAUUGUGAUCAACUUAAUUGUUAUUGCUUUAAAUUUGGAUUAUAUUUGCAUUAAGUUUUUCUUUAUAAAUUGAAUAAUUUUUAGAAUCCCAAUUCACCCCCCUCUUGGGUUGCAUACUUGUAUUUCAAGGACAUGUGAAGGUAGUCUUCUCCUGAUCCUCAGGCGCAACUGGUAUCUGAUGAAAACCUAAAUAGCUAUUAAGACAACAAAAGUGAGAUUUUCCUGCUAACCUUUCAAGCAUCUGAUCAAUAAAAGGAAUAGGAAAAUGAUCCUUUCUAGUAAGUGAAUUAAGCUUUCUAAAAUCAAUACAAACCCUCCACCCAUUCUGAACUCGGGUAGGUACUAACUCACCAUAAGAAUUCUCAAUAAUUGUUAUAUCAGUUUUCUUCGGUACUACUUGUACCAGACUUACCCAUUUGCUAUCCGAAAUUGGAUAGAUUAUACCUGCAUCAAGAAGUUUUAGAAUUUCUUUCUUCACUACUUCCAUUAUGAGUGGAUUCAAACGGAGUUGAGCUUGAAUUGAAGGUUUGGCAUCUUCCUUCAGCAGUAUUCUAUGCAUGCACGUAGACGGACUUAUCCUUUUAAUAUCUGCAAUUGUCCACCCAAUAGCCUUUUUGUAAUCCUUCAGCACUCUAAUAAGUUUCUCUUCCUCUAAAGUACUAAGCUUUGAAGAGAUGAUCACCGGAAGUGUCUCAUCCUCUCCUAGAAACAUGUACUUUAGAUAACUCGGCAAUGGUUUAAGCUUUAUUUUCGGUGCCUACAAAAUAGAUGGAAGAAGUUUUGCAUGAGAUGAAGGUAAUUCAAUAUUAGACAUAUGAUGAGUUAAAGUUCUCAAAGAAUUUAAUUCAUAAAUUGUCUCUUGCAAUAAAAUUUAAAACAAACUCAUUUUCAUCCUUUUGCAAUCUUUCGAGGCCCAAACUGUUAUUUAAAGCAGCUACCAAUGAAUCUUCAACAUUCAAAUAAAAAACUUCCUGCACUAUAGGGUUAAUAACAUCCAUAGAAAAUACCGAAUAUUCCUCACUGGGAUAUUUCAGGGCAUCAUACAUAUUGAAUUCUAUAACCUCUCCAUCAAACUCCAUAGUAAAAGUCCCUUUAUGUAUAUCCAUUUUAGUUCUAGCAGUCUUAAGAAAAGGUUUUCCUAGCAAAAUUGGGACAUAAUUAGAGGAGUUAUCCUGUUCCAUAUCAAGUACAUAAAAAUCAGCAGGAAAAACCAACUUAUUAACUUGUACUAAGACAUCCUCUAAUACCCCAUCACCAUAUGUAGUAGACCUAUCAGCUAGUUGAAUUAUCACGCCAAUUUCUUUUAAUGCACCAACAUUUAAAGAUGAAUAAAUAGAAUGAGGCAUGACAUUAAUAGAAGCUCCUAGAUCUAACAUAGCCUUUUCAACUCUAACACUACCAAUUUUGCAAGGAAUAGUAAACAUACCUGGAUCCUUGCACUUAGGAGGUAGUUUCUUUUAGAGAACUGCGGAAACAUUCACUCCCAUGUGAACUCUUUCAUCUCCUCUUAAUUUUCUCUUGGAGGUGCAUAGUUCCUUAAGGAAUUUAGCAUAUCGAGGUAUUUGUUUUAUAGCAUCUAAUAAGGGAAUAUUUACCUCAACCUUGCGAAAUGUCUCAAGGUUGUCUUUCUCUUGUUCCUCCUUCUUGGAUUUUGCAAACCGACUUGGAAAAGGAGGAGGUAUCACAAUAGGUAGGGGUUUCGCUCUGGUGGGUUGCGCAUCUUGAGAUUUAGGCAUCAAUUCAUUCUUCUCAAGCUCAUCUUCUACAUGCUUUGUCACUUUCUUACUAGGCUCUUGCAACUCCUUCCUACUUCUAAGGAUGAUGGCACUAGCAUUUUACUUUGGAUUCACCUCAGAUUGUGAAAGCAACCUCCCUGAUACUUGAGACUCUAGACGGCUCAUCGUAGUUGCCAAUUGACUCACUUGGCUCUCCAAAUUCUGAAUGCUUGUUGUGGUUGGCUACUGAAAUUGUUGAGCGUUAGUCGCAAGUGAUUUAACAAUUUCUUCAAGAGAUAUACCUGACUUGGAGUUUGAUUGUGGAGGUGCUGGUUGUCUUGGUGGAUAUUGUUGUAGGAAUCCUGACGGCCUAACUCCAUAGCUGAAGUUGGGGUGAUCCUUCCAUCCCGGAUUGUAUGUUUGUGCAUGAGGAUCAUACCUCCUCUGAGGCAUGCCUGGAAAUCCUCCAACUGCAUUGGCUUGUUCAACGGGUUCUUCUUGAAGUGUAGGAUACAUAUCAGUUGAAUGACCUAUAUUGGAACAAAUGCCACAAGUCUUUACCUGUUGCACAUUACCUAAAACAAACUUUUCCAUAAGAGAAGUAAGUUUAUCUAAACGUUGUUCAACAGAAGAAAUAUUUACCUCAUUCACCAUUCUUGAAGUGGCGUCUUGCCUGCUGCCAAAUGAUUGUGCAUUGGCAGCCAUAUUUGAGAUCAACUCCCUUACUUGAGUUAGAGUCUUGUUCACCAACACACCUCCACUAGCAGUAUCUAUCAUACUCCUAUUCAUUAAUGACAGUCCUUCGUAAAAAUAUUGAAUAAGAAGUUGAUCAGAAAUCUAAUACUGAGGACAGCUGGCACACAAUUGUUUGAAUCGCUCCCAAUACUCAUACAAAGUCUCCCCAGGAAGUUGUCUAAUCCCACAAAUAUCUUUUCUGAUGUUGGCAACUCUUGAAGCAGGAAAGUACUUCUCGAGGAACUGCUUCUUCAAACCAUUCCAUGUUGUAAUCGAUCCAGGAGGCAAGUAGUACAACCAGUCUUUAGCUAGUCCAUCUAAAGAGAAAGGAAAAGCACGCAACUUAAUCUGCUCUUCAGUCACGCCUUGUGGUCUCAUACUUGAACAUACAACAUGAAACUCCUCGAGAUGUUUAUGAGGAUCUUCACUUGCAAAACCAUGAAACUUGGGUAAUAAAUGAAUAAGACCAGACUUUAAUUCAAAAUUUACCUCCAAAUCUACAUAUUGAAUGUAGAGUGGUUGCUGAUUCAAGUCUAGUUCAGCUAACUCUCUAAGAGUUCUUUCUACAGGUGCAGCUCUAUCCAUCACUUGUUCUUCUGAAUCGCUAGAUGAUUAAACAAAAUCAGGCACCGUAUCUGUUUCAGAAAGCAAAGGUGACGAGGAUCGUUGCUUAGCUCGCUUCGUCUGCUGUCUCAGCUGGCUAGCUGUCUUCUCAAUUUGAGGAUCAAACGAAAGUGUACCUGUACGAGAAGAACGAACCAUACACUAAGUAAAACGUAAAAAGGAUUAAAUAAAUUACACCAAUCUCUGGCAACGGCGCCAAAAUUUGAUGGUUGUCGAAGCCAACAAAAAUAAAUACCUACUCUAAAUAAAUUGUGUAUAGUGAUUGAGCAGGGUCGUGUCCACAGAGAUCGGUAAUUAUUUAAAUCCUUUGAAACGUAAAACGUAAAAUGGAGGAAUUGUUGACAUUAAUAAAAAUCAAAUUAAAAUAACAAGAAUGCAAAUUAAAGUUGUAAUUCAAAUUAGAGAAAGCUCUGGUUGAAGGAAUUAACUCAGCUUGAUUCGACUACUGAUCAUUAAUUCAAAUAUAGAUUAUUAUUACUUAUGAAUAGACCGGUUAUAGCUACUGAGACCCUCUAAUAGCCAAUCUCUCCUGAACUAGUCGAUAACCAAGGUAUGACCGUUGGUUAUUUCCCUAAUCAAUAGACAACCCCAGAUAUGAUCAUAGGAUUUAAUCAAUUGACAGCCUGAAAGACUAUAGAGACCCAAAUCCUAAUCAACACAUCCGAUGAUUCAUUUAAAUUAGAUUGUUUAUUCUCAUAACACAACUCACUGCUAUGUUAUUUGUCACAAACAUUAAAAUCUUCCUACGAUGAAUCCUUUAAUUGACAAUAGAUUAAAUUGAUAAUUAAAUAGUGGCCAAUUACGUAAUUAACAAACAUAAUCAUGAAAAUAAUUCAGAGAAUAAACAAAUACUCAAAAAGCAAUAAAACAAUUAAAGCAUAAGAAAGAACUCACAGUAGUGAUGAAUCAAAGCUUCAUUAUCCUUCAACCAGAAAAAUAGGUUUAGUUCUUCAUAGAGAGAAGAUAAAAGUUUAGAUCUAGGGUUUCUUUCUUUUUCUCCAAUCUCCCCUUUUUUUCACAAUAGAUUCCUCCCUUAAAUACUCUCUAUCUCUUCUCUUUUAUACUUCUAUUUAAAAUAAAAUACUAAUAUCUGAAAUAUUAAAUUCGUAAUUACACAAAUAACCAAAAAUACAAAACACGUUAAACUAAAAACUGCAGGUCCGCAGUUGACAGCAUGCGCCCACGCCUUAUCAAUAAAGUUCUUUUGACGCUCAUAAUUUCUCCAAGAAAAUAAUCAUCCUUAAACAUCAUCUUAUAGCUCAAUUUUAUCACCAAUCAAUAGAAUUGCAUCUGUAAAAGUAAAACACAAGUAAAUAACUAUUAUUAAGUGCAAAACAUCGAUAUUAAGGGAAGUAAACAAUGAAAACUAGUGCAUAAGUUGCACUCUAACAAAUUCCCCCACUCCAAGAUGAUGCUUGUCUUCAAGCAUAUAACUCAAGAUUAAUCCCAAAUCUCCACUCAAUUCUCAUCUCAACUCAUCCAAAAAUAAUUUUAAGUAAGCAUACCUCAAGAAAUUAAGUCGAUCAACAUUCGAGAGACAAGGAUUUUUAAAGCAUAGAAUCUCAUAAGAUAGAAUAAGAACAUUCAACCACCAAGAAGAUCCAUUCAAAAUUCAAGUGCAACAAGAUUUAAUAGCCCUCUCAAUGACUUCACUCCAUGCACUCAAAGUGUUUAGGGUAUCAUUUAUACACUCAAAUCAAAUCAAAGAAUGCUAUUACCAUAAGCUUGCUCAUAUAUCACAUCUCAAUCCACAAAAUAUGAAUAAAAUGAAAAAUCUAAGGGUCUUAAAAAGGUUGUAAUGGGGUUAAAUAGGUUAAAUGAAAAUGAAAGGUCUACGAAAGAAAAAGAGAUCAAAAUGAGAAUAAUGAACUCAUUGAAUGAACUUAUGAUAUUAAAAUGCUUAUUUCUAUUCAAGUCACCAAGAAUGUAAACAUUUUUUUUCGAUCUUUUUUUUUUCUUUUUCUUUUUCUUUUUUUUUUUUUUUUUUUUUUUUUUUUUUUUUUUUUCUUUUUUUUUCUUUUUCUUUUUCUUUUUUUCUUUUUUUUUGUUUUUUUUUUCGAAUCAAACAAAAGAAACGAACCUUGCACAAUUUAAUUCAAGCAUAAUGCUUGUUGAUCUAAUUGAGAAACUUUAAUACAAGGUAGAAAAAGCAACAAAAUAUAUCCACACAAUGAGUCCAAAAAUCUCCUUAAAUUGAGGCUCAAAAAGAAGAAAAAUGGUUAAGUAGACGGAGAGAAUUAGAUGGGUAAUGGUUAAGGCUCAAACAAAGAUAGCAAAUAAAGGUCUUCGGGUAGAGAAAAAAAAACGCGAGAAUAGAAAAAUGGAAAAGGGUUUGCCCUUAUCAUUUUAAUGCAUAAAAUGCCAUAAUGUGGCUUUAACAUGCAUAACAAAGCAAGUUCUAGAAUAAACAAACUAAGAUUGAUAUUCACAUAACAAAAAUAUUAGAGCAAAGUGGUUGCUCAUAGGCUCAAAUCCUCAUAAAGUUGGUAAAUUUGCCAUCAAAUCAUGUACACUCUUCAAAUGAAUCAACCAUCAAUAGUGGUAUAGAAUGAGAAGAAGGUAUAAGUGAUAUAUAAAAGGAAAGGUAAAAAUGAUAAGAAGUGAGAAAGAUGUAUGUAGUAAUAUGAAAAGUGAAAGAUAAAAUGUGAGUGAUGAUAGAGUAUGAUAGAAUAAAAAUAGAUGUAAAUAAUUUGAUAUAGAUGGGAAAAGAGUAGUGAGAAAGAAAAGAAAAGAAAAAAUAAUAUAUGAAGCAUACUAACUCCAAAAUCAUUUAAGGAUGAGUAGAGUGAAAAUACUACUUCCAGACAUCAAUAAUGCAAAAAUCCCUCCCCCACACCAAGAACUUACAUUGUCCCUAAUGUAAGAUAAUCAAAGCUCACAUAAAAAUUAAAGCGUAAGGAUAAAAGAUUAAAGACAAAAAAAACUUUCCUGAAUUGUGAGCUUUGAUCCACAUAACGUCCAUGGGCUUGGGGGAAAUGGUGGGAUAAAUCCCACACUCUCGAAGCAAUCAAUAAUGGUAUUAAUUCUUGAACCAGUGGAAAGCAAUUAAUUUUCUUCAUUUGUUUUCUUGCUUGGCUGUGAAACAGCCCAUUUGCGGCUGAACACAGAAUCUGUUUUUUGUUUCUUUGUUGUUUUUUGUGAAUAUUUGGCUUAAUUUACAAUUCAUGGCAUGUCUGAAAAUGGGUCGAUGAAUCUGUUAAAAAUUGGACUCAGAUCUAAAUCAGAUUUAUCCAUGAUACAAUCAAGAGGAUUCAACAUUUGAUUUUUAUUUUUCUUUUCGCCACCCCCGUAUGUAAUUUUGGUUGGAGGACUUGGUUGUUAGGAAUUGACAACUACUGAAUUUUUUUUUUCCUUUAAACAACAGAGGCCGCAAUUUCAAUUUGAAGACUUCGUUUAUAAGAAUUGACAAUGGUUGAUUCUUUAAAUAGAAGAUGCCUUGGAAUUCCGCGUCGUUGACAUGUAGUUGAUAUUUAAAACAUAUUGGAUGUUAGGGCUUAGAAUGUUUGAGGUCGGAAUUCUUAUUAAGAAAAUUCCUCUGCUGCUUGCAACAUAAUCGAAGCUGUAAGUCCUAUGCUAUGCAGUUCUCUUUAUUUUCAUUUUUGUUUUUGAAUUUUCAGAAUUAAUAUGAAGAAAAACAUCAUUUAUUUCCAAAACAGAACCAUUAUCAAGUUUCAUAUUUUUGUACAGGUAAACUUUGGUCUUUGAGAAAUAUUUGCGUCUACAACUCUUGAUUAAUUUUAGUUUUAGUUUAGUUUAGUUUUAUUUUUUUUCCCCUAAGGUGGAGAUGAGAUGAGAAACCUCAUUCACUAAAAACCAAAAACUUAGUUUUGUAAAGUUUUAUUUUUUUCCCCCUAAUGCUGGUGGUCUUCCAUUAGCUCUGAAGGUUCUGGGCUCAUUUUUGUUUGGUAGAACUAUAGCUGAACAGGAAAGUGCACUACAAUGACUACAAAGAGGUCCUGAAAGUGAGAUUCUUCAUGUACUUCAAAUAAGUUUUGAUGGGUCAAAAGAAAAAGAAAAAAGAAUAUUUCUCAAUAUUGCAUGUUUCUAUGAGGGAAGUAUAGAGAUUAUAAGGGUGUUCAGAAUCUAAUCCGAUCCGCUCAAUCCGAUCCGUAUAAAUCCGAUCUGUGGAUUGGUGGAUUGGAUAUGGAUUGAAAAUUUAAAAAUCCGCAGUCGAUGGAUUGGAUAUGGAUUUACUUAUGUAAAUCCGCAAAAAUACGUGAAUCCGUCAAUAUAUAUAUAUAUAUAUAUAAUUUAAUUUAAAAAAUUAUAAAUGUGAGAUUACAUAGUUACAUAAGCACUAUAACAUAUCUUAGCCAUUACCUAAUAAUAAUAUAAAAUGAAAAAUAAUUAAAUAAUCAAAUACACAAAUAUAACUUGUAAAAAUUGUAAAACAAAAUAAAAACAAAGUCACAUGUACUAGCAAAAGUAAAGUAACAUAACGCCAAGUCACCAACAAUUUGCAAAGUCACCCAAAAACAAAAUAAUAUGACGCCAAGUCACUAACAAUUUGCAAAGUCACCCAAAAAUAAAGUAACAUGACGCCAAGUCAUCAACAAUUUGCAAACAAAAAACCCUAAGCUUCCAUGCCGUCACACACACUAGCAACACUCAAUACUGGUUGGAUAUACUCUCGACACAGAUUUGAAGGACAUCGGCCGCGCGAUUCCGGCAAGAGCAAGCCAUCUUCUUUCCCAAGUCCAUCGAGCCACUUCACAUUCACUGGUUCCAGCUGAACAAUUGCACUAUCACAACCUUCAAGAUCGCCACCCGUACAGCUUCUCCUGGUUCCCAUCAUGGACGGCUCCGUAAUCACCACUUUUCGACAAGCGCAUCAGCCCUGGUAAAGGAUCAGAUUGUGUUUGGUUUCUAAAACUUCGCCAUUUCAAUUAAUUGUGGCUUUAUUUGAAUAAUUAAUUUCGGUGUUAUAUUAACAUAUUAUUGUAACUUUAUUUGAACAAUUAAGCUUGGUGUGUUAUAUUUUGAAACUUUGAACGUGUUGUUGUAGCUUUAUUUGAAUAAUUAGUCUCGAUAUGUUAUAUUUUAAAAUUUUAAAUGUAUUAUUUUAGGUUUAUUUAAACAAUUAAUUUAUUUAAAUUUUAUUCAAUUUUAAAUUUAAUUGGUAGCAAAAUUAUUUUUAUAUUAGUUUUUUUUAUUUCAUUAGUUGGAGAGAACUAAAAAUUUUUAAUUCGAAAACUAAUGCACAAAAUGAUGGAUUGAAUAUGGAUUGAGUCAAAUCUGUAUUCAAUCCGUAGACGUGUGGAUUGGAUAUGAAUUGAGUCAAAUCCGCAUCUGAUCUGCAGAUAUAUGGAUUAGAUUUGGAUUGAAUUUUAUCAAUCCAUGGAUUGGAUUGGAUUGAAAAAUUAUAAUUCACAAAAUGAUGGAUCGGAUAUGGAUCAAUGUCCAAUCUGUAAAAUCCGAUCCGCGAACAGCCCUAAGAGAUUAUGUGAAAAAAAAUCUCAAAUAUUGUGAUUUUGACCCAAUUAUCAAAAUUGUUGGUCCUAUUGAAAAACCUCUAUUAACCGUAGAUGAUUUCAGCGGACUGUGGAUGCAUGAGUAGUUACAAGAAAUGGGGUAGACAAAUUGUUAGGAGGCAAUUCCCUCAGGAGCCUGGAAGCUGCAUUAGAUUGUGGGAGGAAGCAGAUGUUUGCCAUGUAUUAUUACAAAACACAAGUAAAUGUUCAGUUAGGUUGAAAACUUGCAAUUUUGGGAUCAUGAUCACUUAUUUAACUAGUUAACUCUUUGCAUAGUUUUAUCAAUAUUUUCUUUCUUUAAUUUUUUUCCCCACUUAUUUUUGGUUAUAAUGUUUAGGAAACUGAUGUAGUUGAAGCAUCAUAUUUGAUUGCUUUAGCAACAAUGUCAGUGAUAAAGCCUUUCUAAUGUGACCAGUCAAACUUCACAAGAGUAGCAAAUUUAGAGGAGCUGAUUUCUGAAGGAUUUACAAGUUUGCAUGAGAUUCACUCAUUUUUUCUGCUUCAAAGAAGCUGCUUUAAAAUUCUACAAUUUAAAUAAAAAAAUUCUUAAAAGAUUAUAAUGGAAUUUUUCCAAAAGAGUAAAUUCUUAGAAGAUUUUAAUGGAAUUAUUCCCCGAGAAUAAAUUCUUAAAAGAUUAAAGUGGAAUUUUUCUAAAAGAAUAUGUUAUUCACUUUGCCCUAUAAAAUGCAAUUACAUUGAAGACUCCCUAAAUAAAAUGCUUAAAGAAACCUUUGCUUUUGGCAAAAUCAUGCCGACCAUAUCUUUGAUUCCAUGCGCCACUAAAGACCGGAAUCAUCUUCAUAAUUGCUUUCGGCAUACACUUUUGAUUAAACUUUUUCUCUUUGAGAAAUCAAUUAGAACACAUAAAAAUCCUCUCACUAAUUAAUUUCUUUGAAACAAACUUAAUGAGAAAUUUAAGUAAAAAUUUAUCAUCUUUGACUGCUUCCAAUAAGCUCAGACAUGUAAGUUAAUUUUCUUACAUUUUCAAUUUUACUUGUAUCUCGGGGUUUGCUUUACAUGAAUUUAUUUGAACUGCACUAGCGCCUUCUGAUGUAAUGGCUGCUGUUUGUUCACCACCAGUUAACAUUACAAAUUAAAUCAAUUUUAGGUGUGACAAAAAAGCUGCAAAUCGAAGAAAGGCUGAAAGGGCACAUACUAUGUUAGAGGCUAGAUUUAGAUCUAAUUAUAAGGGAAGCCUUUCUAACACUCAGGUUUUAGAUUCAAGCUCUACUUUAUGUGCAUGCCACAAAUUUGAAAAAAAAUGUGCAUACUAAUUUUUUUUGGGAGAACAAUGGAAUUGAAUAAUAAAUGCACUAUAAAAAAUUUACUUGGUUGUGAUUUUCAUAGAUGGAUUAAAAAAAUAAAUUUUAUUCAAAACUAUGUCCAAUUUAAUUAUUUACAUUUUUGUCAUUUACAACCAAACAUAUAAAUUGUUUUUAAAACUCACAGAACUUUUGAAGAUUGUAUCAAACGUUUAAUUAGUUAUUUUUAUAGUUGACUAUUUUUACAAUACAAUUAGCAGUAAUUAUUUUAAAAACUAUAAUAUUAACAAAAUAAUCCAACAUCUUUUAAGGACCCAGCUGAAAUUUAACUAAUAAAGGUUUACCAUUAGUAUAGAUUGCCGGUAGUUUUAACUAUUUUUAAUUAAUUAUUCCAUUCCAUUUUAAUGGAAUCCAAUGGCUUCAACAUGGGUGAUGGGCAGAGUGGCAUGGACGCGUAAUCAAUUGAAAAGCCAGAUAUUCUUUGCUUAGAUUCCUUGAAGCUUCCGGCAAGCUCGAUGCUAACUCCAUCGUGUGAGUAAUCGAUUGAAAAGCCAGAUAAUUUUCAUUUAGAUUCCUUGAAGCUUCCAGGAAGGUUGAUGGUAACUUCAUCAUUAGAGUAAACAGAGACAAUUUUUUUGAAUUGUUAAGAAAGUCGCUGUUUGACCAAGACUUGCUUUUGGAAAUACACACAUUGCAACGCAACUGAGGCGCUGGAAACCGUGUAAUCGCUUUAAUUUUCCAAAUUAAACAAAAAAACCUCUGCCUUCCCUUGAAAGAUAGGUGCGCACGUAAAAUUCUAUCAUGUCGUAAUUAAUUGCGACAUUAAUAAGUAAUGAAUAUAAUUUUUUAUAAUUUAUACAUACAACCAGUACAUAAAAAGUAAAAUAAAUAAAUUAAUAUAAGUGUGGUUAAUUGAUAUUUUAAAAUUAAAAAUAAAAAAUACUUGUAAAAAUAAUAUAAAAUUUAUAAAUCAACGUUAAACUUUAACUAGACUAGAAAAUAGUUUAUUUCUUUAAUUUAAUUAAGAAAAAAAUCGCUAAUUAAGAAAAAAAUCGCUCAUUAAUUGAAAAAAAAUUGUAUUAAAACGACUAGAAUAAAUUUUAUUGAAUUGGUUUAACCAUGAAUUCUAUAUUUAUCCUAGGACAUUUAUAAUUUUUUUUUCAUUUUCUAUCAUAAUAUUUGUUUACUACACAAGUUACUUAAGCAAAAUUAUUAUUAUUUUUUUUAAUGUGGAUCAAGCCAAAACAAAAUAAAAGUUAUUUUUAUAUUACUACAAAUAUAUGAUAUAUCAAUAAAAUUAUAUCUAAUUUGCAGUUUUAUAAAUAAUUUAUAUAGUUUCAAACUUUACUUCUUUUACUUAAAGAUCAUUUGGGAUUACUGUCUAAGAGGUUUAUAGAGGGAUGCAAAAUUACCUUAUCUUACAAAUAACUUUAAAAAACAUAAAAAGAGUUUUAUUCUUAAUAAAAUUUUACAUAUAUCGUAUUACAUAAGCCCAAAACUAUCAUGAUUCAAUUUAGAAACAAAAUCAGUUAAAUACAUAAGGUAGUCAUUAUUAUCAUUAUAUGAAUUUAUUUAUUUUACUUUCUAUUGAGAAGCUUUAUAUUCUUAUUACAUAAUUUAUGUUUUAUUUUAUAUUUAAUGUUGAUUUAUAAGUUUUAUAUUACAUUUAUAUGUUUUAUCUAAAUAAUUAAUAUUAAUUAUAAUAUGCACAAAUAUGUUUCACUGAUUAACUUAGCUUCUUUGAAGCAACACUUCAAUGAAAUUCAACAGGUAGCUGCCUGUGCAAUUAAUACACUCAAAGCUUUAAGAUUUAUUUUAAUUUUUAUCUUAUACAUGUUUCUCUCAAAUACAAGCUUUUAGCGCGGCAUGCAAAAUACACCCCGUUUAAAUCUAAUCACACCUCUCUAAUUUGCACAUUCUGGAUGUUUAGAACAGGAAAUAUAUAAAAUUGAAAGAAAGCUUUGAAUGUUUAAAUUAAUUUGUAUCGUAUCAACUCUUUAAUUUGCUUCUCUUUGAGGCUCUAAUUAAGAUUUGCUUGAGUAAAGGUCGGCAAACACACUCUCCAAUCAGAAUCUGAAAAACUUUUUAAUUAUAUUUUGGAAGUAAAUGAGAGGCUGUUAAUUAGUUUGUUUAGUUAAGAAGAAGAUCAUUAAUUUGUUGUUCAAUAAUUUUAUGCUAAAAGAAAUGAUCAUAGUAAUUAUAUUAUAUUAUAUUAUUUUCAUUUUUGUGCUGCCCAUAAUCUUGAAUGAAUCUUAUUGUUUGCAUGGUAUUUUACGCUCACUGGAUUUCACUUGAUUUAUUCUAAAUUUUUAGGAACAAAUUAAUAUGAUGGCUUCCACGAGCUUCCAAAAUGUCUCUCAUGGGGAAUAAGAUGCCUUCUUAAGCUUUAGAGGAGAAGACACCCGUAAAAGGUUCAUAGGUCAUCUCUAUACUGCUUUGAACAAUAAAAGAAUUUAGGUAUUCAGGGAUGACAAACAACUUGAGAAAGGAGGAUCCAUUUCACCAAUCUCCUUAAACCAAUUGAAGAAUCGAGAAUUUCAAUUAUUGUUCUCUCAAAAAAUUACGCUUCUUCCACUUGGUGCUUGGAUGAACUUCCUAAGAUUGUUGAAUGCAAAAAUAGAGAGGAUCAAAAUUUUCCAAUUUUUUAUGAAGUGGAACCAACUGUUGUAAGAAAACAAACAGCAAGUUUCGGAGAAGCUUUUGCUAAACAUGAAGAAUUUUUCAGGGAUAAUAUAGAAAAAGUGCAAAAGUGGAGACACGCUUUAAAGGAGGUGGCCAAUAUAUCAGGCUGGGAAUUGAAGGAUAGGUAAUCAUUCUUUUUUUCAACUAUUAAUUUUGUUUGUUUUGCAAGAUUAGUAACUACAAAACAGAUUUUAAUAAUCAUUCAACACUAUUUUUAAUUUAACAACUUCUAUUUAAUAUAUAUGUAUAUCGUAUGAUGUGUAGUAAAAGGGUUCCUCCUGUGAAUUGAAUAUCUUUAAAUUAUACUUUUACUUUUGAAAACCUUAAUUUACCUCCCAUUUUUGUUAAUAAUACAAAAACAUUUCAUCAACUCACCCCAUUUUUCCUUCUCUUUUGAACAAAAAUAGGGUAAUUGAGGUGUUCAGAAGGGAGUGAUUUGAAGAUAUUCAAAUCUAAAUGGAGAAUAAUCUAAAUUUUAUGAAUGAAUUAAUAUUUGCAAUCAAAGAGAUAUGGACAUUGAUAUGUUGAAUUAUUGGAUUUUGAACUUUUCAUGACUAAAAGCUUUUAUGUUGUGAUGCUUUGUGCUAUCAGUUUUGCAAAAAAAAAAAAAAAGUAAAAUAAAACUUUAUUCUUAGAUUAUUGCCCAAGCUUAGGCAUAUCAAUAUAAUGAUUUAAGCUUGUGAUUAUAAUUUUAGUCCAAAUUUAUUUACUAGAUUAAUCUAUCCCCGUCCUUGCUUGCAAACUGCUCUGUUUUGUGUCAUUUUCUAUUUAUUUUAAUAUAAUUUUCUUCUAUGAAUUGACUCUUGACCUAGAUUGCCAAAUACUAAUAAUAACAAUGGCAAUAAUCGCAAUACGAAUGAUAUCAAUAUCAUUACAUAUUUAGCUAAUCUAAUUGAAUUAAAUUGUCUUUUAAACUAACUCAUCCUGUUGUAGAAAGAAAUAAUAUAUAAAUUUUGAAAUUACCAAUCACAAUGCAACCCAGUCCAAUCCAAUUCUUAUUGGGUUGGGUUUGAAUUUCUCAUUCCAAUUGUUGUUGACUGAUGUAAUAAUAUCAUAUUAUUUAAUUAUAUGACUUCAAUUUGAUGAAAUGAAUAUUGCAUAGUUGGGAUUUUUUAUUCAUAAUAUGGAAUUGCUUUGUUACUACGUUCAUACUUACUUCAAUUUAACAACACCAAUCUUUUCUUGUUGUUUUCAAUCUGCAUCAAUGAGUCAGAAUUUAUUGAGGAAAUUGUCAAUGUCAUAUCUAGUAAAAUUCGUUCAGAACCGGAGAUUCUUAAGGAGCUAGUAGGAAUCGAAUCACGCUUGGAGCAACUGAGGUUUCUUAUGGGUAUGGGGUCUAAUGAUGUUCGUAUGAUCGGGAUAUGGGGCAUGGGAGGUCUAGGAAAGACAACUCUUGCAAGGGUUUUUUAUGACUUGAUGUCUCAUGAGUUUGAUGGGAGUAGUUUUCUUGCCGAUGUUAGAGAAAAAUCUGAAAAAGAAGGCAGUGAAAUCUCUUUACAAAAGCAGCUCCUUUCUGAUUUACUGAAGCUUUCAGAUUAUAGCAUACAGAAUGUCUACGAUGGUAUUAGCAUAAUUGGAAGUAGGCUGCAACGAAAAAAAGUUCUUCUCAUAAUUGAUGAUGUGGCUGAUGUUGAACAAUUACAAAGGUUAGUUGGAAGGCGUGAUUGGUUCGGUCCAGGCAGCAAGAUUCUAAUAACAACGAGAGAUAGACAAUUGUUGGUGGCGCAUGAAGUGGAUCAAGAGCAUAUUCUUGACCUUGAUGUACUAAAUAAGGAUGAAGCUCUUCAACUCUUUAGUAUGAAAGCUUUUAAAAGCCAUUAGCCUAUGGGAGAAUAUGUGGAGCUAUCUGAACGUGUUCUGGAGUAUGCUGGUGGUCUUCCAUUAGCUCUAAAAGUUUUGGGAUCCUUUCUAAUUGGUAGAUCUGCGGAUCUAUGGAGAAGUGCCCUAGAAAGACUGAAAAAAGAUCCUUCAAAUAAGAUUAUGAGUAUACUUCAAAUAAGUUUUGAAGGACUACAAGAUUCAGAGAAGAAAAUAUUUCUGGAUGUUGCAUGUUUCUUUAAAUGGUGGGAUAGAGAUUACGUGGCAGAAAUUCUAGAGGGAUGUGGUUUUUCCCCAGUCAUUGGGAUAGAAGUUCUUAUUGAAAAGUCUCUAUUAACUGUUGAUGGUUGCAACAUACUGCAUAUGCAUGAUUUGUUACAGGAAUUGGGACAACUGAUUGUUACGAGACAAUCCCCCGAAGAACCUGGGAAAUGUAGCGGAAUAUGGAGGGAAGAAGAAGUGCGCCAGGUGUUGACAAACAAUACGGUAAGUGAAUUAUUAAAUGGAAAACUUGUUGAUGCUUGCUACUUUAUUUUUCCCAAUUAUAUCUCUGACGAAUUUUCAACAUCUUUACAUUAUUGUUUUAGGGAGGUGAAGUAGUGGAAGGAAUAAUAGAUUAUUACUCUUCCUACUUUCCUGAAGAUAAGGUUUACUUAAGUGCAAGUGCUGAAGCAUUUUCGCUGAUGACCAACCUAAGACUGCUCAAAAUCAGUAAUGUGCAACUUUCUAGAGGACUAGAAUACCUCUCUAACAGGUUGCGAUUACUUGAUUGGCGUCGGUAUCCUUUGAAAUCUUUGCCAUCAAAUUUGCAAUUGGAUGAUAUUGUUGAAUUUAAAAUGCAUUACAGCUGCAUUGAAGAAUUAUGGAAAGGAAUCAAAGUAAGAUCAAUUUUUUUUGUCACUAAUUUAUAUUUUUCAGUGAAUAAUUGUUGAUAACAAUUUUAUUAUUAUAGUAGUAUAUGAAUUAAGAAAUAUCAUUUUAUCUCCUUUUUUGUUUUCAACAGCCUUUAAACAUGUUGAGAGUCUUGGAACUCAGCCAUUCGGAGAAUCUGAUUAAGACACUAGACUUCACAAAGGUCCCAAACUUAGAGGUGUUGGAUCUUGAAGGAUGUACAAGGUUGCGUGAAAUUCACCAGUCUUUGCUACGUCACAAUAAGCUGAUCUUGUUGAAUUUGAAAGGUUGUACAAGUCUUACAACUCUUCCGGGUGAGAUUUUUAUGGAAUCUCUUAAAACGCUUGUUCUAUCUGGUUGCUCAAAAUUGAAGAAAUUUCCGGACAUUGUAGGAGGUAUGGAGUGUCUGCAGGAACUUCGUUUAGAUGGAACUGAUAUCAAAGAACUGCCAGUAUCAAUUGAACUUAUGUCUGGCCUUGUUUCGUUGAAUUUGAAAGAUUGCAGAAAUCUCGCGAGUCUUCCAAUUACAAUAGGCAGUUUAGAAUGUCUACAAACGCUCGUGCUAUCUGGUUGCUCGAAAAUAGUGAAAUUUCCAGAGACUGUGAUAAGUGUGGUAGAUCUGUCAGAGCUCUUUUUAGAUGGAACUUCUAUCACAGAAGUGCCAUCAUCUAUAGAGCUUUUGACCAAACUUCAAUGGUUGAAUUUGAAUGACUGCAGAAGUCUCGUGAGACUUCCUAGCAGUAUAAAUGGUUUGAAAUCCCUCAAAACUUUGAAUCUCUCAGGCUGCUUCAAACUUGAAAAUGUGCCUGAGACGUUUGGGCAAGUAGAAAGUCUGGAAGAACUUGAUAUAAGUGGUACAGCUAUAAGGCAACCUCCAUCGUCGAUUUUUCUUAUGAAGAAUCUUAAAGAACUAUCUUGUCGUGGGUGCAAAGGAUCACCAUCAUCUGCAUCAUGGUUUCUGCGCUCUCCUAUCAAUUUGAUGCGAUGGAGUUCAGAUCCGGUGGCUUUGAGUUUGCCGUCUUCUCUGCCAGGUUUGUGUAGUUUAACGAAAUUGGAUAUCAGUGACUAUGACCUAGGGGAAGGAGCAAUCCCAAGUAGUAUUGGCGACUUAUGCUCAUUAGAAAAGUUAUGUUUGAGUAGAAACAGUUUUGUUUCGCUACCGGCAAGCAUCUACCGUCUUUCUAAUCUUCAGGAGAUUGAAUUAGAGGAAUGCAAAAUGCUUCAAACUCUUCCUCGACUUCCAGCCAGUAUACAAUGGAUUUUGUUAGAUGGUUGUGUGUCGUUGGAGACAUUAUCAGAUGUAUUAAAAUUAAACGAGCAUCGACUCCCGUUGUUAAGCCUUGAGUGUGUGGAUUGCUUGAAAUUGACUGGCAACUAUGAUUUGGCAACAUUAAAAAUUCUGAGGUCAGUCUCUCACUCUCACCUGUUCUAACAUUAUGCCUAAAACUUAUGCAAUAGAUGUUAUGUCUUUUUAUUUUGUUUAUUUACUCACUUUUUUUUUCCGUGGGGUUGCAGAAUAUGUCACUGUCAGACAAGUACUGUAGUAGAUGGCCUCAUGUUAGUUUCUUACACUGUCUCUCACCUGUUGCUAAAAUUAUGCCUAAAAAUUAUGCAUUGGUAUGGCUUAUAAAAUACAAUUACAUUGAAGCCGCCCUUGAUAAAAUACUAAACGAAAUCAUUGCUUUCCUCAACAUCAUGUCUACCAUAUCGUUGAUUUCAUGCACCACUAAAGAAGAUCAUGAUCGUUCUUCGUAAUUGCUUUCGGCAUACACUUUUGAUUACACUUUUUGUUUUUUAGAAAUUAAUUAGAACACAAAACAUUCCUUUCAUUGAUUUCUUUGAAAGAAAGUUAGGUCUUCUUUCAUAUCGAGAUACUGUAAUUUUUUAGUUUUAAAUUAUUAAAAAAAUUUAUAAUUAUAAGAUAAAAAUUAAUAAUAUAUAAUGAAUAUAAUUUUUAAAUAAUAAUUUUUACAAAAUUAAUAAAAAUAUAAUAAAUUUUUCAUUAUACAACUUAAUUUUCAGGAUAUAAUAGUUAAUAUUUAUUAAACACUUUAGUAUUGUAGUUUAAAAAUUAUAGCUUCCCAACCUCAAUUUCAAAUAAAACCUUAAUUAGAAGUUCAAGUAAAAAUUUAUGAUCUUUAUUGCUUCCAAUAAGCUCAAAAAUGCCAGUUAAUUUUCUUACAUUUUUAAUUUUACUCAUAUCUCAGCGUUUGCUUUGCAAGAAUAUUUGUCUUACAUAUUUAUGUAUUAUUUUUUUUCACAUAUAAAAUUCAAUUGAAUGAAUUUUAAGAGGAAAGUUUGUUCUCUUGGUUUUCUGCUCCUUCAAUUUGCUGGUUGUGUGCUGAUUAUGAUUAUUUAAGAACCAUUUACUGAUAGCACUUCAUUUCAAAUAAAAUUAAAAUGUCCAAUGUAUUAAAAUUUGUGAAAACUUUAUGCUCAAAAUCAUUAGGAGAAAAAUUAUUAUUUUAUCCAUUUUGAGUCCCCCGACAGAUUUUGAGGGAGAUUGGAAUCUUGUGUAAUUUGCUGUACGGAGUUAUGAUGCAUCUUUAUCGACUUUUCUGUUGACUCAACUUGAUUGACCUCUGAUUCUGAAUGCGACCUCACGUAGGUCCGUCCGCUGAAUACGGGUUUGACCCGAUAUCAACCCGCGUUUGGUUGGACCGCAGGAUGUGUGUGACGUGUCCUGUUGGCCGUUGAUCCGCGUGUGUUAGGUUACUGGGUGGCUGACUUUGUAUCCGGACCAUCAUUUUGAUCAUGGAACGCCGUCCAAGGGUUCUGAAGCUGCCACGUACUCCACUACUUCAACCCAUUGAUUUAAUCCAAUUUGGUGGAUCCAAUAGCAAUUCCCCCAUCUCUUUGAAAUGUAAAAGCAUCAUUUUAAGCUCCACCGGCCGUCGAUUUCGAGCGAGCGUACAAGUGCUAAGGCCAAAAAAUUUUAUCUUGGAGAAGAAUUGAGUGAGUGACUUCUUAUUUUUAUGUCCUUAAAAUUUAUUUUUUAAAAUUUAUUUUUAAACCCUAGAUUUUGGAGAAAUACUUUUCUUAAGGGUUAGAAGCAAAUGUUUUAAAUUGGAAUUUUAAUGAGUGCAAACUAUGUUAUUGUCAGACAUCAAGAAUCAAAUUAGCAUUUAUUUUAUUCUCUUGUCUUUAGCUCCAUCAAGUUCGUUGAUGCAAGGUCUUUGAGAUUGAAGGUGUUAAAUUCAAGACGGAUUCUCUCACAUCCAAUAUCAAUUUACUCUUAGAUUUUUCUUGUGAGCAGAUUUUGAUGCUUGAUUCACAUAGAAAAAAAAUUGUGAGGACUAUAAGGAUUUUUUUUUAAAUUAAAAACCACCUUAAGGUGGAGUGUGGGUUUAGGCGGGAACCUUCACUAGUAAAUUAAUAAAAUAAAAUAAAAUUCAUAUGGAGAGAGACAUAUGCCAAAACCUCGAAGUAUGGGAACAAAUACAUCCAAUAACAGGAAAAAUAACAAAAGCAAUGGAAGAUAGGACUAAUUAAUGCAACCGCCUAGAGAAUCGCUUCCAAUUCUUGCGGCUAGUAACUAAUGUGAAACCUUUCUUAGAACAGAGGCAUGCGGCCCGGCAACACGAAAGUCAUCAAGAUCAUGCCCUCUAGUACCCUUAGGCUCAUAUGCAAAAUAUUCAAUAGUCACAGGAUUCCCAUCAAAGCUAAAAUUCUCAUCAAACUGAAAAAGGAUGUCUGUAGAAUGGGGUUUGAAGCCCACGAUCAUGGAGCGAAUAUCCUCUUCAGCAACUAAAAAAAAAGUAGCGUCAGUGGAAGCCCUCUGAACACUCGGAUCAUCUAAAAAAGGAGGGUUAGAGACCUCAGUGCAUCCAGCAGCAUCUCCUAAAGUAGUAGGAUCCUUCAAACCAUCAUCAGUUUGAAUUCUUUUCAUAGAAACCAGAUCAAACCCAUCUUCUGCAGUAUCCUAAUAAAUAAGUGAUUGAGCAUCUAGAGGAGCACCCUCACUACCAUUAGGCCUCAAUGGCUGAACCUCUUCGCCAUCCCCUUUGGAUGCACAGCAGCAUCAGACAUCAACAUCUUGCUUUUAUCAUGAACAACAGUAUCCUGCACCUGACUAAUAGGCUGCCAAGGUUCCCAGAGCCCAGGAUUGGCAACAAAACAAGUAUCAGCAGAGUGCCCAAGAUGUUUACACGAGGCACAAUAUAAAGGAACAUGCUUAAAAAUGACAUUCUACUAGAAACCGCCACCACCUUCAAUCCAAAGCUUGGGCAACAACGGCCACGAAACAUCCAACUCAAUUAGAACUCCAGCGACUGAGGGUCGAUUAACAGCAAUAGUAGCAUGGUCUACUCACAGAGGCUUACCAAUAGCAUUAGCAAUAAAAAAUAAGGCAUCUUUGCAAUGAAUAAAAUGCACUGGUGAAUACGGCAAAGAAACUUAGAUAGGAACAAUAGGAGAUUCCUUAGAGCACCGAAUUAAAGUCUAUAAGACUAUACUACAUGAGACUCAAACCCAAGACCUAAGUCUUGGUAAGGCUAUCCACCUAAAUCCACUUGGAAAAUGUUCAAACGUAUUUUAGAUAAUGUGUUUUAGUCUGUGAGGGUUGGCACAAUAGGAUUUAGACUUGAGAUGUUUAGGAUUGCGAAGCUUUGUAUGUGUUCUUGAUCCAUUGUAAACUCACAUUAUUUUCAUAGUAAAUUGUUUUGUCUACAAGUGGACAUAAUAAUAUAUCAAGAUUUUUGUCUUAAAUCGUGAGGAUCAAAGGUUCCCUCGUAAAAAGAUCUUCGUGUUGUGGAUGUUCAUUAUUUUGCAUAUUUAUUUUCAUUACCAUAAAUUGACUUUUUAAAUUUAUUGAUAGUGUUUAUAUUGAAUUAUCUUUAUUAACUAGGAAAUAAAAUCAUUAAUUUUAAAGAGAUUACUAUUAUUAUCAUCAAUUAUAUUGAGAUAACAAAAUAAAAAAUAAAAUUGAUAAUAUAAAAUAUUUACUUUAGUUAUCAAAUAUUAUAUAUACACACGAAAAAAUAUUUUAUAUACAUAUUUAUAAAUAUGUAAAUAAAUUUUAUUCAAAAUUAUGUCUAGCUUAAUCAUUUACAUUCUUGUCAUUUACAAUCUUAUGAUAGUUUAAUAAUAAGAUUUAUCAAGUACAUACGACUGUUUUUAAAACUUACAAAAUUUUUGAAAUUCGUAUCGAAUGUUUGAUUGAUUAUCUUUAUAGUUGAUUAUUUCUAUAAUUCAAUUAACAAUAAUUAGUUUUAAAAAACUACAAUGUUACCAAAAGAAUCCAACAUCUUUUAGGGAUCCAACUGAAAUUUAACUAAUAAAGAUUUACCAUUCUUAUAGGUUGCUAGUAGUUUUAACUAUUUUUAAUUAAUUAUUAAUAUCAACCGUUGGAUGCCAUUCCAUUUUAAUGGAAUCCAAUGGUUUCAACGUGGCUAAUGGGCAGAGUGGCUUGGACGCGUCAUCAAUUGAAAAGCCAGAUAAUCUUCGCUUAGAUUCCUUGAAGCUUCCAGCAAGUUUGAUGGUAACUCCAUCAUGUGAGUAAACAGUGACAAAUGUCUAUUAAUUAUUAAGAAAGUCACUUUUUGACCAAGACUUGCUUUUGGAAAUACAUACAUAUUUGCUGAUUGCUUUAUUUUUCGCCAAAAGAAUAUAUUUGCAUGAUUAAAUUCUUUGAAUCAAAUACUGCAUCGGAGUUCAUUUAACUAGCGUCCUACAAUACACUCAAAAGCCGUAAGUUCGAUCUUAUACAUCUCUCUCUCUUUUAUUUUCAGAAUUAAUUUGUAUAUCUUAAUGUUUAAAAACAAAUAAAUAAUGAUAAAAUUGAAAGAAAUUCUUUAAUGUUAAUUUUGUACAAACUCCUCUAAGAGGCUUUAAUCAAGAUUUGCUCAAGUAGAGAUCGGUGUACACACUCUCAAAUCGGCACUUGAAAAACAAAUACUUUACAUUUUGGGAUUUAUUAUGUAUAAUUUUAAUUUUCUUUUUGGUAAAGAGAGUAAUUGAGAAGCUGAUGGAUUAUCUGUUUAGUUUGUUUGAGAAUAAGAUCAUUAAUUUGAAUUCAGAACCAUUGUCAAGUUUAAUAACUUUUUAUUUCAAUAAAUUUUUACUUUAAAAAUAUUUGGGCCAAUUUAUUGUCAAUUAUUUUUAAUCAAAUUCACCCUCCCCGUCGAGGUCUGAAAAAAAGAAUACAAUUAUUAUAUAUUUGUCCAUUUUUAUCGGGUUGUUGAAAGGAAAUGAAAAAGUUUCAGUUUCUCUCUCAAAAUCUCUUUGCUUAUAUAUAGUUUCGAUGAUUAGUUAUUGCCUUAAUAUUUUUGUUUUUAUUUUUUUGGUGAUAAAUAUGUAACUCUGAUUUCUUUUAAGUUAUUGUAGAUAAAUCUUUUAUAAAACAACAUACAAAGAGGUACCUAUUGAACUUCUUUAUUUUCAUUAUAUAUUAACCACCAAUCACAUAUUAAAUCAUAAGAGAAUUCUAAUUCAAUCUGAUAUUGAAUAUUAUUAUUUAAAAAUUACUUCAAAAACUGUAUUUUAGCAUUUAACUGUUUAUUAAAAUAAUAAGUUAUAAUCUAGUUAGAAAUUUAAGGAAAUAGUUAUGUAAAGUCCCAAUUUUUUAAUAAAGGACGCCAAAAUCUUUUUUCAGCUAUACUGCUUUUGUAGAGAGUAACUAAAAUACAUAUAUAAUUUAAUAUUUUAAUUUUUCUAAUAGACCAAUAAUAUUAGAAUAUUUUAAAAAUAAAAUAAUUUUAAAAAAUGUAAAUUAUUAUAUUUUACUAAUAUAUUUGUAUUUAUUAUAACAAAUUUAAAUAAAUCAUUAGGUUAAAUAGAUUUUACAAUUAAAAAAAUGAUUUCAUGUAUUAAUAAUAUUAAAAUUAUUUUUAUAUAUUUAUCUUAAUAUUAUAAUUCUAUUUAUUACAAAUAUUUUUUAAUAGAUAUUGUUACAUUUAUUUAAUAUCGUAUUUAUAUUAAUUAUAAAACAUUGAAAUUAAUUUUUUUGAGUUAUUAGAGCUAAAUGGUAUCAUAGUUAAAAGAGGAUUUUAGUGUUUCUUAUUGAAAAUAUGGUGUCUACACAACCAUUUUUUUCCCAAAUCUUGGGGUGUAAGUGUCAUUUUACCUAAAUUUAAAUAAGAUAUUUAAAUCAAAUAAUAUGAAUUAAAUAUAAAUAAAUCCAAAUAAUAUGAAUUUAAUAUAAAUAAUUACACACUUUUUUUUACUUUUAUUAUAUAAAAUCAUUUUUAUUAUUUUACUUUUAUUAUGUAAAAAUAAUUUUAAUCAAUUAUUUUAUUAAUUAACACAUUUAUAAUUUACUUUUUUUAGAGAGAUUUAUAAUUUAAUUAAAUAGAAAUAGAACUACCUCAUUAAUGAAGUUUUUAUUUUAAUAAUGAAUUUAACCAAUAAAUUUAAUAAAAUAAUAUUAUAAAAAAAUUAGAUAAACAAGAUCAUGCAUAUACCGCAAUAAAUAUGGCACUGUUUUAAAGGUUAAUGUAAUAUUGCUACGCAAUAAAGCUCAAGCAAUAUAAUUAAGUAUUAUUUAUUAAUAAAUUUUUAAAUUUUAUUAGUCAAAUAAUAAAAUUGAUAAUAAUAUUAGUAUAAAAUAUUUAAAUAAACACUAUUGUACAUACUACACUAAAACAUAGUACUGCGACAUAAUGUAGUGCACCAAACACUCCCUAAGCUAGUGUAUACGACUUUGACACUUUGAGAUAAUCCAUAACUCUAGAUAAAUGUUGUUGUUUACAUAGUAUUGUUCCUAGGCAAUCAUUUCUUUUUUUUAAAAAAAAUUUCAGAACAAAUUAAUAUUGUAAUGGCUUCCUCGAGCAUACAAAAUAUGCCUCAUUGGCCAUAUGAUGCCUUUUUAAGCUUUAGAGGAGCAGACACCCGUAAAAGCUUCAUAAGUCAUCUCUAUGCAGCUUUGAAUGGAAAAGGAAUUUAUGUAUUCAAGGAUGACAAAGAACUCGAGAGAGGAACAUCCAUUUCACCUGGACUUCUUAAUGCAAUUGAAGAUUCUAGAAUUUCAAUUAUUGUUUUCUCUCAAAACUAUGCUUCCUCCACUUGGUGCUUGGAUGAACUUGUUAAGAUUGUUCAAUGCAAGAACAAAAACGAUCAUCAACAAAUGGUUUUUCCAAUUUUCUAUGAUGUUGAACCCACUGUGGUAAGGAAACAAACCGGAAGUUUUCGAGAAGCUUUUUCUAAACAUGAAGAAGCUUUUAGGGAGAAUCUAGAAAAGGUGAAAAAUUGGAGAGACGCUUUGAAAGAGGUGGCUAAUAUUUCUGGCUGGGAAUUGAAAGAGUACAGGUAGCCAUUCUUAUUAUUUUGUAUAUCAUUUUAAAUAGCUUUAAUUAGCAUACUGUUGUCAAUUAAACAACUUUUAUUCAAUAUGUGCAUGAUAUGAUGUGUACUAAUUGAAUAAUAGCUCCAUAUAAGAAUAUUUACGAACAAAAGUGGUACCAAUGGAUGCAGAUAUUUACACGAACGCACCUAAAGAUUAGCCAUAUGUAACAACAUCUUACAUUACUUCAAUUUUGUCCAACGAAUAUUGCAUAUUUUGGGCUUUUUCUAUUACUAAAUUUAUUUAAUACCGCAUUCAGACUCACUGUAAUUUAACCAUACUGAUCUUUCUUUGUUCUUUAACUGUAGGAAUGAGUCAGAAUUUAUUUGGGAUAUUGUCAAGGCGAUAUCAAGUAAAAUUCCUGUAAAAUCAGAGACUCUUAAGAAGCUGGUGGGAAUAGAUUCACGCUUGGAAGAAUUGAGGUCUCUUAUGGAUGAAGGGCCUAAUGAUGAUGUUCGUAUGAUAGGCAUUUGUGGUAUGGGAGGUUUAGGUAAGACGACUCUUGCAAGAGUUGUUUAUGACUUGAUCUCUCAUGAAUUUGAAGGGAGUAGUUUUCUUGCCGAUGUUAGAGAAAAAUUUGAAAACGAAGGCAGUGUAAUCUCUUUUCAAAGGCAACUCCUUUACGAAAUAUUGAAGCUUGAAAAAGAUAGCAUAUGGAAUGUCGGUGAUGGCAUCAACAUUUUAGGAAGCAGGCUGCAAAACAAAAAGGUUCUUCUUGUUAUCGAUGAUGUGGUUGACAUAAAGCAAUUAGAGUAUUUAGCUGGAAAGCGUGAGUGGUUUGGUUCAGGCAGUAGGAUCAUCGUAACAUCGCGAGAUGAACAUCUAUUAAGGACACAUGGAAUGGAUGAAGUAUAUAAGCCUAAUGAACUAAAUUACCAUGAUGCUCUUCAACUUUUCAACAUGAAAGCUUUUAAAAUCCAAAAGCCUCUUGAAGAAUGUGUGCAGCUGUCUGAACGUGUUCUACGGUAUGCCGGUGGUCUUCCGUUAGCUCUCGAAGUUUUGGGUUCCUUUUUGAAUGGUAGAUCCGUGGAUCAAUGGAAAAGCACCUUGGAAAGGCUACAAAUAGAGCCUCCCAAUAAGAUUAUGAGUAUACUUCAAAUAAGUUUUGACGGACUACAAGAAUUAGAGAAGAAAAUAUUUCUCGAUAUUGCAUGUUUCUUUAAAUGGAAGACUAGAGAUUAUGUAUCGAAAAUUCUAAAAGGAUGUGGUUUUUCCCCAGUCAUUGGAAUAGAAGUUCUUAUUGAAAAAUCUUUAUUAACAGUACAUGAGAAUAACAGAUUGUGGAUGCAUGAUUUGAUACAAGAAAUGGGUCACCAAAUUGUUAGGAGACAAUCCCCCGACGAGCCUGGAAAACGCAGUAGAUUGUGGAAGGAAGCAGAUGUACACCAUGUGUUGUCACAAAAUACAGUAAGUGAAUAAUAAAGGGGAUCUAAAAGUAUUUAUUU
rnacentral:lncRNA from 1 species